rnacentral:lncRNA from 1 species
AAUUCUCGAAAUACGAGGAUUAGACUUCAUGCAGAACCAACCAAGGGUCGUGUUGGUGAGCUUUGGAGAAGCCAAAGAUAUUAAAAUCACCAAAAGUGCAUUGAAAACGAGUCCACGAGAGCAAUUGGUGCAAAAUCUGCACUGGAGCAAAACUGCUCUCGGGGACCGGUCCCUAGCAGGGAGGGACCGGUCCCAUCGGCGGAUGUUGCGGGGUUGCGUGAGGCAACCGGUCCCUGGCAGGGAGGGACCGGUUCCCGAACGUGAUCCGAGCGAGAAAGCCAGAAAUUUGGCUAAGUCCUGAAAAUAUUGCUCUCGGGGACCGGUCUCACAGGCAAGGACCGGUCUCCCGAGGACCGGUCUCUCUGGGAGAGACCGGUACCCGAACGCGUGACCCUAGCUGAAGCUCUCGGGGACCGGUCCCAAGUCGGGGAGACCGGUCCCUCCGCGCGCAGACAGCCCAGUGAGGGCAGUGUACAGAGAUGAAAGGUGAGGGGCUUUUAUGCAAAAUGGCCUUAGUUAGAGGGGUAUACAUGGGAGAUCACUCUCUCCCUCUCUCAGUUCACUCUCUCUCUCUCCCUCUCACACUCUCUUGCUCUCUCUCUCUCUAGAAAGAAAAGAGAAGAAGAAGAAGAAGAGGAAAAGAGAAGGAAAAGAAGGAAGAAAAGGAAGGAGAAGAAGAAGGAGAUCAACAAAGGGAAGCUUUUGGACCUCUCCUUCAUCCUCUCUUCUCUCUUUGAAGCUACAACAAGAGGUAGGCUUCUAACCCUAGCUAUGAAAUUUGGGGUUUUUAGGUUUUAGCUCUUUGGAUGGGAUCAAAUGGAUCUCUAGUACCAUGAAUAGAGGGAUUAGAGCUAAAAUCUACGGUUUUGAGAUGGGUUUAGCUUGAUGCUAACCCUAGGGCACCAAAAUAGGGUUUUUGGUAAAGUAUGAGAUUGAUCUCAUUUGAGGCCUUGUAAACCCAAUUGCUAGGUAACGAAGCGCGGGGGCGAAGUCGGAAUUUCGAUUCGCCGAGUGGGUCAAGAGCUAUCGGCAAAAUAAGCCGAUUGGGAAUCAUUUGGACCAAGAAAAUCGAGGCUUCGUCGUAAAGAACGCCGAAGCGCAUUUUUAGAGCCUCCGUAUACACAGAAGGUGGGGGGUGUCAUCCCGAAACAUCCGGGUUUCUUUUUAUGUCUAAGUUAAUUAUAUUGAUCAUAUUGUGCUAUAGGAAUAGUAAUUGUACAUUUCCAUUUCCUUGCAUGCUUUCUCGGUAGUGUAGCGGGGUGAGCUUGACACGUGGACUAGGAUAGCAUGAGGAUUGGGUCUUGUGACAUAGAAUCCUAUAGCGGCAUAAAGAGCCGAACUUAGACAUAUGAUAGCCUAGUAGAGUGGCAUUGAACUAGUGUAGUAGAAACACUAAAUUGAAACGAGUGGCAUGUCAACUAGUAGAAAACUUACUACAAUGACCGAACGAGUGGCAUCGAGUCUAGUGUAGUAAACUUGACGUGAACUUAGGGAUAGUUGAGAUCCCGGCAUCUAGGAUGCAUUGUAUAUUGUGCAGCAGAGGCACAUUGACCCUAGUAGACAGGGUAUCCUCUUGUGAGGAUUGGAUCAUACUCACUAGUCUGUUUUUGCUUGUCGGUGGUCGCUCCACCGAGGCACGAGUCUCCGGAGUACUUCACUAGGGGCAGACGUAGUUGUCCCGCAGACGGUCUCGGUGUGCGAGUGCAGUUUCUCCUCACCUAUGAGAUUGAGAGUGAGUCGAGGGUUUAACCUACGGGUUAACCAAGUAGAUUGGGUAAUAAACAUGAAAUGCAUAGUAGACUUGCAUUAUUACCUUGAGUAGACAUAGUGUAUGUGGUAGUUUACAUUACUAUGCACCUUUAUAUACUCAUGACAUGACAUUAGCAUGAUAGUAAUUGUUGCAUGCAUUAUUAUCAUUGAUGGCAUGAUAGAGUAGUUGCAGUUCAUUUUCUAUCUAUCUAUAUAUCUCUCUAUCUGUGCCAGCUUAGACCUAGUGGGAAAACCGGCGGCGUCGGCGGCCGAACCCACUGGGAACUAUAUUUAUAUAGUUCUCACCCCGUGUGGUUUUGGGGUACAGGUACGCACAGAGGCCAGUCAAGCGAGGACCGCGGCAAGGGCAUAGCGCCCUAAGUGAGUUUAGCUAGUAGCUUUUUCUUUAUGCAUUAGAGUACCCUCGUGUACUAGAUGAUGUUUUGGAUAGUUAUUAAAGAGCUACUUGUAUUUUGAGGAAAACCUGUAUUUACAUUUUGGAAGAUGGAAAUGUAAAAUAUUCAAAUGAUGUAAAUGUUGAAUGGUUGUAAUAGUUAGACUAUCUCUCUUUAUACACUUGUAUCUACUUGUGGUUCUUGCUCUUAGAUGUAUUGCACUUGUGCAUCGUGUUGAUCAUGUAUGUUAUUUAAGCAUUCCCUGGGCGCUUACUUGUACAUGAUCUGGGUGUUUAGCCUUGGGCGGGCAGGAGAGGUGCUGUCCGUUCGGCGGUCCGUCCGGCGCGCCCGAACUGUGCCAAAUUGGUAGUGGAUUCAGGGCGGGGCGUGACAGUGUUGGUAUCAGAGAGAUUAAGAGCAAGUAAAGAGAGAGUCUAGGAUGGACCUAAGAGACCUUAGGACGGUGAACCCUAGGAUUGUGUAGGUACGUGAGAGAAACGUGAACCUAUGUCGGUUGAGGAAGAAUCCGAUUAGGUCGGAUCGAGUAUAGAUCUCUAGUGUGGCUAGAGAUAGAUCCGAGCGGUGUUAGUUCCGAGCUCGAGGAGUUUUUGUUGGCGGCCGACAACACGACGCUAAGAGUUCGAACUAAUACACUUAUGUACUUCCGCUUAUAGCGGAGCUGAGUCGCGUAAUAUAGUGUAUGCGAUGGAGUUAAGUGGGUUAAUGGCUAACCCAAUUGUUGCGUUGCAGGAGAUAAUGUCCCCAAGACGCUACGUACGUAGGUCCGUUCCGGCACCAUCUCCUGAUGUGCCCGAGGAAGCCGGAUCUAGUGAGGUACAAGAGUUGCGUGCGCAGGUGUCGGCACUAACCGGCAUUGUGCAGCGCCAAGAAAGUCGAUUCGAGCAGCUCCAAGGGCUUAUGGAGCGGCAUUUUGCGGCGGCAACUGCAGCUGCGACUGAGGGUCGUGAUCCGCCCCCGCCUCCAGCUCGUGCGCCUACGGCGGCUGAGGGUGAGGGCAUUGCGGCAGUUCCGGUGGCGGCACGUCCUCCGCCGGCGAGCGUUCCUCCGGCGGCGUCGGGUUCUACGACACCCGAUGCGACGUCAUUGGAGGCGGAGAGGGAGCGCGCACUUGCGGCUCUCGAGAAGUUCCGAAGGUUUAAUCCACCGACCUUCGAGGGGGAGAAGGUCGAGCCAUGGAUGGUUGAGUCGUGGGUGGACUCAAUGGAGACCUUGUUCGAGGACCUCUACACCUUGGAGAGGGACAAGGUCUACCUCGCCACUCACUGUUUGGAACGAACGGCGAAGGUUUGGUGGAAGCGAAUCAAGAGGAACCGAGCUUCCGACCUUCCGCCGUUGACGUGGGAGGAGUUUCGGGGGUUGUUCUAUGUCAACUAUUUCCCCGAUAGUGAGAAGAAGAAGCUUCAAGAGCAGUUUCGAAAGCUGAAGCAAGGUAGCCGCACGGUGGCGGAAUAUGAGCGGGAGUUCUCUCAUAUCAUUGACUGCGUCCCUGACGUAGUGCGGGAUGACAAAGAUCGAGCCGAUUGGUUCGAGCGAGGGCUCCGGGCUGAUAUCUACCGGGCGGUGCACAUUUUGAAGCUCACUACCUUCGCGGAGGUGCUCGACAGAGCGUUGUGGGCGGAGCAAGAAAACGCUCACAUCCGGAAGGAGCGAGAAGCGUUCGAGAAUGACGGUGGUAAGAAGCGGGGCCAAAGUAGUUCGGGAGCUCAAGCCAAGUCAAGGAAGCCCCCGAAGUACCCGCGAACGCAAUCCAAGGGCCGCGGACCGCAGUGGUGCACAAUCUGUGGUGGGAACCACGAGCCUAGGACGUGUGAUCAACGGGAAGGGAAGUGCUUCACGUGUGGACAGGCGGGCCAUAUCAGCCGCCACUGUCCAAUGAGGGCUUCGCCUGCCCCUUCGGUCGCGUCGGCUCCGACGACUCCGGCGCACUAUGGAGGAGUCCCACCUGCUGUGUCAUCGGCUGGACGUGCGAUGGUGCCACGCCAACCUGAGGCGACGAGAUCGGCUCCGAGCCGGCGGGUGUUCGCCGCCCAAACUCAAGCCGAGGAACCUGCUGAGGCGGAGGAUCGCCAUGUUCUCGCAGGUAUGGUUUUAAUUAACGGAGUUCGCUCCAGGGCUAUGUUUGAUACAGGUGCUACACAUUCAUUCAUUAGUAGGUCAUUUGCACGCAUGCAUGACAUAGAACUACAAGAGAGUAAAAGCACUUGGAGGGUAUCGGGCCCCGGACGUGAUUUUAUAGUCCGUAUGGAGUGUUCGUCUUGUCCAGUGCGGUUGGGCGAUUGGAUAAUGCCUAUCCGUAUGUUGGUGUUCAAGAAGUUAAAAGACUUCGACGUCAUUCUAGGGAUGGAUUGGCUCUCGAAGUACUAUGCAACUAUUCACUGCAGAAGUAAAGUGAUUACGUUUCGCGAACCGGGCCAAGAGGAGUUCACCUACCGGGACUGUAGAAGCUCGCGCUUCGCUGCUAUGGUGUCGGCGACGAGGGCGAGGAAGUUGAUUAACAGCGGUUGUACGGCCUACUUGGCGACCGUUGUAGAGGCCGAGAGGACGACUCCGGCACUCGAGGAACUAUCUGUGGUCCGAGAGUUUCCUGAUGUGUUUCCCGCGGAGUUACCGGGGAUGCCACCAGACCGGAAGAUCGAGUUCGUGAUAGACUUGGUUCCAGGAACCGCGCCUAUCUCGAAGGCUCUGUAUCGGAUGGCGCCGGAGGAAUUGAAGGAAUUGCGGGAUCAAUUAUUGGAUCUCCUUGAUAAAGGGUUUAUACGGCCAAGUGUAUCGCCGUGGGGAGCCCCGGUCCUAUUUGUGCGAAAGAAGGACGGAUCCUUUUGACUCUGCGUAGACUAUCGCGAGUUGAAUAAAGUUACGAUCAAGAAUAAGUACCCGUUGCCGAGGAUUGACGAUCUGUUUGAUCAGUUGCAAGGGUCUCGGGUUUAUUCAAAGAUUGAUCUACAAUCCGGUUAUCAUCAACUCAAGAUUAAGCCGGAAGAUGUGCAAAAGACCGCGUUUCGCACGCGGUAUGGACACUAUGAAUUCACGGUCAUGCCGUUUGGGCUUACUAAUGCCCCGGCAGCGUUCAUGGACCUAAUGAACCGUGUCUUCAAGGAGUACUUGGACCGAUUUGUCGUGGUCUUCAUAGACGACAUCUUAGUCUAUUCUCGUAGCGACGAGGAACAUGCCGAGCAUUUGAGAAUCGUGCUUCAAGUCCUUCGGGAGGAGAAGCUAUAUGCUAAGUUUAAGAAAUGCGACUUUUGGCUCCGAGAGGUUGCAUUUCUUGGGCAUCGUAUCUCCGAGGUCGGAGUAUGCUGUCGCAGCCCAAAAAGGUGAGGCUAUCAAGGAUUUGGCCUCGGCCCUUGACAACCGCCCAGAAGGUUCGAAAAGAGAGCUUCGUUGUUUAGCGGGUUAUUAUGACGGUUUGUGGAGGGAUUCUCGAAGAUCGUUGGUCGCACUUACUCGCUGACUCGAAAGGCACCAAAGUUCAUUUUGAAAUGACUGAGGGUGCGACCAGUUCAAGAGUUGAAGGAUAGAUUAACUUUCGACUCCCGGUGCUGCUACGCGUGCAAGAUGAAUACUUUGUGGUUAUACGACCGAUCACAAUCGUCUUAGGGUGUGUUGCCUAGAUGCAGGGCGGGAAGGUGAUGCUUAAUGCGUCCGCGUCAGCUAAAGAACUAUGAGAGAGAACACCCUUUCACGGUGGGGAGUGUUAAAAAGCAAGGAGCCUGCUUGGAGAGCACUUAAGUUGCCGCCUAUAGUGUUUGCCUCUUGCAAAGUUGCUGGUGACGGCCAACUGACCGUGUAAGCGCCGAUGCUGGCGGUUGCGAGAUACUACACGCGACCAAGUAAAGUACUGGAAGAGCAGCUGUUUCAUUCAGCAAACAAGAGAAGGAGCUGCACAUGCGGGCAGGAGAGAACGGUGUUGAGAUUGCUAAAGAGACUGUUUUUUGUGGUUGUCACCGGAUCAGUGACGAAUCAUCAUAGUAUGCUGCCAGUGCGCCGGGAUAUAGAGCAAACAUGUGGCCGACGCACUUACAGCAGUCAGGUGAGAAUCUUGCUGAUGUUGGAGUUACUAGCAUCAGGAGCUCUGCGGGAGCAUAGAGAUGGAACGAUUGGUGGAUCUCCGAAGUGGAUAGCUCCGCAGAAAGUCCGAUUCUAUGCUUACGGCUCUCGUUUGUCCGCAACCGGCUUUGUUUGGAGCAGAUCAUGAUUGCAGAGCCUGCGGACGGCCCGAAUAGCGUCAGGCAAAAGAGGUGCGGUGCGAGACAGGAGCAGUGGUGACCACCGGUGAUUUCAGUGUCAGACUGCCCGAGGGUGGCGCUUCGAUUUCGAAACCGAUUGGUGCGUACCGAAAACACUGAUGGAGGUCCGGAUAGUGUGGAUUAUCACCUAUCAAAGAACGCAAAUGCGGACUCUAUAGCAUUUCACCCGGCAGGACCGGAAGAUGUACCCGCGAUCCUGAAAUGCAGGUCUGGUGGCCGGGUAUGAAGGCUGUGUUGUUCGCUAUGUAGCGCAGUCGCUUCAGUGUAUCCAGCAAGUCGAAGCUGAGCGCCGGAUUUCUCAUGCGGGAAAGCUCCAAAGUCUACCUAUUCCCGUUUUGAAAUGGGAGAAUAUCGCUGAUGGACCUUCGUGGGUCGAUUCCCCCGUUCGACGGGUGGCCACUGAGCGAUCUGGUGAACUUGUGAUCGUAUGACUAAGUCGGCCGCACUUCCUACCCGAUUACACCACCUGGUCGGCGACAGGUUAGUCGCAAGGUGUAUCUAAUGAAGUUGUGAGGUUGCACGGGGUUCCAGAAGCGAAUUCGUGUCAGAUCGAGACCCCGCGUUUACCUGUAUCGCACUUUUGGGGAAAAAAGAACGCCUGCAGAAAGCGCUUAGGCACACGGACUCGAUUCACACCGCGUUCAUCCUCAGACAGAUGGAACAGUCGAAAGGACUAUACAAAUUCUGAGGAUAUUUGCGGGCGUGUGUCAUUGACUACAAGGUAUUGGCAGACCAUUUGAUGGAUGGCCGAGUAUCGCCCUACAACAACAAGUUACCAAAGCUAGCAAAUUGGGAUGGCAACCGUCGAUGGUCCUAUAUGGACGGAAGUGCCUCGAUCCUCGACUAAUAUUCAUGGACGUGAUGUGGGUGAGCAUCGCGCAUUGGGCCAGACGUAUUGCGAGAGCGCGGAAGAGAAGGUCCGCGUCUUGCUCGGAGAGCUACUUACACGGCACAGGUGAUGGCAUAAAGAGCUAUUGCUGACAAACACGUAGAGAUUUGUAAUUCGCGUAUAGCGCCCGCGCGUUUUUCUUGACAGUUUUCACCCUAUGAGAGGUGUGAAACCUUCGAGUUGCGGGGAAAGCUAAAGGCCCCCCGAUAUAUCGGCCCUUUCGAAGUGUGGAACGUGUGGGGCGGUAGCAUACACAAAACAAAUAAAGAUCUUCAGUUACCGGCCUGAAGCUCGCGAGAGUGACAUGAUGCUAUUCCACGUUCUAACCUUUGCAAAUCAUGUCCACUGACAUUCCGGAGCCCUGUGAUGUGCAUUACGGAUACCGGCCGGACUACAGGAAAUCUAAGUUAAUAGGAGUUCCCGCGAUGAUCAUUGCUCGGAGAAGUGGCGGAAAUGAGAAGUCGUGAGAUUCCCUAUGUGAAGGUUCGUCGUGACCAAUCACCGUUACGAUCGUGAGACCACGUGGGAAACUCGGAGGAAAAGAGUGAAAGGCCACUAUAACUCAUACCUCUUGUUACCGAAAUGACAAUAAGGUAUGAGUUGAUUAAGCUUAGUGUGGGGAAAAUGUUUCGUUUCGAGCACAGAACUAUCAUUUUGUAGGAGGGGAGAUGUGAGGCAAAGUGACACUUCUCGCCAAUAACAGGAUUAACUCAUGCAAACCGACAAGGUCGUGUUGUGAGCUUUUUGGAGAAGCCAAAGAUAUUAAAAAUCCCAAAUGCAUUGGAAACGAGUCCACUGAAGCAAAUUGUGUGCAAAAUCUGCACGGACAACAAAACUGCUCUCGGGACCGUUCCUGGCAGGGAGGGAUUCGGUCCUAUCGUCGGAUGUUGCGGCGGUUGCGUGAGGCCAACCGGUCCCUGCAGGAGGACCGGUCCCGAACGUGAUCCGACGCGACGAAAGCCGCAAUUUGCUCUACGUCUGAAAAUAUUUGCUCUCGGGGACCUGGUCUCCACGGCAAGGACUGCGGUCUCCCAGGACCGGUCUCUCUGGGAGAGACCCCCGGUAGCCAGCGACAGCGGACUCCGAGCUGAAGAAACUCUCGGGGACCGGUUCCAAGUCGGGAGACCGGUCCCCCCUGCGCCAGCCAGCCCAGUGAGGCAGUGUCACGGAAUAAAAGGUUGAGUGGGCUUUUAGUGCAAAAUGGCCUUAGUUAGAGGGGUUAUCACAUGGAGAGUCACUCUCCUCCCGUCUCUCAGUUCAACUCUCCUCUCUCUCCCUCUCACACUCUCUGUUGCUCUCUCUCGCUCUAGAAAGAAAAAAGAAGAAGAAGAAGCAAGAAGAAAAGGAAGGAAAAGAAGGAAGAAAAGGAAGGAGAAAAGAAGGAGAUCAACAAAGGGAAGCCUUUUGGACCCUCUCCUUCAUCCUCUGCUUCCUACUUUGAAGCUACAACAAGAGGUAGGUCUUCUACCCUAGCUAUGAAAUUUGGGUUUUUGGUGUUAGCUCUUUGGGAUGGGAUCGUAAUGGAUCUCUAGUACCAUGAAAUUUAGGGAUUCAGAGCGCUAAACUCUACGGUUUGAGCCUGGGUUAGUUGAUGCUCACCCUAGGGCACAAAAUAGGAUUUUUGGUAAAGUAUGAGAUUGAUCUCAUUGAGGCCUUGUAAACCAUUGCUAGUAUACGAAGCGCGGCAGGGGGCGAAGUCGGAAUUUCGAAUUCGCCGAGUGGUCAAGAGCUAUCUGGCAAAAUAAGCCGAUUGGUGAAUCAUUUGCACCAAGAAAAUCGAGCGGCUUUCGUCGUCAAAGAAAGCGCCGAUAGAGCAUUUUUUAGGCCUGCGCGUAUAAUCAUGAAGGUAGGGUGUCAUUCCCGAAACAUCCGGAUUUCUGUUUUAGUCUAAGUUAAUUAUAUUGAUCAAUAUUGUCCUAUAGGAAUAGUAAUUUACAUUUCCCUUUCCUUGCAGCCUUUCUCGGUAGGAGCGGUGAAUGCUAUGACACGGGACUAGGAUAGCAUGAGGAUUGGGUUUUGUUACAUAGAAUCUAUAGCGGCAUAAACGAGCCGAACUUGGACAAUAUAUGCCUAGUAUAGUGAUUGAACUAGUGUAUUAGAAACACUAAAUUGAAACGAGUGGCAUGUCAACUAUAGAAAACUUACUACAAUUCCGAAUCGAGUGGCCAUCGAAGUCUAGUGUGUACCACCUUGAGCGUGAACUUUAGGAUAGUGAGAUCCCGGCAUCUAGAUGCAUUGUAUUAUUUGUGCGGCCAGCAGGCCGCACAUUGACCUAAGAGACAGUACCUCUUUUGAGGAUUGGAUCAUACUCACUAUCUGUUUUUUGCUUGUCGGUGGUAACGCUCACCGAGCACCAGUCUGCCGCCGAGUACUUCACUAGGGCCAGACGUAGUUGUCUCCGCAGAUGGGUGCUCGGUGUGCGAGUGCAGUUUCUCCCACCUAUGAGAUUGAGAGUCAGAGUCGAGGGUUUAACCUACGUUAACCAAGUAGAUUUGGGUAAGUUAACAUAGAAAAGUGCAUAGUAGACUUGCCAUUAUUACGCUUGAGUAGAGACAUAGUGUAUGUGUAUUUUACUUACUAUGGGCACCUUUAUAACUCAGUGACAUGACCUUAGCAUGAUUAGUACAUGUUUGCUCAUUAUUAUCUAUUGAUGGCAUGAUAGAUGUAUUGCACCUUGCAUUUCUCUAUCUAUCUAUAUAUGUCUCUAUCUGUGCCAGCUUAGACCUAGGAAAAACCGCCGGCGUCGGCGGCCGAAACACUCCACUGGGAACUAAUAUUUAUAUAGUUCUCACCCCGUGUGUUUGGGUACAGGUACGCACAGAGGCCAGUCAAGCGGAGGAACCGCGGCCAGGCAAUAGCGCCCUAAGUUAGUUUUAGCCUAGUAGCUUUUCCUUUUAUUGCAUGAGUACCCUCGUGUAUCUAUGAUGAUGUUUUGAUAGUAUGUAAAAGCUACUUGAUGUGAGGAAAAUCUGGUAUUUACAUUAUUUGGGGAAGAUAAAUGAAAAUUAAUUCCGAAUGAUCGCUAAAUUGUCUACGGUGUUUAAAAUUUAGAUCUAUCUCUCUAACCACACCUUGUACUACCUUGUGUUCUUGUCUCUUUAGAUGUAGUGCACUUGUGGCAUCGUGUUGAUGAUUUUUAUGUUAUUUCAGCCUAUUCGCCUAGGCGCACCGUUUAACUUGUACAUGGAUCUGGGUGUUUUAGUCCUUGGACGGGCAGAGAGGCUGGUCGUGUCGGUAAGCGGUCGCGUGCCGGUGCGCGCCCGGGGGACUGUGGGCCAAAUUGUAGUGAUUUCGGGGCGGGGCGUCCAGAUGGAUUAAAUCCGGGCAUAAGCGUGAUGAAUAAGAAUGGUUGAGCCACCUGCGAAACAUUCUGCGUAACAUGUUUUGGGGGUCUCGUGCGCAUUGUGGAUGAAUCUUACCCCAAACAGAGCGUGAUAAACAGCUAAAACGGGACAAAGCGGAGAAAUGCUGAAUAAUUGCCGCUGUUAACCGAUGACGGAGACACCAUGUACCGGUACAUAUUGUAAAACACCGAAACAGCAACUCUCGGUUUGCCUUCUAUGGGAGAUCGUGUUUUACCUCGGUGAAAACAAAAGUGUACCGUACAUUUGGCGUCGGCAGCAAAAAUUAGUCUGCUGGCAGAUUAGUGGUUUUUGGGGGGCUUGGUUGCUAUUGUUGCAACCACCUAUAAAAACACGUCCAACCUCCCCCUUUUUGUCUCAGCAGUAACAAACGAAACGCCUUCCUCUCUCGUCCAUUUCUUCUCCCUCUCUUUCUCUAGACAGCUCUCUACAAGCUCAAGAGAGAUGGAGGAGGAGUUAGAAGGUGGAUUUUGAGAUUAGAUGAUCAAGAAGUCUCUCCUACAAAGUGACCUUGGUAGUGCUUUGGGUUAAGGUGAGUUUAUGCAAAACACUUUUAGGUUGGAUUUAACCCACUAAUCAAGUUAACACACUGGAGACUUCGUAAAUUGCGAGGUUCGAGGUGUUUGAUCUGUGUUCUCAAGUUUUUACCUAGUAUUCUGGGUUCGUGACAGUGGCUCCGACCUAUGGCUCGAUAAUACCCGAGAAUUGAUCGUAUUUAAACAUACGGCUAAGGUCACCAAGUGGAGGACCUUAGCUGCUCUCGGGUUGCUUUUGGCAGGAAUUCGGUACCGGUAUAGUUGAUGGAUUACCGGUACACAUGUGGUAAUGGCCAACGGAGCCUGCGGGUUGCGCAUUCGGGGAGUGUUACCGUACACUUUGCGAAGACUGCAAUUGACAGUUUUAAAGGGUGUUUGUUCUACUUGUUGCUCACACCCCGGACACGAUCCCUUUGGCCGAGUCCUGGGACACUCGAACAACGCGAACGGACAGAGCCUCCCCCAUGUCGGGCCACUAACACAUAUUACAAUUCAACAAAAGAAUGCUCACAAGCGGAAACAUACACAAUCGGCUUUAUACUGAGGUAACAAUAGCCGAAGUGAAAGGGAAUACUAAACUAUACAACUUUACAAGCUUAGAAAGAUUAAUCUUUUAACCAUUUACAGCAUUCAAUACCUAUCACAUCUACAUUCAUUUUACAUAUCCAGGUUGCUUUUAUCAUUUCUUUCUUCUUUACAUCACCACACUUUUCAUCAAAAAUGGAAAGCUUUACAUUUCAUUUCUUUACAUUCUAACAUCAAAUUACAAAAAGAUGGAUAUGGGUAAUCAUCUACAAAUAUGGAACCCAACUUGGCGGUCACUGUCAUACGGCGCAGAUACCCUUUAAUCGCGGUGGUCGCCGGCCGCUCGUGUCCCGCUGUGUGUGCGAAAUUUAGUGAGGUGAGAACUACAACGAGAUUCACCAGUGGGUUCGGCGCGCAAUCUCCAGUCCGACUUUGUGCACUAGGUCUAACUGAGGCAUAAUAGAAAAAUACAGCAGAUAGAAGUAACUAGCUAUAAAAUGCAGUAAUAUGACUGACAAAAUAAUUCAAUGAUUUGCUCAAUUGUGAAGUUUUGAGGAGCGCCCUAAGGAUCAAGUCUGAGAUUGAAUCCAACACCUAGAGCAGUGUGAAUAGGUGUAAUACCACAAACCACAAAUCUCAAUGCGAUAAAAUCAAAUGCGAACAUCUAAGAAAUCACACCGAAAUUUACGUGGGAAAACUCCAACUUGGAGAAAACCCAUGCGGACAGACACGCGAAAAAUUAAUUCACUAAGAAGAAAGAUCACAAUGGUAUUACCGGAUCCACGGACCAACCUUUUAACUCGCUAUGAAUCUCGCGAUCCUCCGCGUUGUCACGCCCUCACUUCGAUAUCCACGAACGCCUCGCAAUGUCCGAAUCCAACGAAACGCCAUCUCGAAUCCACCAGAGCCCACGAUUCCGAAUCACACGAACGCGUCAAUCACCGCCGAUCACGACGCCAGUCAUGAAAGUACAUCAUUAGUAUGCGUGAUCCCUCGCUUAGAGGUAUCGAUGAAAACAGGGAAGGAAACUCUAAGGCGAAGCGGAGAUCAAAUCGACACUAUAGAUAUGAGAUUUCAAUAUCUGAUUUGCCGUAAAGAGGCUAGUAUUAGAAAAUAGGUUUUAGAUGAAAUCCAAGCCUCUAGGGUUUCUCAAACAUGUAUUCUCGUGAUGCUUAAUGUGUUAGAGAACCCCAAUAGCUUAUUUAUAGACUUUAGAAUCAAUUGGAGUCGGAUUAGAAAGUUUUCACGAUUUUACAUUGUGUACCGGUACACUUUAAGCUGUCACCGGUUACACGAUGACGGAACGAAAAACCUGACGAAACAGUGAAACCGGUUACAUCCUCGAUGGCCGUAUCGGUACACAUUUUGUAUCGGUACACUUCUGAUGCUGUACCGGUACACUUUGUAAAUUUUCGCCGUUUCGGGUUUUGCAAAGUUCCGAUGCACUUUCUAAUCCGUUAGACAUUGAUAUUAUGAUUCUAAUGUUUACAACUAAGUAUGAGUCACCAUAACAUGAAUUUAUACUUUACCUGGACAUCAUGAUUCAUAUCGUGAGUUAUUUUCCAACUUCUUCGAAAUCUUGAAUUCUUCGAUCUUCGACGAUAUGCACCAAUUCUUCAAGACUCCGACUCACUUCACGAAACUUGCCAACACAUAAGACUUAACAAUCUCCCCCUUUGGCAAUUUCGUGACAAAACUCACACAAACUCAAAAAUUACAAUUAAAAAGAAAAAAACGAAGUUCAAUUGUCAUCACCAAAACAAUGAACCCCUCGCAUGUGAUCCAAAUACAAUAUGAAAUGCAAAAGUACAUCAAAAACUCCUAAAACAGACUCUAUGACUUAGACACAACUAGGAGUCUUGAAGUGUUGAUUUCCAGCAAAACAAUUUAUCCAAAACUUUCUAUAGAGAAUUGUUUUGUUGAAACCUGGAUAUUCUUGCAAUUUACGCUUCUUCUCCCCCUUUGUUCUUCAUUCCUUCUUCUCCUUGAAACAUCACUCCUUAUCUCCCUUUGCUUUAGAUUAAUACUGUAACACACUGGACCUUUGCGAAUUGCGAGGUUCGAGUGUUUGGAUGUGUUUCGAGCUUUUCCGCACUUGGUGGAGGGCUGUAAAAUGUUUCCCGACCCGAAAAGUUCGAAAUCUGGAACUUCGGACUAGUCCUGAGAGUUUUUACUCUCGGGGACCGGUCCCUGGAGGGAGAGACCGGUCCCCCCAGUGAGCAGUGUUGAGGCAGCCUGAGGCAACCGGUCCCUGGCAGGCGAGACCGGUUCCCGAACGCGUCUUCGCAGUGAGAGACCGGUCCCGCGCAGGGAGAGACCGGUUCCCGAACGCUUGUUUUUCGGGUUCGCAGCGAGAGACCGGUCCCUGCUGGGGAGAGACCGGUCCCUCUGGGCGAAAACUGCCCAGUUCGGGCUGAUGCAAUAUUGGAUUUUUGAGGGGCCUCACUGGAUUUUGUUACAUUAGAUGGGCUUAUUAGCCAUUUCCCCCUCUUCCCUCUCUCAUUCUCUCAUUCUCACCCUCUCCCUACAUUUUCUAGAGAGAGAAGAAGAAGAAGAAGGAGGAGAAGAAGAAGAGGAGCUAGCUUGAGGGAGCUUGGAGCUCAACCCCUUUCUCUCUUUCCCACCUUUGCAAGGCUUGGAGCUUGCUUGUAGAGCUUAGUGGUGGACCAAACUUCAACCCUAGGGCAUUUUGGGCUUGGAUUGAAGCUUCCAAAGGGUUAGUAUCAUGUUUCCCUCCUCUAGAUUCUUGUUUUUGUGAUUUUUGGGAGAUGAAACCCUAGAAAUGAGAUUUAGGGCUUAUUUUGGGCAUUUUUGAUCUAGGGCUUUUGGACCCAAAUUGAUUGGUUUAGAACCUUCCUAGGGCUUGGAUUGGAAGGGUUCUAGCUCUCUUUUGGAGCUUUGGGAGAGAUUUCUACUCUUGAGGUAAAUUUUGGCCCUUUUUGCUCCUAGGUUAAUGUUUGAUCUUACGGUUGGUCGUGAUGCUCCCGUAUCUCUUCACUGACCACUUUUAGGGUAUCUUGAGGCUCGUGGACAACUUCGUUCGGCGAAUCGAGACCCUACGCGACGGUUCGGUGGGUUUGACCUAGCCACACAAUGAGAAAUUCUCAUUUGUGCUUAAUUAAGUGUUGUUAAAUGAAAAAGCAUGCAUAUUCUUGUUAUAUGUAUUUAUUGUGAAUUUUAGAAUGCUUAAAAGGCCUAUGUUAUAUAUGAUGAAAUUUUGGACCUCUAUGUAGUAGAGAGUAGCUUAUUGGGCCAUAGUUGCAUUUAGCAUUCUACAUGAGACGUGGUAUCAUGCUUCUAUAGUAUAAAUGAGUUCGGAUUCAUGCAUUUAAACCUAAGUUACUUGUGACAUGAAAAUUGACAAGAUUGUCAUUUAGAAGCUAUGUGAAUUAGAGAGCUAAUGUCAUCAAGCGGCAUUGAGCUCGGGACAUGUGUGAACCUAGUGGAUAGGGCCAUCGAGGGACUUGGGAUACAUGUUGGACACCAAAUUGCCUAAGUGUCAUUAAGGGGCACUAGGCGUAGCAAAUGUUGAAACUUCACAUUGUGACUUGAACUAGAUCUUCGGGAUGCUAGUGACUAUACCAUGUUAGAGACAUGAGGAUUGGAUACUUGAGACUUGGACUUUGCUUGCUUGCCAUUUGUGCUCAUUCGCACAUGCUUGUGAGGGUCGCUCCCUACAAGCCGGCACUCCGGAGUUAGCCUAUGCGACUUAUGUUCGCUCGUGCGGUAUUGAGAAGCCUACGGGGUCGAGUGGGACAGACACAUUCCAAGAGUAGGGAUGUUGGGCUACCACAGGCACUUAGGCGGCACAAGCUGGACUACCUUUGGUAGGUCCUUAAUUGGAAAUGGAAAUCGACACGGUGUUGAGAAUGGUUAAUCACUACUAGAUAGGUUUAGUAGUUGAAUUACAUUUAUAUGCUUUUAGCAUAGUGUUGAGACAUGUAGUAUACUUGAUAGUCUCCUUUUGCAUUAAAGCAUACUUGGUUGCCAUGACAGAACUUAUGCAUAAUGUAUUCAUAAAGGUUAAUGACUUACUAUUUUGAUAUCGUAGAUGUACAUCACCAUGACAUCGUUUAUACUUGAGUUUAGUAAUUUAGCAUUUUAAUUAUGCCUUUAUAUCGCAGUCAUUAUUGCUAUUAUUAUUGUACUUACCCUUUUCUUUUGGGGCCUAGUGGUGCAUAGAGCUGAGGUCAGUAAUUGCCCACUGGGAACUAUAAAUUAUAGUUCUCACGCCCUCUUUUUCUCGAUGUUUUUCAGAGCCUUCCGCUCAGGGUGAGGCCAGGGAGCGCGGAAAGGGUAUCGCCUCGGGCUAGCGCGCUUACCGAGGGAUCGUUCGAUAGGUGGUCUACCUCUCGUGUUUUUCUUUUUGUGAGAGGUUGAGAGUUGUACCCGUAUAUGUAUAGAGACCACCAUUUUUGUACUAGAGACAGUUAUGGUACUACUUAUGGUUAUCUUUGUUUGACUAGCUUUAUUUCUUUACUUUGGUGUAGAUGAUAAAACUUUACUUGCUCUGAUAUCACUAGUUGCUAGUUAUUUCACUUCUCUUAUUUGUUCCAUCUCUUGCUUUUACUUCCUAUUUUCUUGUAGACGCCUUAUAUGUGAAGACAUAUGGCGGGUCUGGGCACGCUACCGGGAGGGCCUCCGCCGGUCCCGGGGCGUGACAAAUACCUACCUGUUCAUCAUCAUUGCUCUCCCCCUUUUUGUCAAAAAUUGCCAAAGACAAAGCAUAUAAAAAGAGAAAACAUACUAGAAAGUAUAAUAGUAGGCAAUUCAUAGUUACAGGCCUAAAACAUGCAAAAGAAAGAUAAGCAAGCAAAGCUGAACUAAACAUUGUCCUAAAAAGUAAACAUAGUGAAGUAACAAGACGAAGCUCGAGGAAGACAUCACUCCGUGUCCUCGUCAUCAUCAUCAUCAUCAUCAUCUCCUGCGCCAGCUCCAGAUCCCCCAGCCUCAGGAGCAUCACCAGACGGUGGAAUGAGAGGAUGUCGUGAAGUCGAUCUUGUAUACGUGGAGUAAGUAGGCUGAGUAGGAAAAAUAUCAUCAUGCCUACAGCCCAUUUUCUCCAUCAUUCUCUUCAUUCCCAUCUCCACCUUCCUCGCAAGAUCAGCCAAUUUCUUCUUCAUAGAGCGCACCUCAUGAUGAAGUGAUUCUACAGUAAUCACUCCCCCUGAACUAGAAGAUCCCUCACGUGCUGCUCGAGGUGGAGGAGCUGAACUAGUAGCUCCUCUGGAUGAUCCUUUGGUUUGCUGAAAAGUCUUCAAUGUGCUCCUUGACUUUGCCCAAGUUACAGCAUCAAUAGGUCCAAGUCCAAAGUCAUACUUCUCACAUGACAUGUCAACUCCAUGUUCUUGAAGAAUCCUCGUGAUCAACAACGGAAACGGAAGAAGAUCACGGCGAACCUGAGACUGUAUGACAUGAACCAUUCGUUGCCACAUAAGAAAAGGAAUAUUGAUGUUUAACCCGUCUGCUUCCUCAGGAUGUCCCAGAAGAUACAGAAGCACCAGACGAUCCCAACGAAUUCUUUUCGUUCCAAUUGUCGGUUGGACAUUAUAGCUCAUCACCAAAGAAAGUAGAUGAUACUCAGGUAGUAAAUCCUUAGACUCCACAUAAGAAUGAUUGGUCCUUACACCCUCCUUGCAUAUAGCGCGAAUAACAGUCUCCCAGUGGGUUGAAGACUGAUAAAGCCCUGUCGUAUAAUGAAGGCCUGUAGUAUCCACAUGCAUACCUAAGAGCUCUCCAAUAGUAUAAGGAGUGACUUGAAUCUUCUGCUUACGCACAUAUAUCUCAAAUACAUAAGUCCCAGUCUCCUCAUCCUCUCCAAGUACCAUCCCGUUCAUAUAGAACUCCCGAAUGAGUUCCACACAGAAUGGGGCACGAGCUGGAACCCGUCCAACAGGCUCAAUAGGGACCCUCUGCAGCAAUCGACCAAAAUCAGGUACCUCCUUGACCAGCUCAGUAAAGUUGACAUAGCGCUCAGCUAGAACUGAUCGGCUCGAAUAAAUCCGCUGUCGUUCUGAAGAAGCCUCUACAGCACGUUUGGAGCGCCUUUCACGUGCACGAGAAUCACCUCCUCGCGAGGAUUCUCCUGCUAGGCCUUUACCUUUAGCAGCUCGAGUAACAGCUUCUUCAGUAGCUUCAGGCGAGCUUGCUUGAUAAUCAGGAUCUUAUCCAGAUGACUCGUCGGCAGUACGAGUUCUCUUUGAUUGACCACGUCGUCCUCGACCACCACCACGGCCACGACCGGCGGCCAUAAGCACCAAAAGUAGGAUCACGAGCGAAAACGCCAUUUUCCUACAUGAAAAUGAGCCAUUCAUGAAGAAAAUUUUGAAAAAAUCUGUAAAAAUAGCGAAAAAAUAUCUAAUAAUCUUAGAAUGCAUACUGAUGCUAUUUUCAACUCAUUCAUGCAAAAAAUUUCAUCAAAAAAUGAUAUUCCAACAAAAAUUCCGAAAAUCCAUGUAUUAUGAUAUAAGGAUCAUAGAUCAGCGAAAAAUAACGCAUUAUAACAUGAUUGAAAUGAUCUAGAAGCAAGAUAAUGUCCAUAAACACUGAUCUACAGUUAAAAAAUUGCAUCAAAAACGAUCAAAAACAGAGAUCUAGCUUCAACUCGGAAUAUUGUUGAAAAAUAAGCAAGAACGCGAUGAAACAAUUUAAAUCCAAGCUAAAUACUCACAAAUCUUUGGGAAAACCAAGUAGAUCUAGAAGAGGGAGUCCCCUGGCGAUUUUAGAGAGAGAGAGACCGAAAUUUGGUUUUGAUUUUAAUGAGAAUAAAAGCCCUGUAACCGGUUAUAUUUCCGCGGCUACAGUGAUUUGUACCGGUACACGGGAUUUUGUACCGGUACACAUUCCCAGAUUUCGAAAAUAUGAAUUUAAAAACCCUUUAAACUUAAAUUAAUUUCAUACAAAUUAAGGACUUUACUCAAAAAAUUAUUAUAAUGAAGAUAGAACAUUAUAAGAUUUCAAAAUCCAUCGAAACAUCACAAUUUUGUUAUCAAAGAUAGUCUAAUGAUUCAAAACUAUCAAGAUGUAAGUUGAUGAAAAAUGAUUUUUAGAAAUUCAAUAAAAUUGACACCAAUUAGUCGCAACACGUUCAAAAUAGAGAUUUAACUACUAUGGCACCGGGAGUGGCUCUUUGAGCAUCUUUUUAACGUACCACCUUAUAACUCCGAAAAUUCUAAUAUAUUUAAUUUUUUCAACCUUUCCGGCUUUUCAAUUAAUCUCCAUGUGGUAGCUUCAUACACUUGCCGGACGACCGGGGUGGUAGCUCUUUUCUACAUGUGGUGGUAGUUUUCACACUUCUUUUAGGAUAUAACUCUUUCCACAUCUUUUAAACAUAGGAGUUUUUUUUUUCUUUUUUUUAUUUUUAAACAAUUUCAAACUCCCCCUAAAUUAGACAAUCUCACAAUUGAAGAUAAUUUUGACGAAUUUUAGUCAAUUUGAGAAUAUCCAUCCAUCAUAUUCAACACACACAACCAAGAUGAACUAAUCAUCAAGAGAUCAAAUUUGAUUUCAAAAUUUUGAUGAAUAUAUGUAAUAAGAAAUCAUAUAUUAAAUUAUCGUCAAAAUAGUAAAGAGUGGAGUAAAACCGAUAAUUAAUAUGAAUUUAAUUCAAGAUGAAUUCCGGUUAAAGAAAAAUUCUAAUCUCCCCAAAAUAAAGAUUUUCAAUCAUCUCCUCUCUCAAAGAAAAAUUUUGAAAUUCCCAAAUACCUUUCCACAAAAUGAUUUUUUUUUUUUAAACCAAUAAAAAUUCAAGCACCAAAAAUCGUCUAAACAUGUAAUGCAAUGAAUAAAAAUAUGCAAUAAGCACCUAUCAAAGCACUACACAAGAAAUAAAAAACAACUAAGACGGGAAGCAAGGAAAGAUAUCACCUUUCCGGAUCCAAACUUGUCGGAUCUUUGGUUUUCUCGGCUUGUCGACGUUUGGUGCCGUUUGUUUAGAUUUUUGAUCAACCGUUGGUCGUUUCGUCGCUUGAGACUUCGGUUGAACUUGUCGUUGAAGCUUAGACACCCGAUUUGCAUGAACUUGGCGUUGACGUUGUGCGCUACAAAUCCGAUUUGCUUCAGAGUUCGGUCGGACUUGAUGUUGUGCAAUAGAAAUCCGGGUCCCUCGAUGUGUCGACAUUGCCAAUUGAUUCAUCUUUUCUUUGUUUAGGCAAUUCCCUUUGAUGUGUCCAUUGAUGCCACAUUUAUGACACACCUUGUCAUUUAAAGUUGUUGAGACUCUAGAUGUUGAUUUUGAAUCCUUCUCAACGUAUGUUCUUUCAUAUCCGAGUCCCAACUUAUUCGUUUGACCCAACCCGAGCAUAUGAUCCAAUUUCUUAGAUCCCAAAGAAAAUUGUUGAAUGUCGGAUUGAAGUUGAUGAACUUGAUUAGUCAAAGCUUGAUUGGAUACACAUGUUUCCUUGAAUUGUUGCUCCAAAAAUCCAAUCUUAUCUUUAGAAGAUUUGAUGGUUGAUUUCGCUUCAUCUAGCUUUUCUUGGAGGUCCGAAUUAUUUUUCAAGUUUGAAUCCCUUUCCUCCUCAAGAGUCUUAUUCAAAGUCUUUAAGUUGUUGUUUUCCUCCUCAAGAUCCAACAAACGACGCCUCAACUUCUUAUUAAGUUUGGCCAUCUUUUUCGACUCAAAAAGAAGUUGAUUGUACGCUUCCGCUAUGUCGUCGUCGUUUGAUUCCUCCUCACUUUCACCAUUGUCGCUCGAAGAGUCAUGCGAAGAAAGAGAAAUAUCGGAAUUCGUAGCAAUAGAGAACAAACAAAUAACAUUGGACGAAGACAAAGAAUUAUUAGCAAUUAAAGUAAUAUGAUCAUUCUUUUCUUCGUCACUUGAACUUGUUUCACUUGAAGUUGUAUCAUCCCACGUCUUUGCUUGCAUAGCCUUUUGUCUAUAGGUCUUCUUUGAAGGACAAUCCGUCGCAAUGUGGUCGUAACCUUUACAUUUGUAGCAUUGGAUUUCUCCUUCAAAUUCAUUUUUUUCUUUUGAAUGCUUUGCAAGUUUCCUAUCCUUAGAUUUAGAAGAUGUAGAUGAUUUAGAAAAAGAUUGUCGCUUAGACGAUGAAGCCUUGUCCAAUUUAUUCUUGUUCCGGAAAUUCCGACGAAACUUCUUUGUGAGGAGCGCUAAUUGAUGUUCGAAAUCGGCAAGCGAAACAUCUCCGUCGGAAUCCGAGUCGUCUUCUUCUUUCUUUGUUGAUUUGAGUGCAACCCCUGUGCUUUUAGAAAAAGACUUGGAAGAGGAUUGAUUAGUAGGAAAAGUCAUCUCAUACGUUUGUAAAGCGCCUACUAAUUCUUCGACUUUCAUCUCGUCCGGAUGCUUAACGGUUUCGAUCGCGGCAACCUUUACCCGAAAGCAUUCCGGAAGAGUUCGAAGAAUCUUUCUAACAACUUUAGCAUCCGGGAUUUUCUCUCCCAAGUUAGCGCAUGUAUUGACUACGUCUUGUAGACGUGUGUAGUACUCGGUAAAGGUCUCGUUUUCAUCCAUAGAAAUAGAAUCAAACUUGCUCGUUAGCAUUUGCAAUUUUUGGACCUUUACUAAGCUCGUUCCUUCAUGCGUAACUUGUAGAGUAUCCCAAAUUUCCUUUGCCGUUUCGCAAGCCGAAACACGAGUAAACUCCGUUUGAGACAAUGCAUUAAAUAAAGCGUUUAUGCCCUUGCCGUUAAACGAAGAUGUCUCGUUUUCUUCUUUCGUCCAUUUGUUCCGUGGUUUUGGCUUUUCAACAUUAUCGACCUUUUCUAUCGGAUGUUUCCACCCAAAUUCAAUUGAUUGCCAAACCCGCUCAUCGAUAGCAAUUAGAAAAGCUCUCAUGCGAACUUUCCAAUAGGCAUAAUUCGUGCCGUCGAAGAGCGGAGGUCGAUUAAUGUUACCACCUUCGGCCAUUAGAUAACAAUUUAUCUAGAUCCCGCUCUGAUACCAAUUGAAAGUUUUGAGGAGCCCAAGGAUCUAUCUAGAUUGUAUCCAACACCUAGAGGGGGGUGAAUUGGUGUAAUAGCCACAAACCACAAAUCUCAAUGCGAUAAAAAUAAAUACGGAAAAUAAAAAUCACACCGAGAUUUACAUGGGAAAACUCCAACUUGGAGAAAAACCCACGGGACCAACACGCGAAAAAAUAAUUCACUAAGAGAAAAGAUUACAAGGUGAUUACCGACUCCACGGACUCAACCUCUCUUAACCUCCUAUGAAUCUCGCGCAAUCCUCCGGGUUGUCCACGCCCUCACGUUCGAAUCCACGAACGCCUCGCACACGUCCGAAUCCACGAACGCCACUCGAAUCCACGAGCCCACGAUCCGAAUCCACGAACCGCCGUCAAUCACGCCGAAUCCACGACGCCAUCAUGAAACACAUCAUGUGUAUGGUGAUCCCUCGCUUAGAGUAUCGAUGAAAACCAGGGAAGGAAACUCUAAGCGAAGCGGAGAUCAAAUCAACAUAUAGAUAUAAGAUUUCAAUAUCUCGAUUUGACCUAAAAGAGGCUAAUAUGUAGAAAAUAGGUUUUAGAUGAAAUCCAAGCCUCUAGGGUUUCUCAAAUAUGUAUUCUCGUGAUGCUUAAUGUGUUAGAGAACCCCAAUAGCUUAUUUAUAGACUUUAGAAUCAAUUGGAGUCGGAUUAGAAAGUUUUCACGAUUUUACAUUGUGUACCAGUACACUUUAAGCUGUCACCGGUUACACGAUGACGGAAUGAAAAACUUGACGAAACAGUGAAACCGGUUACAUCCUCGAUGGCCGUACCGGUACACAUUUUGUACCGGUACACUUCUGAUGUUGUACCGGUACACUUAGCAAAUUUCCGCCGUUUCGGGUUUUGCAAAGUUCCGAUGCACUUUCUAAUCCGUUAGACAUUGAUAUUAUGAUUCUAAUGUCUACAACUAAGUAUGAAUCACCAUAACAUGAAUUUAUACUUUACCUGGACAUCAUGAUUCAUAUCGUGAGUUAUUUUCCAACUUCUUCGAAAUCUUGAAUUCUUCGAUCUUCGACGAUACGCACCAAUUCUUCAAGACUCCGACUCACUUCACGAAACUUGCAAACACACAAGACUUAACAAAUUGAAUUACUCAUGAUGAAUGCAAGUUCUCGAUCUCGAAGUUCAAUCUCAUGGCUAACCCGUAGGUUUCGCCCUCAAGCAACUCACCAACUCGUAAUCCCAAUUGUCGAGCGAGACUACUACAACCCGACAGGGACCGUCCUCUGGGGAGACUACUACACCCAGUGAUGACUACUCCGGAGCUCAUCACCCGAGGGGGAGCUACCGCCCUCGAGCCAAGACGUAAGGCGAGUAUGAUCCAAUCCUUAACUAUAAGGAUAUAACUUCAAUCCAUUCCUUAACUAUAAGGAAACAAUGCAUUCAUGACCCUUAACUAUAAGGUUGUAUGUCACAAUGUCAUCUCUCACAUGUACUUGCAUUCUUUGUUUUCGAUCAUGCCAUUACACUAACUCUAGUGUUCUUUAUGCCACAUUUGAUGCUAACUCUAGCAUUUAUUGUUCUUUAUGCCACUCUUGUUCUUUAAAUGCCCCACAUUAACUCUAGUGUUCCAAUGCUCUAGCAUUCAAGUUCAUUGCUCAUGCCACACACACUAACUCUAGUGUUCAUCUUUGCAUUUACUAAUGCCACUCGAUCUACAUGUCAUAGUGUCACAUUGUUCUUUACCUCGACUAGGUUUUGUUAUCACCAAUCAUGCAUACAUAGGGUACAUAGGUUCUCAACCAUCUCAUAAUGCAUUUGUACUCACAACAUGCUACCAUUCACAUGAAUAUCAUCUCAAUCACCAAGGCGGAAACGAAGCCAAAAUGUUUGUACUCACAACAUGCAUUUGUACUCACAACAUGCAUUUGUACCAUAUCAUUUUUGGACGUCGCCUCGGCCCUCCAGGCGGAAACGAAGCCAAAACGUCCGUUUCUUCAAUAUCUUCGUGUAGGCUCGACGAAUCGCUGAACCGACUUCGCCAACACGUCAGAAAUACCUUAAAUUAGGUUUACAUAGGGUUAAUUUAGAUCAAACCCAAACAUUUUACAAAAAUCCCAUUGGAGCCCUAACAUUGUACCAAUGCAAGAAUCCAUCAUAUAACUUCAUGAUUCAAGCAUUAACCAUCAACUUAGCACCCUAGGAUGCCUCUAAAAUCAUUCUAGAGCUUAAAAAUCUAAACCCUAGAAAUCUACCAUUAGAGCUCAAAGCUUACCUCAACAAGCUUUCUCCAAUGAUCCAAGGAAGAAGAAGGAGAAGUAGAAGAACCUCCUUCAAGUUUCAAUCUCCACCAAAUCCUUCUCUUGAUUCCACCUUCAAGAGAGAGAGAGAGGGAUCCUUCUUUGGUUGCUAGUGUGAGGGAGAGGGAGAGAAUGUGUGCGCAUGCUACCAGGACCCGCACACAUAUGGGUGCUGCAACAAUUGCACAAAACCCCUUUCACUAAUAUUAACACAACUUCAGUUUAGCAGCUCAGGUACAGAUACUUUUCGCCGGCCCUUCUGAAUAUCCGUUUGUGCUCAAAUUUGACAGUCAGGCUCGGUUUUUACUAAAUAAACGGAAUAUAUCUUAACUGUAAGGAAGUGAAUUCUCGAAAUAUGAGAGUUGAACUUUAGUUAGAAUCGACUGAUUGUCGACUUGGUGUGCGUCGGAAAGCCGAAGGCAUCAAAAUGGCCAAAGGUGCAUUGGAAUGGAGUCCGCGAGAACAAAUGAUGUAGAAAACCUGCACUUGGCAGAUUUGCUCUCGGGGACCGGUCCCUGGCGGGAGGGACCGGUUCCCGAACAUGGCUCUGCGCGGGUUUGCUCUCGAGGACCGGUCCCCGGUAGGGAGAGACCGGUCCCAUCGGUUGGUGGUUGCGGCGAUGCGUGACGCAACCGGUCCCCGUGUCACACCCCGGGACCGAUACCAAUUUGGGGCGGCCCGAGCACGUCGAACAGACGCCGAACGGACAGAGUUUCCCUUGUCCACCCAAGGCUCAUCACAUGUACAAUUUCAAACAAGAAGUGCACUAGCGGAAACAUACACAAACGGCUUACACGAGGGUAAGCAACAGCCAUGAGUGAGAGAAAGGAACUAAACAUCUACACAAGUAUUAUGAUUCACUUUUGAUCACAUACAUGUAUCCAUUUCAUCCAACUUGCACAUUCAUAAAGUCUUUACAUACUUUUCAUCAUUUCUUUUUACAUCACAUUUGCUCAAAAUAAACAUUACAUUCUUUUCUUUCCUUCCUUUAUACAUUAACAUCUUAAAUCAUCAAAUACAAAGGAUGAUAAAAGGGAAUGCUACCACAAAAUGUAGAUAACCCGACUCGGGUGGCCUCUGACUAAGGUGCGAUACCUUUACCGCGAUCGCUCGCCGGCUCGCUCGGUCCCGGCUCUGUGGAAUAGUGGGGUGAGAACUACAACAAAGUUCCCAGUGGGUUCGGCCCCAACAUCACCGACUUUCCCACUAGGACUAACUCAGGCAUAAUAGAAAGGAUAAGCAGAAUAGCAACCGAACUAUAAUCAUGAUGCUAAUAUGCCUGAACAAUAAAGCAGGAAAUAUGCUCAACGUAAAUCAUGCAAGUUUGCAAGUUCUUUAUUCUUUUACUCUUUGUUCUUUGUUCUUUAAUCUCACGGCUAACCCGGGGGUUUCGCCAUAUUAACUUGCCCACAUUAAGUCCAUCGCGGGCCCUCAGCUUCCUCCCGCUAAGACCGUCCUCGGGUUUACUCCAACCCGUGAUGCAAAACUCCGGAGCGCAUCGCCCGAGGGGGAGUGACCGCCCUCGAGCACGGAUGUAACACACUGGACCUUUGCAAAUUGCGAGGUUCAAGUGUUUGAUCUGUGUUCCGAGCUUUGCCAGAUAUUUUGGAAGGUUGUUGAUAGUGUUUUGACCUAUGGUUCGCAUCCCGAGAAUUGAGGUUUAAAGCUUGUACCAAAAUCCAAAAAGAUGGAUUGUUGGUCCUGCUCUCGGGUCAGCCUCAGCCAGGCUGUGUACCGGUACAGCCUUGAUGGUUGUACCGGUACAGGAUUUGUACCGGUACACCUUGAUGGUUGUACCGGUACACUUCGGAUUUUCUGCCAACCCGAGGCUCGGGUUGGGCUGUUUCGUAGGAAGUGUACCGGUACACUUUUCCGUGUACCGGUACACAAUGCAGACUGGGCUGUUUUCGGGGAGGGGUGUAUUUGUAAUUAUUGCAACCUCUUUAAAUACCACCCCAGCCCCCUUAGCUGCUCUUUUGAGCCCUAGACCUGUGGAGAAAAGGUGAGAACUCUUCCCCUUUGGAUUCUUCUCCAUUUUUGGUGGAUUUUAGUUCGUUUUGAUCUCUCCUUUCUUCUCCUCCUUGCUUUUUGUUGGGUUUCCUCCAUUGUUGAAGACUUGGAGCUUGAAGAGGAGCUUGUUUGAGAAGAGAUCUCCAACCCUACUUGAUUUGGAGCUUGGUUUGGGGCAUCUUGUGAGGUUUGUAGCAUGUAUUUCUCUUUUCAUACAUGUUUUAGUGGAUUUGGAUCUUGUAACCCUAGAUUUUGAGAUUUAGGGUUAGAAAUAGGAACUUUUGAUUUGAGGCUUCUAGAACCAAAUUGAUUGGUUUAGAAUCAUGGUUUAGGUUGGCUUUGAAGGAUUCUUGCUCCCUUUUGGAGAUCAAGAGAGAUUUUCACCAUUUUCGGUGAGUUUUUAGCCCUUUCUUUGAGUUGCUUAAUGUUUGAACUCAUGAAUUGUCGUUUCGAUGUUGUAACUCCCCUAGCCUAUCUCUUAGGGUGCUAGGAGUGAUUAUCGAAGCUUCGUUAGCGUUUCGGACGCCCGCGCGGAGCUUUUGGUUGGUUUGGCUUCACGUGAAUAGGGAAAAAUUCCUCCUAAGGGGUUAAUAUGUGUUGUAUUAUCAUUUUGCAUGCAUUUUCAUACUAGAUAGGAUUUAUGUGAAUUUUGAAUACUUAAAUGCAUGUGUUGCGUAUCAUGAAAAUCCUUCUCUACAUAGUAGAGCAUUAUGUGUAGUGUACAUGUAUGUUUAAAGUAUUCUCUUUUUCGAGUUGGAAAACAUGUUGCAUGUGAGGAAGAUGGUUGAAAUAUGUAUUCAUGAACAUUAAACUCAUGUUUGAAUAUAGUGAACUAGAAUGCCAUAAAGGGGCACUUGACUUAGUAAAUUGUGAAAUUGCAACAUAGAGACAUAGUGAUAGGACAUCGAGACAUAUGCUAUAUUCCAUGUUUUAGACAUGACGACAUAGUGAUAGGUCAUUGAGAUAUUUGCAACAUUCCAUGUUUUAGACAUGAUGACUUGGUAUUUGAGACGGACUUUUACGCUUGCUUGCCAUUGUGCUCAUUCGCACAUGCUUGUGAGGGCCGCUCCCUACAAGCCAGCACUCCGGAGAUAGCCAUCGAGACAUAUGCUCGCUCGUGCGGGAUUGGGUGCCGAAAUGGGAUGUCGUGGGGGAGGCUCAUUCCUAGAGUGGGGAUGUUGACUACCACGGGGCCAUUAGGCACGGCGCAGGCCAGACAGCCUACGGGUGGGUCUUACAUGAUUGGAACUUAGUGACAGAACAUGCCAUUUGGACUUUGAGCAGAAUAGUAAACAAUGACAUUUACUAUUUAGCUUGUGGACAUUAUGUUAGUGAUGCUCGUUUAUCUAACAUAUGGAAACAUGGAGUUGCGAUGUCAACUUUGAUCUAGGGGAUCAAAGUAAGGAUUGAGCUAGUUGGACAUCAUCCUUGAGUGAUUUGUGAUGCGCGUGAAUGAAUUCUGGAGAUAAAUAAGUGUUUCGGCGCAAAUUGGGCGCGAAACAUAAAGUAAAGAGAAUUUGCGGAUUUCCGACGCUAACUUUGAUUAAAAGAAUUAAAGUGAGCAAAAUAAUAUCAAAUGGUGUGAGAUACCAUUUGAUUGGAUUUAAGGGCGUAAAAUAUAAGUCUGGAAUGACUCGUGUUGAAAUCGGAGCGAAAACAGAAGAUUUAGAAUUUUCUGUAAAGAACGGGACUGAGAAAAUUAGCAGAAAAUGCACAGUGUCAGAAAAUUAUGAAAAUUGGCAGAGAUGUCAGGAACACUGUUAUGAGGCUAGCUUUGAAGUUUCAUAUUAUUCUGACACCUGUAGAGAGAGAAAUGGCAUCUGAAAGUUAUCUGAUAAAGAUUACAGUUCGGGACAGUUCGCAGUGACCAAACGGGGUCGAAACUGAAAUGUUAAAAUUUCAGUGGACUUGUUAAGGAAAACCGAGUAUUCCUGCCAAAUUUGAGCUCAAUCGGACUGUCGGAAGGGCUUACGAAAGGUAUUUGAUCCGUGUCGCUACAUGGACUUAAGUCGAGGGGCAUUAUGGUAAUUAACCCAUGCUUUAGUGGAUUUCCACUAAGUUCCCUGCCAGGAUGCCUCCAUCCUUAUCCCCUCCUCUUCAGCUUGCAUACGUAGAGAGAGAGAAGGAGAAAAGAAGAGAAAAGAGAAGAAGAGAGAAGAGAAGAAGAAGAAGAAGAAGAAGAAAAAGAAAGGUGAGAAUUUCUUCUCUCUCUCUCUGCUGACUAUGCCCCUUCCCCUCCCUCUCCCUGCUGUCAGCCUCGGCAGCAGCAGCCUCAGCAGUAGUGAGCAGCAGCAGCAGCAGUUUUUGCUGCUGCUGCAAGCUAGAGCAGCAGCAGCAGCAGCUCUUGCUGCUGCUGCUAACCAGGGCAACAGCAGCAGCAGCAGCUUGUAGUAGCAGCAGCAGCAUGCGCAGCACAGCAGCAGCAGCAGCAGCAGCUUGUAGUAGCAGCAGCAGCUUGUAGUAGCAGCAGCAGCAGCAGCAGCAGCUUGUAGUAGCAGCAGUAGCAGCUUGUAGUAGCAGCAGCAGCAUGCGCAGCACAGCAGCAGCAACAGCUAAAGCAGCAGCUAGCAGCAGCAGCAGUAGCAGCAGCUAGCAGCAGCAGCAGUAGCAGCAGCUAGCAGCAGCAGCAGUAGCAGCCAGCAGCAACAAUAACAGCAGCAAUAGCAUCAGCAGCAGCAGCUGCAACAGUCAGCAGCAGCUGCAGCAGCCAGCAGCUCAGCCAGCUGCUGGAGCAGCAGUGGACAGCAGCAGCAGCUGCUGGAGUAGCAGCAGGCAGCAGCAGCAGCUUCAGCAGCAGCAGCUGCUGUCAGCAGCAGCCAGUCAGCAGCAGUAACAGCUACCCUGCAGGAAAGAAAAGAAAAGAAAAGGAAAGAAAAGAAAAGAAAGAAAGAAAAGCAAGAAAGAAAGAAAGAAAGUAAGAAAGCUGCAGGGAAAGAAAAGAAAGAAAGAAAGAAAGAAAAGAAAGAAAGAAAGUAAGAAAAGAAAGAAAGCAAGAAAGAUGAAAGAAAGAAAAUGAGAUAGAGAGAAAAGAUGGAAUCGAAGUAUUUGGGCAGAUUUUACUAAUUGUUUUGAGGUUCUUGGGCUAGUAAAAAGUUGAAAUACUUAACGUAAUUGUGAAAUUGCAUUGAAACGAGUUUCUAUAGAAACUGACCUCAAUAAUGCACUUUUGCAGGAUAGAAGUCCUCAAAAGAAAUUGACCGCGUACAAACCUAAUUGAGGGUAAAAGAAACGCGUUGGCGAAGUCGGUUCGGCAAUCCGUCGAGCCUACGCGAAGAUAUCGCCAAAAGAACAUUUUCGGCGACAAGUGUCGGGAGCGCGGGUCGCGAUUCGUGGAGAAGUGCGAGAAGUGGAUUUCUCUCAUUCCAGUACCAAGUAAAGGUGGGUUGUGCUUUACCGAAGUGAUUAGGUCACUUCCAUGCCAAAGUAAAGUAUGGUUUCAUUGAUGCAUAUAUGAAUAUGAUUGUCGAUAUAUGACAUUAAUGCUAGAUGCUUAUGAAUGAAUCGGCCUAUAUGAUUGUUGAUAUAUAAUGGUAAUGUGAGAUGAUUUAUGGUAGUUAUCAUAUGAAUAUGAAUGCUACAUGGAUAUGAAAGUGAAUGCUAGAGACAUAAGAAUAAAGAUAUAUGAAGGUGCAUAUAAAUACAUUGUAGAUCGUGCUAAAGACGUAUAAUUGUCGAUAUAUGAACGUGAAAGCUAAAUGCAUAGUCAUGCUAAUAGAACAUGCAUCUGAAUAUAUUGAGAAUCAUGCUAAAUGACAUAUGAAUGCAUAAUGGUUAAUGCUAGAUAAUGUAGAAUGGUAAUCAAAUGAUGAACAUGCUAGAGGCAUAUGACUAUUUGUAGAUUAUGUACAAUUGUCGAUAUAUGAACGCGAGAACUAAAGGCAUAGUCAUGCUAAACGCAUAUGAACCAACAUAUAAGAUAUGAAUGUUGAACUUGUAAAUGCCAAAGGCAUGUAAGUUAAAUAUGAAAUGGAUAAAUUAUAAUCCUAGAUACGAACAACUAGGAUGAUACAUAGAUCGAGUGGCAUAAACCUAGUGUAAAUGAACCUAGGUUAUGAGUUAGAGUGACUCUUAGUAAAAUUGAACUAAGUUAUGAGUUAUAGUGGUAGUAGGACCACUAGAAAGCGAAUUGUAAUAUACCGAAAAUUCGGGAAAUAAAAAUGUCGAACUUUAGUCAAAUUGACCAAAGUGCGAGGAUGGAACACUUCGGAAAGUCCGAAGGUGUUAAAAUGAUCGAAAGUGAGUUGUGGAAGGUUUUCGAGAGCUAAAGAAUCAAAUUCUGCGAAACUGCAGAUUUUCAGCUCUCGGGGACCGGUCCCUGGUGGGAGAGACCGGUCCCCGAACGCGUGCAGAAUGAGACAGCCGGAAAAUCGGCUAAGUCCUGGAGGUUAGCUCUCGGGAACCGGUCUCUGUCUGAGAGACCGGUCCCCCAGAGACCGGUCCCCCAAGGAGGGACCGGAUGCAUUGCGUGCGGCUGCUCUGGCUGCGCAGGGUGGACCUUCGGGGACCGGUCCCUGCUCGGGGAGACCGGUCCCUGCCUGCGAAAACUGCCCAGUCCAGGCAGUGUAUUAAGAUGAUAGUUGAGGGGUUUAUUAGCAAUUUUGCAACCCAAGGGUUAUGUUGGGGCUGAGAGAGAGCCUUCCUCUCUCAUUCCCUCACCCUCUCACAUUCUCUCUCUCUCUCUCUCUCUAGAAGACAAAGGAGAAGAAGAAGAAGAAAGGAAGAAAAGAAGGAAAAGAAGAAGAAGAAAGUGAAGGAGAAGAUCAAGGAGCAAAGUGGCUUCAUCUUCUUCCUCUCUAGUGCAAGAAAAGGAAGCUUACAAGGUAAGCUUUGAUCCCAAGUGUAGUAAAACCUUAGAAUGAGUUUUGUAUGACAUAGAAAUGGGUUUUAAUGGAAUGAUUAAAGAGUUUUGAAGCUUUCUUUUGCUUCUUUAGAGAUCAAAACCUAGAUUUGCUAUAGAGGUGAGCUUGGACCACCUCUAAUGGUGAAAUCCAAACUAGGGUUUUGGAAAGCCUAAGAAUGGUUCUAAUGGACUAUUUAGAGUAUAGUGAAGCUACUUUUGCUUCCCAAUGAGAUCAAACCCUAGGUUUUGUAUGUGUAUUGGAGCUAGGGCACCAAAUUGGGGCUUUUGCUCAUGAGGGUUUCUAAGUGCAAUUGACCCUCUAAAAAUCUAAUUGGGGGUAUUUCCGACGCGUUGGUGCGCUCGGAAUAGCAUUACGAAAAGUGUAUGUAGAGUUAUGGGCAAAAUGGCCUAAUAGGGCUUCGUUUUGACGCAGGUAAAGAACGAAGGAUCUAAAAAUCUCAAGAAAAUCGUCGGAGCACCUAAAUAGACCUACGAGGUGGGUGGUGCUUCUCAAACUCAUUGGAAUUCUCUCUAUGCCUAAUGUGUCAUUCAAUUGAGCAUAUUAAUAUAUUUGUUGCAUGCAUUUUAGGGUAAAGUAAUGAAAAGAAUGUGAUGUGCAUGAUUGUGAGUACAACUUGCAUAAUGUGAUGGUUAAGAACCUUAUGAAAGUUAAACCCUAUAUGUAUGCAUGAGAGAAAAGGUGAGCACCCAAGUGAGGCAAAAGAACCGAGUGGCACAUGACAUAGAUCGAGUGGCAUUUGAGAAUGUAAAGUGACACUAGAGUUAGUGUGAGGCAAGGAACUAAAUGCGAGCUAAAGAAUGAUGAUAAUGGUCAAAGCUAAAGUAAAGCGAGCCAUAAAGAAUGUGCAAAGUAUAAAGAACGUGAAAGCUAAAGAUAGCUAAAAGUAAUGUGGGCAAUGAGAACAAGAAUGCUAGAGUUAGCAAGAGUAAUGAAAAUGUAAAGAAUGUGAUUGCAUGAGUUUGCAACAUAAAGUGAUGUAAAGAACACUAGAGCUAGUGUAAAGUCAAGAUUGAACUUAUAAUCUUUGAGUUAAGGAUAUGAUCAUACUUGCUAUUGAGUUCCGUGCUCGAGGGCGGUCGCUCCCCCUCGGGCGAUGCGCUCCGGAGUUAUGCAUCCGGGUUGGAGUAGACCCGUAAGGACGGUCCUAGCUGGUGAGUACCUGCGAUGAUGGACUUAACGUGAGGCAAGUUAAUGUGGCGAAACCCCCGGGUUAGCCUUAAUGAUUAAAGAGCAAAGAACAAAGAAUAAAGAACAAAGAGUAAAGUGAAAAGAACUAAAGAACAUGCAUAAUCUGCAUCUAUUAAUGUUGAGCAUAUUCCUUGCUUUUGUUCAGGCAUAUUAGCAUCAUGUUAUAGAUUGGUUACCAUAUUUCAGCUUAUCCUUUCUAUUAUGCCUGAGUUAGUCCUAGUGGGAAAGUCGGUGAUGUUGAGGCCGAACCCACUGGGAACUUUGUUGUAGUUCUCACCCCACUAUUUCCACAGAGCCGGGACCGAGCGAGCCGGCGAGCGACCGCGGUAAAGGUAUCGCGCCUUAGACAGAGGCCACCGAUGUUGGAUUUCAUUUUGUAGUAAAGUACCUUAUGAUCAUCUUUUGUAUUUGAUGAUUUAGCAAAGAAAGAAAAGAAUGUAAAGCUUAUUUUGAGGUAAAUGUGUGGUAAGAAAGAAAUGAUGAGACUAUGUAAGAACAGCAAGAAUCUUAAUUGUAAGAGAUGGAUGCAAUGUAUAUGAUCUAAAAUGAAUCAUAUUACUUGUGAAUGUUUAGUUUUCCUUUCUUUCACUGAUGGCUAUUGCUUACCCUCGCGUAAGCCGUUUGUGUAUGUUUCCGCUAGUGCACUUCUUAUUGAAAAUGUACAUGCGAUGAGCCUUGGGCGGAUAGGGGAAACUCUGUCCGUUCGGCGUCUGUUUGACGUGCUCGAGUCGGGCCAAAUUGGCAGCGGUCCCGGGGCGUGACAGGAAAACUCACCUCUAGUGCAAAAUCUCCUCUAAAGCUCCAAAAUGAAGCUAGGGCUCAUCCAAUCCAACCUAAUGGAAGCCUCUAAUCCAAUCAAUCUAGCUUCAAAAGCCCUAGAUUCAAAAUACCCAAAAAUAAGCCCUAAAUCUCCAAUUUAGGGUUUCAACACAAAAAUCUCGAUAGAACUCUAUUCUAGAGGAAGAGAACAAGUGGAUUACCUCUUAGAAGCUUCAACCUAAGCUCUAAAAGCUCUAAGUCCCAAGAUCUUCCCUCCACAAGGCUCCAAUCCCAAGCUCUUGGCUUCAACCAUGGAGAAAAGCACCAAAAAGGGAAAAAGAGAGAGAUUAAUCCAAGAAAAACCCAAAAGAGAGGGACCAAACCAAAGAAAUGAAGGGGAGGGUGCCCUAUCUUCUCCUCCCUGUGCUGUGAGCUCAGGAGGUGCCCUAAGGGGCGUGGGUGCUAAAUAGAUUAGGCACAAACGCAGAAAACCCCCUGCAGUUCAUACAGUUCGGAUUCUGCCAAAGUGUACCGGUACACGGGAAAGUGUACCGGUACACAUCCUACGAAAAUGCGAACCCGAGGCUCGGGUUCGAAAUUCGCCACAAGUGUACCGGUACAACCAUCAAGCGCGUACCGGUACAAAAUGUGUACCGGUACGACCAUCAAGAGUGUACCGGUACAUCUUGUGCAGAAGGAAAUCCGAGAGUAGGCUAAGUCCAACUUUUUAGUGACCUUAGCGCUACAUACAAUGCUACAAUUCUCGGGAUACGUGCCAUAGGUCGGAUCACUGCCAACGACCCACCAGAAAGUCUGGAAAGACUCGGGACACUGUCCAAACACUCGAACCCCGCAAUUUGCAAAGGUCCAGUGCGUCACACAACUAGUCUGCAAUCUGCAGCUUUCUUGUACAUAAUACCAUACCCAAGCAUACUCUUCACAUACCUCAGGAUUCGACGAACAGAUUCCAAAUGAGCCUUCUUUGGACUUUGCAUGUAGCGACUCAUCACACCAACUGCAAAGGAAAUAUCUGGCCUUGUUAGAGUUAAGUAGAUAAGACUACCCACUAACUGCCGGUACAUGGUAGCAUCUUCUAAAUCUUUCCCUUCAUGAGCACACAUUUUGGCGUUUGGCUCCAUCGGUGUCGAGAUUGGCUUGCAUUUAAGCAUUACAAACUUCUUCAACAGAUCUUUGGAAUACUUUUGCUGAUGGAGAAAUAUUCCUUCCUUAGUACGGUCAAUCUCUAAACCAAGAAAAUGCUUGAGCUUUCCCAGUUCUUUCAUCUGAAAGCGAACUGACAAAUUCUCCUUGGUUUGGAGAAUUUCUUCUUCACAAUCGCCCGUGAUGAUUAAAUCAUCCACAUACACCAGCAAAAUAGCUAGCUUCCCUCCUUUAGUUUUGACAAACACGUUAGAAUCCGCAGAUGUCACAGAAUAACCGCUAUGAGUGAGAAAUUCGGCAAUCUUACCAUACCAAGCCCUCGGUGCCUGUUUCAAUCCAUAGAGAGCCUUCCGGAGCUUACGCACAUACUCAGGAUAGUCUUGACUCUGAAAGCCCAUCGGUUGGCUUAUGUAGAUCUCCCGAUCUAGCUCCCCAUGCAAAAAUGCAUUCUUCACGUCCAUUUGCCACAAGUUCCAACUUUUGCUAGCUGCAAGUGCUAGUAAGACUCGUACAGUUGUAAACUUUGCAACUGGACUAAACGUUUCAUCAUAGUCUAGUCCAUAUUGUUGAGAGAACCCUCGGGCGACCAGACGAGCCUUGUGCCUUUCUAUUGAUCCAUCUGUGCGACGCUUUAUUUUGUACACCCAUUUGCAAGAAAUAGGCUUCACAUCUCUUGGCUUUGAUACGAGUUCCCAAGUCUGAUUUUGCUUUAAUGCAGCAAUUUCCUCUUCCAUAGCUUUAAUCCAUUCUGGACUCUGGGAUGCUUCCUCAAAUGUCUCUGGUUCUUUUGCAUCUACUUCUUCUACAUUGGCGGCAUUAGCAUACUUGGGAUUUGGCUUUCUGGCAUUUGUUGAUCUUCUAAGUGCAGUUGGUGUACUUGGCUCGCCUUCUUCACUUGGCCUUUGGUAUACACCUGUUUGCCAAGGAUUUUGAGCUAUGGCUUCUUCAACAUCUUCACCAUCAUCUGCAACCUCUGUUUCACCUGAACUUAACUGAGAUUGAGAAAUUUUUAAUUCUUCCUUAAAGAUAUCUAAGUCUGAUAAUACUUCCUUGUUUGAGGACCACCAUGAGGAAGCUUCAUCAAACACCACAUUCCGAGAUGUGUAGCACUUCCCGAUUGUUGGAUCGCAACAUCGCCAACCUUUCCUUUGACUGUCGUAUCCUACAAAGAUACACCUAACAGCCUUUUUUUCCAUCUUGCUACGUAAAUGGUCAGGUACAAAUACAUAGCAUACACAUCCAAAAACUCGAAAAUGACCAACAGCAGGUUUCAUGUUCCAUAAUUUUUCAAAUGGUGAAAGAAAGCAUAACCUUUGUUGAGGAAGCCUAUUGGUCACGAAGGCCGCAGUCUUCAUCGCUUCCGCCCAAAAUCGUCCCGGGACAUUCUUUGCAUGAAGCAUACUUCGACAUACUUCUGCCAGAUGCCUGUUCUCCCUUUCUGCUACUCCAUUUUGCUGCGGAGUGUUGGCACAUGUGAAUUGAUGGCGUAUUCUACAUUCCUGAAGGAAGUCUGAGAACUCAUGUGAGGUGUACUCUCCCCCGUUGUCGGUGCGUAAGCAGCGAAUUCUUUUACCAACCUCCGCUUCCGCUAUCUUCUUGAACUGUUUGAACUUUAAAAAGGUUUCAAAUUUUUCUUUCAAAAAAUAAACCCAUACGUACCUCGAGAAAUCGUCAAUGAAGAUCACCAUGUACUUCAUCCCACUAAUAGAGGCUUGCUUAAUUGGCCCAAACACAUCAGAGUAAAUCAACUCUAAUGGUUCCUUCGCUUUAAAUUUGGACUUUUCGUACGGCAACUGAUGUGCUUUCCCAUAUUGACAGCCUGCACAUAUACUAUUUGUUCUCACUUCAAGUUGUGGAAGUCCCUUUAACAUCGACUUCUUCAUCAUCACAUCUAGCUUGGAAUAGCUAACGUGACUUAGCCGCAUGUGCCACAAGUCUGCUGUCUCAUUCCUUCUUGUCUUGUCUAUAUAUGCUGUUUCCGCAGACAUCACGUAGACUGAUUCCAAUCUUCGUCCCUUCAUUGCCGGCUCUUCUGUGAUCUCAAGGUCCCGAUAUAUCCUCACAUCUUGUGGACCAAACAGAACAAAAUGGCCAGAAGAGGUUAAUUGUGCUACCGAGAAAAGAUUUUUCUUCAUACCUGGAACAUGAUAAACAUUUUGGAGUGGCACCUCGAUAUCAGUGCAUUGGGGAGAGACUACCGUGCUAUCGAUGUAAGCUAUCGGUAACUUUGAGUUAUUUGCCGUCACCACCACUCGACUUCCAUUGUACUCUGACAAGUUCUGCAACUUCUCUAUGUCGCCAGUCAUAUGGUUUGAGCAACCUGAGUCAACGAUCCAAUCAUCCUCAUAGUUGAUUUGAUUGAAUGUUGUUGCUGCAAGGGCUAGCUCCUCUUUUUCCAUAGCAAAGAGAGCCUCAGCAUCCCAUUCGUCUUCACUUUUGGAAGUAGCAGUGUUACUCUCGACGACCUUCUUUUUUGACCAGCAAUCUUUCGCCAUAUGACCUUUCUUUUUGCAGUUGUAGCACUUCCCUUCAAACUUUUGGCCAUUGCCAUAGUUCUUAGAACCUUUCCCAGCAUGAACACUCCCUUCACCUUGAUGACUUCUCGCUUUAUCACCAUUCUUUUUGGAUCCAUCGUUAACAUGCUACUUGGAAUUCCACCUGCCUUUAUUGGCAUAGAGGGCCUCUUCUUCAUUCUUCAACGAGACUCCUCCCAUUUGCUUAGCUAAGGCUUCUUGACCAGCUAGCAAAUUUUCGAAUUCCACAAGCGACAGCUGAGUUUGCCAUCCUUGUAUGGCAGCAACAAAACUCCUGAAUUCUGGCUUCAAACCAUGGAUGAUGAUCCGCUUCAUCCUAGUGUCGCCAAUAGGAGCCUCCGGAUCCAACUCAGUAAUCUCUCGGCAUAGCGUCUUCACUUUGUGGAAAUACUAUGCGACCGUCAUGUCGCGUUGCGCUACAGACAACAACUCACUCUCUAAGAGUUGAAGUUUCGUAUCGUUCUUCUUAGAGAAUAGUUUGGCGAAUGUAUCCCAAGCUUCUUUGGGAGUUUCCGCAGCCCGGAUAUGCUCCAGCACAUCCUCUUCAGCCGUCGUCUUCAAAACGAACAUGGCUUUGCCUGCUUUAAUCUUCCACUUCCGCAAUGUCCCAUUCGCAUCUUCAGCCUCCGGUUGUUUCACAUCAUUUCCAUUUACAAUCUCCCACAAAUCCUGGCCUUGCAUGUAAGACAUCAUGCAGGUAGACCAAGAAUUGUAGUUCUGGUUGUUGAGCUUCUUGUUUCCGCCAACGACUUGAAGAUCACCCAUCUUGGCAAUAGAGAUACUAACCAAAAAGCUCAGAACCUUGCUCUGAUACCACUUGUCGGAUCGUUGGCGCUAACCAUUAAUCCCAAAAGCUCGAGCUAUUAGAAAUACGCAACCAAUUCACUUAAAGCGUACAGAAACAGCGCCCACGGGUCUCGAUUGUGACUCGGCCCACCUGACCUCACGCCACUUCGAACAUGACUCGGCCCAACCCAGCCUCACACCAUUUCGAACAUGACUCGGCCCACAUGGCCUCCCACCACAGGGCAGGAUGCUGACCCAUUUAAGCCAACAAUCCCCCCUCCAGCACCUGCACACAUUUGCAGCAUGUAGGAAUCGAACCCGUGACCUCUGGCUCUGAUACCAAAUUGAAGAAACGACAGGUAGCAAGAAUGGUUCAAUAACCUCUAACGAGGGUAAAACAAUGGAAGAAAACAGGGCACUAGCACAUUAUUCAUUUCCACAACUAAUAUUAAGCAAUCAGUUCACUAACCUAUAAUUCCUAAAAAUUAGGAUCAGCGUAACAGACGCUAAGGACUCAAUAACAGAAUAACAAAUAAACAGGCAACCCACGUGCUGGUGUUGUUUUAUUCAAUACUCCCCCUCAACACCAGCUUCUACUCUUUUUACCAUGCCGAGCUGAUGACAUAAGCUUUCGAACUUGUUGCCAGUCAAGCUUUUUGUAAACAGAUCUGCAGCUUGAUCUUCCGUUCAGACAUGUUCCAACUUAAUUUCUUCUUGCAAAACUUUCUCUCUGAUAAAAUGAUAAUGCACCUCCACAUGCUUAGUUCUUGCAUGAAAAACUGGAUUCUCCGCUAAACGUAUUGCCGACAAGUUGUCGCAAUACAAAGAGAUACCAUACUCUGUUGGCUGAUGCAAGUCUUUCAAUAAUCGCAUAAGCCAAGUGCUUUCUUGAGCCGCCAUUGCUGCUGCUCGGUACUCUGCUUCCGUGGUUGAUAAAGACACUGUUGGUUGUCUUUUGCUACACCAAGAAAUUGCUCCGAACCCAAGCAUGAAAACAUACCGAGUAGUUGAACGUCGGGUAUCAUGGUCGCCUGCAUAGUCAGCAUCACAAUAGCCAACUUGUCACGCCCCGGGACCCAGCGGAAGCCCGCCCGGCGCGUGCCCAGACCCGCCAUAUGUCUAAAACAUAUAAGGCGUCUAAAAACAACAGUAAUAAAAGCAAUAAUAAGAGGCAUCUAGGAGUAUCAGAGCAUAAUAAAUGUCUAAAUGCUACAGCAAGGUAUAAGGUAAAGCUGAAAGUCCACUAAAUAAAAAAAACAUAAAGUAAGUACAAUAGGAAAUCCCAAAUACAAGUGCUAUAGGUAGGUACAUAGGUGGUCUCUAUACAUGGAUACAAGAAUCUCACNGGCGGCGAAAACACACACACACACACACAAACACACACACACACACACACACACACACACACACAACAAAAUAUUAAGAGAUCUGCCUUGGUGGGAAUAGGGAGUCCCACUCCUCCAGCAACUACUUAAGCUUGUGAGAUAUAUUCAUAGGGUUCGGUUGGAUACUUCUAAAGAUCGUAUCAUUCCUUGCCUUCCAGAUGGUCCACCAGCAUCCUACUAAUUCGGAAAGACUGCUUCUCGUCUUGUGCCAUCCUUUUCUAAUCCUCGACGAUGCCCAGACUAGAUUUACUUCGUUUCCCAGGUCCGUCGCCUGUAUACCGUUCACCCCAUUCACGAUAAUGAACUUAGUAAAAACACACCGCGUGAACAGAUGAUCCACUGAUUCCUCUUCCGAUCCACAAAGUACACAAUCGGCAUUUCCCACCCACCCACGCUUCGCAAGUAAAUCGGUUGUAGAAAGCCUCUUCGUAAGAACGAGCCAACAUAACACUUUAACUUUAAGAGGAAUACAGAGUCUCCAAAUCGUAUUUAGGCCUGGUUCCCUUGUUCCCCCGUCGAUCAACGCUAAAUAGGUCGACUUCACUGAGAAGAGUCUAUUUGGACUCCACCGCCAAGAUAACUGCUCCGGUCGUUGUUCAAGUGUAAAAUGGAAAAUCCUUUCCUUGAACUCUGCAAUAAUGUCAUUAAUCCCUACUAAAAUUUCAGGAUCAGUGCCCAGAAUCCUAUUCCAGUUCCAACUGACUCUUGCGAAGCCAUCAAUGACUUUCAGUCUAUUUCGGUAUGAUAUCUGAUAGAUUUUCGGGAACGCACGGUCUAAAGUGGUUUCUCCACACCAACGAUCUUGCCAAAAAUCGAUAGAGUUUCCAUUGCCUAGUUUGUAGGCGGAUCCCCAUUUGAAAAUGACUUUGAGGCUAAGUACUCCCUUCCACCAGUGAGAUUGGGGCCUAAAUGAACUGCCUUCCAUCAAAGGUCUCCUCCUUUUGUAGUAGAGAUCUCGAAUUAUCCUAUUCCACUGCAGCUGGGGUGCCGUGUGGAAUUUCCACCACCAUUUGGUCAGCAGGGCACGGUUCAUGGUCCCUACAUCCAGGAUCCCUAGACCACCUUCUCUCUUGCUCUUACAUACAUUCUUCCAAGCUAAUAAGCAUCCCCUGCCAGGAGAAUUAAGUCCACCGUUCCAGAAAAAGUCUCGGCGGAGAGCUUCCAUGCGCUUGAUCACCCAUUUAGGUGCCUUGAACACCGAAAGAAAAUAGAGAGGGAGGUUUGUUAGAAGAGCAUUCACCAGGAUAAGUCUACCUCCCCUGGAAAGGAGUUUGGCCUGCCAGCCAUCGAUCUUGCACUGGACUUUCUGAAUGAUGCCCCUCCAAUCCACUUUAGAGGGGGGUUUGGGAGAUAGUGGCAAACCUAGGUAUUUUGUCGGGAAAGAACCGAGGCGGCACUCAAGUAAGUUCGCUAGUCUAGUCGUUUUUCCUUCUACCUAACCUAGGUAAAACAAUUCCGAUUUAUCUCUGUUGAUAACCAAACUCGAGGCCCAUUCGAACAGUUGCCACAAGAAUCUGAGAUUUCUCAUGUAUCUCUUUCUAGCCUCGCAAAAAAAGAAGGUAACGUCCGCAAAUUGAAUGAGAGAAAUCCUGCUCGUGUCUGACGGCCCGAUACCUUUGAGGAGGUUGUUGCGUAACGCUUCAUUAGUCAAGCGGGUUAGGCACUCGGCCACCAUCAGAAAUAGGAACGAGGAGAGCGGAUCCCCCUGCCUGACUUCUUUUUUAGUCUUGAUCCAGUUGGUUGCCUCUCCGUUAAUCAGAAUUGCAACUUUCGCAUGGCACACACACAGAACAAUCCAUUCGCACCACUUGUCGUUGAAACCCCACCACCGAAGAAUACGGAAGAGGAAAAGCCAGUCAAUCCUAUCAUACGCCUUUUCGAAGUCUACCUUUACUGUGACCGCCUCGAUAGCUUUCUUAUUACCCCAGCUAAGGAGUUCGGCUACAGUUACAUACGCAUUAGUAAUGUUUCUUCCUUUCAGGAAUGCUGACUGUGACGGGGAGAUCAGAUAGUCCAUGACCUGUUCGAGGUGAUUCGCCAACACUUUUGACAAGAUCUUUUGAAUUCCGUUCAGUAAGCUAAUGGGUCUAUAGUCGUUGGCCCUUUUGGCCCCCUCCUUCUUAAGGAUAAGGCAGAUGAGAGCAUAGUCGAUCGGAUCAGUGGAUAGCUUCCCCUUAAACAUCUCUUGGAAUAAACUGAAGAUAUCGUCCUUGACCGUGUCCCAGAAGACUUGGUAGAACUGUAGUGGGAAACCAUCAGGGCCCAGUGCCUUGUCGCUCCCAAGUUGGAAAACUGCUUGCUUGAUUUCGUCAAUGUUGAAGGGUUCGGUAAUCCUCGUAAAGUCAGAGGCUGGAAUGCGAUUUGAACUGAAGAGACUACACCAAUCCCCAACCGAGGCAGGGCUCGAAUUAACUGGCGCGAAUAGAUUCUUGAAAAAGUGAUAGAAAUGUUUCUUCUUGUCCUCUUCAGAAUAAUGCUCGACAUCGUUUUCAACAACCAAAUCGAUCCUGUUAGCUCUGCGUCUGCCAUUAGCUACCGAGUGGAAGAACUUAGUGUUAUCAUCUCCUUCUCUAAGCUAGUGUUGUUUGGCCCGCGUUCGCCAGACCGAAGCUUCGUCAUUAAGGACCCCUCGUAGCUUGGCCUUAAGAUCUUCUCUUUUUGAUUGUAGUUCCAGUGAGAGUUCUCCUAAUUCUUCUGCUUUGUCGAUCGACUGGAUUUCAUCCAUUAGAGAAUUUUUUACUCCUCUAAUACUGUAAAACUCGUUGGCACACCAUUCUUUGAUCCUCUGGCGGCAGUGUCUCAGCUUCGCGGUGAAGGUGAGCAUGGCCGACUUACCUGUCGUACCCUGGGUGCCUUCCUUCCACCAAUCCGGCAAUUUGGUGAUGAAACCGUCGUGGUUCAACCAUGCUUCCUCAAAACGAAAGGACUUGUUCCUCACGUUAGCACUUCGUUUCACAGUAAAAAGGAUAGGGCAGUGGUCAGACGUGACUCUAGGGAGUGCUUCGACUUUAGAAAAGGGAAAUUUCUGUUCCUAUUCCGUGGAGAUUAGGAAGCGAUCGAGUUUCGCGAGAGUCGGGGUUUUCUGCAUGUUGGACCAUGUGAACGAUUGGUUAGUCAGGGGCAAGUCGAUCAGAGCUAACUCAUUGAUAAGAUCGUUGAAAAGAGCUGUCGCUUUGGAACUCCAUGGUCUUCCCCUCCGCUCCUCUUGUCCCCGAGUACUGUUGAAAUCUCCAUAGAUGAUCCACUUGCCCUCACUACGAUCCUUCAUAUGAGCCACUUCGGAAAAGAACUCCUCCUUGCCGUCCCACGAAGCGGGGCCAUAGACAUUGGUAACAUAGAAGUUUGUGUUGCGCGUGACGGAGGAAAGAAGAACAGUAAUGACAAUUUUCCUCACUAGAACUUCUUGACAGUUGAAAAAGCGUGAGCUCCACCCCGUGAUAAUCCCCCCCGAGACGCCGUUCGAUUUGAGGUACACACAUUUGUUGAGAAAGGAGCCACCAAAACUACGCAAAAAGGACCCUGCCUGAGACAUGAUUAACUUUUGAUUCUUGAAUACAGACAACCACAUUGUGAAAUUUCGAAAGUACGGCCCUAACGACGUUACGUUUAGAUGGGUCGUUAAGCCCCCUAACGUUCCAGCUACAGACUCGGAACAUAAAACAUGAGUAGACACUGACACCAAAAAGGAGCCCAAAAUCGGUGACUACAAUUGCUACCAACUCCCAGGCUACACACAGUCGUACAGUAGCUCAGCGAAUUUCGUCGCCUCGCUCUCAGUCAGCGUCACCCUACACAACCUACUCUUGGCGAUGACCUUCUUCACGGACUUUCCGUUUGCGCUCCCAUCCCUACCUUCACGGAGACCAGCCUUCCUAGACAUAGCCUCGUGUAAGAUUGAGAUCUUGGUCAUGUUGGCGAGACGCUUGCUAGCCCGUGGCGGGGUAGAACGCAAGGUAGUAUCCGAAUCAUCCAGAGUAGCUAAAACCUGGGUCAGCGAGUCCCGGUGGUCAAUCCCGCAUUCGUGGUCUUUGUCGAGGGUGGAAGAGACGAACGGAUCGAGUUGGCUAUCGUAGGGUAAAGCAGUCACAGUAUCCACCUUCAGGUCAAUGGAUGGGGGUGAUCGAGCUCUUUUACCUGUGUCCUUAACGUCCCAGCUUGACACAUGGUCCAAAAUGCUCAGCCCAAGGAGAGAAUGGGUAAACAACGGCCCACAACCCAAUAAUCAAGCCUAACCAGCCAAGAGUUGGGGGAGAAAAAAGCAUGAGGCCCCCAGGCCCGUUUGACCACAAAAGGCCCAAUCACAAGCACUGGGACCGGCCCGCACCCACUCCUACCAAUCACUACUUGGCCCACCAGGCAAAGGGAAUUAGAUAGAAGCAUAGCAGGCAAGCCAGCUAGCUUCUGCCUUGGUCCCGAGAUCUGACUCAAGGCAUUAAAGGCCUCGGUCUCCGCGUCAGCCAAGAUCGAGGAGCCCGCCUUCCUAGGCUCUCCCUUUGGCAGAAGAGAAAGAUGAAGCCUCUUUGACAUGGAGGAAGUAAGCAGGCCUUCCCUGAAGUCUCUUCUCCCUUUUUUCCUUCUUCAUGCAAAAUGUGGUACUCUCCCUGAGCUUUGCUUGCCUCGAAAAUAAUGAGCCGAGGGCCUCGGACCCAGCGCCAUAACAAGCCGUUGCACCGCGAUGCCGUCCCACGUCCACGGCGGCGACCCUAGCCACAGCGACGCCAUGCCUGGCCGACGGGGGUGCGUGCUACAGCACUGCGGGGCGACACACUGCCGCCCUGGAAACCCGCAGGUCCGCCGCGGCGACCCUAGCCACAGCAGCGCCUUGCCUGGCCGACGGGGGUGAGCACUGCAGCACCGCGGGGCGAUGCUCUGCCGCCCUGAGAACUCACAGAACCGCCACGGCGCCUUUCUCGGCCGCUUUGCGAGCUCGCUGGCCCGUCGUGAUGGGAGAAGCCCUGAGCAACUGCUGGAGAGGGUCCGCUUCCUCAAGAACCCCAGCUUCGUCCUUCAUCUCUUCGUCAACGCCCUCGCUUUCCUGGUCACCCCCCCGACCACCUUGCUCGUCGUCGUUAGGCCCAUUCUGCGGCUCCGUGGGAGGGUCGUCUCCUCCAACCUCUGCCGCCCUCUCCCAGCUCUCCAAGUGAACCCUGAUGGAGAAGGUCUCCUCCCCGAGCACUACAGACAGGUUUUGGGGGAUGUCCCUUACCAAGUCAAGGGCGAUCAGGCAGUGGAAAGCUCUGAGGUCCGUCGUCGCCCUAGUUGUCGCAUCCGCUUUGAUAAAUCGCCCGAAGCCACAAACAAUGGCCGCCACCCGUGCCACCGUCCAGCAUUCGAACGGAAGAUUGAGCAGGCGGAUCCACGCUGAGUAUUGUAGCCGGUGCGGUUGGGCAUUUCUGUAUUGGCCCCAGGGAUAGCAUCGGAUCCAAAACUCGCUGAGGGAGAGAACUUCCCUUCUGAUCAGCACAUCAGCGGAGACCCAUUCCGAAAGGAAAAUUGCGAAUUCUAACGUGCGACCGAGAAAUCCUCUGUGUACCCCGCAAAACGAUUGGCCAAAGCGUUGGCAAUGAAGCGUAUAGGGUCAGGUCCCACAUUCACUGGCCAGAUUAAGUCCGCCAGGACGGCGUUGCGGCGAAGCUCCCUUCUACCCAAGUACUCCUCAGUGUACGGGACGUAGACCAUAGAAGCAGGUGCCAGCCCCCGGUGCCAGUAAGCCCUAAUCAUGUCAGCGUCUGUCUUAACUGUCUUACCCUUGCAAUGGUGAGCUCGGUGUCCAGUUCUGAAGCACCUAUAGCACCUUACAGGGUCGCGGCACACAGCGAUAGUGUGAUCACGAGCGAGGCACCUGAAGCACCGCCUCGCUUGGUACCGAAAUGGUGUAGCCUUGGGGCUGGAAGUGGAAGGUUUCCGGUUGGGUUUAGAAGUGAAUGCAAGGGGAGGUGGGCUCAAUUUCCUCAGCAGCGCGUCCUUAUAGGAUCCAAGGGCAGUAAAUGGAGGUAUAAAUUCUCCACCUUCCACCCUGUUCAAGCCUCCCUUUCUUGGAUCUCUAGGUGACAGCCCCAUCUUGCACUUAGAUGUCCAUCAUUAAGGCCAACGUUCUGAUCACGAAGAGGGUUCUUACUGGAAUUAGCUAACAUCUUCUCAGCUGUAUCAUUGCUCCCAAACACCUCCAAUAACUCUCGACCAACCUCGUCUGCCCAUGCCAAUCGCUUCACAAUCUUCUUCCUCUUCCCCUCUAGGUGCACGCCCUUUCUCUGUCUCUCUCUCAUCUCUCCAACCAUUAACCAGAGUUAUCACAUUAGAAGGCUAAUAUUGAAAAUACCUUUUUUACAUUCCAAUCUAUUUCAAAUAUACCCCUAUAGUUAAAAUCUGUUAAUAAACUCUGUCAUCUCUAUGAAAUUACUAUUUUGUGCUUUCAAAUAUACCUUUCUAUGAGCACCGACUUUUCUUAUUUGCCCCUAAGUUAGGGGCACAAAAAGUAUUUUAUUUUUUGGUCUUUUCAAAUAUAUCAUACUACCAUCACCAACAUUUCUUAUUUGCCUUUAAGUUAAGGGCAAAAGUGGUAUUUUAAUUUUUUUUAACUGUGAUAGAUACUUAACUCACAUUUAACCCAAGUUAACUUAGGUGAUAACUGUAGAGAUAUUUUGGAAUAACGAAGAACAUAUGAGAGGUAUAUUGGAAAGAAAAAAGAAGUAGGGGUAAAUAAAAUAUUUCCGAAGUUUUGAGGGGUAUAUAGGCAAUUACCGCUUUAAACAAACAUGCCAAUAUGAAUCUAAAAUAUAUGAAUUUAUUAAUAUAAAUUUUUUUUAUUCAGUACAUCAUAUGGGGCUAUUCAAACUUAGUUUACAUAUAUUAGGUGAAAAAUGGGUCUCACAUAUUUAACCAUCCCAACCAAUUUUAAUCUAAUCUAUUAAAAUUUGUCCUGGAUUGUUGAAAACAAAUUGUUGCUUCAUUUAUAGAUACUGACGAGAAGUUACAUCUACAUUUUUAUGCAAUGAGAUCCAACAACAAAUGGAAAAAAUUGUUAUAAGCAUUGAUCUACGUACUUGAUAUUAAUGAAGAUUUUCAUCAAAAAUAAUACUUUCCAUUAAUGGAAAAAGAUCAUGCUAUAAUGGAAAACUAUCAAAGAUAAGAUUGCAAGUGAGAAAAUAUAUCAUUUCAUGUCAAGAAAAUAAUUCAUGAAGAUGAUCGAGAGACCAACUAGAAAGCUCAAUUAAAUUCAAGAAGGAAAUAUCGUAAAGGAUUAUUUGUGAAAUAUACGCACAUCAAGAUUGAUUUCAAUCCACUCAAAAAAGAAAAUUAUGAUUGUAUUUUAUCAUUUCAACUUAUUUUCUUUUAUGCAUGUAAUGCUAUUCGUAACACUUUGUAAAAUUUAUAUAUUGAAUAGAAUGAGGAAUACUCUAAAAUAUAGAGAGAAACCAUUUUAAUAAUUUCUGAGUCUUAUUUUGGUGUUUUUAGUCUACUAACCGUCUCAAAAAAAAAUUUAUAAAAUUGGACCCCCUCAAAUUUAUAUUUGUAAAAAUAGACUCUGGGUAGACACAUGAGUGCCAAGUUCGCGGGAAUAUAUAAAGAUGGUGAACCAUUCGCCGUAUUAAGAUGAAAGCACUAAAUGGUUUAACAUCUACUGAAAAAAUAUAAAAUCCUAUGAAUGCGGUAAACUAUUCAUCGCCUUCAUAUAAGCUGUAAAUGGUUCACCAUCUUUAAGUACUUAACCACUUGUUUUUGCUUAGCUUAACUCAUUAUUAACUGGCGAAUGACUUAAAUGCAGUGAACCUGUAGGUUAUAAGGCCCUAAGAUCUAAAAGGUAUAAACACACCUAGAGGGGGGUUGUAAGGUAAUGAAUCAUUGACGCGUAAACUGAACUUUGGUCGAAAUUGACCAAAGUGUGGUGUUGGACGCUUCGGAAAGGUCCGUUGAGCGUUCCGAAAGUUCGGAAUGGCUUAUAAGGGUGUGAAGGGCCUUGGAGAGCAUUGUGGAGAAAUUCCAAAAACUUUCACAGUGGAAAUGCUCUCGGGGUCCGAACCCUGGCUAUAAGGUCCAGACCCCGUACACGAAAAGUGGCUGGUUGAACUGGGGGGGUCAAUUGUGCAAGGGGCUAUGUGCAAGUGUGCAAUGAGAGGGUAUAUGGAUGAGUUCCUAACUCAUUUCUCUCAUUUCCCUUUCACACACCAAACAAAGAGAAAGGUCUUUCUCUCUCUAAGUCUCUCUCUCUCUCUCCUAGGGUUUACUCCAAGAGGUGGAGUUGGUGGAGAGAAGUUGCUUGGAGGUGAAGCUUCUCCUUCUUCUUCUUCCUUGGCUUGAGAGGAAGCUUGAGUUGAGGUAAGCUCGAUUAGAUUUGGUGGUUUGUAGUUAGGGUUUUGGUAUAAUCCCUUAGAAAUGAGUUAUAUGGAAACCCUAGGUAAUGCUAUGCUUGAUUAUUGCAUGAAUCAUUGAGUAUUAUGUGUAUUCUUGCAAUAAUGAGUUUUUAGGGUUUCUAGAGAGGUUUUUGCCAUGAGUUGGGUUUAGAUGUAAAUUGACCCUAUUGAAACCUAAUUGAAGGUAAAACUGACACGGUGGGGAACUCAAAUUGGAGUUCCUACGAGCGUGUGGCGAAUCGUUGAAGAAAAGUACGAUUUUCAAUUCGUUUGCGUUGGGUCGAGCCAAAACGACGUCUAUAAAUCGUGAGGCUAGGAUUCUCGCACCUCGGCAUCAUUAAGAGGUGAGGGGUGCUAUCCGAAACAAUCGGAUUUUCUUUUAUGCCUAUGUUGCUUCAUUGGCCAUGUAUGUUCAUGUAUAGAUAUCAUGCAUUGUAGAGUAGUUGUGUUGGUUAUUCCAUUCCUUGCAUGCUCUCAUGGUACUUGUAGAAAUAUGAGAUGGAAUAUAGUGACUAUGUGCAUGAGGAUUGGGUUGUGAACAAAGAACUCUAUAGUGCUAUGACAUUGUGAACCUAGAAAACAUAGUGACAUUAAAAGGUGGCAUUCAGAUAUGACGAUGAGAACUUAGAAACAUUGUGGCCUCAAAGGUGGCAUUUGGAUAGUACAUUGAGAACACUCAUGAUAUGAGGAUAGGAAUUGGUAUCUUCCAUGGCUUCGUUACCACUAGUUGGUAGGGUAUCCUCGGGAUAGAGGAUUGGAUCAUGCUCACAUACGUCUGUUUCACUUGGCGGUGGUUGCUCCACCCAAGCAGUGGUCUCCGGAGUACUUCACGGUAGGGGUUAACGUAGCUACCCCGCAGACGGUCCCGAGUGAGUGUAGCAGACGUCUCCUCACAUUUCGGGAUUCGGCUGUGAGUUGGGGCUUAACCUUCGGGUUAGCCGGAAUGAUUGGGUUAUGAAAUAUGAAAGGCAUGCAUCAUGAGCAUAGUAGUUGCUAAUACAUGUUUAUCGUACCUAUUUAUUGUUUUAUAUUGCCAAGACAUAGUAGCAUGCUAGAUGAUUAUUAUAUUGCUAACCCUUUCUACAUAUGCCUGCUUAAACCUAGUGGAAAAAUCGGCGAAAUCGGCGGCCGAACUCACUGGGAACUAUUAUUAGUUCUCAUCCCACUUUGUUGCAGGGCCUAGCACGAGCGAACCGGCCGAGGAUCGCGGUAAGGGCAUAGCGCCCUAGAUAGUAGCCUCCUAUGCAUUAGAGUAUCAUGUACCCUUUUGAGAGAUAAUGUAUGUUGGUGAGGUUACUUUUCUGGAUGUAAACGUGUUAUGAGGCAAAUGAUGUAAACCACAUGUAUGUACUUGGUGGAUGGAUGUAAAUAAUCAAAUGUGAAUGUAAUAGCUAGUAUUUCUCUCUUACUCUUGCUUGUAUUCUACUUGCAUAAUUCAUGUAUGUUGACUAUGUUUAUGUCACGCCCCGGGGUCCCUUCAGGUUAAAAACACCGCGAAUUUUUUUUUUUUUUUUUUUGAAAAUCUAACCCCAGGGAAUGUCAGAUCCGCCACAAAUACAGGAAAUCCACUGUUCACACGGACAGAGUCUCCCCUGUAUUUGCACGGCGUCGCACAAGUACAAGAAGUAUCCCAGGUACAACCACAACCAAAUGAAUAUAAAAACGACUAUGUAAUCAUUCAUUCACCAUUCACAUCACAGUUAUACAUUCAAUAUUUAAACAUAAAUCCACAGAAAAUUCUUUUGAAAACUGUUUUCUACAUGGAAACUUUUAUUCUUUAAAAACGCUACCACGAGGAGUAGAAAACCUUUUAUUUACGAAAACAACGAAUCCUUUUUAUUACAUUCAUAAAGCCAAAUCAAAAUAUGAUAAUUAACUGAAAUACCCAAAACUGAACCAUAUAAACUAUCUAAGCUAUAUCAACAGGACAGUAAGGGUAGAAACUAAACCGAAUAACCUGGGUCGGAAGCUCUAUCGACCGCUACGUACGUAUCUCACGUCUUAUCUCAACCCUCACCGCUCGCGAUACCUGAAAAAUAGUGGGGGAGGUGCGAACAUGUAAACAUGUCUCCCCUCCCAGUGGGUACCGCAAGCCGAUGAAGGCGAGGAGUACUCACCGGAUCAGGAAGAGCUAAACAACAGUACGGGUCAGUAGAAAAUACAGUAGCAAUAAUAAUAAAUGAAAGAGACAUGUAUAUGAAAGAAAGUACAACUACCGCUACUAUAAUGAACAACUGAAUGUAUACAUGUAACAAGACUAUAGUAGCAAGACAAUCUAACGAAAGAACUGAAGAUAUACAAGCGACAACUGCUACUAUAGUUAUAUGCGUCAACCAGACGAUAAGUCCAAAUAUACCCAAUCUGAUGCUGCUAUAUUGGUCCGCAGACCUCAAGCGUUGCCUGUCACAGAGCAGACACUGAGAGCUUAUUCAUGCGUCACCGACGACCUAUCCGGAUACGUACACCUCUUGUUGGUGGCCAAACCAACCUGGUGUCUAGAAUACACAGUGCUGUGACUAAAUCAUGCUGAUAUGCUCAAACGAAAUCCGGCUAAAGCCGGUGCCUAGGCCGAAGCCAGAAACAAGGGCGUACAACGCCAAACCACGAUCAACCAGAUCGAAACACAUGACAAGAGAGUCGAUGUGUUGCCUGGACCCAAGGUCCACAGAGUCCAACUGACCAACAAGGUCCCUGAUACGAAGUACGAGAACCGACCAACCAGGUCAACAGAUACGGAAUGCAACAACCAACCAACUAGAUCAACAGAUACGGAAUGCAACAACCGACCAACUAGGUCAACAGAUACGGAAUGCAACAACCGACCAACUAGGUCAACAGAUACGGAAUGCAACUACAGACCAACUAGGUCAACAGAUACGCAUGUAGAUAGAACUACUCUACUCCUACUCAGGAUACUAAGCAUGCAAACAACGAGUAGAGUAUAACGAAUAAACAAGGGUGCAAGGCUCAAUAUACUAUGCGAUAGUAACAACAGAAGAGUAAGGGUAAGAAACCAUCACCAAGCGUGCACCACUGUACCGACGUCGGAUCGAAGUACCCACCUGUAAGGAUGUCGCGUCUGUCUCCUGACUGCAAAAGAAUGUCGACAGGGCCUAUAGAGGGUCCACCGGGUUAGUAUCUAACCCACAACUAAUAAUCACAGUAUCCACAACCCCACAAACAAUUUCAUGAAGAUCGGUUUCCCAAUACCGAUUACCGUUCGCCCGAAGUCCCGAAAACCACACCGGGACGCCGUCGGGACCCACUAAGUGUCCCGAAACUCACCAACUCGUACCACGAGUCACCCGCUGCCACAAAACACACCAAUUUGAAUGUCUUGGCAGUAAACACAAGGUAACACAACCCAACAAUUAUCGUCGGAUAAUUGUUCGGAUCCGGAUUCCCAGAAGUGUCUAUUUCGACACCGGAACCACCGUCGCUCACCCGUCAUCAUCGAACCCACAAAAUGAUGAUGGUGACCAGCCAACAAGGCUCAGCGACAACUCAACGGACAACCAAACCACGUCGGAAGAAAUCCGAAUCAAAUCCGCGUUCUUUCGGCGAAUUUCGCUGAAAAACGCACCGUAACCGACUCUUCGAUUUCCGCAAAGGCUAUUGGAUCAUGGACAAUCAGUCCAGAGGUUACCACACACUCCAAUGCAUUGCCCACAGUAGCCAUAAGGUGCACAAUUGCAUAAAAGUCCCUCAAAUUACAUAAAAUCCUAUCAUUUUAUGUGAUUUGAGCGAUCAAGUGGCUAGUUCACGCAAACCGAGGACUUUCAAGGUCUGCCGAGACACGUAUAGCUUGGUCUCGACGUACCGGAGGCCGUGCUCAUGAUCCAGAGCACAACGGCUCACUGUGGGAAGCACGGGAGCAACCCGAAGGUUCGGCGAAAAGCGCGCAGUCAAGGGAGAUCACGCCGAACAGGACUAACCGGACACAGCUGAUCCAAAAUAAGGUGAGCACCGUGAUCAGCACUGACCAGCGGUCACCGUGCUCACCUCCGGAGGCAUCGGAACAGCCUCGGAUCGCCGAAAAAGCACGCACAAACACAGAACAACAGCCAAAAAGGCUCCAUAGGGUCGACACCGCAAAAACAGCGGAACGGGGCCUUCCCGACAGAAACUAAGGUGAGCACGAUGAUCAGAAACUUGCCAGUAUCAUCAUGCUCCCUUCCGUAGAGAUCGGGGAGGCUCGAGAAGCUCGGAAUAGUAAACCAUCCCAACUAAGCCCUAUUUCGGGCUUGGCCGGAGCAAGCUUGCUCCGGCCGGCUUCCGGCUGCACGGCGGCGCGCGCAGAGGCCAGUAAUGGGUGCGGGUGAGGUGAGGAGUGAGGUGCUCACCUCAGUCGGCGGCCGGAAGCGGCGGCGGCGGCGGAGGAACAAGACAAGCCCGCACGGCUAGGGCACGGGUUCCGCGGGCACCUGCGGCCACGGCGGCGGCCGGGGAGCUCCGAGACGGCGGAGAAGGAUAGCAGGAGGCCGGAGGGACGCCUCGGGUGCGGCCCCAAGUGGCGGCGGUGCAGGGGUGGAGUCGCACGCUCGCCUCGGCCCGAGCAGGUCUGGGGCAGCUGCGGGCUGGCCGAGGCGGCGGCGGCGGCACUCUGGGCGGCUCGGGGCGGCGGCGGCCGGCGGCCAGACGUCGGGAAGGUGCUACUGGAGUCACCCAGUGCGGCGGCAAAGCGAGGAAGAGGCUACGAGCUGACCUCGGCCUGUGCUCGCUCUAGCUGCCUGAGGCGGCUUCAGCGCGGCGUGGCGGCGCUCGGCCGUGGAUGGCUCGCCGAGCACGGGACGACCCUGGCGGAGGGUCUGAAGGUCGCGGCAGUCCGCGCUUCCUCACAACCCGAGAGGAGAGAGAGAGAGGGAGAGGGGGAAGGGUGGCUCCGGCGGCGGUUGGCCAGCCGGCAUCAUCGGCGGCGGCCUGGGCGUACGCAGCAGGUGCAGGGAAGUGGCGGUGAGGUGGUGGGGGUGCGGCUCCGGGCUGUUAGGGUUAACACGGCUCCAAACCCUAAAGAGCUAUAAAUACUAAGUGUGGGCAACUUUGGGCAAAUAAGUCCCAAACUCAAGCAUUUAUUACUCGCGUCCUUCACAGCAGCGUGUAAAAGCGCGGCACCCCUCCACGUGCGAUCCCACCGAACGAAUACAUAAAAUAUCGUGACUUUUGCGAAAUUUUACCGUUUUGCCAUUCACAAGACCUCUCCCGAUCAACGCGCAAUAUCCCAGAUCUGCGUCGUUAGAUUUGCGAACAGAUUGCACCAGUGCGAUCAGGCACCGACCGAGACAACAAGCUACGGUUUCGUUUCACCACGAUCGACACGGAUUUCGGACAAAAUCCAAUCUCUUGGUUCCAAAUAGAAGGAAUAACACAUAACUACAUAUAAAAGAAGUAUUUUUGGAUUUUCUCGAAAUCCGUGCGUCAAACUCAAAAUCCGUCAGCGCCAAUAGUUCCAGAACAGCUGAACCGAUCGAAACGAGCUAUUGGACCGCUAUGAACGAAGUCCGAUACAAGCCAGAAGCCAACUUCCCACCGUGGCUUCUCCGAGAAAAUUGAGUUACUAUUCACUUUAAGUGAAACUUGGAAAUCGCGUAGAAUUUCCGUUUUAACUCAUUUUCAUCCGAAACUUGACGAGUGCUUUUGUAAUUAAAUUACACACAAAAACAUCAUCAACUGAGAGUUUAGCUACACUGCAAAAGUCUCAGUCCUUACAGUUUACCUGGGCAACUAAAUAUACAUGAUUGAUAUUUGUUAAGCCUUGGGCGGACAGGAAAAACUCUAUCCGUUCAGCGUCUGUUGAUGUACCCGAACCGACCAAGUUGGCGGUUACGGGGUGUGACAGGGAUGAAUAGAUGUAAACGAUAAACCAACCAACUCGAUACAAUAAAAAUUAAAUGCGAAAAAAUUAAUGCCAACACACCGAGAUUUUUAUGUGGAAAAACUCUAAGAGGAGUAAAACCGACGGGACCGAUCACACGAAACAAUCCACUAUUAAUAGAAAGUACAAGAUGAUUUACCGAAUCCACGACUCAAUCUUUACCCUAACUUCAAAGUAGAUCGUUUUCGUUGGUCCCCGAUCGAUUGAACUCCUCCAACCGAUCACGCCGCGACUCCUUGCAGCAACAACGCCCCAAAUCCUCGAGUGUAAGGAAGUGAAUUCUUGAAAUCCGAGGAUUAGACUUCGUUUAGAAUCAACUGAUUGUCGAGUGUGUAGAUUUCGGAAAGUCCGAAGGCGAUUAAAAUGCAUAAAGUGCAUUAAGAAUGAGUCCGCGAGAGCAUCAGUGCAAAAACCUGCACUGGAGCAAAAUUGCUCUCCGGGACCGGUCCCUGGCAGGGAGGGACCGGUCCCAUCGGCUGGUGUGGCGGGGAUCCUUGAUGCAACCGGUCCCUGGUAGGGAGGGACCGGUCCCCAAACGUUAACCCAGCGGGAGAGCCAAAAAUUUGGGUAAGUCCCAAAAAUCCAACUCUCGGGAACCGAGUCUCUCAGGCAAGGACUGGUCUCCCGGGGACCGGUCUCUCAGGCUGAGACCGGUUUCCGAACGCGAAAUCCCCUCUGCCCGAAUGGGAGGCUCUCGGGGACCUGUCUCCCCGACCUGGGACCGGUCCCUCACUGCGAAAUUGCCCGGGGAGGGCUAUUUUGUAGAGUGGAAAGUUGAGGGGUUUAAUUACAAAAUGGCCUAUAUGAGAGAUGGGGGACCCUCGUCUCUCCCUCACUGCUCUAUUUUCCCCUCACACUCUUACCCUUUCUCCCUCUCUCUCUCUCUAGAAAGAAAAGAAGGAGAAGAAGAAGGAGAGGAAGAAGAAGAAGGAGAAGAAGAGAAAGAGGAAGGAGAAGACUAAGAAGGAGAAGAAGAGAAAGAGGAAGGAGUCUCUCCCUCAAGCUUGGAGCUUGGUAUUGAAGGUAAGCCUCAACCCUACAAUGGUGAAUCCUUUGAACUUGGGUUUUAUGGUUUAGAAAUGGUUCGAAUGGAACCUAAGGGAGUUAAAUAGAUGGUUCUAGCUCGAAUUUUAGGCUCGAACCAAGGAUUUCUUUAUCGUUGCCAACCUAGGGCACGUUUUGGGGUUUUUGGAAAUCUAGGGUUUUGAUCUAUUUUGAUGGGUUGAAAACCUAAUUACUAUGUCACCGAAUGCGUGGGCGAAGACGGUUCGUCGAUACGACGAGCGAGUACGAAGAUAUCGCCGAAACGAGUACACGAGGGUUCGUUUUGGCUCGAGGAGUUGAAGCGACGUAUGAGGAUCGCGACGUCGAGUUUACUAGCUACAUGGCACUACCAAAAAGGUGGGGGAGUGCCAUCCCGAAGCAAUUGAACUGCUCUCUAUGUCUAAGUUCUAUCGUCGAUCAAAUUGCAUAUUGAACAUCAUGCAUAUAGGGAGUUUAGUCAUUUAUAUUUAUAUUCGCAUGCUAGCGUCGUUGUAGCUUAGUUGAUAUAGCACUUGAACCUAGUAUGCCUGAGUUGAACAUGAGAUAGUUAACCCUAUAUGUGAUGAACAUGUUUAUGUGAAUAAGAACCUAGUAUAUUGCAAACUAGUGUAUUGAGAACGAGUGGCAUCUAGUUAACAAUGAACACAGAACGAGUGGCAUCUAGUUAAUAUGAAACAUGAAAACCUUAGUGUAGUCGAACACUAUGGGAUUGAGAACUAGAAUACUUCGAUUCUAUGAUGGGACCAACCUUAGUUGGUAGGGUGUUCCCAGUUCAUGAGAUUGGAUCAAGCUCACAUAGCCUGUCUGCGCCUGUCGUGGUAGCUCCACACAGGUAGUGCACUUCGGAGGUCGUCACUCGAGGGGGGCCAUUGUAGAUGCCCUUGGACCAUUGUUGUUAUGUUGUUUGAUACCUUCCUUAUGCAAUCUUGCUUGAAUACUGUUCCUGGUUGGAACUUCUUGUACUUGUAUUGAUUGCGACGCCUAGGACGUACAGGGUAGACUCUGUCCGUUCGGCGGUCUGUCGGCGGUGCCGCGACCUCGGCCAAAUAGGCGGGUGGUUGCGGGUCGUGACAAUUGUUGUCACGCCCGGGUACCAGCGGAAGCAUAUCCGAUACGUGCACAGACCCGCCAUACACCUGCAGUAUAUAAGGCGUCUACGAAGAAAGCAAGUCGAUAGGGAGCAAAACAAAGAAAGUCCUAUCCUGAUAUCAGAGCAAUGUACAAGUCGANCGCGGCGACGAAAACGAGCAAAAUCGACGAUUUCUUCGUAGAGAGAGAGAAACCCUAGAGAGAGAGAGAAAAGGAGAAGGAAGAGCACUUCUCUGAGCUCAAACAUGCAUAUCUGAACAUCCCUAGUCGAGCUGGGGUCUAAUAGAUAAGGAUCAAGGGUGAAAUUACCAAAAUAGCCUUGCUGCCACAAUUCUGCCAGCUUGUACCGGUACAAGGUAAUGGCUGUACCGGUACAGCAAGCAGAAAAAAUGCUGAUUUCGUCAGUUCAAUGUAUUUUCUCACUUUUAGCAUUCCAAUCAACCUCUAACUUAUCCAAAAACUUGUUCUAACCUUUUAGAACAUGUAGGAUUGAUCCACACAUCGUUCCACACACUCGAACUCUGCUAUUUGCAAAAGUUCAGUGUCUUACAAUUGUAGCUGUCCUCAGGCGGUCUCGGGGGUAAACGAGCAGUUAGCCUCCUUCCCUAUGAGACUUACACACGUGAGACUGUGAGCGAGCCUUGAGUUCGCUGAGAGAUUGGGUAACCGGACGAGUAACAUUAUUGUUGUGCAUAGUAGUUGGUUACUUAGCCUUACCUUAUGACACAUGCAUGCAUCAUUUCAGAUUGAGGCAUAGUUAGAUGUUCAUUUUGUAUACCUGCCUGUUUAUUAUAGAUACUUUCAAUUCAGCAAAAUAUCUAUCUAUCUGCAUAUCUAUCUGUGCCAGCUUAGACCUAGUGGGGAGAUCGGCAGAGUCGGCAGCCGAACCCACUGAAAACUAUGGAAGUUAGUUCUCACCCCACUCGCUACAGGUCCGAGUUCGAGUGUCCCCGGUGAGCGCGAGGAUCGUGGCAAAGGCAUAGCGCCCUAGGGGUAUCCAUAGCUAGCUUUGCUUCCUUCUGCAUUAGUUCCACCCUAUGUUUUAUGUUUGAGAGUAGAUGAUGUAUAGGGUGAGGUUCGAGUGAUUGUAUUUAUAUUUUGGAAGAAUGUAAAAGGAUGAAAUAAUUGUAUCGAAAUUAAUGAAUUCAAUAGUUAAGUAUCUCUCUUUUGAUCACUUGUAUGCUUUACUCAUGUUGCUUGCUCUUGGUUGAUAUGCACUGUUUGUGCUUCGUUAUCGUUGUAUGAUCAUGUAUGUAAUCAAGUGUACUUCCUAGGAACUUGUGUACAUGAUCUCGUCGUUUGAGUCUUGGGCGGGCAGAGGAGUUACUGUACGUUCGGCGGUCCGUUCGCUGCGCCCGAACCGUGCCAAAUUGGUAGCGGCCUCGGGACGGGGGCGUGACAUCGAGCGUCCACCGAAUCCUCAGCCCACACGCAAAGCCCUCGCACAAUCGCUCCAUACGGAGCUCAUAGAAGAAUUGUUGGUGGUGAUUUCAAUGAAAGAACAUAAAAUGUAGCGCACUAAACUUCUACAAAUUGUGGAGUUCUAGUGAGAGAAUAGUGCUUAACAUUAUUCUGAAGGUUUUGACUGAGUUUGGAGAGCUUAGGAGUGUUUUCAAGGCUUUAUAAGCGCGAAAACGGACUCCGAAAAUCAAAUUCUGCAAAACUACAAUAUUUGUGUUGUGUAUCAGUACUGGACUUGAGGUACCGAAACUUUGCAGAGUACCAAAUUGGGCAGCUCUUGGAUUCUGUGGAACUCAACUCUGGAUAUCUGUACUGUAGUAUCCUUUAUAUAUAUAUAUGGAUGCCACAUGCCCAUGUCUAUACAUAUAUAUAUAUGUGUGGAUGCUACGUGCCCCCAUGCAUGGUUAUCCAUUCAAUUAAUUGAGGGAACAGCCUACACCUCUCUAAUUAUAUUUUUCUUUCUCUCUUUCGUGUGGAGUGGAGAGCUGAAGCGGAGGAGCCGCGUAGAGGUAGCCGCGUAGAGGUAGCCGCGAAGCUCGGAUUCGCCGUCGACGUCGCGCCGUGGAGCCGUUCGAGCCUACGUUUGUCGCCGUAGCAUCGCAAGGAGGCCGGGCGAGGGUGUGUUANCUUAGUGGGUGACCGAUGUUGUUUUGGGCGGUACCUACUGAGGACUACUUGUUUUGUAGUAGUUCUCACGCCCAGUUGUUACUCUUGUUUUGCAGAGCCACAGGUUUCGGCUGCUGCGCCUUCCGCGGAUCAGGAUCGAGGCAAGGGCGUCGCGAGUUAGAGCCCUACCCGACGAGCAGAGCUAGAGGCACCCCUACUGCAGGUAGAUGUUUUGUUUCGAGUUUAUGUACAUAGUAGCCUUAACUCGCUAGUGCGAGUAACUCUGUAUUUUGGAUUUGGACUAUGUAUAUGAAACUCAGUUUGUUUAACUUCUGUUUUCUCUAGCAGCUCUCUACUACUGUUCGUAGUAGUGUUUGACUUACAGGCACAGCUGUCGCUUCGUAUACAGGAAAAAUUUCUUUGUAUACGGCGGAUUUGUCGACGUGCCCGGGGAACGAGACAUCCGGGGCGUGACAUGUACUGCAUCGGGUGAGUACCGAAACGCAGUGAAAACCAGAAUUUCCAACGUUUGGGUUCUGCGAUACUAGUCUUCAGGUCCCAGAACUGACCGUCGAGUGCCGGUACUCCAAAUCGCGUACCAAUACUCAAUGUUGUGUUUCGUGCUGAGAGUAAUUUCUAUAUUUUGGAGUGGCUUUAGGGAUAUUAUUACAACUUGUAUAACAUGUCUCUCACCCCCUCAUUUCCCCUCUUGCUGGCUGAAGCUAGAGAAGGAGAAGAAGUGAGUUUUUCCUCUCUUCUCUUUUGAAUUUCUUCUCCUUACCCUCAAAUCUUUGGGUUUGAUCUCUGUUUCUUUCUCUUCUCUUUGGAUGCAAGCAUCUAGGCUUCAAAGGGGAGCUCGGGAUUGAAGAGAAGAGCUUGUUUGAGGAUUGAACUCUAACCCUAGCAUUUUAUAGCUUGGUUUGGAGCUUGAUUUGAGGUUAGUAUUGUCCUUUUACUCUCUAAUUGAGAGAUUUGCAACAGAUUUUUGGUGGAAAAACUAGUUUUGCAGAAACUAGGGUUUGUUUCGGGGCUUUUCAUUGGAGAGCUUUUUGGAUGGAAUUGAUGAGUGUAGAACACUCUUGUAGGUUGGAUUUGAAGCUCCAUUGGGUUGACUCGAGCCUUGAACAAGUUUUGCUUGGUCGGUCAAAGGUAAUUUUCACCUAAUUUCUAUUUGACUUUUGGUGAAUUUCGUGGGAAGCUUUUAAGAAGCUCGUAACUGUAAUAUACCGAAACUUUGGUAGACUAUAUCGAACUUUAGUCAAAUUGACCAAAGCGUGCGAGAGAGAUGGUUGGGCAAAGUCCAUAUGACAUCCCUACAGUGUUAGAGGGGUUAAAGUUGAGUUCCAAGUGAGAUUGAUAGGUUUUAACAUUGUUCGACGCGAAAUAGAGCCUAAGCACUGCCAAAACUCUGAUCUGGGUGCUACGUACCGGUAAUAAGGAAGUAGUAUCGGUACCAGGCCGGCCACCCGAGAGGGUUGCUCUCGGGUUUGGUCACUGGAGUCCGCGUACCGAUGACACCCCUGGUGCGUACCGGUACCAGGCAGCAAUCCGAGAACAGCAGCUCUCGGGUUUGGACAAUUGAACAGGGGCGUACCGGUGACAAGAAUCCGCGUAUCGGUACGCAGUGCUGAGAACAGUAGGUUGAGUCUACUGCAAAUAAAAGAAAUUGGAGGGCUUAAAUGCAAUUGUGGUGGCUUAUAAAAACCCCACACCCUCUCUUCUCUUGUUCACAGCAGUGAACACUUCCUCCUCUCUUAUUUCUCUCACUCUCUCUCUUUAGGAGCUCUUCCCCAAGGUGGUUUGGAGGAGAUUAGAGAAGAUUUAGAGGAGAUUUUGGAGCUUUGGGAGGAUCAAGGGCUCUCCUACAAGGUGUAGCUUGGUGAGCUUUUGGGCUAAGGUGAGGUUUUUUGUAAGAUCUUGUUUAGGAUUUGGUUUUAUACCCUAGAACACUUGGUUUUGAUCUUCUUACAUGAAAGAAAAUCUAAGAGAGACCUUGGAAUCUCAUGUUGAGACCAUGUUGUUUAUGAGCUCUCAUGGUAGAACUCUAGGGUUUGGUUCAAAUGCCCUAAGAGUGGAUCUAGAUGAGUUUCUAGAUGAUGUUAAGCUUGUUUUUGCUUAUCUCCAAGAUUCAUACGGUGUAUGUGCUAUAGAGCAUUGUUAGGGCUCCAAAAUUGAGGCUUUUGUCAUAGAUUGGUUUAAAUAUAAAUUGAUCAUGUAGAAACCAAAUUGAAGGUAUUUUCGACGCGUUAGGAGACUCGGUUCGAAGAUCCGACGAGUCUACCCGAAGAUAUUGGAGAAAAAGCCUAUUUCGGCUUCGUUUUGCCGCAGGCGAGAGAAUAGGCGGCUAAAAAUCACGAAAAUCAAACCGUAGCACCUUAGCAACCCUACAAGGUGGGUGGUUCUUUUUGAAAUCCUCGAAUUUUAUUUUAUGUCUAAAAUAUCAUUUCUUGAGCAUAUGUGUAUAUUGAGCUUCAUGCAUUGUAGGGUGAUUGAGAGUUUGUUGUUGCAUAUUGUGAGUACAAAUGCAUAUGAGAUGAUUGUAAACUAAUGAGAACUUGUAAAACCCUAUGUAUGCAUGAAUGAUGAUAAGAACCUAGAAAAGGCAAAGAAUCUAGUGACAAUGAGAACAAAUGACAUUAUGACAUCGAUAGUAGAGUGGCAACAAUGAGUUUUGAAUGCUAGUGUACAAGUGUGGCAUUAAUGAGUAUUGAAUGCUAGAGAUAAACACAUAGUGUAUGUGGCAUUAACGAGUCAAAAAUGCAUGAGAAUGAAUAUAAAGAACAUUUAGUGUGUGGCACUAAUGAAUGAGUUUAAAGAAUGUAAAAAAAUGGCAUAUGUGACAUAGCAUCCUCAAAGUUGAGGCAUCCUUAUAGUUAAGGAAUGGAUUGAACUUGACAUCCUUAUAGCUAAGGAUUGGAUCAUACUCACCUAUAAGUCUUGGCUUGAGGGCAGUCGCACCCCCUCGAGCGAUGAGCUCCGAAGUAGUCAUCACUGGGUUGUAGCGAGUAUCUCCCCAGAGAACGGUCCCGUCGGGUUGUAGCGAGUAUCUCCCCGAUAGUAGGGAUUUGAGUUGGUGAGUCUAUUGAGGGCAAACCUACGAGUUAGCCAAAAGAUUGAGUAAUGAAAAUGUGAUCUUGCAUGCAUCAAGAGCAUUUUAUUUGAGCAUCAUUAUUGAUUAUAUCUUGUUCAGGCAUAUUAGCUGCAUUUGUAUAGUUUGGUUACUAUCUAUCUAUUUAUUCUUCUAUUAUGCCUGACUUAGACCUAGUGGGAAAGUCGGCAAGGUCGGCGGCCGAACCCACUGGAAACUUUGUUGUAGUUCUCACCCCACUAUUUCCACAGAGCCGGACCGAGUGAGCCGACCGACGAUCGCGAUAAAAGUAUCGCGCCAUAGACAGUGACUACCCGAGUCGGUUUCAUACUUGUUUAGUUCAUACCCUCUUUAUAUUAUCUUUUGUAUUUGAUGAUGUUAGUAUUAUGAAUGUGAUAAAUGAUGUAAAGAGAGCUUAUGUAUGAAUGUAAAGGCUUAUAUUUUGAGAAUUCUUGUGAUGUAAAAGAAAUGAUGAAAAGAAUGUAAAUGUAAAAGUUGAAUGCAUGUAUGUGGUUAAAAGUUGAUCAUAUUACUUGUAUAUUGUUUAGUUUAGUACUUUCACUUUUGGCUAUUGCUUGCCCUCGUGCAAGCCAUGUAUAUCUUUGUUCCGCCGUGUAGAAUUUAUAUAUACAUGAUCUGUACUUGCGUUGAGCCUUGGGCGGACAAGGAAGGUGCUGUCCGUUCGGCGUCUAUUCGACGUGCCCGAACCGACCAAAUGGGCCGGUCCCAGGGCGUGACAGAUUUAGUGGUAUCAAAGCCUGAAAAGUGAAAGUAUAGGAUGGACCUAGAAACCCUUAGGAUGGAAAACUUAGGGAUCUAGGGAACAUGAGCGACGUGGAAUCAAUUGAUAGCGAAAGCGUUAUGGAUUAGGUGAUGUUAGUAUGUCUCUAAUGUGGUUAGGGGCUAAUCCAAGUUGAUAUUUAUUCUCUGCUCGUGUUGCGUUGGGCGGCCGACGACAUAAUGCUUCGGAAUGAGAAUGAAUACAAGGUCGAUGCCCGAGGAACCGAGUGCGGCUCCUGAGCAAUCCGGAGCAAGUGGUGACGGGGAGCUUCGGGAGCAAGUGUCCGCACUCAUUGGAGUGGUGUGGCAACAAGCGGAGUCCGUGCAACAUCAAGGGGAGCAAAUUCAAAGACUUCAAGAGGCCUUAGAGCGACAGCAGGCGGCGGCGGCUCAAGUGGGUGUCGAGCAACAUGCACCCCCUGUAGUGAUGCCGAGUGCGGCCGAGGGCGUUGCCGCGGCGGCUAUACCAGUCGCGGCGGUGGCAGCUGGUUUGGGAACCUCAAAUCCUGAUAGUGCGACUAUGGAAGCGGAGCGAGAGCGUGCGCUUGCCGCUCUCAUCAUGUUCAAGAAGUUCAGCCCACCUACGUUCGACGGGAAAAAGGUGGAGCCGUCGAUGGAGUCAUGGAUCGACGCGAUGGAAUCGCUCUUCGAGGAUAUAUAUACCUUAGAGAAGGACAAGGUGCACCUCACCACUCAUUGUUUUGAGAAAGCGGUGAGGUGUUGUGGAAACGGGUGAAGCGUGAUCGAUCUUCCGACCUUCCGCCUAUACUCUCGGAGGAGUUUCGGAGGUUGAUGUUCGCGAAUUAUUUCCCCGAUACGGUGAAGCGGAAGCUACAAGAUAAGUUCCGCAAGUUGAGGCAAGGAGACCGUUCGGUGGGAGAAUUUCAGCAGGAGUUCUCUCACAUUAUUUAUUGUGUCCCGGAUGUGGUUAGGGAUGAUCGGGAUCGGGCCGACUGGUUAUUGCGAGGACUUCGGCCGGAUAUUUACAAGGCCGUGCAAUUAUUCAAGCUCACAACCUUUGCGCAGGUCUUCGAUCGAGCAUUGUGGGCGGAGCACGACAAUGCCUACGCGCGAGAAGAACGCAGGUCUAUGGAUAAGGAAAGGGAUAGAGAGAAAAAGCGGACUGCGGGUGGUGCUGAGGGUUGAUCGAAUGCAAAGAAGCCCCCUCGGUAUCCCCGGCAGCAGUCGAGGAGUUGGAGGCCCACUCGUUGUACUAUUUGCGGCGGUGAUCAUUGAUCGCCGGCAUGCCCGCAGCGUGAUAGAAAGUGUUAUUAAUGUGGCCAAACGGGACAUAUUGCCCGGGAUUGCCUGAGUUGGACGUCGUCUGCACCGACGGCGGCAUCAGUUUCUUCUACUCCGAGAUAGCUCGCGAGGUUGCCACCGGCUAUGUCGGCUGGACGCUUAUCAGCACCGCGUCAGCCGAGAGAUCUCGAGCACCGAGUGGACGGGUUUUCGCCACUUAGGUGGAGGAGCCUGCCGUACAAGAUGACGUGAUGGCGGGUUUUGUCUUAAUUAAUGGUACUAGAGCUAGAACUUUAUUUGACAUAGGUGCAUCUCAUUCAUUUAUUGGCGCAUCAUUUACAAAAACUCAUGGCAUUGAGGUGUUGUAUAGCCCAGAUUAUUGGUGGGUUAAUGCACCAGAGCAUUUAUUUAGUGCUCACAAGGAGUGCGCGGUGUGUCCAGUUAAGAUAGGUGAUUAGGUUAUGCCGGCAAACUUACUAGUGCUAAACCAAAUGUGGGGCUUCGAUGUAAUCUUGGGGAUCUAUUGGCUCUCGAAGUACUAUGCGGUUAUAGAUUGUAAGAGCAAGGUGAUCACUUUUUGUGAGCCUAACCAAAAGGAGUUAGUGUAUCGUGCUUGCAAGAGCUCGUGUUUCGCAGCGACCGUAUCGGCGGCGAGGGCAAGAAAAAUGAUUAAGGGUGGAUGUGUGGCCUAUUUGGCGACAAUGGUAGAGACUCAAAGGGAGCACCCGGAACUCGGGGAUAUCCGAGUAGCAUAUGAAUUUCCGGAUGUAUUUCCGGCGGAGUUACCGGGAUUGCCACCGGACCGGGAGAUCGAGUUCGUCAUUGACUUGGUUCCCGGGGCAGCGCCAAUUUCGAAGGCUCUGUCGGAUCGUUGGCGCUAACCAUUAAUCCCAAAAGCUCGAGCUGUUAGAAAUACGCAACCAAUUCACUUAAAGCGUACAGAAAUAGCGCCCACGGGUCUCGAUUGUGACUCGACCCACCUGGCCUCACGCCACUUUGAACAUGACUCGGCCCAACCCAGCCCACGCCAUUUCGAACAUGAUUCGACCCACAUGGCCUCCCGCCACAGGGCAGGAUGCUGGCCCAUUUAAGCCAACAAUCCCCCCUCCAGCACCUGCACACAUUUGCAGCAUGCAAGAAUCGAACCCGUGACCUCUGGCUCUGAUACCACUUGUCGGAUCGUUGGCGCUAACCAUUAAUCCCAAAAGCUCGAGCUGUUAGAAAUACGCAACCAAUUCACUUAAAGCGUACAGCGUACAGAAACAGCACCCACGGGUCUCGAUUGUGACUCGGCCCACCUGGCCUCACGCCACUUCGAACAUGACUCGGCCCAACCCAGCCUCACGCCAUUUCGAACAUGACUCGGCCCACAUGGCCUCCCGCCACAUGGCAGGAUGCUGGCCCAUUUAAGCCAACAGGCUCCGUAUAGAAUGGCACCGGCGGAGUUAGUGGAGUUGAAAGCCCAAUUGCAAGACUUGCUUGAUAAAGGCUUUGUGAGGCCGAGCGUAUCACCGUGGGGAGCUCCGGUGCUAUUUGUGAAGAAAAAGAUGGAACACUUCAACUCUGCAUGGAUUAUCGCGAGUUGAACAAAGUGACAAUCAAGAAUAAGUACCCUUUGCCGAGGAUUGAUGAUUUGUCCUAUUAGUUGCAAGGGUUGCGGGUAUACUCGAAGAUUGAUCUUCAGUCGUGAUAUCACCAAUUGAAGAUCAGGCCGAAGGAUGUGCACAAGACGGCGUGUCGUACGCGGUAUGGCCACUACAAGUUCACGGUAAUGCCGUUUGGGCUUACUAACAUCCCGGCAACAUUUAUGGACUUAAUGAAUCGAGCCUUUUGACCGUUGUUAGAGAUGUCAACGGGUCAAAUUCAGGGUAGAUUUUUAAAAACCCGAACCCGACUCCAAACCCGAGACCCGAACCCGAACCCGAACCCGACGGAUUUUAAAAAUUCAUAUCCAAACCCGAACCCGACCAAAAAUUCGAAACCCGAACCCGAACCCGAACCCGAAAAUUUAAACCCGAAACAAUUAUUUCUUUUUUCAAUAUUUCAAAAUAUAUUAUAUUAAAUCUAAAUUUUUAAAAUACAAAUUCAAAUAUAACAUCUUUUAUGCCCCGAAUUACACGUUUCCCGGGCACGCCGACAAAUCCGCCGUAUACAAAGGAAUUUCCCCUGUAUACGAAGCGAUAACUGUACUUGUAAAUCAUACAAUACUACAAACAGUAGUAUAGAGCUGCUAGAAGAACCAGAAAUAAAACAAACCGAGUUUCAUAUACAUACGCCAAAAAUCAAGAUACAAAACUACUCACACCGGCGAGUUAAAUAUGUAUGUACAUGAACUCCAACAAAAACAACUACCUGCUGUAGGGGCACCUCUAGCUCGGCUCGUCGGGUAGGGCUCUAACUCGCGACGCCCUUGCCUCGAUCCUGAUCAGCAAUAGCAGCAGCCGAAGACGAAGGCUCUGCAAAAACGGGGUAACAACAGGGCGUGAGAACUACUGUAAAACAAGUAGUCCUUAGUGGGUGCCGCCCUCAAUAUCAUAGGUCCACCCACUAAGUCUACAGAUCUAAACUCAGUGAUAGAAAAGGAAGCUGGAACAAAUCUACAGCUAUAUGCCACUAUCCUAACAUGAUCCAAUACUACUAUCUGUCGAGUAAUGCAGCCUCAGACCUAAAUCCGUAGGGACUGUGAAAACACCCGUCCUAGGGACUGUUAACGCACCCGUCCCGCCUAUCGAAUCCUAAAUGCUACCUCCACACUAACAAGUCCGUGGUGAGCAAGUCCAACCAGGACACUAUACAACGCAAACGCACAAAGCCCGACUCCGGAGUGGCACUCGUGGGCGCUACCCAACCGAGUAUGCAAGCGUAUCUCUACUGAGCUCAAUCAGGCUCUCACAGGCUAUAAUCAAGUAAACAGAAUCCAACUGGUCUAACAAUCAAGACUCACGUACUCUCGGCACAAACUGAUGCAAAACCCGCAAUCUGGUCCACCGUCAACCCCGACGGCACCUGACAGUCUGAAACAGCCUAGACACUGCUGUAAAAAAAUAAGCUCUGCGUCUCCGCCCGAGCGUAACUGUAUUCUACACUAUUCCGGGUAUCCACCGCCAACAAACUGCGGUGAUACAGUUCUACUACAGCUUCUAAGCUUUCAGCGUAUCAAAAGCACACAACAGUGUGGAUACUAUCCGCGACAACUCCCAAAGCUAUCUGAGUAUCAAAUGCGCACUAACAGCGGGGAUACAAAGCACAACAGCUUCAGAAGCUAUCUGAGUAUCAAUCGCGCACUAACAGCGGGGAUACGAAGCACAAAAGCUUAAGGAGCGAGCAGAAAAGACAGUGUAGAACCUACAAUUAAAUAUUACCCAAGUUCGGCAUCCCGCCCGAGCGUAAAUGCAUUCUAAACUACCCCGGGUAUCCACCGCGCUGAAACAACAGUGAUACAAUCAAACCACGGCUCCUAGAGCUAAAUCAGGUAGUAGAAUCAUAUGACAGGUCGAAUCGCUGGUUUUCUCCUAAGUCAAAUUCCAAGUCCAACAUGUAUAUUCAACCAAUUACUAUUCAUGCUCCCAAUUUAGCUUUCAUACAAUAACCCAACCAAUGAAUUUGAGCUACAACAGGAUAUUCCGAAGUCGAAACUAUACAUGUUUACUAUACAUAUACUUAGGAGCAAAAUCGAUGAUAAACCCACCUUAAUAGCUAAUCCCUGGCAGCAAAGAACUCCCUCAGCUGCGGAACAACCUGCUUGAUAGACCGAAGUCCUCCAAGUCCAAAAAUCGAGCUAACUCCAAGCUCUACAAUCGAAAUCCAUCAAUUCUGUCCACGUAUAACAACAGCAGGGUAAAAUAAGGUUCGACCAAGCUAACCUUCAUCAAAUCCUGCAAUCUUAGAUUUCGUGGAUUCCUCUCGAAGUCCUAAAUCAAACGAACCAAGUCUCACUGCAAUCCGACGUUCCUACGUCGCACACGAGCCGAAACGCCAACGGUCGACGCAGGAAAUCUGCAAAAACAGCAUCCUUGAGCUUAAAGUAGUUGAAGUGAUGUCAAUGGAUCACUCACCUCGAAAACCCCUCUAGAAUCGGCGCAACGUCGAGAACGGCAAAAAACCACGCUCACCCAGCCUCCUCACAGCACCACGACGAUGAAGACACACUCAAAUGGCACCGCGGCGCGACAUCAAUAACACUCGAACUCCACCCGAGCUCCUCCUUGCCCACGGUCCAGGCUAGAGAGAGAGGAGAAUAAGGACAGGGAAAACUCACUCUCUCUUAGCUCUACACAAGCCUAAAUACAGUGAGAGAGAAAGGGUGACACGAACGAAGUGGAAAAAGACCAAAAAGUCCUCCUACCUACCCUGGCAUACCGGUACACGGGCCCGUGUACCGGUAUAGUGGCCAACCCGAGAGCAAGCUGAGUGAAGCCCUGAGCAGUGUACCGGUACACCGUGAUGUCUGUACCGGUACAGCAAGCAGGAAACUGCUAUUUGCAGAUUUUCUUACUAAAUGCUGCUUUCGCGUCGCACAGAGUCCGUUUUGCGUCUGUUUCACGCCAGACCGCGACUAAGCUGUCCCGACACUCUCACAGAGCUGUCAGUCAAGCCUCAACCACCAAACACCAAGGAUCUCACACAUCAAAUAUAUACAUAUAUAUAUAUUAUAUAUAUAUAUAUAUAUAUAUAUAAUAUAUAUAUAUAUAUAUAUAUAUAUUAUAUAUAUAAAAUACAAAAUGAAUUCGGGUUCGGGUCGAGUUCUGGUUCGUGUCGGGUAUAAUCAAAAUCCAUAUCCGAAUCUAUAUCCGUCGGGUUUCUAUUUUUGAUAUCCAUAUCCGAAUCCAUAUCCAUGUCCAUCGGAUAUAUCCGUUUCAUUCGAGUUCGGGUUCGGAUAAAAUUUCGGGUAUCUGUACCCAUUGACAUCCCUAACCGUUGUUGGAUCGAUGCGUCGUGGUGUUCAUUGACGACUUGUUGGUUUAUUCACGGAGCGAAGAGGAACACGAGGGGCAUUUGAGAACCGUAUUGUAAAUACUCCAAAAAGAUAAGCUUUAUGCCAAGCUAAAGAAGUGCGAUUUUUGGCUUUCGGAGGUUACCUUUUUAGGCCAUAUGAUAUUGGGUGAUGGUCGAACACUCGCCAUGGAAUACAUCGCCAUGUGAUAUCGGGUGAUCCCUGAUCCGUGUCGAACACUCGUCCGCCGCCGUCGGAGCUCCCCGUCGGCCAAACUUGGGCCGUGCUCUCCUCGGCUUAGUGUGGCUAGGGCAUCAUUGCCCGCUGCAGCCACUGCCUUCCAUCGCCGGUUGACGCGCACCCCGACCUCCUUCCGUCGCCAGCACCUGCCUGCAGCCGGCGUGCCCGCCUCCGGGUUGCCGCCUGCCGUGCCGUAGCUCCCCUUGGCCCGGUAUGAUUAAUUUCAGCUUUACUGCGCACUGUUUCUUGUUUGGGUCACUGUUCCGGCGACCCGGGGCUGUUCCGAUGCCUCUGGAGGUGAGCAUGGUGAUCAUAAGUCAGUGCUGAUCACAGUGCUCACCUCAUUUGGGAUCAAUGAGCCCCGGAUUGCGGAAUUAGAUGCGUUUAAGUCUCAGUACAGGGUUCACUGAACUACGCGUCGACCGUACGCUUGCCACAGUGGCCGGCAGUGCUCUGAAGUAUGAGCACGGCCUCCGGCAUGCCGAGACCUGUCAGCGGGUGUCUCGGCUUGGCUGGAAGAUCCUCGGUUUGCGCUGUUGGGCCAUAAAAGCUCGAAAAUCACAUAAAAUAAUAUGAUUUUAUGUAAUCAGGAGGGCUUUUAUGCAAUUGCACAUUUUGUGGCUGCUGUUGGUAGUGUGUGCGGGCAGCGGAUAACCUCUAGACUAAUUGUCCAAUGCCCCAGACCCUUGCAAAGAUCGAAAACUCAUUUUCGGUGUAUUUUUCAGCGAAAUCCGCCGACGGAAUGCGUUAUCGAUUUGGGAUUCUUCCGACGGUGCCUUGUGAUAAAUUGUUUUGUUGCUGAGCCCUGUUGGCUGGUCACCCACAUCGUUUCGAGGGUCCGAAAACGACGGGUGAGCGACGGUGGGUUCUGGUGUCGAAUUGGAUUCUUUCGAGAACCCGGAUCGAAACGAUUAUCCGAUGAUAAUUGUUUUGAAGCGAGAUAGUGUAAUUGCUGCCAAGCCACACUAAAUAUUGAGUUUGAUGGCAGCAGUUGACUCGUUGCACGAGUCGGUGUAUUCCGGGUGGGUCCCGGCGGAGUCCCAGUGCGAUUUUCGGGACUUCCGGCGUAUUACGGGAGUCGGUUUUGGGAAACCGAUUCCCGUAGGGUUAUUGGUGGGGAUUGUGAGUUAGUGAUACAUGUUGGUGGGUUAGAUUCUAACCCGGUGGACCCUUCGUAGGUCCGGUUAUUUCGUCUCCGCAGUCGAGAAACCAGUACCAGAUACGUACAGAUGGGUACUUCGACCCGAAGUCGGGACAGUGGUGCACGCUCGGUGACAUUUCCUUCACUCUUUUCGUGUUGUUUAUCUUGCAUGUUAUAUGUUGAGCCUAGCACCUAUACCAUAUCUCUUUAUUGCUCUACUUAGUUAGUUGCGUACCCCGUAUCAUAUUUUAGAAGUAGAGCGGUUUUGAGAUUACUUGUGAGAUUUAUGACCUAGUCGGUCAGUGCGUUGCAUCUGGUAUUGUGACAUUGUUGGUCGGUUCUUGUAUCUCGUAUUUUUGACCUAUUCAGUCGGUUUACUGUAUUGUUAUCGAGACCUACUUGGUCGAUUGGACUAUUUGAUGACCUAUAUGGUCGAUAUACCCUGAGGGGUAGGAUUGUCGGCUGGUUGCCGACGGUUGAUUAUUCAGCAUAUCAGCAUUGAUCGCCCGAUACUCGUAUGCAUUUCACGAACACCAGCGGCCUGAUCCACCGCAAGAGAGUGUUCUUUUUCGGAAAAGUAUUUUGGCGGUGCCAACCCGUGAGCCCAAGAGAGGUUAUAUGCUUGGUCUGCGGUGCGGACCAACAAGGCACAGCUUGAGGUCUGCGGUGCUGACCAACAGAGCACAGGUUUCAGAUUGGGUAUUUUUGGACUUAUCGUUCGGUUAAUGCAUACAUACAGUAGCGGUAGUUGUGCAUUUAUACAUCAUGUUCAUUUAUUAUCGUUGCUACUGUAUUUCACUUACCUAUAUAGUUGUUUAUCCUCCUUGACUAGUGAGUACCCCUCGCCCUCGUCGGCUUGCAGUACCCACUGGGAUGGGAGACAUAUUUACAUGUUCUCAACCCCUACCCCCAUUACAGGUGAUGUCGCGGGUCCUAGUGGGACGGUUCGUGAGGAGCAAGUCUAGCGAUCGAUAGUGCCACCGUCCCGUUGUUUGGUUAAUUCUCAAACUCAGUUCCUUUUAAAUAAUUGACUUAGAUAGUUAUAUAGUUCAGUAGUUUAUUACAUUUGAAUAAUUGGAAUUUUUAUGAAUGUAAUAAAGAAUUUGUGAUUCUUGCAAACUAAAAAUAGUUUUCUACCCUUCAUGGUAGUGAGUUUUAAAAGAAAAAGGUUUCCGUGUAGGAGACAGUUUUUAAAGGGUUUUCUCUUGGUUUUCAUGACUUAGUAUUUCAAAACAAGUUUCCGGAUGGAAAACAUUUUAAACUAAUAGUUGUGGAUUUAUGGAUAAACUCUGGAUGUGAAUUUGAAUGUGAAUGGUGUAUAAAUGUAUGUAUAUUCAUAUGUAGUGGUUGUAUCCUGUUUUAUGUAUCUUGUACUUGCGCGACGCCGUGCAAAUACAGGGGAGACUCUGUCCGUGUGAACAGUGGACUCCCUGUAUUUGUGGCGGAUCUGGCAUACCCUGGGGGUCAGAUUUUUCAAAAAAAAAAAAAUUGGGCACUUCCGCUUUACUUUUAAAUCAAAAAGGGACCCCGGGGCGUGACAGUAUCAUAGGUCUAAAGAUCAGUUCUACCACUGCAACAUCGAACCAGUUACUGACGAAUGAGUAGACAUCCAUGUAACUGUUUGUAGUUGGUCACGCUCAGUACCCUUGUUCUCCGACAACCACCUGCAUGUUCGCUCCAGUGUCCCCACACUGUGACUCGAGAUUCGUCAUCCCAAAAGGGAAGCGGCACACAUCAAUCUUAUCGGAUCAAUCAUCGUCCCCAUGAUGAUCCUCUGAUUGAGAGCAUUUAUGAUUUAAUCACCAAUAAUAUGUAUCUCAAAUUCUCAACUCUUGAGAAUACAUAUUAUCAUCUUAUUAAUUCGAAGGACGAUUCACGGACACAUUAAACAUGAAUGGAAUAAAAGGCAAAAUUAUAUAAAUAAUAAAGAUUAAGUACAAAUAUAUAUCCCAUAGAAAAUAAAAUGCGUCAGCUUGAUAGGCUUCUAGGGCAUGCUAGUAACACACUAAUAUAACCAUCAACUAUGUAUGCAUCAACUACUAGUGAAGUACUAUGUCAAGGUUGAUUACAUUCACCUAAUUAACGAGGGACUUACACGUGGUACAGUCCCGGCUCGUGCCAUGCCUAAUGGCCCCGUGGUAGUCAACACUCCCCACGGCAUCCUACUUCGGUGCCUAAUUCCGCACGGGUGAUCAAUCGUCACAAGGCUACUCCGGAGUGCCGGCUUGUAGGAAGCGACCCUCACAAGCUUGUGCAAAUGAGCACAAUGGCAAGCAAGCGUGAUCAAAUCCUCAAUCAUCAUGUCUAAAACAUGAAAUUUCCAACAUCGACUCGAAGGUCGGGUACUAGAUCAUUCAUGUCAUAAUUGGUUCACAAAUACAUUGGUGGUAUGACCCUGCCGACACAUAAUAUGCCUCAAGCAUGCAUUGGUUCACAUCUUAUUAUCCUAUCUAGGAUAGUUCACUAUUUUGAUCAAGACUCAAAAGAGGUUUCAUAACACACUAUCCCACUAUAGCCAAGGGAGUCAUUUACUAAUGCCAUAUGCAAAGGAGUUAUCAUGCAAGCAAUUUCAUUCAACUAGUAUUAUAUGCAAUUAUCCCUAUUAUUGUUUGCCCAAAGGCAUUGUAAUCUCAUUCGUCAUGUCUAAAAUAUGGAAUACAACUAACGAUCUCUAGAUCAAAUAGUUUGUCACAAUGUAAAGUUCUAAUUGUUCAGUUACGUUAAGUACACCAUGCUUAGUUUCAUGUUUAACCCUAUCAUGCAUUAUGUCACCUUUACCUUGUUUAUAACAAGUAUAUUGUUCAUCAUGCAAGUUAAUCACUUUUUCUAUUCCAUUUGCUAUGUAUACUCUGUAGGAUAAAUCAUUAUUCAUCACUAACAUGUUUCCUAAUGCUGCAUAAGAGAAAAUCGUCAUGAAGUACUAUUUAAUUCACAUGUCCAUAUUGUAAGCCUCUAUUUCAUAGAGCAUAAAGAUUUCUACACAUAACAUAUAUGAAGCAUGUAUUCAAAAGUUCUCUCAUGUCAUAAUUAGCAUGAAUAUGCAUCUAAUUAAGUCUAAAGAUAAUAUGGAAGACAUAGAGGGAGUUCACCCAUUUCGGUUAAGUCAAACCCACUGGAUACUCCUCGAGCCCUUUCAUUCCUUCGAACAAAGUUGUCCACCAAGAUCCUAGCACCCUAAGAGAAUUUCUAAAAAGGUUAUAAGCUUCGAAUGAACCUCAUACGAAAAUACCCAAAAAUCAAGUCUAAAAUGGGUAGAAAAUAUCUUUACCCAAGAAGAACUUGUCCAAUGUCCAAAUUGAAGCUAUAAAGCUUCAAAUCCAACCUAAAAGGGAGUUCUACACUCAUCAAUUAGGUUCCAAAGGCCUCACAACAAGAAAUCCCAAAAUAAACCCUAGUUCUUCCAAAACCAGAUUUUUAUCUACAAAUCUUGAAAAAUCUAUAAAUAAAUGUUGCAAGAUGAGUACUAACCUUCAAGAAAGCUCCAAAUCAAGCUAAACUUGAGCUAGGAUUGGAGUUUAAUCCUCAACAAAACUUCCUUCUUCACAUCCAAGGCUUCCAAGAAGCAAGCAACCAUGAAGAGAAAGAAGAAAAGAGAUCAAAACCCAAAGCAAAAAGGAGUUUGGGGAGAAAAUCUAGAGAGAGAAAGGGAGAAAAACCCUACCUUUGCCUCUCUCCAAGCUAAGCACAAAGAGGGCACGUGGGAGGGAGGGGGUGUUAUAAAAGUGAUAUAACAAUUCCCUCAAAACCCCUCAAAAUCCCAAAAAUUACAAACUGCACGAACUGCAGUUUUCUGCGUUGAGUACCGGUACUCGAAUUAGAGUACCGGUACCCAGCCCUUAGCCUCACAAAACCAAAGCGUAGAACCUUCGGGUUUAAUACAGUAUACCGGUACCCACGCAAUGCAGUACCGGUACUUAGCCCCAGUACCGAUACCCAACACCAGUACCGGUACUCAGCACCCCAAAUCUCAAACCCGAGAGCUGCUACUCUCUGGCACGCAAUGGGGUUACGGUACCAACCUCCAGUACCAGUACUCAGCUCUAAAAUCUGCUGUUUGCAGAUUUUGAUGCCGAAAGCCUGUUCUCGUGCAUAAUAGGCUCCAGUAACAGGCAGAACAACACAGACCACUCUCAAAACACCCAGAAUAGUUGAAAAUACUAUUCUUACACCAGAACCUUGCAAUUUGCUAAAGUUCAGUGUGCUACAAACCUGAUUUGGAACAUUGCCUAUGAAGUCUCCAGCCUUUCCGACGCGAGCUUUCAGACCUCGAGAUUGGGGUUCACACAAGGACGAUCCAAAUGGUGCCUAAUAGGUUGAAAGGUGAUGUUGAGGUUGGUGCUACUGAUAUUGCCCUCGUUGAUUGUGGUGUGGGAGAUGUAUUAACUGCAAAGUUGGAUAAAAAUUCUCUCGCUAAUGAGCCAAAAUUAAUUGGAAAGAAAGGAGUGUCCAAAAACUUACAAAAGAAUGGCAAUGAUCUGGAUGGUUGUGUGGAUGUGGGAUUGGACAAGAAACAACCUCCGCAGGGGCUCUGUGCUUCAAUGUCAUCUCGGGGGACAAAAUGUCUUAUAAAGAAGCUGUCUUAAAGCAACCUUCUACACCUAAGCUUGCCAUUGUUAAACACCACAAGUGUGACGACGAUCGAAGUGGUUGGUGAAGGUGAAACGUUCCACUGCUAGGAGGUGCUCAAGAUGUGUUGGAUGUGACCACAAAGCGGUUGCCUGCCGCUAUCCCAUUAGGUGCUUACGGUGUCCCAAAACUAGUCAUACGGCACGACUGUGCAAGGAAGGUGUCAAUGAUAGAAAGGGAAACAUGUUCAGGGCACAACAUACACGUGGUCGAGCGGCGGUUACGAGGACGUAUGUCCCUUACACUGAAGAAUAUUUCACACGAAGGGAGCUCCGCCAGAAUGCUGUACCGGUGGAGAUCGUGGAUGCUGCGAAUAUUGGACAUUCACCGCAACUUUCGAUUGCCAAUGCUUUAGCAGAUCAAUUCGGUGGGUAUCCGACGAACUUUAUGGUGGCAAAAUAUAGAGAGCACUCUUUUGCUAUCUUUUUACCCCAGUGGGUCCUGACUGAGACACUUGUGUGGCGACAAACCAUCACCCUAGAGGGUUUUUGGCUGCGAUGCUACCCGUGGGGACCAUACCGGUAUGUUAUUAUAUUCAGGCCGACGUUCAAAGUUUGGAUCAAACUCAUCAACCUGUCGUUUGAAUGUUGGACAGUUGCGUGAGUCUCAGCAAUCAUCAGCGGGUUCGAAAGAUUUCUAAGGGCCGACGAACCUACAAGACAAUUAACUGACUUAAGGGCAUUUCAAUAUCGUGUUGCUGUCAAUGAUCGUAGGGACAUACCUCAUAACUUAUCAGUGAUAUUCGGAGAUGAUUGUUUCUCUAUCUUGGUGCACAUUGACUAUUGGGAAAGGGAAAGUGACGAUGGGAACCCACCUCUACCACCACCACCACUACUACCAACGGGAGAAUCAGCCAAGAGAGACGAUAGGAAUGAAGGUGUACAGAACCGAGCUCUCGAAGGUCACCAGAUCAGGGGAGGAGAUGAAGAGUUAGGGGAGGCUAACUCUGACAAAGAACCCAGAAGAACAAAGAUAUCGGCCAACUAUCCUAGGCAAAUGAGAUUUUCAGAAGGUUUGUAGGAACGACGUGAACAAGGUGUCGUCAAUAGUUCGAGGAAGACCAUCUCCGGCGACGAUGGUAAGCCGAAAUUCAGGGGUACUGAAGCACACGACGUUAGGGCAUUCUUGGAGUCUCAUGCGCCGUUGGUCCACAGCCCGCAUGCCGCGGUCCACAAAACCUGCUUGCCGAGGUGCAACCCCUGGGGAUGUGUCCUCGAGUACAGCGUCCAAGCGAAGACGAAUGGCGUUCUAAGAACAUUUUCACAAAAUCAGAUUUUUUUCAAAGUAGGGAGGAGUUCGAAGUCUCCAGGCAAUUCUGUUUUUGGGUUGCUUCAAGUGGGAUUGUGAAGAUUUACAAGGUGAAGGACGACGGCACGGUGUACGAUGAGCUUCUCUCCACCAAAUGUGCUAAAUGCAUUCAUUACGUUGGUGACUUAUUUUUUAUGCUUUCGGAGAAAGUAAGUGGGGCCCACAUAACUUUUUUUCUCUUGGGGUAGAGAUGGCAAGAGGUUUAAUGUCAUUAAUUGGUGGGGCUCACGCCAAUUAUGGCGGUUGACUUAAGUUGGGAAUGUGUACCUAUUAACCCAGAGUGCUGCAUAGUUAAAGUUGGUAAUAACACUUUGUUAUUGGGCUGGGUUAAUGGGUUUCAAUGGGAGAAGAUUACUAAGGAGGUUGUAAUUGACAAGAUUUUUUUUUCAGAAAACUAUUAAUCCAUUGGAAGGGGCUGACGAACAUGAUGGACAAGUGGAGAACAAGUGUUCGGCUAUGGGUCAGUGGCAGAAAUGGACCCAAGACUACAAUUAGAACCCAAGAAAAUAGUAUCUACUCGACGGGUCAGUACUCGGUUAGCCAAGAACUAUUGUGAGUCAAUGACUUGUUGUCACGCCCCAGGGCUGAUUUUAAAAUCCUUUUUAACAUCCAUUACCAUGUUUAAAAUCAGAGUUGCGAAAAUCAUGCCCCUUUUUUUUUCAACCUGACCCACGUGACGUAUAGACCCGCCACAAAUACAAAGUUCUUCUGUCCACUCGGACAGAGUCUCCUUUGUAUUUGCACGGUGUACCAACAACAUCAACAGGAUCACAACCACAGUCUAUAUUUACCAAUCAACAACCAAUUCAUGCCAUACAUUUCCAUACAACUAACAAUUCUUAGAAAUGAUGCAUUCCUCUAAACACUCCUUAGGCACUGGGUGAUGCAAUGCACAAUACAACAAACAUUCUAUUUAAAAGUGCUCCCCACCUGGAAGCUUUGUUUUUAAACUCUAAUUCAAUCAUUCAUGUAAAUCAUUCGAAAACCUUUUUAAAACUAUUUCCCACUCGAAAACUUUAUUUUGAAAAUCGACUGCCUCGAGGGGUAGAAAACCACGAUGCAUAAUGUACAAAUCCAAAACCAAGAACCCAUAUAACUAAUAUCACAGAUCCACAAUCUCUAAUCAGAUGCAUAAUGGAAAUCAUCAACUCGAACAAUUCACGAAUAUUCAAACAUCAAAUAUGAUCAUCUAACUGAACCAUUUAUUAUAAAUUACUAAAUACAGGAAUAAAAUAUAACCCGGGUGACGGUCGCUGCUGCCGACUAGCUAGAUCGUCCUCCCGUUGAGCCCAAAUACCAACUUCUCGCCCGAGUCACCUGGGGGAAUGGGGGGUGAGAAACCGCAAUCAAGGUUUUCUAGUGGGUACGACAGAGCCACGAAGGCAAGUCGUAAUCACCGGAAACCAAAGGAGAUAGAUAAACAAAGUACAAGUACUAUGAUACAAAAGAGAACUAUAGUAGUAAUAGAAAUAGGAUAAUAACUGAGCAAGAACGAAACUACUACUGUAACAAAAACUCAACUGAACGGAUGCCUUAAGGGUAAAUAGUCCAAAGUCAAACCCAAUUUGAAGCUGCUAUAUUGGCCAGGUAGACCUCAAGCGUUGCCUGUCACAGAGCAGACACUCCCAAUGAUUCACGCGUCCACCGACGACCUAUCUGGAUACGUACACCCCUUGAUUGGUGGCCAAACCAACCUGGUGUCUAGAAAAAUCACGCCGAACAGAACUAACCAGAAUCCGUUGAUCCAAAGUGAGCUGAGCACUGUGAUCAGCACUGACACACGAUCACUGUGCUCACCUUUGAAGGCAUCGGAAUAGCCUCGGAUCAUCGAAAAAGUGCCCGCAAACUCGAAAUAGCAGCCAAAAAGGCCCUACAGGGGCGACACCGCCGAAACGGUGGAACGGAGCCUUCCCGACAGAAUUUAAGGUGAGCACGAUGAUCAGCGAUGAGUCACAAUCAUCGUGCUCCCUUCCACAGGGAUAGGGGAGGCUCGGGUUGCUCGGAACAGCAAGCCGCCAAGGAAUAGCCCUAUUUCAGGCUUCGCCGGAGCAAGCUUGCUCCAGCCGGCUUCCGGCGGCACGAUGAGGUGCGCACGGGCCAGAAGUGGCUGCGGGGGAGGUGGGGAACACCGUGCUCACCUUAGCUAGCGGCGGGGAGUGACGGUGGCAGCAAGGGAUGUAACAAUGGCCAAGCUGAACUAGGGCUCGGGUUCAGCGGCUCCUCCCAGCGACGGCGAUGGCCAAGACAGGUCUAGGACGACGGCGGCGGGUCCCCAGAGGCCGGAGGAGGAGAAGGGAGGUAGCGAGCAACAGCGGCGAUGGCCCGCAGCUCCGGCGCGUCCGCCCAAGCUAGGCUCGGUCUGGAGACCGAGGCGGCGGUGCCAAAGGCGUGCGGCAGUGGCGACGACCUCUUCGGCUGGGGGGCAGGGUGCCGGAGGGUCUCGGGGUUGUCGCCAGUGCGGCAGGAGGUGGCGGUGGCAGCGCGGAGUGGAGGCGGCAGCUGAGCUCGGCCCCAGGGAAGGCGGCGGGGCAGGGCGAAGGCGGCGGCUGCGCGCGGCUAGGAGGCUAGGGUUACCUCGGCUAAGGUUAGCCCGAGAUGGCGGGGGGCAGGGUGCCGGAGGGUCUCGGGGUUGUCGCCAGUGCGGCAGGAGGUGGCGGUGGCAGCGCGGAGUGGAGGCCGGAGGUCACCUGGGCUCCAGGGAAGGCGGCGGGGCAGGGCGAAGGCGGCGGCUGCGCGCGGCUAGGAGGCUAGGGUUACCUCGGCUAAGGUUAGCCCGAGAUGGCAGCAAUGUGGUUGCAGCGCGGCGGCCACGUUAAGCGACAGCAGCAGGCGGCGGGGGAGGUCGCCGGGGCUACGGGGGUGACGCCGGAGAGGAGAGCAACCUCGGCCUCGUCCCCAACCCGAGAUGAAAAGAGGUGGAAGGAGAAGAUGCAGGGAAGAGAGAUAAAGGUGGCAGGGGGGUGGGGCAAGGCUAGGGUUAGGGUUUCAAUGGAAAGAACCCUAGAGUGCUAUAAAAUGGAAAGAACCCUAAAAUGCGCAAAUACACCUCCACAAGCGAUUUCACACGAAACGGUACAUAAAAUGUCGCACUUUUUGCGCAAUUACCAUUUUUCCAUCACCAACCUCUCCUCGAACAACGCGCAAUCCGUUUUCUCUCUAAUCAGAUCCGCAAUCCGUUUUCUCACGGAUUGCACCAGUGCGAUCAGCACGACAGAGAUAACAAAUCUACGCUUUUGGUUCGCCUCGAUCAAUCACGAAUUUGCGACGAAAUCCGUUUUCUCUCUAAAAAGGCCAAAUGACACACAAAUACAUAUAAAACAUGUAUUUUUAGAUUUUCUCGAAAUCUGUGCAUCAAACCCAAAACCCGUCAGUGCCAAGAGUUCCAAAAUAGCUGAAUCGUUCGAAACGAGCUAUUGGAUCGCUAUGAACGGAGUCCGAUACGUGCCAGAAGCCAACUUCAUGCAUUGGCCUCUCCGAAAAAUCGAGUUACUAUUCACUUUAAGUGAAACUGAAGAUCGCGUAAAAUCUCCGUGCUUACUCGUUUUCUCCCGAAACUUGACGAGUACUUUUGUAAUUAAAUUACACACAAAAAUAUCGUCAACAGAGAAUUUAGCUACACUGCCAAAAUCUCAGUCCUUACACUUGUAAGGCCAUGACAAGAAAAACCCGACAAAGAGGGGGAGGGACUGAUGUCACAGAUAUUUUUCACAAGUUUGGAAAAAAGAAAAUCAAGAAAAAGAGCGGGAUGUGUCGGGUUCACUUGGGAGACGAGGACUCCAAGUCCUUCAAGAAGUUUCUCCGUGGGAGUGCAUGACUGACGGAUCUACAUUCUAUUUUUUGAGUUUUUAUUUUAGUCUUCUCUCUUUUUUAUGUUUCAUAUCAGCAGUUGGAACGUAAGGGGACUGAAUGAUCCCUCUAAAAGAAGAGCAAUCAAGUGUGUGGUGUCUAGGUUGAGAAAUGUUGUAUAAUGUUUGCAGGAAACUAAAAUCGGUGUUGUAUCUCUCACUUUUCUUCGUCACGUUUGCGGGUCCUUUUUUGACAAAUGCCACUACAUUAGCUCCAACGGUGCUUCUGGUGGACUCCUUACCUGUUGGAGCUCACGAGUUUUCUCUUAUAGGGAGAUGAUCAAGAAAAACCUCUCCCUCACGCUCCAACUUUCCCAUCUCCGGGGUGGAGAAAGCUUCUAUAUCACUAAUGUAUAUGGCCCGCCAGCUUGGGAGGGCAAUGAAGAUUUUCGUACGGAGCUGUUGCUUCUACGGGAUAUAUGUAAGGGUUGUCGGGUUGUUUACGGUGACUUCAAUUUUACUAGAACCCAGGAUGAACGCUCAGGUAGAUUGUGGAGCAAUAGGGUGUCACGUAUGUUCAAUGAUCUUAUUCGGGAACUUGCACUUCUGGAUUUACCUAUGGUUAACCAAUCAUUCACUUGGUCUAAUAUGCAGAGCAUCCCUACUCUUGCGAAAUUAGACCACUUCCUCACUUCGACUGAGUGGGACAGAAAAUUUCCUUUUUCGAAAGUAGAGGCACUAUCCAGAAUUACUUCGGAUCACUGUCCGAUCCUACUCUCCUUGGGAGGUAAAAUAGGGAAACGUGCUUUUAGAUUUGAAGAAGUAUGGCUGAAGUAUGAAAAUUUUCUCUGAAGUUUGCCAGCUUGGCGGAAGGAAGUGGGGACUCGUGGGACUGCUGUGCUAACAUUCACGGCCAAACUACGCCACUGCCGUAAACAGAUACAUGAAUGGUGUUAGCAUAGCUUUUAUAAUAUCAUGAAAGAAAAGUCAGAUAUUCUGCAAGAAAUUCAACGCAUCGAUAGAGUGGAAGAACAUCUUGUCUUGUCAAAAGAGUUAAUAAACAGGAGGGCGAAUCACAAAGAUAGGCUUUUAAGUGUACUCAAGGAUGAGGAGCUGCUAUGGAAAACUCGAGCCAAGCUUCGCUGGCUCCGAGAAGGAGACGGAAACACAAAGUACUUCCACACAGUUGCCAAUAACAGAAGGCGUUCCAAUAAAAUUGGCGUGGUAGAGGACAAUGGGAGAAAAAUAUAUAACGAGGAGGAGAAGUUGUACUUCUGGAGAAAAUUUAAAGAGCCUUUUGUACCUGAGGAUUACAAACCAGCCGCGCAUGGAGAUUGGAGCGAGCUUUUCCAAACCAGACGAGUUUCUAAUCCUGAACAAUUAACUACUCCUUUUUCUUUAGAGGAGAUUAAGAAGGUUGUUUUCCGAUUAGGAGGUGAUAGAGCGCCUGGCCUAAAUGGUUUCCCACUUAGUUUCUACCAGAGUUUUUGGGAUGUCAUCAAAGAGGAUGUGUUCAACAUUUUUUCGAACUCUAUGGGGAACGUAUCUCCAUACAGCCUAUUGAUUUUCCUAUCUCUGCCUGAUCCCUAAAAAGGAAGGUGUUGUACGAGCCAAUGAUUUUCGACCUAUUAGCCUACUGCAUGGUUUACAGAAAAUAAUUUCCAAAGUGUUGACGAAUAGACUAGAAGGAGUUAUUCAAGAACUUAUCUCUACAUCCCAGUCUGCUUCCCUUAAAGGUAGACUGCUAUCUGAUGCUUUUGUCAUAGCAAGUGAGUUGGUUGCAAGGGGUUGUAAAAAAUCUAUAGAGGAGGUAGGAGUGAAGGUGGAUUUUGAAAAAGCUUACGAUAAGGUUAAUUCGGUUUUUCUUUUAAAAAUUAUGGAACUGUGGGGCUUCAACGCCAAAUGGUGUCGAUGGGUACAAGAGUGUAUAUGUAAUACAAAGGUGGCUGUAAUGGUUAAUGAUUCGCCUACCCAGUGGAUUAAAACAAGAAGGGGUGUGAGGCAGGGUGAUCCUCUUUCUCCAUAUCUUUUCUUACUGGUUGCUGAGUGCCUAGCUAGGAUGACAAAUAAGGCAAAUAAAAAUAAUUUGAUCAAAGGGAUUGGACCAUCCGAGGAUAGUUUAGUGACACUUAUCCAGUAUACAGAUGACACUUUUUUCUUCUGUGAGGCAAAGAUGAAACACUUGAAGAAUAUUCAAUUCAUGUGAGGCUUGUUUGAGUGGGCCUCAGGUGUGAAGGUAAAUAAAGAGAUAACUAAAAUGUUUUUCUUCGGGAAUAAGCAGAGAAAAGACAAAAGACUUGCCAAACAUCUGGGAUGCAGGGUGGAAAAAUUGCCUACUAGAUAUUUGGGGUUAGCACUGUCAAAUAAGAUGCUCCGCAAAGAGGACUAGAUGGGGAUCAUCGAUAAGAAUCAAAAAAGAAUUGAUGGGUGGCAAGCAAAACUAUUGUCAAAAGGAGGUAGGCUAACUUUGGUAAACUCGAUACUUACUAAUUUGCCACUACAUUUUUUCUCUAUAUAUAAGGCUCCUAAAUGGGCAAUAAAAUGGAUUGAGGCAUUACACCGUGAUUUUUUCUGGAAAGGCAGGGCAACUGUUAAAAGUGGUACAUGUAUGGUAGCAUGGAAAAGUAUUUGCAGAGAUAAGAAAGAAGGUGAGCUCAGGGUGAAGGAUCUCGCCUCGAUGAAUGAUGCACUCAUCUCUAAAUGGUGGUGGCGCUUAUUUACUAAACGACAACUACAAUGGAACACUCUUAUUAGAAUCUGAUAUUACAAUAGAAGAAAAACGUUGGAUGAAGGGAGGACAUUUUGACUUUUUUUCUCAAUGGUGGAAGAGUGUGCUAUCUACUGAGGAUAUCUUUAAAAGUGGCACUUGUUUUGCUCUCGGAGAUGAACAGUCUAUUGACUUAUGGUUGGAUAGGUGGUGUGGUGAUGCCUCAUUGAAGACACUUUUUCCUGAUAUCUAUGAUUUAGUAACUUUGAAGGAUGUUCUAAUUAUGGAGUGUAUCUCUUCUUAAGGUUGGAGAUGGAGAAAAAUCUUAAGAGGGGCUGAGAUUGGGUUGCCUAGAGGCGAUAGCAGAAUUAGAGAACUCAAAGAGUUACUUUCAAGAUUCCAUAUUGCUGACACACCCGAUGAACUACGAUGGAGAUGGAAUGCGAGUCUGUGUUUCACAGUUAAAUCUGUGUAUAAGUUGAUCAAUGACGAUGGCAUUCGAGAAGUCCUUCUACAAAAAGUUUGGGUACUUAAAAUAUCGCUUAAAGUUAAGAUUUUCAUCUGGCUAGCCCUGAAGAAGCGCUUACCUACAAUAGAUAACCUGCUUAAAAGAGGUUGGUCCAGAAACCAACAGUGUGUUCUGUGCGGCAAUGAAUUCGAAACUGGCGAUCAUCUGCUUGUGGGAUGCAUUUUUAGCAGAUAUUUGUUAUUCAAUAUCUUCAAAGGAGGAGUUAUCUAGAGGUCGAUGGAUGGAGUCAGGGGACUAUGGGAGUAUAUACUGGGGAACAGUACUCAAGGGCCAGCUGAGAAGGAGCUGGCUAGUUUGGCGGUUUGUUGGUGGAUGAUUUGGCGAGAAAGAAAUAAUGUGAUUUCUAGAAAUCAAUCUUUCGACGCCUUAGUGGCUAUACAGACAAAUCCGUGAAAUGAUAAGGGAAUGAGCUAAGUUUUGCAACUCUAAGUGACCUUUUAUUUUUUUACUUUUAUUUAUUUAUGUAUUUAUUUUCCUUUCAUGUAACUGUUUGAUCCAUUCGAGGCCCUACUACCUCAACAUUUGUAGAAAUUCAUUUUCCAAAUGAAUGAAGCGGGUAGCGUGCUACCUUUAUCUCAAAAAAAAUGGAUAAAUUGUAUGCAAGAAUUAAUUUUUAUUUUUAAAAAAAUUAUGUAAACUAUAGAUUAUUUGUGAAGUGGAAUAAAAUAAUGGUAUUGAUUAUAAGUCAUAGACAAGUUCUUAAUUGGAAUUUGAGCUUAUUCUCAUAUACUAUUAGCUCUCAAAUUGGCCCAUAAGUUUUAAAUUACAUUAAAUUAAAAUUUGUAUUAUAAUUACUGAAUUUUUCUACAAAAGUUACAGCUUUGUAUGAUAGUUGGUCAAGCUAAAGCCACUCGUUAGUCCUUUUAUGAGCUUUGACACUAAUCUAUCCAUCUGUCUUUUUACAUGGCUUCUAAGCUAUUUACAUAUAAAAAUAUUUUAAAUUAUAGAUGGUUUUUUCUCCUUCUUUGUCGGAGACAUAAAAAAGAGAGAGGAACUAACGGAACUUGCUUGGACUUUGCACCAAUUUCGUAAGAGAAAGAGAGAGGGUGAUGAAGAAUGAAGAGGAGAAAAAUAUUGCCAUAUUGGGAGAAAGAUGAUAAAGUAGAUAUCAUCGAUCAUUGCUCCGGCCGUUGCGCACGGUUAAUUGUUGCCGUCUACAACCACUACCCUAGUCAUCGCGCAUGGCCAAUCGACGUCGCCAUCUACGACCACUGCCCCAACCAUCACAUAUGGCCAAUCGCCACAUCGUUGCCGCUACUAACUUCUAGACAUAGAUCUCAUACAGAAUUGGUAUUUAUAUAAAUAUAUACAUAACAUAUAAAAUAUCGAUAUAAUCAUAUAAAAUUAGUUAGCAAUUGUAUAUUUCUAAAAAUAUAUAAUUACUAUUUCUUCGGAAGCAUAAAAGAGUUGGUUUUCGACUUUUUAGCCCUUGAAUCAAAGAUUGUAAGGUUGUAAUAAUAGUGGGUCCCUUUAGGGUUGAGUGGUCCUCAUAGGGGAAUAAUAUUAAUCCAAAGGCACUCAUAGUGGUCCUCAAAUUGUCUUUAGUCCUCCCAGAAAUAUUCAAUACAGUACCAAUAAAAUUAUUACUAACAUUUUUUUCGAUAUGCAUUACAUCUAGAUUAUGUCGAAGAAGAUUAUCUUUCCAAUAGGGCAAGACAAAGAAAAUACUUUUCUUUUUCCAUAGUUGUUCUUCUGCAUGUGUUCCUUCCUCAUCAUAAUUAUGAGAAUCAAUAAUAAAAUCAUCAGCAUCUUCAAAAAUAGUAACUUGAUCCGCAUUAUGGACUUCCUUGUGUAGCUGUUGAUUCAUUAAGCUCCCCACUUGCUCUCGUCCCCUUUUUCUACUAGACUUGGAGCUUUUUCCAUAUUUAUUAUUGAGUCCUUCUACCUGCUGAAAAAUAUCAAUUCCUGAUGGCGAAUUUGGAGCAGAUCGUAACUCUAUCGAACCAUCAAACUCAUCUUUUUGAAAUCUAAAAGGAUGAUUUUGUUCUAACCAUCUACGGUUGCCUAUAUAGCAAAAUUUUUCUCCAUAUUUUAGCCAACAUGAAUCAGUCAAAAUGCCACAACAAGGACAAGCAAAAAGUCCCUUUGUACUCCAACCAGAUAGAUUAGCAUAAGCAAGAAAAUCAUUAAUAGUCCAAAUUAGAGCUCCUCUCAUAUUAAAGUUCUAUUUUGUGAAAGCAUCAAAUGCAUCAACACCUUCCCAUAACUUUUUCAAUUCAUGAAUUAGAGGUUGUAAAAAGACAUCAAUAUCAUUGCCUGGACCCUUAUCACCAGAAAUAAUCGUUGAUAAUAUUAAAGAUAACUACUUCAUACACAAUUAUGGUUGUAGGUUAUAAGGGAUCAAAACAACCGGCCAUGUACUAUGAGUAGACUUGAAUUAUCUAGCAAUGGAUUCAAUCCGUUUAGAACGUUGAGCUCUACUUAUAGAAGAAUCGUUAGCUAUCUCAUAGAAGAAUCGCUAGCUAUCUCAUAGAAGAAUCCAUCGCUAUGAAAUGGCAUGAAGAAGGAUUGACUCCAUCGCUAGCUAAUCCAUCGCUAGCUAUGUGUCAUCAUCUUUAUUUCCUAACCAUCUUGAAGUUCCACAUACAUGAUAGUUUUCUUUGUUUACGCUUUCAUUCCAAUACAACAUAUAAUUAUUAGGACACGCAUGAAUUUUCUCAUAUCCGAGUCCUAAUUGGUUUAUUAACUUUUUAGCUUCAUAUGAAGAUGAUGACAAUGAAACGCCCAUCGGAAAAGCAUCCUUUAAUGUUGGAGUAGCAUAGUAAAUGAUUUUUCACACCACCCAUUCAAACAUUUGAGAUGAAAAAGGUGGAGUAGAAAAGACAAUUUUGAAAAAUUUGUACAUCCCGGGUAAAGUUCUGGAUCACAAUCUUGCAUUAAAGUAGCAUAUGAAGUUGUAUCAACAUUUGGCAAAUGUUGUUGCGUAGUUGUUUCACUUGAAUUUUCAAUAUAAUCUGUAUCGUCUAUUGGAUCACUUAAAAUUAUAUUGGAAAAUCCAAAAGCAUCUUGGAGCAAUCCUCUCACAUCUUCUUGUCCCGUGAUAUUUUCUUGCACAUUAGUGUAAUCUGUAAUGUUUGGGGCAUGUUGAGCAGCAACACUAGAAGAAGAAGUUAAUGAUUCUCCAUGAAAUACCCAUUCCAUAUAACCUAAUGAGAAUUCCUUCCAUACCAAAUGUUUCUCCACAACUUCUGGAGUAUGUGAAGAACAAUUGCAACACUUCCGACAAGGACAUACAAUCUUUCCUCUAAUAAAUAAUUUUUUGAUAGCAAAUCUAAUAAAAUUAGCAACACCGUCUAAAUAAGCCUUAUUAUUUCUCUGCUUAUUAAUCCAACUUUUGUCCAUUUUCUUAGGUUGCGAGUUCCUUACUAUAUAAUAGCCUAAAGACAAAAAAUGAUGUUAAUAUAACUAAACUAAAGAAUGUAACUUAAUUAAGUAAGGAUAUUACAAAAAAAAAAGAACAUCAAGAUAAGGUAAAAUUAAAAAUCAAUAGGUCACAAUAAUAGUUUUAGAAUGGUACUGAAUUAUCUAUUUGCAUAAGAAACUCAAAAUGCACCGUCAAAAAGUGAAUUAGUUACGUUAUUAAGCGAUUGGAUUGCAAAGGAAUGAAUUAAUCUUUGUAGUGCCCUAUAUGAGGUAACUAGUAGUAGUAAUACUACAAUAACGGCAACAAAGAGCAAAUUGUACAUUAGAAUGAAAAGUAUCAAAUCACUCAUCUUAAUAUAUCAGUAUUUGUCCAAUCAUCUAAAAGUUGCAUAUAUUAAGUUUUGUAAAGAAAAAAAACUAAUGAUCAUAAAGUAGUCAGGGAGACAUUACCUUUUGAGGAAACUAUAUGUCCAACCAAAAAUACGCGAUGGAUGAGUGAAUUAGCCAAGUACUUUGUUGCUACCUAUAAUAAGAGUCAAAAAGUUAAGAUAUUAGAAACAAUAUAAUAAAUACACUUUGUCUCAAAAUGCACAGUCCAAAUUAACCUAAACAUUAGAUGUGUAAAUACUAUAACUUCACUAGAAGUAAUAGUAGUAGUAGUACUUAAAAAAAAAUUAUCUAAGGCAUGUAUGGUGUGCCUAAUGGGAAUACAAACAGUAAAAGUUGAAUGGCUAAAAAAUAUACAAGCAGUUGGGAGACGAAGGUGGAUACCAUUGUUGCUAAACUUUAAUGCUUAACUAAAAUACUAUUUUUUGGAAACAAAAAACCAAUUUGAUUUCCUACACUACUUAUAAUUAAUUUUUCCAAUUCUUGCAAUACAUUGGGAGAGGAAGGUGGAUUAAACAUGAUAUUUUCCUCUUCUCUUCAUCAUACUCUAUUUAAAUAAAAGAACUUAAGAUACAUUGUUUCAUAAUAAUUGACUAAUUGAGUAUUAAAAUGAAGGAAAAAAAUUAUUCUUAGCUUUAAAUCUAACACAUUAUAUCAUCUAAUAUUCUAUUGUUUACAACCCACACGGUUUGCUCGGGCCACCAGAGUUAUGUGACAUUUAAAUUGAAAAAACACAUUAAGCAAUCAAUGUCCUAUAAAAGAAAUAAAGUUAUUUACUUUUCCUCUUGCACCCAUCUAAAUAUACGAUGUAAAUUAGCAAACACUAGCAAAAGUUUUGUUAAAGAAAUGUCAGCGGUAAAAGACACCUCCUCCAAUGGCAAAAGACCACUGUUUCAUUACCCUUUAUCAAAUCUGAGAAAAUAAAAAUUAUUCUCAGAGAAGAGAACAACCCAGAGUCUUUUGCUCAUGCUUAAGAACUAAAAAUCAAAUCAGAAAAUAGUUGAGGGAUUAUCCUACAAACAACCAAAUAAUUUAAAAAUAUUUUAGGAAAAUAAAAUCUUGACAUCUAAUUUCUAUAUCCCACACUAGAAAAUAGUGAAAAGAGGAGAAACAAAAUAUUCUCUUCUUCUUCAAUCUUCAUGCUGCCAAUUAAACAAAGCAACUCAAAUUUUUUCGAAAUGCAUUCUUCUCCUCUAAAUCGAAACUUAAACAAAAAUUUAAUUUUAAAUCUCACAGAAAAAAAAAAUCCUAACCCAGACCACCACCCAAUUCCAGGAAAUGGGUUUGAAUCAUUCAUUCUUGGUGAUCCUAACCUUGGAUUUAAAGAUUGAGCCAAAAAUACUGAAUAAAAACAAAAUCAAACUACAAACCAAAUGGAUUCUUCUCGAGGCGUCAGCGUCGAUGUAAGGACUGAGAUUUUUGACAGUGCUACUAAACUCUCUGUUGAUGAUGUUUAUGUGUGUAAUUUAAUUACNAGUGGAUUCCCUGUAUUUGUGGCGGAUCUGGCAUACUCUGGGGUCAGGUUUUUAAAAAAAAAAAUUUAAACGCUUUUCCGCUGUGUUUCAAACUAAAAGGGGACCCCGGGGCGUGACAGUCGAAUCCUCCUUCUCCUCCGCUCGCCUUGCUCCUUCGUCACCGGAGAUGGCUAGUUGUCACCUUCGAAAUAAAGAGGAAAUGAAACACCAGCGAGGUGGAGAAGGGCUGGACGGCGGCAGGUCGAUCUGGAGGGCCGCGGUGGUGACGACGAGGCGAGAAAGGCGCAUAUUCGGGAGAGAGGGCCAAACCCUUGUGUGGGAGAGGGAGGUGCUGAGAAGGGGUUGAGCGGGAGCUAAAGAAUGAAGAUGAAAAGUCUAAUAAAAAGAAAUGGCAAAUUUAUUUUAAUAAUAAUAAAUUAAUAAGGCUCCUUUUUUUUUGGCACGCUAUAAAUAGCGACGCUAAACCCUAGCGUCGGAAAAAUUUCGACAGUGAAGAAAAUUACCGACGCUUUAAAAAAGCAUCAUCAUAAAAGCGUCGGCAUAGGCAUAUUUUUUUUGUAGUGAUAUAGCUAGAAUGGCCAAAGGAAUUGAUCCAAUAGUUAAAAAUUUAGAAGCACUGAUUCUUUAUGCUUCCGAAAGCACAAUAGUCGGACUUUUUUUAAAAUAUAAAAUAAUAUAAAUAUUUUGUAAUCUUUUAUUAUUCCAAUGCGAAAUACAGAUUUUACGCUACUUUAUAUAAAAAAUGAUGUUUGAUCUUUAUUGUAGUUUUGUAUCUAUUUUAACUUCAAAUUAUAAAUUUACUUGUACUGUUUUUUAGUUUGACCAUAAAUUUUAAUUUUUAUUUAUAAUUAAAAUGUAAAUUUAUUUUAGCAUAAUAAAUUUAUAUUUUAAAUUCAAAUUGUUAAUUUAAGUUAUUAUUAUAUAUUUUUAACUUAGGAUAAAUUACAGUUUUGGUUCUCAAACUAUGAGGCAAGUGACAUUUUGGUUCUUAAACUUUAAUUUAUUAUAAUUUCUGGCUUGAAAAUUUUGAAUUAUUGUAAUUAAGUCUUAUAACCUAUUGGCUAACUGUUAAUAUAUUUUUGAUAUAUAAGUGAUGUGAAAGUAUUGUAAUUGAUGAUGCGGCAAUAAUUAUAAUGUUACAUUAAUUCUACAUUAGCGAUUCAUCAAUAUUAAACCAAUUAAAUUUAGAUUGUGGGACUUGAUUACAACAAUUUUAAAAAUUUGAGCUAAAUAUUAUAAUAAAUUAAAAUUUGAGAACCAAAAUAUCACAGAGCGUGUAAUUUAUACUUUAACUAAUUUAUAUAUAAUCAAAUAAUCAAACCUACAAAACUGUAAUAUUUUAUUUUUUACUUUAUAAUUGUACAAUUAAACUAAAAAGUUAUCUUACAAAAAGAUAUUACUUUUAUAAAAACUAGAAAAGUUUUUCGAAAGUCAUGCAUUUAUUAGUUUUUUAAAAAAAUAUUAAAUGACACAUUUUAUUUUUAAUAUUUUAUGCCACGUAUAUUUAUCUAGUUAAGAUUUUGUAAAGAAUAUUAUUUAAAAAAAAUGUGGAACAUAGGAGAUAGUAGAUACCAAAAGGAUAAUUAAAAAAAAAUUAUACGAGAUACUUUAUUUAUUAUCUAUCGAAUAAAAUCUUUUAAAGUAAAAAUAUCUGACGGUUAUUAGAUUUUCAUCAAACAACCAGGGGGCCAGAUGUUAUUAGGAGGCGAAAAAUCUGAAAUUGAAAAAAAAUAAAAUUCGUUUUUUUUAUAAUAGUAUAAGAUAUAAGAUAUAAAUAUAGAUUUUUUUUAUUUUUUUUUUUAUUUCAGCCAUAUAUGGACAACGCUCUGAAACGGACGGAACGGAAAGCGAAUCGAAAAUUUUUUGUUUUUUAUCGUAUUAUUAUUAUAAUAAAAUAAUAAAAUAUAUUAUUAUAAUAAUAUAAUAAUAUUACCGCCAGCUAAUUCAACCGUACCGAUUUGGUUGAAAUAUAUAUAUGUGAAGAACUUGUGUGUAGUCGAUCUCCAGUUGCCCAGCGUUUCCGGUCAAAAGAAGACCCCUUCCGGUCGAUCUAGGGCAUCUCGGUCACGGCUCUCCCACCCGAACCCUCUCGACCUUCAUUUUUCCCUUUCCUCCAACUUCCCCUUCUGCCUCCGUAGAGACCACUCCCUCCCUCUCUCUCUCUCUGUCAGAUCUUCUUCUUCUUCACUAUUUGGUUUGGUUUGGUUUGGUUUGGUUGGCCACGAAAAUGAAUCCUCGCUCCUGCUGCCUGAAGUGGCUUUCCUGUAGGUGUAUGUAAUCUUCAUUAAUUUUCAUUUCAUUUCUCGCGGAGGCCGUCUGUCAGGAUGCGGUCUCUGCAAUUGCUGCAGCUGACGGAGCAUGGCCGCAGCCUUUUGGCUUCCAGGAGGUACGCCCGCUCGCGGAACUUAGAUCUUCUAUUUUUUUUGUUUUUUUCUUUUUUUUUAACUAGAAUUAUGUGAUGCACAAGGAUUUAAGUGCCCAUUGACAAUCAGCGCGGAUCAAAACCCUCCCUUAUUUUUUUUUAAAAAAAAUAGUAGCUGAGUAGUUACAUUAAUAAUAGUGUCCAAAGAUUUGGUUAGAAUAUGUAAUAAGCAAUCAGAAUCUAUUUGUGCCGAAAAAUAUAAAUAUUUCUUGGAAUAGCGUGUGUUUUUGUAUGCCUUACCGUGCUGGUCAGUGCUGGGCACAAUCCCGUGUGGCAGUACUUAAAUCCUUGGCGUGUAAAUUUGUGGUUUCUAGAGUACUUUGUUGGAACUUGAUGUAGCAGAUGAAGAAAAACUUCUAACCACCGAAUUUAAGAAGAUCUCGUCGUAUUAUGUCAGAAUUAUUGAUGGAGUAUAUAUCUAAUCAAAUUGAAUAACAGAGCCAGCUGAAUAGUUCUUGGGUCCUUGUACUCUAAAUUUGUCUUAGGGAUCUUUUAAUGGGCUCACAAUUAAUGAAGAAGACCUCAGUUAACGAUAACUUGUGCUUAUGAAGGACCUUCUGCUAGAUGUAUUCCUUUAAGGUUGUGUAUUGAUAUAUUGGUUAGCACUUAGCAAGGUGCCGUUGAUGACAUUUCUUGCCACUUCUUCUGUAUCUUCCUUACAGUAAGAACUUAUUAUAUCUCAGUACCAUCUUCACCAACAUUUUCCUGUGAUCUCUCUCAUCACUGUGAUCUUAGCCGUUGUUGUUAAGAGCGUGACCAGCACAUAAGUUGUGGAGGACAUCAAAUUGGAUAGACAUGUGGAUUGGACAAUAGAUCAUGAGGCUUUUUGUCAUUUCUUUGUAUAGUUAGAAAAUCGAUAAGUAGACACCUUUUAUAUCUAAGUCGAUGAUGAUAUAAGAAAUUAUUUCAUUUUGAUAUUAGAUGCAAGAAUCUUAUUCUUUCAAAUGGUAAAAUAAACCCCAACAUAAUGACUUAUUCGACGAAAUUUUUUUCGGCCAUUUAAUUAAAUAAACUUAAUUAAAUUAUACUUUAAAGUUUUUCAUUCUGGAACAUGAUUGUCUAAGCUUAACAUCUGUUAUUUUUAUUGAGAAUUUGAAAUUAGAAACUGAGAGUUUGAAAGAUUGAGAGUUGAACAUGUUGGAUAAUAUAUACAUUUUUAGUUCUUAACUUUUGAAAUAUUUUCAUUUUUUCCUCUUGAUAGUUAGUUAACCAAAAAUGUUGAUUUAUGUGAUAGAAAAUUAUUCUUGUUUUGCUAUCGGGCAUGGUCGGGCCCAUUUACCACUUGCGCUGGCCCCAAACAUGUUAAGCGCAGUUGGUAGGAAAUGGAACUUGAAUACUACCCAUUAUAUAUUUGAAUAGGGUCUGAAGUUGGAUAGGGUUGAAAGUAACGAUAUAGUUGUUAUGUUGGAUUGAGGUCGAAAAACCAGUCCAUAUUAUUGGAGAAAAAUAACAUUAUAUAACCAUUAUAAUUUGGAAGUAUAAAGAGUUUAGUACAAAAAUUAGCUUAAGUACUGUUUAUGUCAAAGCCAAUGAAUUUAAUAGUAAGGAAGAAUAUCUUGAUAACUUGUUUCCCAUUAAAUAAAAGGAAAAAAGUCGAGAAAGCAAUCUGAAAACAAGAAAGGAAGAAAGUACAUCAUGGAGAAUAAUUGUAGGAGAACAAAACUAGAUUAGGCCUAUAAGAAAGGGCCACUAAGGAUCAUGGAGAAUAAUUGUAGGAUAACAGAACUAAAUUAGGUCUAUAAGAGAGGGCCACUAAGGAUAUUAUUGUAUGCAGAAGGCCUACCAAAUACUAAUAAAUUAUACCAAGAAAAUAAAUAUUGUAUGGCUAAAAGUACUUAAAUAUAUGUAAUAGAAGUAUAUCGGAAGAGAAUCUAAUAUUGUAUAGCUAAAUGUAUUUAAAUAUAUGUAAUAGAAGUAUCUUGGAAAAGAAUCUAGUUUGGGUGGGGUAGAAUCUGCAUCUUCUAAACCUUCACCUGGACCUCAAAUCCUAGUGUCUUAGCAUCCACCUGUACACAGCUCUGGGAUUUCAACCUUGAUUUUGUCAGAUCGAUGCUAGGUAAUUGGGACAGGUAAUAAUUCCAAUAUCUGAUAUCAUCGGACCUUGUGAUUCAAGGAAAAAGGAUGAGAUCCCUAUUGUUUUCUACUGCAUUCUGUGCUACUCUGAGAACAGCCAAGCUUUGCUAUGGAUAGUGUAUGGUGCUGCUUGUGCGAGCUAAGAACCACAUAUUAUUAUCGGAAGGAACAACAAACAAGUACAACCAGCUAACAGCAAGAAAUAAAACAAACUAUCACAACUGCCAUCACCAAAAUCCCAUGAGUAUGUUUGAGACAACUAACCAGGCGAAUAGUAUCCCAAAGGCUCAUUGUCCUAACUUUUCCUUGAUAAAGAAGAUACUAGAAAAUAGAAACUUCUAGGUUUUCAUUUUUUUAUCUUAAAAAAUUUUCAGCAAAGGGAACCUGAGUGACUUAUUGUUUAGGGCUGCCUAAUGCUGUUAGAAAAAAUAGAGGGGACAAAAGCAUAUAGGGAUAUACUUCUCUAUUUUCUGGUGGGACUGUAGAAAAUAGGACUGGAGGAAAUUUAUCAUAACUGACUCAUUGUGAUAUGUACAACAUGAUUUUAUUUAUGGAAACAAAUGGACUUUUUUUCUAUCAUACUUCUUUUUCACUGCUCGUAGUGCAAUCUCGCCACAAUCCCAAAUAGUCUUUAUGUAAUUUCUACCAAUAGAUAAAUCACUUGCAUCGCAUGUAAACUUACGCGGAGAGUACUAUUGGUGAAUUCACGAACAUUGGUUAAUCUAAUAUCAUUCCAGUCGGAUUUGUAAAUGAUGUGUUGGAAAGAAUUGCUAAGGCAACACAAUCUCAUGGAGACGAUUGCGUGGUAUAUGCACCCGCUGAGAUGAGAUGAUGCUUCUACUACAUGAAUUGUUGUAAACGUUAAGUCAAGAUAGAGUAUUGUAGAUGUGAAACUUGGUAGCUUAUAGCUAUAGAAAAAUAGAGGGCUGAUAUAUUUAUAUAUAAAGAUAGAUAAUUUUGGGUAGCAACCCUAGGAGAUCCAUCUUUCAGAAUGCGAAACUUCAAAGAAAUUACCAUGCUGGUUGUAAGAACUUACCUCACUAAGCACUAAUUUACUGGGGACGGAUGACAGAGUCCAUGCUAAAGCAAACUUCUCCUGGAUGUAGUCUUGCUAUUUGUUUCUUGUAAUUAUAACUCAAACUUAUGUUUGUCUCAGCCACGUUUCAUUUAAAACUUGACCUUAUCUGCUUACAAUUAUGCCUUUUUGGUUGGUAUAACAUUUUUGUCAUCCCCAAUAGGAAUUAAGAGCAUUUUCCUACUUGUUUCUCUUUAGGAGAACAUCAUUUGUGAUAUUUUUGUUCAUAUUCUUUUGCCAUGUUAUUGAGGGAUCCUUGUAUCAUGCAAGCUAUGGAGUUAAGUAUUUUUCUUUUCCCCUUGAAGAUAUCAUUAAUUAAUGAAUUACAUACUUGCUGGAUGAACAGGAGAACGGUUGCACUUGUGUCUGGUGCCCUACUGGCUGGUGGAACUCUGGCAUACAUGCAGUCGCGACAUCAUAAAAGAUCCUCAAGACCAAAUUCUUCUAAUGAUGUCUCCACACCUGGUAUAAAUGAAGAUAGCUUGAACCAAAACGGUGUAGAUAGUAAGCCAAUUAGAGCAGCAUGGCGGAAAAAAAGUGGAUUGAGAUCUCUACAUGUUCUGGCUGCUAUUUUGCUCAAGCAGAUCGGCCCAAUGGGCAUGCGAUGCCUUUUGUCCUUGGUUACUACAGUUGUAAGCAUCUUUUGUUUUCUCAUUUUUGUGUUUUAAUCCUUCAUCUUUGUGCGAUUCAUUCAUACAACAAUUUGGUACUGAUAGUUAGUGAACUCUAACUAGAACAACCACUCGAAUACUCAAUAAAUAUAUGGGCAAAUUUUGCAAUAUUAUCCUCUCCAGAGUGUUUAAGCAUAUGAAAAAUAACAUGCAAAUAGCAUGAUCAUAUUUCUUUCUUCUGUAAAUAAUUGGAAUGACUUGGUUGCUGAUGAUCUAAAAUGCAGAAGAUAACUACUGUUGCUAGUUUAUGCGGUAAUUUUUCAUUUGACCUAGAUCCUACCCAGCUUCAUGCAGUCUCAAGUGCUAGUUCAUACUCUGUAACUCUUGAAACUUUACGGUCAUAAUGAAUUCAGUGUUACAGUUUAUUGAUGCCACUUUGUUAACAAGAUCUAUGCAGGAUAUUUAAUACUGUACCAUGCUAGUCAUACCCUUCUUUCUCUUUGAUAAGAAAUCAGGAAUCUGUGAGAUUACUGUAUUUUAUAGCAGUAUGGAAUGUAUACCCUUCUUUCUGUUUGAUAAGAAAUGAGGAAUCUGUGAGAUUACUGUAUUCUAUAGCAGUAUGGGAUGUUUUACUGAAAUAAUUAUUAUGGUUGUGAUUCACUUCCAAUAUUCCAACUGAACUACAAACUUUUGUAUCAUGGGAAAUAUUUAGGUCUUGUGUGGCUUAAUAAAUAUAUGCCUGGGGGUACUUAAGAGAUAAAUUUAUUUAAUAUUUUGUAGAAUAGCUGGAUAUUCUUGCUUACAUAUGUAUACAGUUGGAUAUAUAUAGAAUCAAAUAAAAAGCAAGAAUAUCUUAAUCUAUUCAUUUUCGACCAGAUUGAGAGUUGACAACUAAUAAAAGGAUUUAAGUGCCCAUCGGCCCAGACCGUGCCCAUUGUGUCAUUUUGUGUUGACAAGAUAUCAGUAUGAUAUGACCCCCUUGAUGGCAUGGCUCGAUACCCUCUGUUCUUUGAACUUAGCGAGUAAUUACAUCAAUAAAAGGCAAAGAUUUGAUAAACAGUAUAUACUAAGCAUUUAGAAUAUAUUGGUGCCAAAGAAAAUAAGUAUUUCAAGCCAUAGUGUGUGGGCACACAUGUAUUUUUUUGUCAAUGCACACAUCAGCACUCCGCGCGUCACUGCACUUAGAUCCUUGUGUAAAUACAUGAAUCACUAUUAAGGAAACUUAAAUGUGGGCUUGGAGAAAUUUUGACUCGAUAAAUAUCAUGAUGUUCCACUAAAAAAUAAAGCCCCACAUGUUUUGACCAGGAAAGAUUUAAAUCCUAUCUAAGAAUAGGGCGAGUAUCAGGAAGGAAUCAAGACACUUAUGGCCGAUAGAAGUAAUAUCCCUCGACACACCAGGAGCUCCCAAAAAGUCUUGGUAACUGCCUGGCAGCCGAAACAAUAUGGAGAGGAGAAAAUACAGCUGUAGGAGUGGAGGGAAAAGGGGAGAAGAAAGCACAGCCAUAGGCUUGAGGGGACAAAAAGGGCUGCAAUGGUAGAAGCCAUAGAAGGGGCUAGACAAGAACACUAGACAGGCGAAAAGGAGAAGAAAUAGUGCUCAAUCCAGGAACGAAUGAUAGAAGAAAAGGCGGCUUAUUUUGGCACAAGGUGAGGGUUGAGCAGGGACCACAAAAAUUCUAGGUAAAUUGCUUCAAUAGUUCAAUACCAAAGUCUGUUUAAGAAAGAGAGGCUGGCUGGGUUAAAUAAUCCUCAAACAAAUCACAUGCAAGCAAACCAAGUACAGAUUGGAGAACAAACAAUCGUGCAAGACUUAGAAGUCAGAGAAGAGGGCAACCUGGUUUAGGAAUAUAAGUAAUAGAUGCUGGUUGAGAUACAAGGCCCAAUAAGUAUAAAAACCCCAAAAUAAAGAACCAGAUAAAGAAAAAGGCCCAAAACUUGAAUUAGAUUCAAGUUGACUGACAAAACCAGCUGGAAGUUCAGUGGUAAAGGAAUAAUGGUUCUAUAGGAAGACAAAAUCCUCAUUCGACCAUAGAUCAACGGGAUGCCACGCCACACCAGAAAAUAAGGAACUAAUUAUCUAAUAAUAAUCAUUUAAUAGUUCAUUACUUGAAAAACCAUAUUCAUUGUUAAAGCUUCGACUGAAGCAGAGCAAAUUUGAGCUGCGUUAAAUAUCCAUUCCUUAAAAUUUAACCUUUCCCUCUUAUAAAUGUUUCUGUUAUACAUUUGCUUUCUUAUUCUCUAGCUUUGGGAUUUUCAAUUGUUUUCCAUAUACUUGAACUGUCAUCAAGGGAGAAUAACAACAUCAAAUAUUGAAUUUGUCGCAGGUGUUGCGCACUGCUUUGAGCAAUAGAUUGGCAAAAGUUCAGGGGUUCUUGUUUCGAGCAGCUUUUCUUCGGCGUGCGCCAGCCUUUGUACGCUUAAUUGCUGAAAAUCUACUACUAUGCUUUCUUCAGUCUACCUUAUUUUCUACCUCGAAGUAUUUGACCGGGGCCUUAGGUUUGCGCUUCAAGAACAUUUUGACAGAUCUUGUACAUACUAACUACUUUGAGGUAAUUGUGUUAUUUUCUAUUGAGUUUUGUGGUUCUUAUCAGGAGAUAUCUUUCUUUGGAUCCCUCAUGCUGUUCUGGUUGUAUUUGUAACCACCCAACUAGCUCACUAUUGUUUGUAACUUGUUGGACCUAAACCAUUGACCCAAACCUAAGUCCAUAUUACGCAUACGAGUUGGAUACUGCUUAUAUAUCCAAGUAUGCUCUCAUCAUCUUCCUUUGUGGGACUAUUGGGCGUGAAACAUGUUUGAAACUAAAAAGAGUACAACUUUUAGUCCAGCGAUCUACUAGAACAACCACAUAGAAAAUCACCAUCAUUAACUUGCUCUUUUCUUAUGUUUGAUGUGUGCAUUGGACAUGCAGCAGACUUCAGUGUAUUCCAUAGACAGUUUUCGGUUCCUACUGAUGCAAAUAGUACACAACAUCUAUUUUACUAGGUUAGGCAGUCCAAAUACACAUAAAACUUGCUUGAAGCAUGAAAAUCAACUCAAAUAAGAGACUCAUAAAUUUGGAUGUAUCUCAGGACGCCUGUUUUAUAGACUACUGGAUCAGAUUAAACCCAUGUUGGUCAAAAGUAGGUGACCAAAGGCUAACUUUUGUUGUGGAUGAUUCCCGGUUCUUGGUGAUUGAUCACUAGAGCUAAAGCUAAGAGCAAUCUACUAAUGUCUAAACUAGUCAAUAGCACUUGCAUCAAUGAAUUUCUGAUAGGAAUAGUAUGUCUUCUUUAGGAGGUCAUUGGUUCUCCAAUAGCAUGUUGAAUCCUUUUUCUUUGCGCCCUUAACUUUACUUAAUUUGCUUGCCAUAAUGUACAUGAAUUCAGCAUUGAGCUGUAAUUGUUAAGUAGAUAUUGGGUUUUCCGAUAAAAUGUAAUAUGGCAGAAGAUAUUUGAUUAUAAUAUUUUAACCUCGACUGGACUCAUAUAUAUAUAUAUAUAUAUUGUAUUAUUCGAUUCUAUGCAAUAUUUGAUUCUAUGCAAACUUAUCUGAUAUUUCUUUGGUAACUCAUUGUAUUUUUCUCCUUUCCUGGUGUAUCUACCUCCUCUCUACAGAACAUGGCAUACUACAAAAUCUCGCAUGUUGAUGGCCAAAUUACCAAUCCAGAGCAACGGAUUGCUAGUGAUAUACCAAAAUUCUGCACAGAACUAAGUGAGCUUAUACAGGAUGAUUUGACUGCAGUUUCUGAUGGCAUUGUAUAUACCUGGCGCCUUUGUUCUUAUGCUAGUCCUAAAUAUGUGCUCUGGAUACUGGUAAAGUAUUUUUCAAUGAAAUAAAUGCUUAUCAUAAAUGACUAAAUAUUAUUUUUUUCCUCCUCUUUUAGAGGACAUUAAUUUCCUAUUCCCAUGAUGACUUAAUAUUCAAAGAUGCUCAAUUAUCUUGUUGCUUACAGGCAUAUGUAAUAGGAGCAGGUGCUGCCAUUAGAAACUUCUCUCCUUCUUUUGGAAAGCUGAUGUCAAAGGAGCAGCAGCUUGAUGGGGAUUACCGACAACUCCACUCAAGGUUAAGGACCCAUGCUGAAAGUGUAGCAUUUUAUGGGGGUGAGAACAGAGAAGCCUCCCACAUCAAACAGCAAUUCAAGACCCUUAUUCAUCAUUUGAAUCUUGUUCUUCACGAACACUGGUGGUUUGGAAUGAUCCAAGAUUUCCUUUUAAAGUACCUGGGUGCCACAGUAGGAGUUGUCCUGAUUAUCGAGCCAUUUUUUGCUGGCAAUCUGAGACCUGAUUCUUCAACAAUAGGAAGAGCGGAAAUGCUCAGUAAUAUUCGUUAUCAUACUAGUGUGAUAAUAUCCCUAUUUCAAUCGCUUGGGACUCUUUCUAUCAGUUCAAGACGGUUAAAUCGUCUCAGGUUUGUUUGCGACCUAUUCUUUAAACUGAUAAAAUGAUGCCAUUGCUGCUACUUGCUAGUAAACUACUGAGAAUGUAAAUUGCUUGUAUUCUUCCCAGUUCCAAGUAACAUUUUUUUUUGUCUUUGCGUAGUACACCUGAUUAUUUUGAGCGUACUGCUAUCUAAAGAUAUUAGGUAGUGACGAAUUUCAAGUUUGCAUUAACCAUUAGAAACCGGGAAACCGAUAGUAGAAUCGGCCAUAGCAGCAGGUUAGAUGUGCUAUAAGUUACCUCAUAUUUUUCUUAUGUUGACGAAGCCCACCAGAUGUGAAAUAUAUGAAUUGGGUCUAGAAUGCAGUUAUCUCACAUGUGAUGUGGCCAUCUAGAGGUUAGUUGUGUUUUGGUUAGAGAUACAGAAUUACAAAUAGAGCACGCUAGAACUUCUAUAAUCAACAAUGUUCCAAAAGAUGGUAUGCAGUAUUCAUGCAGGUACCUACCGCAUAGCGCAUAUGCAGACGCAUAUGUGGUCCAUCUAUUAAAAUAUUAAUAAAAUAUUUAUAGGUAUUAAAAAUGUAUAUAAAUGCUUUCUAACAAUGCUAAAUAACUAAAGUAACAAGUCAUAAUUCACAGAUUAAAAUAAUUAAUUUCAAGUAAAGGACCUCAUAUGCGCACAUGUAUGACUAAACUAAUAAUUAGUAAUUUACUCUUAAUUAUUAAAUAUAGAAAUAAAUAGAAUUUUAAUGCAAAAUCAUAAAAUAUGUAAAUAAAGAUCAAUGUUCUAAAAAGCGUUAUGCUAAACUUUUAUGAAGAAUAACAAUUUUUUCAAUUCACAUCAUUGGAGAGGCCAACACUUGGAAAAAAUCUAGCGUAAUAACAUCUAACAACUACAAAAUUAUUUGUCAAUAUUUGUAAACAUAAUUAUUAGAUAGACAUACGUAGUCUGACCGCAUACUGCACUGCAUAUUACCUAUGCGGUGUGGUCUAUGGUCUGAACCACAUAUGCAGCCGCAUGAACGGCCUUUUGGAACAUUGAUAAUAAAUUGUAAAAGUUGGCGUGCUUAUAGGUCCUCCAUAUAAAGAGUUUAGUGUAAAAGCUCAUUGGAGCAGUUCCAUUUGAAUUUAUGUUCUACUUGGGAAGAUUUACUUCAUCAAAAUGUGGAUAUCAUAGUGAAGAUUGAGUGGUUGACUUAGUCCAAAUCGUGGAUUAUCUUUUCUGUAAGAAUAUUGUUCAAACAUUAAAUCAAGGAGAAAACACUGCAAGCCAACAGUAGCAACUUAAAAAGAAUCAUAGCACUUAAUUAAUUGGAGGCUUGGUUCACUGUUGCUAUAGGUUAUUUAUCUAAUUGAAUGUACGUGGUUUAAGGGAUUAUUUGCCAUGUUAAUGAGAAGUUGAUAUUGCGACAUAUUUCGAUAGGGUGUUGAGUGGAAACAAACAAGUAGAUUAAUUUAUGACUAGUUUGAUCAGCCUGUGUCCUGCUAUAGGCGGUUCCCUGAUUGGAAUCUAAUAAGGACUUUUUAUUGGUAAGAAUUCUUCCAAACAAUCCAAUUCAUCUCCACAAGGACCUAGAACCUUACUCUAACACAGGUAUUUGAGUUCUUAGAUUACAGGCUUGAGUUAUUUCUCCUCUCUUGUCCAGUGCUGAAAGUUACUCUUCUGCUUAAAGUUACUCUUGUGCUUAAUGUCUUAAUUCUCUCUCUAGAAGUAUUAUGAUCUUUUCAAAGGUUAUAUUGGUAUCAGGAUCAAACAACUUAUUCCAAGAUUGAGUAAUUGUUGAGGAAUUCAAUCUCAAUAUUAAAUUAAAAUUCUGCUCUUGUUGCAAGAUGUUUGAUCACUUCUUGUUAGGCGAAGACCUAUUCACAUUCUCUUGCUUGAGAUUUCUGAUUGAUCGAUUCAUGCAACUGACCAACUUUUCAUCUUAAAAUGGAAAAAAUUGUCUAAUGGUAUUUAUGCUUUCAUAAGCUUCCAUAAGUUGAUUGACAUGACCACCGGUUCGGUCAAAGUCCUUUAUUUGUUAAUUUUUUCGGUACAAUAUCCGUCCAACCAUGUAAGUUUCAAGACAGGGUAUUUUAUGUCACAUUGUCUUGCAUGAAAAUUGUGAAUUACUCUGAUAUGUUGGUUGAAUUGGACUUGCUGUAGUCUGAAUAUCUCAGAUUAUGACCUAGCACUAGAUUUAAUAUUUUGCCCAAUCGACUGAAUGAGUGGUUGUUAUUCUAGAGUUGUGAUCUUCAAGUCUUCUUGUUCAGUAUGACUUGUACUCGCUUUAAAUUCCUAAACUUCCAUCAUGGUGUAGAAUCUUUUUGUGUCAACUUGAUGUGCCUUAUUGUUAGUGUUUACCGUUUAGUGUUUACGUUGCAAUGUUUUAUUUUUGACCUUAGAUAUCUACCAGUUGCUUAAUUUUUGUAGUUCAUCUUUCUGCUAUAUGAUGUUUUACAUUUGUAAGCACUUUUGUUUACAGUGGUUAUGCAGACCGCAUUCAUGAGCUAUUAGUUGUCUCUCGAGAGUUAUCUGCUGUUCAUGACAAAUCAUCAUUGCAAAAAAGUUCUAUUAAGAAUUAUAUCAGUGAGGCAAAUUAUAUUGAAUUUGCCGGUGUCAAGGUUUGUUGGACUUGCUGAUUGUCAUAGUCGCAUUUUCAGUUCACCUGAUUUUUAUUGAUCUUCAUCUCUUUGAUUCUGAUGCCAACUGGUUUCAGGUGGUUACACCAACUGGAAAUGUCUUGGUGGAUGAUUUGAGUUUGAGGGUAGAUUCAGGAUCUAAUCUUUUGAUCACUGGUAACUCUUCUACUAUAUACCUUUUUUUUUUUUAUACACUGCUUGUUCAUAUGGAAUUUUUAAUUAGUUGUAUGAUCUGCUACUGUUUUAUCACAGAAGCAUUUAAGCAUUGUGUCUGUAAGCAUCUUUCGGAGACUGGAUAAGAGCUUAUUUACAGUUUUAUGGUUGAUUCAGCAACUAUUGAUAUUUCUGAGCUUUAUAAUACAGAUAUUUCCAUGUGAUCAGACCAUUAAACAAAUUGGAAAUAAGGAAUAAAAAAAGUAGCACUGGGAAUAUUUUUUUUUGUCGUGUAUUGAAUUUUGUUCUGUCUGAGAAGCUUACCGUAUUCAUCUCGUUGAAUGCCAGUGUUGCUUCUGUAAGUGAAUUCUAAGACGCAAUGAUCCCAGUUUGUUUCCUCAGAAGCUUAUGUAUGCUCUGAAAAAGGAGGAAGAUGAAAGAUGAAGAAAGCUUGGUCCUUAGUCUGAAAAAGUCUUUUAUGCAGAAUUUUGUGUUUCUAGGAAUCUAGUUACAAACAAUUUCUCAUCACGUUUUUGCUUUGCACUGAAUUAGUUACCCUGUAUCCUCUUAGUUUACUGAUCAAACAUACUUCAUAGAGGUUCAGUGAUCUUUGAUCCAUUAUCGAGAAGUACAAUGAUUAGUACAACAUGGGUCUUGACAAUAUGCUACCUGUAGUUGCACUGUGACCUUUAAUAUGUAUGUGCUUCAUCUGAUGCAUCUUUCCCUUUCUGCAAGAUACUAUAUAUGCUUUAAAGGGCAUUUCUAUGUACAUCUGCCAUCUAAAUAUUUUGUGGUUUGCUCAUCAGACAUCAAAUUUUCUCCUUCAACUUUGUUGGUUUGUUCAGGUCCAAAUGGAAGUGGGAAAAGCUCCCUCUUCAGAGUUCUCGGAGGACUAUGGCCGCUUGUAUCUGGUCAUAUUGUCAAGCCUGGGGUUGGUUCAGAUCUUAAUAAGGAAAUAUUUUAUGUCCCACAACGACCGUAUACAGCUGUCGGAACACUCCGAGACCAACUAAUCUAUCCUCUUACAGCAGAUCAGGAGACUGAACCGCUUACUUACGAUGGCAUGGUUGAGCUACUAAAAAAUGUAAUACAAUUUAUAUGUAUUACCUGUCUCUUUACUUGCCUUUUCUUUUGAUCAAUGUCUGUUAUUAUUUCUAAUGCUUGCCUGAUCAAUAAGUUGGUCCUUAAAGACUUUCUAAAGUAUUGUACAUUUGGUAGGUUGACCUUGAAUAUUUGCUGGACCGGUAUCCCCUUGAAAAGGAAAUCAACUGGGGUGAUGAGCUUUCUCUUGGCGAGCAACAGAGACUAGGAAUGGCCCGCUUAUUCUACCAUAAACCAAAAUUCGCGAUUUUAGAUGAGUGUACAAGUGCUGUCACAACAGAUAUGGAAGAGCGCUUCUGUUCUAAGGUUCGAGCGAUGGGUACAUCAUGCAUUACGAUAUCUCACCGCCCAGCAUUAGUUGCUUUUCAUGACAUUGUUUUGUCCUUGGAUGGCGAGGGGGGUUGGAGUGUUCAGUACAAGAGGUUUUAGUCCAUAAACUUUAUGACUUAUUUUCAUUAUUUCGAAAUAGAUCUGUGGAAAUUAUUUAAAACUCUUUAGUCUUGAUAAUGUAGGGAGGGCUCAGCAUUUCCUACCGAAGAGGAACCCAAUUCUUUAAAAUCAUCUGAAACUGAUCGUAAGAGCGACGCACUGGCUGUUCAAAGAGCUUUUAUCACCAGUGCAAAGGUUCGGGAUCUUUGUAAUUAUCGUCGUAUUAUUGUUGUAAUUUUCCACGGAGUCUUGUUUAUGGAUUUUAUAUGACAGGGAAAUGCUUUAUCAAAAUCAAAGGAGCACUCUUAUAGUACAGAGGUGAUAGCAUCAUCUCCUAAGAUGGAGCAUGAGAUUUCACUGCCCCAUGUGCCACAGUUGCAAUGUUCUCCAAGACCUUUGCCUCUUAGAGCAGCUGCAAUGUUUAAAAUACUGGUAUUUCUUGGAUUUCUUCACUCACCACAAUUUUUGUUGUGCAUAACCAUGAUUAUUAUCGAACUCAGCGAUAUGUACAUUAAACUCACUCUAGUACUUCAAUGAGACAUGUCUGAAAUCAUAAUCUGAUUGAUCAAGUCGAUAUUAUUAGACCUUUAUGUUCAUUCCCCUCUCUCUUUUAUUCCAGAUUCCCAGAUUGCUUGAUAAGCAGGGAGCGCAGCUGCUUGCAGUUGCUUUACUUGUUUUCUCUAGGACUUGGAUUUCGGAUCGCAUUGCGUCUUUGAAUGGUUAGCUUAACGUCAUUAUUUUAACUAUUAAGAUACAACAACAAAUGAACUGGUUCAUCAGGUUUACUUUAUUAUACUUAACAGGUACUAGUGUGAAGUAUGUCUUGGAGCAGGAUAAAGCAGCCUUUAUCCGGUUAACUGGAAUCAGUGUUCUUCAAAGUGCUGCAAACUCUAUUGUGGCACCUUCCUUAAGGUAUGAAUUUUCUUUUUGGGGAAAGGGCAACGAUGGCUUCAAUUCUUUUGUUGAGAUUUAAUUUGUUCGGUUAAAUCUCCAUUAAUUUUCAUGACCCAAGUCCCCUUUGUUCAUGUUGCGACCGCUGCACCUCCAUAAGAUCCAAAUUAAAUAUUGCUAUGUUGUAUUUCCAGUUUACUAUACCAUUUGAGCUAUACCUUUGUAUAUUUUGGUAAGCUUACUUAAGGAAUAAAUUGAGAAUAAAAUUUCUAAGGUGGAGUUAACGAGUUUCUUUCUGUUGAUUUUGUUGUAAAGAAAUUAUAUUAAAUUCAACCUGCUUGCCGUUGAAAAAUACAAUUUGCAGUUAUUUCAGCUCACCGGCUGAAUGGAAUUUAUUCGUACAGGCACCUCACAGCGAAGCUUGCACUUGGAUGGCGAAUUCGUUUGACUCACCAUCUACUCAAAUACUAUCUAAAGAGGAAUGCUUUUUACAAGGUACUAUUUUCCUUUUUAAGUACUGCAUUUUUUUUCUUUCUUUUAGGAACUGCCAUAUGUUUCUUCUUCCACCUGAAAUUUGAGCAGAAAAUCUUCUUUGUAAAUUUUUCUCUAUUGGAAAUGCAUUGAAAUGAAUCAAAUUAUAAGGGGCUAGUAUAACAGCCUCUCAAUCAGCGCUCUCUAAGAUUGUUUAAGUAGAUGUGUAAGUGUUAACUAACAAAGUUGUUGGAGAUUUUAGUUAAACUUGAUUUAGAUAAAUGUUGCUGGACUUUGUCAUUGAUUUUUAUUGGAAUACCGGAGCCUUAUUGAAAACUACUAGUCUUUAUACCCUUUAUUUUCGUGAAAAUGAAGAAACACAAGGGAAUGGUUGUUCGGCAGUUGAUUAGUUUAUAGUUUUGGAUGACGAUAUUUUACUCGGACAAAAGGAAAGGAGAAAGAUGUAAAGAUUAAGACAUACUAAGGGCAGCUGAUGGAAAUGUGAACUGGCUUUAUUGCACUUGAACAUCAGAUUCCAGAGAGCUACAUUUGGUUGAAUCUCUAACAUUGGUGUUAUUUGUUUGUUUUCUUUUUCUUUUUCUUUAUUGGAAAGAAACCCCAGAGCAAUUUCAUUAGAUUUGAGGAAAAAAAAAAUAGUAGAAAAGAUUUAGAAGGUGGUUCAUAAAGAUAUACCUUUUAGGUUCAUUGUGAAUUCGUAGCCUUUUUAUGAGUCAAAGCUGAGGUCCCCAGGGUUAGGAUCAAGGACAACAAACCUCCAUCCAAUGUUUAUUUGGGAAAUUUUUGCAGCCAAGAUUCGGAGGGCCCAGAUGAACUUUUCUUGAGCCCCUGCUUUAGUUUUAGGGCUUUUUUUCUUCACUCGGCCGAACAAAUCUACUGUGCUAUUUUUAUUAUGAAGAAAAAUUGGAUUAUCCUUCGUAAAUAAAGUAUACAUGUCUCUGCAGUGGUGGUUGUUGGCCCCUUGUCAUAAACAACAACUACAAGGUCAGUUACAUGAGUUUCAUAAAUUUACCUUACAAUCAGAGAGAGAGGAGGGAAAGAUCAAUUAGUAUCUAAACCGUAAGGCCAGAGGACAAAACAUGGGCUCUCUUCUCUCAGAUGCCACUAAAAGUGCUGGAAAAAUAGUUUGCACUUUGCCUGCGAGUAUUUAUUUUAUUUUAUUUUUUAAAAUUAAUGGAGCUUCAAUUGAGAUUCUUAGUGCACAAAUUAAGAGGAUUUAAUUAAUGAUCCUUUCUGUUUAAUCGAACUCCGUCUUCUCUUACUGGACUUUUAGCUUUUAGAUCUUGAAGUGAUUAAACAUUCAGAAAGUGGGUAGCAACUAUAUCCUGUGUUUCUUUUUGUCUCUGAUUCUUCAUGCUGUCUUAACAGUAGUGUGCGCAAAAUCUCAACUCUACAAGCCAACCAUUACUUAACACCUGUGUGGAAGUUGAAACCAUGCUUGUUCCUCGCUCAUAAAUUUUUCCACUUUAUGUUACGGAUGACUAAGCUGAAGCUUCUUCAUUCCAGGUAUUCCACAUGUCGGGGAAAAAUAUUGAUGCAGACCAAAGACUAACUCAUGAUGUGGACAAGUUGACCAAUGAUCUUGCAGGAUUGGUCACUGGGAUGGUAAAGCCAUCAGUUGACAUUCUUUGGUUAGUUAGUUUUCCUUCGUUUUAUACGCAUUGCUUAGCUACUUUCUGGUAUCUGGUCAGUCCUCUAAAUGUUCAUAUAUCUCUAUUAUUCUGGUCAAACUCGGCAGGUUUACAUGGAGAAUGAAGCUUUUGACUGGACGAAGAGGAGUUGCUAUACUGUAUGCAUACAUGUUACUGGGUUUGGGCUUUUUGAGAACUGUUGCCCCUGAAUUUGGUGAUCUAGCAAGUCAAGAGCAAGAACUUGAAGGAACCUUUAGGUAUUCAACUUCUUACUAUAUUGUAAUCAUCUCAGCAAGUUCUUUACUUUAAAUUGUAACUGCUUAAACAUCAAAUGGAAUGUCUUCUGUCAGGUUUAUGCACGCAAGAUUACGUACACAUGCUGAAUCUGUUGCUUUCUUUGGUGGUGGUUCUCGGGAAAAAGCUGUGAGUUUCUUGCGCAUAGAUGAAAUCACGCUUAUCUUGAGUUGCGAAUUUAUCAAUGGCUUAUUUCCGACUGUGGAGUUAAUUUUUGUUUUACUCAUGGAGCUUAUACAAUAAAGGAUCCACUUAUUUGUGGAAACGAAAUGUAGUAGCUCCGGAAGCAUGUUGUUUACUUGAACAAUUCGGGGAGUCAUAAGCGAAGUCGCUCUUCUUGUUCUCUGAUUGUUUUAUUCUUGUGUUUCUUCUCUUUGCCUUUGGAUAUAUGCUCGUAUUUUCCCAAUGUUACCUUUUUGGUUGAUUUGUCUUGUUCUUUGACUGUCUUCUACCUUUCAAUUUUUCUUUAUAUUUCGCUUGGAUUGCUAUAUUUGUGCAUAUAUUUAGCAGCAUAAAAGUUUAAAACAGACUCACUGCUGCCAAAAUAUUUGGAUUUUCUUGUUUCCAUUUUGGCCUAACAAGAACUAGAACUCUUCUUGUACAUCUGGUAAAUUUGUAAUUUUUAUUUUUUUCUCUCUAUUUUUUGGGUCUAAUUCAUUUGCAGACAUCUAUCUAUGUCAGAUAAUAGUAUCUCGAACUUUAACUCGUUUACCUGUCUUUCAUAUCAAACAGAUGAUUGAAGCAAAAUUCAGAAAAUUGCUCGAGCACUCGAAGCUUCUGUUAAGGAAGAAGUGGCUCUAUGGUAUACUAGAUGACUUCGUUACGAAGCAACUACCUCACAAUGUGACCUGGGGGCUGAGCUUGUUAUAUGCUUUGGAGCACCAGGGAGACCGUGCUUUAUCUUCCACACAAGGUUGAACAAUUGUGACACUAAAUUUGUUUGGUUAGUUAUUUCACUUUGUCUGGGUUUUUUGCUUGAAAGUUCACUUUUGUCUUUUUCCAGGGGAGUUGGCGCAUGCCCUUCGCUUCUUAGCAUCUGUUGUGUCACAAAGCUUCCUAGCAUUUGGGGACAUUCUUGAGCUGCAUAAAAAGUAUCUUGAACUUUCUGGUGGCAUCAACCGUGUCUUUGAACUAGAAGAGCUUCUACAUGCUGCCCAAAGCGGUACACCUUAUUUGAUUAGAAAUGUUUCAAACCUUGGAUUUCUCGUUGUCAUUUCCAAGUUCUUAAUUUCGUCGAUUCAUAUCAUAACUUUCCUGUUUAGGAAUACAAAUAUAUAUAUCCCUUGCAUUAUCUAUUUGCAUUUAUGUUCCGGCAAAAUUUGAAAUUGUGUCAUUCAAGACAUAAUUUCAAACAUAUAUCCGUUGUACUCAUAAAAAAUGUGCCUCUUUAAGAAACCCUUCAUAAAUUGGUUGACUCCCCCUACUGAAGGGUAUUUUUGUAAGAAGCUGCACUUUCGAGGGUGUAUAUGUGAAAAAUCAUGUUUUACUAGCCUAUAUAUUUAAAUAUGCGAAUCUGCAGGGAUGUGUAAAAUGCCUCUUUUGUAUAUAUUUGAAUAACUGAUCAUGACAUAAAUUUGAAAAACUUAAAGACGGUUCAUCUGCUGAAACGUGCAGAAGUUACUCUUCUUGAUUCUCCUGUUCCUUCCAAAGAGAAUGGUACACCUGCUGAAGAUCGUAUUUCCUUCCAAGAGGUGGAUAUCGUUACUCCAUCUCAGAAGCUAUUGGCUAGGCGGUUAGUAUGUGAUAUUGUUCACGGAAAAAGCCUUCUCGUUACCGGUAAGUUCACUGAUGAUUCUAUUUACAUACAAUCUAUGAGACUCCAACAGAAAAAAAGAAAAUGUUGAUCUUAAAAUGUUCCUAUUGUCUUGAAUUUGCUUGUUUUAUCUCAUCAAGGUCCUAAUGGGAGCGGAAAGAGUUCUAUUUUUAGAGUACUUAGAGAUUUAUGGCCCAUCGUUUCUGGAAGGCUUGUUAAACCCUCUGAAGGAGUGUUUCACGUUCCUCAGCGACCAUAUACUAGUCUGGGGACCCUGAGGGAUCAAAUUAUAUAUCCUCUCUCACGAGAUGAGGCAGAGCAGAGAAUGCUUACAUUGUUCAAUGCAGGUAAAAUAUUACUUUCCGAAAUUUUAGUUGAUUAUGUCAUACUUCGAUUAUCUAAAUGUAGGAACAUAAUUUUGGAAAUUGGUACAUAGUGAUUCAAGGAAGUUUACUUAGACUUAAGCAUUGUAAGCAGCUUUCAUGCUCUAUGUGAAGAUCUGCAUAUUUUGAGAGUUUUUCGUGGGCAUCACUUCAUAUUCUAAUAAAACCCUUUGUCUCUUUUGAACAAUUUCUUUGAAAUUUGUUUGAAAUUAAGUGCAAACUAUUCUCUAAUACCAUUUUAGGACAACUAAAGUUGUCAUAUGCCAUAAGAACUUCAACAUCCCAUGGUAAGGUGUUUUUGCAUUGAAAUAUUAUGUUAGCGGCACGCCACCCCAUGCCAUAUGUUGGUACAUGUGCCGCAGCAUGGAAGCCACAUGCUCCCCUGCCAUUCCAAACUAUUCCUCGCUUCAUUUAGAUACUAUAUAUCAGUUCAAUAAAAAACAAUUAGGGUGUGUUUGUUUGGGUGAAAGUGAGGGGGAAGUGGAGAGGGGGGAAAUUGUUUACGCCGUAAACUAUCACUUCCGUUGUUUGUUUUGCUGUAAUUUUAUUACGGCUGAAAGUUGAGUUCACCCAAAAUAGGGUAAUUGACUUCGCCCUCCCACGGGGCGAAGUCAAUUCUGGUGAAGUGCAAAGAGGCAAAGGAACUUGUUAAAUUUGGUUAGGUAAUGUGAUCAAAUUUGGUUAGGUAAGUUUUAAUAUAUUUUGUCUAAUUUGUAUAUUUAGAAAAUGAUGAAAAAUGAAUUUGUUAAAUGUUAAUAAUUUUUAACUUUAGAAUUUUAUUGUUGCAUUAUUAUAAUUUAUAUGCAAACAAAUAAUAUAAUUUUUUAAAAUUUUAUUUUAUAAUUAUACAUAUAUAUAAUUAUAUACAUAUAUAAUUAUAUUAAUUUUUAUUUAUUAUAAUUUAUUAUUCACUAAGUUACAAAAUAGACAAUGAUAUCACUUCGGAGGUAAGUAUAUCGGGGGUGGAGAGCUACACUUUUUACGUCAUCUAUUUCCUACCAAACAAAUAACAGAACUCGCAGAACUGCACUUCCACAGUUAGAAACAAACAGCAGAAGUGAAUUAAUUUUCACCCCAACUCCACUUCAACCCAAAGUCCACUUCCACCCCAAGUCUACUUACGUUGAAACAAACAGGCCCUUAAACGAAACAAACUUGAUGCUUCGCUUUUUAUUCAAUUAUAUAAUAUUACCUUUCUUUACAAGAUCACUAUGAGGAUUGCAAGGAUCAAGCUACACUCUUGUAGCAGUCUUGUGUAAAGAAUCUCCAGUUUGAUAUCUAACUCAAAAAGUUGAGGAGUCUUAAAAAUCAGCAAACUAUGCUGUCCAUUUACAGAUCUCAUUAUGAAGGUCGCUGACUCAAAAUCCAAAAGUUAGUAUUAAAUUCCCAUUUUGCCGCUUAUAGAACUGUAGUUCAUUUAAGCAGUUGAAUAUAGCAAUAAAAUUCAGUAGCAUUUCAAUUGGACAUCUUAUGGGGAGUGUGCAGUAACAGUAAUCUCGUAUUAAAUACAGGUGACAAGUCCAAGGCGGCUUCUCUCUUGGAUGCUCACUUGAAGACUAUUCUUGAAAAUGUUCGACUAGUUUAUCUUCUUGAGAGGGAAGGUUGGGAUGCUACUCCUAACUGGGAAGACGUUCUAUCGCUAGGCGAACAACAGAGGCUCGGCAUGGUUAGUCAAAUUAAUCUUUGGUUCAACUGUCUAAAAUAGAGGAAGGAAUUUUGUCUUUUACUGCUAUAGCCUAUCCAAUGUUUAAAAACUGAUAGAUAAGUGAUGGAUUUUUCCAAUUUUCCAGGCUCGCUUGUUCUUCCACCACCCUAAAUUUGGUAUCCUUGAUGAGUGCACCAAGUAUGCUACCUACUUUAAUCUUGCUAUGUGUGUGUUCUUUUUUUUUUUUUCUGAAUUUGACUAGUAUUUAGAUCCUUACGCACUUCUUUUUUCUACAGUGCGACAAGUGUUGAUGUCGAAGAGCAUUUAUACAGACUGGCAAAUGAGAUGGGCAUAACAGUCAUUACCUCCUCACAAGUAAGCACCAACAUUACAUCAGAACAUUUUUCUCAUUCCAAUUCACUUUUAGUUGCAAGCUAUUCUUUUCUUUUCCCAUCUUACUAAUUUUCACCUAUUAUAUAGCGGCCCGCCCUCAUACCAUUCCAUUCGUUGGAGUUGAAACUUAUCGACGGGGAAGGGAAGUGGGAGUUAUGCCUAAUCAACCAAUGAAUAUGCUAAAAACGCUGCUUAAGUCACAUUUUCAGGUAGAGAUCUGUCUUAAGAGUCCGACAGGGUGCAACCAGAGGUAUAAAGCAAUCCACAUUCAUGCCGAGAAUAGAGCGUCUCCGCAUGUUUGGAUCUCACAUUGUACUUUUAGAAUAUUUUUAUUCUUUUCUCUUCUGCUGAAAUGUUUUAGCUAGAAGAACAGCAGGUGCCGCAUAGAGUCUACAGGAUUUGCCGAAAGGCGACUACGGUGGGGCCAUGUUUUAGUUUAGAUGCGUGGCACACGCGAUUGGAACUAUGUUAUACUCAGUGGGAUAACAUUGUAGAUAAUCUCAUUUAUAUAUGUAAACAUUAGCAUGUGUUUCGCGCGCGCGAAUAUAGAAAUAAAGUGGCAUAAAGUGAAAGUGUAAUAACACAGUUAUUUAAUUUAAACUGGAAAUCAGAAGGCGUAUUGAAAUUCUUGUGUUGGUGGUCUUUUUCUUUUGACGUUGCAUAUGAUCAUAUGGUUUGUAAAGAGUGAGGUAUUUUUUUUGUUCGAAUGGUAAAACCUUGUUUUAAAGUUAAACAAGGGAAGCAAUGUCGGGGUCGGUGAUCGAAUAUAUUUAUUCAAGACGAUUGAUUCGUGUGAUGAUUCUAGUUACUGAGCUAGUUGUUUGCAUCGUGUUUCUGGAGAUUGUUUAGUUUAGUAGCAGUGUGUUUUUUUUUGAGAAAAAAAUUAUUUGUAGUAAUAGUUAAUAUGUAUGGAGAACCACUCUUUGAAAUAGGGUUUCGUUUAGUUCGAUUUAUAUUAUCUGAGUCUAUCGAAUUAGGGAUUUUAUUAAGUUAUCAUAUUCUUUUUAGGUAAAGAAAGGGGUGAGUUUUAUUAAUUUGAUACGAUUAAUAUCUGAGGGGGCCAUCAUCAAUUUAAAUGGAAUUUUGUUUGAGAAUGAAAUAAUUUAAAUCAAAGCUCAUCAGAAUGUGUUGUAUCAGUGAAAAAAUGAAUAGAUGUGAUUCAGCCUGGGUCUGAAUUUUAACCAUUUGUUUCAAUUCAAAGUUUUUCAGUUGGAAAAUUACCGAUCGUAUUUGUUGCAAUCCAAAUCUCCUCAAUUCGAGUCAAGAUUGCUGUACUUUCAUAAAAUUUAAAUUCUAUUUAAAUUUGAAACUUACUGUUGAUAUCAAAAUUGAGCCGACCUAACCCACGUAUGAGCCAAUAAGGAUACGUGGUACACCAGGAGUCGGCAAUAAGACGCCAGAAGAACAAGAAGGCGGGAACUGUUGAAGAUUGGGACGUAACUUUCAUGAGGAGUUAGUGUAACUUCCAUGAAGAGUUAGUAUAACUUCCACGAUAAUGGUUACAAUUACUUCCCCCAACUACUUUCAACCAACUAAUAAUGUGGGCUAUAAAUAGUAACUUUGAAGCUUGCAAUAGAGGUCUUCGCCCCUGCGCACAAAAGACCAUCUUUAUUUUCCUGCAUCUUUCUAUUCUCGCAUUUACCGCUUUCCCUAAGAGUAGUUCUUGUAAUUUAGCAUACUCGGAGUCUAUCUGCCCUACGGGCAUCACCCCUCUGUUCCCAUACUUGGAGUCUGUCUGCCCUACGGGCAUCACUCCCCUGUUCGUGUAUUUUUUUCCAUUUGCUAUUCAAUAGAAAGCCAUCUUCGGCUCUUCCUGCCGAUCAGAUCACGAGUUGUUUAGCCAUUCAGCUCAUUUCUUAGUCGAAUUCUGGGCUUCUCCUCUCUAUUCGGCUCAUCCCGCCGAAACGAAUUUACUGUGGAGGUUUUCGAACCCGACUGAUUCGAUCCCUCAUCGGCCGAAUCGCUUGAUCCGUCGUGGGCGCAAACUUCGAGGGUCACUAUCCGCAGCCGUUCUUCACCCCGACGCACUCCCCGAGGAGAAUUCUUGACCAGGUCAAGGGUCGGGACAUUCGGCAUUCAACACUUACAAAAAUACAAAACUUGUAGGAAGCAAAAGGAGACCUGCAAUAUUACAUUACAAUAAUGCAAUGAGAAGAAAAGGGAACAUAGAAAUACCAAAAAGUAUUAUUUAGUGAUAUCAUAAAAUAGCCCCUCGAACAAUAAGAUGAAUUUGAGUUUACCAUACGAACAUGCAACUAGAAAGACUGUUAAUACCUCAGAUAAUAGACUCAACACCACAACGCAGUCAGAAUCAUACUUUCCACCUCUAAACGUCGUAUAUCAUUCAAGAAUAGCUCGUCAUAAUAUACCCGAUCAUUCAAGAGUAUGGUAUUAAUUUUUGUUGGUACUAUCUUUGCCUACCUCUCCGGUCAUGAUUAUACUUGGGCAUCCUAGUGUAUAUAGAUCAUAUAACUGAUCUGCUCGAGUGUUGUCCAGUAUAAUAUUCCCACAUGAUGCACAAAACUUAGGAUCAAAUAUAAUCCUUUAUCAUGUUAGUGUUAGAUCAUCAUGCCCCGAUCUACUAAAUUUGGCAUACGUUGUCUAAUGUGUGUGUCCUAUUAUAGAUCUCCACCCCAUAGACCAUACUAACUUUACAGUCUCACAUGAACACUGUAUUGAUUCCUUGAAUCUAUAUAAUCACAUAUAACUCGUAUUCCAAUGCUUGAAUUCUCAACUCGAUCCACAAUUUCUUGGACAUAGCAAAUCCAAUACGUGAGGAAAUCCGAAUUCAUUGUUUCAAUAAAAAAAUUCACAACCAUUAUAUAUACUUGCAAUUGAGAGACUUACGGACCUUAUUAAAGUGACAUAUUCUCAAGUCAAAUCAUACUUACCGAAUACUAUAUGUGAAGGUCCUAAACAAAUUGUUAUAGUAUAAUAUGCCCAAUCACAAUACAUGUCUGCCACCACGAAUGACGCACCUCGCACGGUCGAUGGAUUUUUGGUGCGUGAGGUAGUAUUCAUGAUUCAGAUUGGUAUUUAUAUGUAUAAGUGGGUAUCAGGUUUUGCGGGUCCAUGGCUUCCAAUAGAUGCAAGCAUCUACUAUUAAUUACCCCCUUGAGAUUGGGGUACCUUCGAUUAGGAGACCUUCAUAGAUGGGAUGAGUUGAAUCGCGUCUCGGUUUAUUGAAUCCUAAGUAUAUGUAUUAGGAUUCAGUUGGAUUUGAGGUUGAUUAGGCCCUAAGUAUAUGUGUUAAGACCUAAUCGAUAUUAAACUCUAUGUAUUAGAGUCUAAUUGGUUCAUGAGAUAUGGGUAUGAGAUCUCGGUAUUCGUUCAUGGGAAUUAGGUAUUGGUUUAUGAGAUUUGGGUAUUGGUUCAUAGGAUAUGGGUAUUAGGUUGGAUGUAUGGUUCAUGGGAUUAAAGUCCAUGAGGUUUGGUGUAUGGUUUAUGGGGUUUGGUCCAUGAGGUUUAGUUGUGGUUCAUGAGAUUUGGUCCAUGAGGUUUGGUUGGUUCAUGGGAUUUGGUCCAUGAGAUUUUGUUGGUUCAUGGAAUUUGAUCCAUGAGAUUUGGUUUAUGGUUCAUAGGAUUUGGUCCAUGAGAUUUGGUUUUGGCUCAUCGGAUUUGGUCCAUGAGGUUUGGUUUUGGCUCAUGGGAUUUGGUCCAUGAGGUUUGAUUUUGGUUCAUAGGAUUUGGUCCAUGAACUUGGUUUUGGUUCAUGGGAUUUGCUCCAUGAACUUGGUUUUAUAUGUGAACUUGGUUUGGUUUGGGUUUGGAUUUGAUUCUGGAAUGGGUUUGGGGUUCUUUAUGUGGACUUGGCUUGGUUUCGGUUUAUUUUGGUUUUGGGUUGGAUGUUUAUUUGGACUUUAUUUGGUUAGGUUUUAUUUGUGGAUUUGGUUUGGGUUCUUAUGUGAACUUGAUUUGGGUUUGGGUUUGGAUUUAGUUUGGGUUUUGGGUUUGGGUUUAUUUGGGUUCAAGUUUGGGUUUAUUUGUGGGUUUAUUUGUGGACUAUGUUUGGUUUGGAUUUGGGUUUAUUUGGGUUCAAGUUUGGGUUUAUUUGUGGGUUUAUUUGUGGACUAGGUUUGGUUUGGAUUUGGGUUUAUUUGGGUUCAAGUUUGGGUUUAUUUGUGGACUUGGUUUGGUUUGGAUUUGGGUUUAUUUGUGGACUUGGUUUGGUUUGGAUUUGGGUUUAUUUGUGGACUUGGUUUGGUUUGGGUUCUGAACUUGACUUGAUUUAGGUUUGUAGGUGAACUUUAUUUGCAAUUUGGGUUCGCAUAUGAACUUAAUUUGCAAUUUGGGUUCGCAUAUGAACUUAAUUUGCAGUUUAAGUUCGUGUAUAAACUUGAUUUGCAAUUUGAUUUGGGGUCCGAAGAAAUCCCCUUUUGAUUUUGCCAUUAGAUUUGGGGUCCGAAGAAAUCCCCUAUUGAUUUUGCAAUUGAAUUUGGGGUCCGAAGAAAUUCCCUAUUGAUUUUGCAAUUGAAUUUGGGGUCCGAAGAAAUCUCCGUUUGAUUCUCCAAUUGGAUUUGAUUUGGGGUCCAAAGAAAUUCCCGUUUGAUUCUCUGAUUUGGAUUUGAUUUGGGGUCCGAAAAAAUCCCCGUUUGAUUCUCUAAUUUGGAUUUGAUUUGGGGUCCGAAGAAAUCCCCGUUUGGUUUUAAUUUGGUGUCCGAAGAAAUCUCCGUUUUGAUUCCAAUUUGGAGUCCGAAGAAAUCCCCGUUUUAAUUUUGAUUUGGGGUCCGAAGAAACGGGGAAUCAAAUAUUCCCCUCCCCUCUUCUUGCGAGGCUGUAGAUGACGUCGACGAAGUUGAUGACGGUGGCGUGGAUCUGUUCGGCCAUCGGAUUUGAUUUGACAUUUUCGAAGAAAUGUUGAAGGGUCCGAAGAAACAGGGAAUCAAAGAUUCCCCUCCCCUCUUCUUUCGAAUGUAUCAAACCGUCGGUGUUGUAGAUGAUGUCGAUGAAGUUGAUGACGGUAGUGCGGAUUUGUUUGGCCGUCGGAUUUGAUUUGACAUUUUCGAAGAAAUAUUGAAGGGUCCGAAGAAACGGGGAAUCAAAGAUUCCCCUCCCCUCUUCUUUCGAAAGUAUCAAAUCGGCGAUGUUGGGGUGGUCGCGGCAAUGUAGAUCACCCAUUCCAUCAUCAACAACUUCGAAUGGGGUAUUAAGAGGUCCGAAGAUAUGGGGAAUCAAAGAUUCCCCUCCACUCUCCCAUCGAAGCCAUCUAGAUAGUAUGGAUGGCUACAAUCGCAGGACCAAAGAAAAAAAAAUAGAGGGGGGGAAGAAGAGAGAUCAUUUUUUUUCUUUUUCUUUCUUUUUUUUUUUUCUUUUUAUGUUNUUUUUUUUUUUUUUUUUUUUUUUUUUUACCUGUUGAUCAAAUGACGGAUUGGAUGAAUCAGCUCGACGAUUCCUCCACCUUUUCACGGCUCAGCGAUCUCUCCUCAUUUUCGCGGCUCGGCGAUUUCUCCUCCUUUCCGCGGCUUGGCGAUAUCUCCUCCUUUCAGCGGCUCGGCGAUAUCUCCUCCUUUGAAUACUUUGAACGUGGAAAUAUGUGUAGCAAUCUAUCUCUCUUUUUUUUUUAUCUAUCGUCUCUGUAAAAAAUUCCUCAAGAAUUUGAUUUCGGUUCCCGUAUUUAUAAUGAGAGGGGAGGAGUUAGUUAGGAAUUCAAAAUUCGAAAUUCGAAUUUUGAAUUAUUUGUUGGAUGGUUGGAGGAUAUUUGGGGUGUGGUUGGGAAUUGAAUUUUCAAUGAGUUGUUGGAUAGUUGGAAGAUAUUUUGGGAGUUGGUUGGAGGUUCGAAAUUCGAAAUUCGAAUUUUGAAUGGAUUAUUGGAUGAUAUUUUGAAGUUGGUUGGGAAUUCAAAAUCGAAUUUCGAAUGGAUUGUUGGAUGAUGUUUUGGGAAUUGGUUAGGGAAUUCGAAAUUCGAAAUCGAAUUUUGAAUGAGUUGUUGGAAGAUGUUUUGGGAAUUAGUUGGGAAUUCGAAAUUCGAAAUCGAAUUUCGAAUGGGUUGUUGGAUGAUAUUUUGGGAAAUGGUUGGGGGUUCGAAAUUCGAAUUCGAAUUUCGAAUGGGUUGUUGGAUGAUAUUUUAGGAAAUGGUUGGGAAUUCGAAAUUCGAAUUUCGAAUGGGUUGUUGGAUGAUAUUUUGGGAAUUGGUUAGUGAAUUCAAAAUUCGAAAUCGAAUUUUGAAUAGGUUUGUUGGAGGAUGUUUUGGGAAUUGGUUAGGGAUUCGAAAUUCGAAAUCGAAUUUUGAAUGGGUUGUUGGGUAGUUUGGUAUUCAAAAUUCGAAUGGAUGUUGGUUGGGGAUUCGAAAUUCAAAAUUGAAUUUUGAAUGGGUUGUGGGAUGGAUAGGUAUUCAAAAUUCGAAUGAAUGUUGGUUGAGAGAUAUUUUGGGAGUUGAUUCGAAGUUCGAAAUCGAAUUUCGAAUAAGGUUAUUAGGAUAACAGAUAUUUUCUGGGGGUUUAAAAAUUUAAAAUCGAAUUUGAAUAUGAUAUUCGAAAUUGAAUUUUCAAAAGUGGGUGAAAAUGUGGGCCAUGAUCCCAUGAAUUGGGCUGAAAUUGGGCCCACUUUGAUGAGACUUGUUGGGCACAAUUAUUCAUUGAGCUGAGACGAGGCCCGAAUUAUUGUAUAGGCUUAAAAUUUUAAAGGGCUUUCAUGAGGCCCAUUAAUUCAUAUUUAUGAAUGGGCCUAUUGUAGAAAUUAUAAUUAUUGGCCCCAAAAUUUUCUGACCAACAUGAGACCUAUCAAAAUUGUUUGAGUCUGAAUCUAAUCGGUUUCGAUUAUGAUUAGGAUUUUUUUUUUUUUUUUCACUUCAAACAAUACAAUAUGACUAUAUCAUAGAUUAGCGAAUGUGACAAUUUCACGGUUCAUACGAUAUAUCGGAAAUGACAAUCAAUGUACUAUGAUACUAGCUAGUAUUCAUGUUCAGAGGUAUCAUUUGGUUCAAGAAUAGGCAAGAAUUGCUUAGUCUUAGAACAAGUUCAAGAAUAAACAGGAACAACACCAAAUUUUUAUUUGAAUAAAAAUUAGGUUAUUUUUGGGUACAAGAAAAAUAAUGUUUGAAUGAAUGAAGAGGAAUAAGGUCCUAUUUGGAUGCAUAGUUAAAAAAUUCUAUGGACUUUUUAUUCUGUGGUUUUGGUCUAAAUGAAAUACGGAAUUCUGUGACUAUAAAAAGAAUUCCACACCUUCAUUUUUAAGCUGUUUGGAUACAUAUGGUACAAUUCCACAGGAUUUAUAAUAAUUAAAGUUCUAAAAUUUAAAAUUCAAAAUUCAAAAUUUAAAAAUAAAUAAAAUUUUAAAAAAUUAAAAUUUAAAAUUCAAAUAUUAAAAUUUAAAAAUAAACUUUUAUAAAUUUGAAUUUCAAAAUAUAAAAUAUAAAAUUUAACAUUCGAAUAUCAAAUUUAAAAUUAAUUUUAAAAUUUUAAAGUUUAAAUUAAAAUUUUAAAAGUUUAAAAUUAAAAUUAAAAAUUAAAAAUAAAAUAUAAAAAUUAAAAUUAAAUAUUAAAAUAUUAAUAUAUUUGAAUUUUGAAUUUUUAAAUUUGAAAUUAGAAGUUUGAAACUUGAAAUUUGAAUUAGAAUAUGAAAUCUGAAACCUAUAUCUUAAAUUUAAAUAUUGUAAUUAAAUUUAAAAUUUAAGUUUUAAAUUUAAUUUUAAAUUUUAAUUUAAGAUGUACAAUUUAAACUUUAAAUUUGAAAUUUAAUCAAAAUCUAUAUUUAAUAUUUUGAAUUUUAAAUUUAAAAAUGAAAAAAUUUUAAAUUAGCAAAUUUAUAAAUUUGAAAUUUUGAAAUUUAUUGAAAUAAAUUUAAAAUUUAAUUUAAAUUUUAAAUUUUAAAUUAAUUUAAAUUUUAAAUUUCAAAGUCAAAAUUUCAAAUUUAUAAAUUUGUAAAUUAAAUUUAAAAAUUUGAAAUUUGAAAUUUUUAAUUCAAAGUAGAAAUUUAAAAUUUAAAUUAAAACUGAAUUUUAAAAUUUUAAAAUUUGAAAUUCUAGAUCGAAAUUUUAAAUUUUAUGUUGAAAUUUAAAAUUUAGAACUUGUUACAUCUUUGGGGGUAAGGGUGCCUAAAAAUGGUGGAAUUUUCCCACAGUUAAAGUAUAUUGUAAUUUUACUCGGUUUUUAUGAUAUGGAAUGAAGUAUACUUAAAAAUUACGUGUUUUAUUCUUUUUUUUUUUUUUUUUUUUUUCAAACGCUUCAUAGGAUAUAAAUUCAUUAUGACAAAAAUACUCUUCUCCUUAAACCAAUCUUUGUAAAGUUUUAAUUAUUAAAAUUGAAAAUAUAUCAUCACAAAAUUAGCAUUUUAAAUUUGAUUAAUAGUUUUAAAAUAAUUAAAAACACAUUUAGUAGAAAACAAAUUAAAUUAAAUUAAAUUAUCUGCAUUAGAUGUAAUUAAUAUUAUUAUAUUUUAAUACUAUCAUCUAUUAAAAUUAUAUUCUCUUACAAAAUUAGUAUUUUACUUUCAAUUAUUUUAAAUUAAAUAAAGAUAUAAUUAAUUACGCACAUCUAUAUAAAGAAUUUUAAUGGCAUCUAUGCAUAGUGUACUAUAGUAAUUAAUUAAGCCAUCUAUAUAAAUAUAAGGAAUGCUUGAAGAUUAAUUUCAUCUGAAAAAAGGAUAAUUAAUUAAGAACCUCGAGCAGAAUAAUUAAUUAAUAGAUUUUACAAGUAUUGAUAGAUUUUACAGAACUUUUAUAUAGAGGAUUUUGAAAAGAGGAGAGAGAGGGAGAGAGAGAGAGUAAUUAAUCGUCCGCUUCAAGGCAAAAAAACAAAACCCUAACCCUAACCUUGGUAGCCCUUUUCCACCCCCGGUUCUGCUCUUCAUCUUCUUCUUCGUCUUCGGUAACAUCGCUUUCUAUGUAUCUUUAUCUACAGCCGAAGGAGCCGCCGCCGCUUCCGGAGGAUGCCAGAAAAGGAGAAGCAGAGCCGCCGGGGUCGCCGGAGAAGAAGGAGAAGAACAGGAAGCGGAAGGGCAAAUCCUCCGUUUCGGCGGAGAUCGUCGAGGGUUUCAGCGUGUUCGGGUGCUCUGAGUCCGUUUCUUCUGUGAGAAACUCUAGUUCCGGGGAAGCGGAUGGCUCUAAUACUCAUAGCAAGGAGGUGGCAAUGGCAAGGGAGAUCGAGGUCGGCCAAGUUGCUGAUUUGAGUUUCUUGUUUAAUUUCUAUUUUUUGGGCUAAAGAUUUCAUUUUAAUUUGGAUUUUGUUGUUGUUGGUGUGGGGUUACAGAGAGCUUCGAUUCUGCGGAAGAAGCAUGGGAUUCAUAUUUCAGGUUAUAAUGUUCCUGCACCGCUUGAGAGUUUUGAAGAACUGAGUUCAAGGUUGGCCUUUGUUGUUCAUCACGUUAGCUGCAGUGUUGCUGAUUUACUAAUUUUGGAUAUUUGUGAUAUGUUUUGGAUUGAUAAUGUUUUUACUAGAUUCCAUAGGAGGAACAAGUGCAAUGCUGAUCUAAUACUAGUAGGGACUUUUUGUUUUGCAUAAUAUUGCAAAGAUUCUUUUAUAUGUAAGAAUUAAUGGUCUAUUUAUUCAAGAUAGUUAUUUUGCACUAUAUAUUGGAAAAUAGAAUUAUAUGCUAGAACUCGACUUUUUCGUGUUGCUCUACUGAAAACGGCAUUGACAAUUGACAUUUUUGGGCUUGCAUUUUUUGUUGGCUUUAUCUUUUGUGAAUAUUUAUUUUGGGAGCCUUAGGACUGAGGUAACUUAGGAUUUCUGUGAUGCCUGAACCCAAUCUUAACCAUUGUCAACUGCAUCUGUGUCACGUAUCUUAUAUCUUAAUUCAUAUGCAUAGGAUGUUAUCAAAGUAGUUUAUUAUUGAGUUGUAAAUCAAAGAGGGAUUCAAAAUCAUGAAAUCCAAAAAGGUUCUGAUGACCUUUUGAGACCUCUGAUAUUUUUUAAAAAUGUGGAAAAUUUUCACAUAGUUGGAAAUAUAAACCUAAUUAAAUUCAGAUAUGCAAAAGAUUAAUUGGUCAUCAAUUACAUAACGCUGGUAGAAAAUAUGUUUUUUCUCAAAUGUGAUAGUUCAAAACUGUAUGGUAGUUGCUUCUGGAAGUUAGGAACAUAUUACCGACCAAUUCUUGUCUAAAAUAUUUUUGACAUAUGGUCAAGGAUUGCCAUUCCAGUCGGCAUGAUCUGGCAUAGUCGGCAUGUGCUGCCUGUGCCGACUGUGCCAACAUAUAAAAUGGGGCGUGCGUUGGCGUGCCGUGCCGUGCUGUUGGCACAUCAGAUGCCCGUACAAGUGGCUCGACAAUCCUUGCAUGGGGUUGUAGUGAGCUGGUCAAGGUGGAUAUUAUGAUUCAAGGGUUGGUAUUACCUGUGGUGUUGAUUUGCCUCUCUCUCUCUCUCUCUCUCUCUCUCUCUCUCUCUCUCUCGCUCUUUUUGGUUCAGGUUGUUAUCGGAAGUUUCUUUCUAAACCAUUUUGGGUCAUUUCCAACUUUCCAUCUACAUUAGUAUUUCUAAUUCUCUACAGCAUAAAAUUGUGACAACACACCUAUGUAAGAAUCUUAUAUGUUGCAAAUGCCAUUAGCAAAUCAACUGAAUAUUAAGAGAUCCCAUGUUAUGUACACUUUUUGGAGACCGACCUUUCAUUUUUUCCAAUUAGCAUUAUUGAAGUGUCUGUUGAAGCUUGAAAAGUGAAAAAUUGAAAGGUUUUAGCAUGGGUAUAGAUAUGAACUAAGAAUUGUAAAGAAAACAUCAUUUUUUAAAUUAGAAUAGUUUGAAAGAAAAACAAAUUAAAAAUUUAAAAUCUUACCUUGUAAAUGGUAGAGACAAACUCAUACAACUUAGUUUCUUUCUCAUAGGAUUACCUUAAUCAAUAUUUUAGUAUGCUUUACUAUAGUAGCGCAUAAAUGAGGGGUCUUUGUACUCUUUUUCCUUAAAAAAGAAUUAUUGAACGACGAGAUGUCAACCAAAAGAAAAAGUUUUAAGCCCUUCAUAGAAAUGGCAUAUAGUAGAGGGGUCCAAAUACAAUUUUAUAUUUAUAAAAAUUUUUUUAAUACACUUCGCAGUAGUUGAUAGCAUUUCAACAGAGGUUUUCCAAACAUCUUUCUAUACCAAAUAUAAUAAUGCGAAACAACAGUUUUUCUCUAAAAGCUUAAGCCGGUAGAGAAUGGUGUUCUUAUAUUUUUUAUAUUUAACAUUCCGGCUCACAUUUGGACUCGAGACUUUUUGAUAGGCCAUGAAGUGGACUCGAUUUAAAUGGAAGGAAACCAAUUAUGCAAGGAGCCUGGUGUAACUCGAACUCGGGAUCUCUUGCUUUGAUACCAUGUUAAAUAAUGCGAAACAACCGUUUUUCUCUAGAAACUUAAGCUGGUAGAGAAUGGUGUUUUUAUAUUUUUAUAUUUAAAAGUAGACAACACUUUUAUAGCUGAAUUAGACAAACCAUCUACAUUUGUUUCAAUAACAUCGCACUAUUCUAUAUAGCACCUUUUCAACCACACUACAGUCGAUAGCUUGGCUAAACGGGCCUUCUACCGUCUUGCUCUGAUAGGCUAUCAAUUCUAUCAAUGUUAUUUUAAUCCUUAUAUACUCUACCACCCGUGUCAACGUUAUCAAUUUAUUGUGGCUCUAUUCUAUCCAAAAAUAAUUAUCAGGAAUAUUACCGAGUUGAAAAGUAGACAUAAAUCAAAUCUAUAAACACCAAAUUUUGUAAGAAAAUCAAUGAACCUAGUCCGUGACAAGCAUACUAUAGUAUUUGGUGGUGACAGACUCAAAACCCACAUGGUGUUGCAAAUUUAUUCAGAAUGUUGCAUAUGGUUCGGCAUGAUACAACCCCCGUACCGAUCGCAUAGCUCACAAUUCCUAUUUUUUAAAUUAGUAAGUAAUUUUCUCAACAAAAGAUAUGAUAAAAAUACAUAAUAAAUAGUUAGAAUAUUUGUUGCUAAAGAAAAUAAAUAUUUCAUGCCAUUAUGUGUCGGCACAUAUGUAUUUUUUGUGACCUGCACGCAUUGGCACUGUCUAGCGCUCACCGUGUCGUGCCGUACCGUACUGGCAAGUUUUCGGUACAACCAUGUGCCACGGCACUUAAAUUCUUAGUUUAAAUGAUAUUUUGCAGACUUAGGAUUCAAUUUCAUAGGAACUAUUGGGUUUUUUGAUUCAGUUAUGUUGCAAACAAUCCAACAGUCUUUGAAUUUGCUAGAGAACAAUUUUAAGUGUAAGAUUGAAAACACUGUUGAUCUAUAGAUGCAUGUUCGCUAAAUGAAAUUUUUGUUGAGACGAAAGAAUGCUCAAAACUCUUGUAGCUUAAUUUAUUCUGAUGUGCUAGUAAUGCAACAUUGACACAUAAAACUUACAAUUUGGAUGAAUUGAAGUAAUGAAGCUUUAGCAGGCUACAAACAUUUCAGGACGAGCGACAAUGUUGGAUCUUCUACAUACAUCUUCAUCGCCAUUUACAUGGGAGAGAUGCAUACUGAGAUCAAAAGUCUGACUCAGAUUUUUUUCUUUUAAACUGAAGAUUGCAACUCAUAAUCAAAUUUUGUUUAGUGACCAGUGGCAGCCUGGUAUAUAUUUCAAUGAUGAUGAAUCAGUAAUAUUAUGUGUUCUUAUUUGGUUAUGUCGUUGUUUUCAUUUUUGCCAUUUUAUUCUUUAAUAUUUGUACCUCCAUGGAGCUCUCUAUUAUAUUCUCUCCCUUUCCACUGGCUCUUGUCCACUUGCAGUAUUCAAUGCAGGAAAUUUCAUUCUUGGGUAUGAAGUUCCUAAAUUUAGUUUUCUAACUUGGUAUGCUACAAAGCUUGUUAAUUUCAUAAUUUAUUACAUGGACAGGUAUGGCUGCAAAUCCAAGUUGUUGCAGAACUUAUCUGGACUUGGAUUUAAAGAACCUACACCUAUUCAAAGGAAGGCUAUUCCAGUGCUCCUCUCAGUAAGCUCUUUUACUUCACUGGCUCCCUUGUGCUUAAUAUUCGAGUCCCCCGUUCCAAAGAAAAAGGGAUAAUUUAUGUUUAUUGUAGAAAACUAGCUUGACUUUAUCUGAUAUAUUGCAGGGGCGAGAGUGCUUUGCCUGUGCUCCAACAGGUUCUGGAAAGACAUUGGUUUUUCUAUUUCCAAUCCUUAUGAAAAUUAAGGUGGCAUUUUUCAGUUUGGGUAUUAUCCAUAAGAGAGACACUGGGCAUACUCUAAGACUAAUUUGCUGCUAACAGCCAAGAACUAAGGAUGGUGUAAAAGCUGUGAUUCUUUGCCCUAUGCGAGAAUUAGCUGCACAAACUACAAGAGAGUGUAAGAAGUUGGCUAAAGGAAGGAAAUUUUAUAUCAAAUUAAUGACUAAGGAGCUAUCUCGAUCUGGUGAUUUUGAAAAAAUGCAUUGCGACAUUCUUGUUUCAACUCCACUGCGGUUGGACUUUGCUUUGAGGAAAAGAAAGCUCAAUUUAAGUAGGUUUGUGCUAAAAGUAUCAGUUCUUUGAAAGAUCCUUUCUUAGUUUUUCUUUUAUUUGCUGUAUAUAAAAGAUUCAGGAACAAUCUACAUAUGAUCUCUUAUGCUUCAAAAUGCUAGAACGUUUAGAUUUUCUCUUACCUGUAGUUUAUCUUGCUUUGAAAGGCAAACUUUCUAUUUGUAAUUCGGUAACUAUUUCCCUUGAAUCUUAUGAAUCAUGCCUGGUUCUUUUUGUGUACAAGCAACCUAACGAUAUUCUUGCCAUAUAUGCCUAAUGGUACAGUUCUUUUGAUGUUGAUCAUUAAUGUCAUUUUCUAUUACUUUGUUUCGAAAGUGAACUUGUUGUUCGAGUCAUUCAAGUAUUUCAAACAUUUAAGAAAAAUCUACACAGUUUAUUGAGUUCGAAGUGUAAGGUCGAUUACCGUAUACUCAUAUAUUAUUUUGAAUUCAACUGUGAAACCAGCAUGAAUAUUUAGUCGAUAGAUGUUGCUGAACUUCUUUAAUUUGUCAAAGUUACUCUUUCUUGUAAAUAUUCUUGGUAAAUCACAUCUCUUAUGUUCUAAGUAUUUUUGACCUUAUGGUUUUUGAUCAUAUUAGAGUUGGAUGAAGAAAAAGGGAUUUGGUCAGAAAAUUUAAUCCUUUAUUUGUUGCUUGCUGCAGGGUGGAGUACCUUGUCUUGGAUGAAUCAGAUAAGCUAUUUGAGCUUGGAUUUGUUGAGCAGAUUGAUUCUGUUGUUAAAGCUUGCUCGAAUCCUUCGAUUAUUUGUUCUUUAUUCAGUGCCACCUUGCCUGAUUCUGUUGAAGAACUUGCGCGUUCAAUAAUGCAUGAUGCAGUUCGAGUCAUUGUGGGUAGAAAGUGAGUAUUUCCAUCAAGACUCACACCUGAAUUCCAUUCUGUUCAUCAUUUAUGCAUGUCUUCAUAGCAUUUUUCUCACAAUAUAGUUCCUCCUGAUUGUAGAAAUUGAGUACCGUCUAUUUUGUACUUUUCUGCUCAGUUGUUUAUUUAAGCCUUAUAUUUGAAAGAUUCUAACAGAAAUUCUGCUUCCGAGUUGAUCAAGCAAAAACUGGUUUUUGCUGGAAGUGAGAAGGGAAAGCUUCUUGCACUUCGUCAAAGCUUUGCUGAAGUAUGCUUCUUAUAAUUGUCUUAGUUUUUUUCCACAUUUACUUCUGAAGUAAUGCUCUAGUGUAUUUUGGUAUUUUAUGCUCAUACUUAAGACCAAAAAAAUGAUGUAUUUCGAAUGAAGUAAUUUUGUUAUUCUUCAACAACAACCUUUUCUGCUGCUUUUUCUGUUUGGAUAGUUUGUGGUUGUUGAAUAUCUGGUCUUGAUGGACCCUCUAGGGCUGAAUGCGUACGAGAAUAACUUUUAUGGCAUAGCUCCUGUUGUUUAUUAAGGGACCAUUUGGUAGUUGAAUGUCGAGAGGCAUGAGAAUUGAGAAGUUGCCUAAACUUGAUAUGAAGGAAUAGCGAGCACGAAAGCAAACACUAUACAACACAAGUUAUCACCAUGUAAUAUAUGCCGAUGUCCAAAUAGGCCUUUAGUAAGUAAUAUGAGAUCAUUUAUGUUAUUGUCUGUUAUUGGUGUGUUCUUUAAUUGCCCGAUCAAUGAAUUCCUUUAACUCAUAUAAGACUCUUUUAUUGAAGCUGAUGUUAAGUUCUGUUCCACCUAAAUCUUUGACGAACACGUGGAGAGUUUUAGCAUCACUAAUGCAGCAUUAGGAGAAGGCAGUUUCUAUUUUUAUUUUAUUAUUUUGCUGUUUGCUGUUCAAAGUUUCAUUUUACGAAAUGCUAAUUAAUUUUUAAUUUUUAAUUUUCUUUUCCAUGUAGUCUCUAAAUCCUCCGGUAUUGCUGUUUGUUCAAAGCAAAGAAAGAGCAAAGGAACUAUACAAGGAGUUAGCAUUUGAUGACAUUAAAGCUGAUGUGAUUCAUGCGGACCUCACUCAGCAGCAGGUACUAUUUAUAAAAAGAAAAAUUACAUUUUAAAGCAUAUCCCGGAGUUGAUUAUAUCUGUGCAAAAAUGCCUCUAAUAUUUAUUAUUUGACCACUUGAAUUUACCAAUAUCUAGUUAAAGAACAUUCUACCCUUUCAAAUGUGUGUCCCUCUAGGUACUUUGAUGAUCAUUUUUGUCCCCUCACCUGUUAAUUUCUUAUGCUGCCCCUAUUAACUUAGUUCCUAAGUUUUUCAUUCUAGUUUAUAUAUAUAUUUGAAAAGGGUACAACCAGGGUUUCCAGUGUUGUCCUGUGCUGUCUCCCAAGAUAGGGGCCACGGUACAGGGGGGGAGGGGUCUCGCAGGACCCCCAUGCCGCAAUACCCAGUGGGUAUUGCACGAGACAACGCGAUACCCGCUAGAGUAUCCGGCAUAGUAUUGUGCCAGUUUUUUAUUUUUUAUUUUUUUGUGAUUUGUUAUCAAAUCUAAUCUAGAAUGUCUAUUACAGUAUUAAAUAUAAUAGAAUAUAACUAACUAAAUUCGAUUUAUGUAAUUUUUACCUAAAUUAAUCUAACCUAGUUUAAAAAUUCUAAUCUAAAAUUACCUUAUUUAAUCUACUUUGAUAUCGAAUCUAAUUUAAUCUAUAUUUUAUAUUUAAGUUCCUAACCUAAUUUAGUCUAUUCUAAUCUUAUGAAAAAACUAAUAUAAUCUAGAAUUACUUAAGCUCUUCUAUUCCAAUUAGAAUUUGUAAAUUAGCAUAAAUAUAAAAUAAUUUUGAUUUACUAUUAUUAGAUAUAUUAGAAUAUAUAGUUGGUUAUAGUAGAUUAUAUAGCCAAUUUAAUUUGACAACAUCAAGAACAUCUGUACCAAAAUUGUCAAAUAAAUCUUGUAUCUGCAAAUGACGAUAUGCUAUAUAAUCCACCAUGACGAUCUAUGUGGAACUAAACAGCAAGGAUUAAAAUACCCAUCGGCACAGGCCGUAUUCACUGUGUUGAUAUUUAAUGUUUUCUAAUUUCAGAUUCUUCAAUAGACUCCAAUGUUUUAAUGUUAGCUGGUAUUUUCUUUUGUAUGAUGACUUAACAGUAUAUUUGAUCAGCAUUUUUUCGAGUUGAAAAUAUCACUGCUGGAUAAUUAUGCUAACUUCUUUCCAUGAAUUUAUUGUUUUAUUUACUAAGCGAGAAGAUGUCGUCGACAACUUUAGAGCAGGAAAGACGUGGGUUCUGAUAGCAACUGAUGUCAUUUCACGUGGCAUGGACUUUAAGGGCAUCAACUGUGUUAUAAACUACGAUUUUCCUGAGUCAGCUGCGGCUUAUAUUCACCGGAUAGGUAUGCAAUGUGACUGAUAAUCCUUAGGCUUGCUCUUCUAUCGUUAUAACGCCUAGGAAUGUUUAGCCAGUUAGACCCUUGAUAUGAUUUUGACUGGCGGUUACGCAUAAUGGUAGGCCUGAUCAGUCUUCAUAAAGUUAUUUUUGUUAUUAGAAAUCCCAAGGUCAUUUUUCUAUAAAGAGUUAGAUUUAAGGAUCAAAUACAAAUUUAGUGACUGAAGUUUUACCUUGAUUCCUAGUUUGUCCUCAAAGGUUUUGUAAUGACCGAGCCACUACUACUAACAACUUACUACUAACAACUUGUUGGGCCAAAAUUGUCUGCUGAAAGUACUUAAGCCCCGUUAUUAAUAAUACAGUGAUAGCCACAUAUAAGACCGUCACAUCUCCCACAUUAUCCACACACAGUCACACACACACACACACACACACACACACGACAUCCUUGUCAGGCCUAAUUGUACACAGUCCAAACUUGCCUGCGAUGUGAGAAUUAUUUUACACUUUCGGUUGGCAAUCAAUCUUGCUAUGAUGCCGAUGUUACAGCCCAGCUGCUAUCACUAGUAAUUUAUUGAGUUCAAACCACUUGCUCAAAAUGCUUAAAAUUUCAAUUGUUAGUAAGAGAGUUCUGGCCAUCUUUAAGACUCUCAUACUCUUUCACAUUAUCCGAUGUGUGAUUAUUGUAGUGUUAUUGUUUUAAUUGUAACAAUUUAGCCAGCGAAGUUUGGCUUCAUUCUAAAUUUUACCCGGAAAAUUUAAAUUCUGACAAAUUCAGUUCAUAUAGUUUUGACUCCCUAUUUCAUUUUUGUCCAAAAUCUAAAGUUGCUGAUGUGGCAACUUUUUAGAAUGGUAAAAUAGCUGGACUUAAUUGUUAUGUGGAAGAAAUUCACAAAGUAAAGUGCUACUAUUGAAACCAUAAGAACUACAAUUUGAAAUAUUAUGCUGGAGUUACUCGAACAAAGUAAAAUGCUACUAUUGGAACUAUAGGAACCAAAAUUUGGAAUUUAAACCUAGAUUUUGGCCACUUAGAAUGAUGUUUUCACAAGGGAUAGAUUUUGGUCUAUGUAUAGUGUCUAUUAAAUAAGGUUUAAAGUGCCGUGGCACGGGGGCGUGGCGUUAUGUCCUUGGCACGGUACGGCACGGGCACGCUUGCGUGCCAACACGUGGCACGCUUGCGUGCCGACAGCGUGCCGAUAGAUACGCACGACCUCCUACUGGCACGCUUUGGCACGGAUUUUUUAAAGUUUUUUUGGUUCCAAUAAGCUUUUAUAAUGUUAUUUUGAAAGAUUUAGACAAAUUAUUAUUAAUUUUUGCUAUGUAUAGCUUAUUAUACUCAUCAAUUAACAUGCAUGUAAGCAUUUUGUAUAUAAAGUACAACUAUACCUGAUGUAGAAUAGAAAUUAAAAUUCUUUUGUUUUUAUUUUUUUGUUUUUAUUUGAAAAGUACAACUAUACUUGCUGUAACAUUUGAAAAUUCUUUUGUUUUUAAUUUUUUUAGAAUUUAAAAAAUUAUAACAGAUAAAAUGACAGAAAAUUUUAUUUUUUCUAAAAACGUUUCAAAAUCUAUAUAUUGAUUCGAUUAUGAAGUAUAAUAACUAGAACAACCAGAAUAGUACCGCAAUUACAUCCAUUUUUUUUUUUAUUCUUUUAAAAAAUAUCUUAUCAAAAUUUGUUUAGGAGAUCGAUUUUUGUUCCCCUAAUUCAUCGAAAACUUCGCGGUGCGAUAAAUUUUAACAAAAUAAUUUGCGAAGAAAAAAUGGAUGUCUGUGGUGGAAGUGGAGGGCUCGGGCGAAGUGAAAAAAUAAAAGAAAAGUAAAAAAAAGGCAAUAUAGAUGGCCGGGCGAAGGCUCUGUAUCCCAGAGAACAAAAAAAAAAAAGAGAAAAAACCAAAAAAAAAAACCAAAAAACCAAAAAAAAAUAAAAAAUAAAAAAUAGGGCGGCACGCGGCACAGUGCCGCGGCACAUGGCCGUGUGCCGCUUUGUCUCGAGCGGCACGCGGCUUGUGCUGCGGCACCCAGGGGGGGUCCGAGACCCCCCCUGUACCGUGCCCCCUUCUUGGGGGCACGGUAUGGCACGCCCCGUGCUGUACGGCACGGGGCGGCACCUUCAUCUUUGUCUAUUAUACUAUUAUAGAUAUAAUAACUUAGCCUGUUAUUUAUACCUCUAGGUCGGUCGGGAAGAGCCGGUAGAACUGGGGAGGCAAUUACGUUCUACACUGAAGAGGAUAAACCAUUUUUACGGAACAUAGCCAAUGUGAUGGCAGCUUCGGGAUGCGAAGUUCCUUCAUGGAUAAUGGCGUUGCCGAAGCUCAAACGCAAAAAGCAUCGUCCAAAGAGAGAUUCAAUCUCAACCCUUCCCGAAGACAAUGAAGAAUAAAGAUGCAGUGUGCUAAGUGAGCACCAAAUAUAAUAACAUAUUUUCCACUUCUCCCUCGUCAAAAAUUUUGUAUCUUAGCCUAUUACAUUUGUAUUUUAACACAUGGCCGCAGAAUAACCUCCCCUGAUUGCUGUGCUUUUGCUUAUAUCCGUCACAUUGAUUGUUGGUGAUGCUAUGUGUAUUCUUAUUUAUUGUCUGAGUUAUACAUGCAUGUUGAUCUAUUUUUUCAUGUAAAGCAUUUGAAAGCAUUCGAGAACAAGUACUUUCACCAUUGCAAUGGUCAAUUUUUUCAAUGUCGUCAAAUACUCGCUUUUGUAGUAUUUGUUUUUGUUUUUGUUUUUUUUUUUAUUUUAUUUAUAUGCAAGUAUAAUACUUUCCUAACAGUAUUAUUUCUAGCCCUUGUUCCCUUGGUUCUCAUUAGGGCUAUUGAACUUUGAAUUUGCAACUUUAUGUCCAUAUCCUUCAUAUAAUUUUUUGCCUUUGGUCCUAGGAUCAGCUGAUGUUUAUGCAUGGUUAUGGAGAAUCAAGCUAAUAUUGUAAAUCUGAUUUAAUCAAGAUUUUGUCUGUUGGGACUACCCUUNAUUUCUAGCUUAGAUUAUUUUUAAUAAAGGAGCAAAGCGAAUAGCUUGCUACCUUUCUCGUAGUAUAUAUAUAUAUAUACCUUUCCCUCAAUAUAUAUAUAUAUAUAUAUAUACAUAUAUAUAUAUAUAGAGCUAGGCUGGUAUACUAUCGGUAGCACGGAGGCCUCCGUGCCACCAAGUUGUUUUCAAUGAUGCGGCUUUCAAAUCGACGAUCGGCUCCGUUAGACUUGAUCUAUACCAUUAAAAGUAUUUGGAAACUAAAUUUCAUAAUUUUUCGACAUCAUUUGGCUAGUGAUCAAAAGGUCUCAAAAUUGACAAUUUUAAUGGUAGAUGUGAUGCGUUUAUUAAUUUAACGGUGUAAAACAAUUCAAAUUUGAUGAAAUUUUUAUAGAAAAUUCUUUUCACUAUUUAAAGUAAGAUCAGCAUUUCUGAUCUUAAAUUUAAAUAUUUUAUCAUCAUUUUUUAUGAGAUUUUUAUUUUCAGCCGUUCAUUUUUAGACUACUUGUUUGAUAGGUAAAUGAUGCCAAAAAAUUAUGAAAUUUAGUUUCCAAAUACUUUCAAUAGUGUAGAUCAAGUCUAGCUCUAUAUACCAGCCUGGCUCUACAUAUAUUAUAUAAUAUACUAUAAUAAUAUAUUAUAUCACUAUAAAUUAUAUAUAUAUAUGAGACUAUUUUAAAUUUUGGGGGUGUAGCAUUUCUCCUCCCUUUUAAGUCUUAAGGUUCUCGUCAAGUUCAAGCACAUUUACAAGCACAAAACAAUGUGAGAUUUGCUAGCCAUGUGAGAUGAUGUGAAACUGUCUCGUUAGUCAUGUCAUUCAGACUCUAAUUUAACAUGUCAUUUUUAGGCUAUGGGUCAGUCGAGGCUGAUCUCGUACUUUCAGCUAGAGAUUGUUUCUGAUACCAACUAUAAUGACUUUGCGGCCGACUAGUAAUAAUUUGUUCAGCCUAAAUUAAUGGCCCAAAAUACUUAAUCAUAAUUAUUAUUAUUAUUAUUAAGGUCAAUGGUCUCUUAUAUUUUCAAUCACAAUUUCGUUAUCAUCCGAUAUGGGAAGACAGAAAAAUGGGUCGACACAAGGAGUUUAUGCAUUUUGUUCAUCGUCAAUGUAAAACUCGCAAAGAUUUAUUAUUUCAAUUUACAAUCAAUUAAUUACAGAAAACUUGUUACAACUUAAUUAGAAGUUCACACAGCAUAUUUAUAUAUAUGUUCAACGUUUAGAAGAAUGUAAACAACUGAAGCAAUCUUGGAGACAUUGGAUUUCACAAGGCGGAUUUUGACGAGAUUUAGACUCUUCCGAUGAUGGGGCCAUCGAAUGAAGCAGCGGAAGCUCCUGCAUGAAUAGCUCCCGCGCACAGCAGCUGGGUUCCAGAUAAUAUGAUCGUCAGAGUCUCCAGCGUCCUCUGCGUAGAAGAGUACAUAGAAUCAAAGAAUUGAUCGUCUUUAUUGUUGUUGUCGGAUUGGAUUUGGUUUGUAUCGUUUGGCUUGGCGAAAAAGUUUAAUCUUUUAGGUUUGAUUAGUCAAAUUAAUAAAGUGCAGGUUUGAGUUUAAGGGAGCUUACGAGGCUCGCGGGACGCCAGCUGAUGCUUAUCUCUUUACAUGCCAACCUGCAGAAGGAAAUGGUGCUGGCAUCGUAAAUGAACCAUGCAAUAUAUAUGACCAAAACUACGCAGGUAUGUGUUUUCCUUUUAUCUUUUGGAGUUCCACUUAUAAUGUGUGGCUGAUGGAUGGAUGAUUCAUUAUGGAUGAAAAGGCAUGGAUGGAGCUUUGAAAUUUUGAUUGUGCUAUCCAACUGUAAAAUAUAUUUUGAUUUAUGCAUUGCUCAUUUAACAUUUUUUGACGGAAUAUUACUUUUAGAAACACGGAAACUAUGUUGUUCUCGAAUGAUAGAUUGUUUGAAUCGACGUUGGAUCGAUAUUGUUAAACAUAUAUAUGCCGAGUCCUUUCUAAGUGUUUUUGCUCGAGGGAUUUGAAGUGCUUACCCCAUUGCCAGAAGGGUGAGGGCCCAAGUAAUGACUGAGAAAGCUGCGGCGGACAGCAAGCUUGCCGGUUUCGACCGUGAGACGUCGAGUAAGCCGGUGAGCGAAGUUGCGGUGCCGACGACCCCGGCGAUGAGCGAGAAUAUCACGAAGAAUCCAGUGGAGAGGUUGCCGAUCGGAAAAUAUAUCGGGAACAGCUGAGCCGGCGGAGUCAGCCCGGACACUGCAUGCAUGGCAAUUCAACGUGAAAUUAACUGAUGAUACAAGAAGAAGAAAUGAUUCAAGAAGCUUCUUUCGGUGCCAUUUCUAAAAAUGAGAGAGAGAGAGAGAGAGAGAGAGAGAGAGAGAGGGACUCGUGACUUACAUGCGUGAGGCGUCUCGUCGACGCCGUAGUUGAGAGCCCAGCCGGCGAUGAUGGCGACGAUGACGUACAUUAUGAGGUUGAGGAAGAGGAGGGUGACGGCAGCAGACUCUGGGCCUGCUGCGGCCAUGACAGCUGAUGAUACAAGAAGAAGAAGAAGAAGAAGAAGAAGAAGAAAUGCAGAAUACUACGUGUGAUGCAUGAUAGGUUCUCAAAGGACUUGUAUACGAUAUAUAUAUAUAUAUAUAUAUAUAGAGGGAAGAAAUUAAUUAAAGUAGUUAACACGUUAUAUAUGAUGGUCCAUUACAUAAUUAAGAAUCUGAUUCCCCAGCAAAGUGAUUGUUGGGUGUCUCUCCCUUGAUUUACUACAAUUUAUGUAAAGAUGUACAAGGAGCCCCUCUGUAUAUAUAUUGGUUGUUCUGAAAAUAGACUACCCAACUAUGUUUUCUGUUCUUGUUUUUGAAGAAAAAGACAACACGCUAUCUGUUUCAUUUAUUUUUAGAAAUGAACUUAGUUGGAAAAACAAAAAAAAAAAAAAAAAAAAAGCGAUUUUUUAAUUUGGAGUCUUGGAUACCAAUUAUAAGCCUUUGGCUGCUGGCAUGCGCAAAGGACAGUCGGAGAUUCAAAUUACUUUUAUCAUUUGAAUUGGGCAUUUUUUUAAAAUUUACUGAUGAUUCUGUUUAAUUUAACCAUAUAUUUUUAAGUUUUUUAGCUGAUGGAGCUGUGCAGAUUUCAAGAGCUAACUAUUAAUCUCAACGAAUUCUUAAUUGGUUGAAUUUACCAUGAUAACUCGAAUCAAAACAAUUGAAAGUAUAAAAAGUAGAGUAGAGCUAUUGUGCUAUCGGAAGCAUAGAGGAUCCGGUGCUUCCGACUUUUUGACCCUUAGAUUAAUUCUUUUAAUCAUUUUCAACCUUUGGAUUAAUACUAUUACCCUAUGAGGACCACUCAACCCUAGGGGUACUAUUCAAUCUUACGGGGCACUGUAAUCAUCCCUAACCGUAUAAUUCUUGAUCCAAGGGUCAACAAACCGGAAGCAUCAAAUGCUCUAUUCUUUCGAUAGUAUAGUAACUCUACACCAAAAAGUAUUACUCAAAAGAGACUAAUGUAGUUGAAGGGUCCGUGUCAAAAUGGCCUAUAGUCUAGGGGAUCUCCAUAUACACAUUUUGUUCCGACAAUACAUAGUGCAGUUAUCCAAGGACUAGAUAGUUGGUAUUCGAAACUUCAAGUUGGAAAUCUAAUUGUUUAUAUUUUUAGCAGGAUUUUUUUUAAAAAAAUAAAAGUAAAAACUUUAUUCAAGUGAUCAAUCAAACUUAGGAGAGAGAAAUGGUCCACAAUUAUUCCUUGCCUAUUGAAUAUAAUAUGCUAUAUAAUUUAGGGUUCUCUUUCUCUUUCUCUUUCUCUUAUAAGAAGGGAUGUAUUAUAUCACUCUCACCAUUAAUUGGGUUAAAAUGGUAAUACAAACCUCUGGUAGGAAACAGAUGAAUAUAAAGCCCAAACGCGCGCGGCAAACUACGGUAUUUGACAAUCCAAUAUAUGACAUGCACUUCAACGCAAGUUCUGGUAAAAACAAAAAAAAAACAUUAAUGGAAAAAGCAAAAUACUAUUUUUUUUUCUUUCCUUUUUUAAAAUAUAAACUAGGUAGCGAUAAAAGGUAAACAUAUUCUCUUGUCACGCUCCCGCCCCGAGUCCGCUACCGAUUUGGUCCGAUUCGGGGGUGGUGAACGGACCGCCGAACGGACAGCAACUCCCCUGUCCGUCCAAGGCUUAAACGACGAGAUCAUGUACACAAGUUCCUAGGAAAUACACUUGAUUACAUACAUGAUCUAACAAUGACGACGAAGCGCAAACAGUGCUUAACAACCAAGAGCAAGUAACACAAGUAAAGCAUACAAGUGAUAAAAGAGAGAUAUACUUAACUAUUAAACUCAUUUAACUUUAUACAAUUAUUUCAUCUUUUACAGUCUUCCAAAACAUAUGUACAGUCACUCUCAAAAUCUCACCCUAUACAACAUCUACUCUCGAAAUAAGUACAGGGUAGAGCUAAUACAAAAGGGAGUAAAACUCUACUAAUACCACUAGGGUGCUAUGCCCUUGCCGCGAUCCUUACCGGGGCUACUCGAACUCGGACCUGCAACAAAAUGGGAUGAGAAUUACGAAUAGUUUCCAGUGGGUUCGGCCGCAGACUCCGCCGAUCUUCCCACUAGAUCUAAGCAGGCACAGAUAGAUAUGCAGAUAGAUAGAUAUUUUGCUGAAUUGAAAGCAUCUAUAAUAAAUAGACAAGUGUAUAAAAUAAACAUCUAACUAUGCCUCAAUCUGAAAUGAUGCAUGCAUGUGUCAUAGGGUAAAGCUAAGUACCAAACUACUAUGCCCAACAGUAAAUGUGACACAUCAGGUUACCCAAUCUCUUAGCGAACUCGAGGGUCGCUCAAAAUCUCACGUAAGUAAGUUUCAUAGGGGAGGAGCCCAGGCUCAACUACCCCCGAAACCGCCUGCGGACAGAUACGUUAGUCCAAGGGUAAAUACGUUAACCCUCCUCGGGUGACAACUCCGGAGUGCACUACCUGUGUGGAGCUACCACACUACGCGCAGAUAGGCAAUGUGAGCUCGGUCCAAUCUCAUGAACUGUAAACAUCCUACCAACUGGGAUGAUCUCAUCAUAUCUCAUCGUAGAACCCAAGUGUUCUAGUACUCAAUCUCAUAGUGUUCACUACACUAAAGUUUUCAUGUUUCAUAUCAACUAGAUGCCACUCGUUCUGUGUUUAUUGUUAAUACGCUAAUUUGCAAUAUACUAGGUUCAUAUUCACAUAGCAUGUUCAUCACACAUAGGGUUAACUAUCUCAUGUUCAACUCCUGCAUAUUAGGUUCUCAUUCAUUGUAUCCGCAAAUCCAACUAACACUAGCAUGUAUUAAUAUGUAACAAUUACAUUUAACUCCCUAUAAUGCUAUAUCACAAUAUGCACUUGAUCAAUAUGAUAACUCAGACAUAGGGAGCAGUUCAACUGCUUCGGGAUGGCACUCCCUCACCUUUUGGUAGUGCCGCGUAGUUAGCAAACUCGACGUCGCGGUCCUCGUACGUCGCUUCAAUUCCUCGGGGCAAAGCGAAUCCUCAAGUACCUGUUUCGGCAAUAUCUUCGCACUCGCUCGUCGGAUUGACGAACCGUCUUCGCCUACGCGUUCAGAGACUUAGCAAAUAGGUUUACGACCUAUUAAACGAGAUCAAAACCCUAGCUUUCCAACAAUCCCAAAUCCGUGCCCUAGGUCGGCAACGAUGGAGAAAUCCAUGGUGCGAGCUUCAAUUUCGAGCUCGAGCCAUCUCCUUAACCUCAAUAGGUUCCAUUCGAACCAUCUCUAAACAAUAAAAAUUCCAAACCCUAGAAAUACCAUUAGAGGGUUUAGAGCUUACCUCUAUACAAAGCUCCAAGCUUGAGGGAGAGAGAGAAGAAGAUGAUCUUCUUCUUCUUCUUAGUCUUCUCCUUUUUCCUUCUCUACUUUUUUUCUUUCUUCUUCUUCCUCUCCUUCUUCUUCUCCUUCUUAUCUUUCUAGAGAGAGAGAGAGAGGGAAAGUGUGAGAGGGAGAGAGCAAAUGAGAGGGAUGGGAGAGAAGGGUGGUCCCCAAGCCUCUCAUAUAAGACAUUUUGCAAAUAAACCCCUCAACUUUCUAUCUAUGAAACAGCCCUGCCUGGGCAUUUUCGCAGUGAGGGACCGGUCCCAGCUCGGGAAGAUCGGUCCCCGAGAGCCUUCCACUCGGGCAGAGGGGAUUUCGCGUUCGGGAACCGAUCCCUGCCUGAGAGACCGGUCCUCGGGAGACCGGUCCUUGCCUGAGAGACCGGUUCCUGAGAGUUAGAUUUUCGAGACUUAGCCAAAUUCCGGUUUCUCUCGCUGGGUUAACGUUCGAGGACCAGUCCCUCCCUGCCAGAGACCGGUUGCAUCAAGGAUCCCCGCCAGCCCAGCCUGAUCGGACCGGUCCCUCCCUGCCAGGGACCGGUCUCUGAGAGCAAUUAUUCUCCAGUGCAGAUUUUGCACUGCUGCUCUCGCGGACUCUCCCUUAAUGCACUUUAUGUAUUUUUAAUUACCUCCGGACUUUGCAAAGCUUAUACCCUCGACAAUUAGUCGAUUCUAGACGAAGUCUAAUCCUCGGAUUUCGAGAAUUCACUUCCCUUACACUGAGCAACAACGAGACAAAAUGGAGUUUAUCAUAUUAUUUUUUUAGACAUAAUUACAUAUGACUCCCUACUAAUAUAUCAAAUAGCAAAUAUAUUUCUAUAAAAUUUAAGUUAUCAGAUUUAUCCCUUCAAAAUUCUUUCUGUUUGCAAAUAUGUUUUUUCGUUAGCAAAAUUUAGAUAAUCACGAGUUAAAAAAAUUAACCACAAUUAGCUAAGGAAUAAAAUGACCUUUCUACCCCUUAUAUAUAUAAUUUGUAUUCUAAUAUUGAUGUCACAUUCCGAAAUUUACCCCUUUUUUUAUUCAUGGUAACGGUGAGUCCUAUGGCGGCGAUAACGUCGAAAGCGAGGCCCUUGGCCGCGGUAAAAAUGACGUACGCUGCGUGUGUCGCGAUGAAGGCGAGGAAAGAGAGAGAUAGGAGGGAAGAUAUAUAUUUUUUAUAGGGACAAAUUUGUAAAGACAAAAUAGUUAAUAUUUUAUGCACCGGCCGUUAAAGAGCUAAUGGUUAAUCGGACGGCAAGGACAUAUACGAACGAACCAAAGUUUUUAGAGGAAUAUAUUUGUAAAUCAUAAAAUUUUCGAAGGAAUAAAUUUGAUCACUUUAAGUUUUGUAGAUAUUAUCAGCUAUUUGAUAUUUUUACAUGCACCUUUGUAAAAUUUACCCUAUCUUUUGCUAACUCCAAAAGAUUGGUCCGCAAUAUGUAUAGUUACGUCAUCAUGAAAUGGAUUGAAUAGUGUUUAAUCCGGAUCCUAAUCCGAAUCCGAAUCCGAAUCCGAAUCAAUGAUUUUAUAAGUCGGAUCUAAUUAACCGUAUUUUGGAUAUUGAUUGGAUACUCAAAUUUAAAUUGGUAUUCAGUUAAAAUGGGUUCAGAUACGGACCGGAUAUUAAAUGAAAGGGCGAUACUUUCAUAUUUUCUAAUUAUUUUUAAAGAUCUAUACCGUUCGUCCAUUAAGGGUAAAAAGGUAAGUCUAGUAACAACCGCUCAAUUGGAUUUGGAAAAACGUUUUUAUUUUACUUCAACUGUUUUUAUGUUGUUAUUUUAAUUAAUUAAAUUAUAUAUUUUGAUAAAUUAAUUAGUUAUUUGAUCAAAUUAUAUUUUAAACUGCAUUUGGGAUGUACGUGCAGAGUUUCUUAAUAAUGAACAAUCGGUAGCAAAUAAGAUCAUUAAAAUUUUAAAAAUGAUUUCCAUUUCAGGUGACUAAAAUAACUCAAGUAAAAUAAAAAGUUAAAAAAUAUCAACAAAAAAAAAUUAGCAUCGAAGGGCUCUAUUUCAAAAUGGCCUAUAAUUGGAGGGUCUGAACUAUCAAGGAUGCUAUAGAGAUAGGAAUUGUCGCAUGCGUCUCUGUGUAUAUUUAAACAACUCAAUCAUAAAGAUUUUAAAAUCUGAACCUAAAUAUUUAAAUACAAAACUAGUUAGCUUAAUUACGUAUGAAAAAUUUAUUUUUAGAACAUCUAUUAUUCAUGCAUCAAAUUAAGUAGUUGUAAAAAUUCACAAUGAUUUAGAGAAUGAUUAUCUAAAAUUUUAGUUUUUUAUUAGGUAGAUAUUUUUUAUAGGUUAGAUUCAGGUUUUUCAUUUUCAGGCAUCUAUAGAUAUAUUAAUUCUUGAGUUCUCCUAUGGCCUACGUGGCGACUCCUCAGCGCCCCGCGCCGCCCCCCCACCCCACCCCACCGCUCGCCCAGCCCCUCCCCCGCUUCGCGCCCAGGACUCGCGCGGCGCAACCGAGAGAGAGAGAGAGAGAGAGAGAGAGAGAGAGAUCGGUGGGGGGGGGGGGGGGGUCGCGACAGACUCCCCCUGCGCAGCGCCAGCCCGAGAGAGGAGAGAGAGAGAGAGAGAGAAGAGAGAAGAGAAGAGAUGACGGGUGGGGGGCGCACGACUCGCGCCACCUCGCUGCAGCGGGAGAGAGAGAGAGAAGAGAGAGAGAGAGAGAGAGAGAGAGACGGGUGGCUGGGUUGGGUGGCGGGAGAGGGGGUUGCGUGCGAUAGCCGCCCUGCGCCGCGAGGGAGAGAGAGAACGAGAGAGAGGAGAGAAGGAGAGGGCGAGGGGAGAGAAGAGAGAGUGCGGUGGGGGGGGGGGGGUUGCGCGCAACACCGCUCGCCACGCGCGCGGAGAGAGAGAGAGAGAAGAGAGAGACGGUUGAUGAUUUGGGGUGCCCGCGAACCGCGCCCCGCGCAUGAGUGCGGAGAGAGAGGAGGGAGGGGGGGGAGAGAGAGAGAGCCGGUUGGGAGGUGACGCGACUCGUGGCCCCGCUGCGCGCGGGAGAGGAGAGAGAAAGAACGAGAAGAGGGAGAGAAACAUGUUCAACACACUGCGCGCCCGCGCCACGGGCGCCGGUGACGAGAGAGAAGAGAGAGAAGUCGAGGAGGGCCUGGGGGUGGGAGAGGCAGAGAAUGGGGGAGAGAGAGUGAGAGAAAGAGCCAGGGGGGGCGGCCCUGCCAAUGGCGGGAGAACUGCACCACUGGCGUGCGCGCGCGCGCCGGCGUCGAGAGAGAGAAAGAGAAGAAAGAAGAGAGAGAGAGGACUCUCCUCCACUCCCCACUACCCCUCCUUUCCUCUGCCUCCCCCCCCCCCCCCCGCUCUCUGAUUCCUCUUCCCCUCUCUCUCCUCCUUUUUCCUCUCCCUCCGCCUUCCCCCAGCUCGUCUAUCUUUUCUCCUUCCCCCCUUCUCCCAGCGCACUGGGUCGCGGCGGUGGAUGGGAGAAGCCGGGGGCGGAGGUUUUGUCACGCCCCAAACCCGAGGCGUAACAGACGCCGCAUACCUGCUAAACUAGUAAGUAUGCAAGGCUACAGAAUCAUACGGAAACUAGCAAAAAGAUAAUUACAAAUUUUUCACUAAAUUCAAAUAAUCAUAAGGUGAGACUAAGAAAUUAAAUUUUAACUAAAAUCAAACGAAAUUCUAACAUUUAUAAAACUAAGCUUACUACGAAUCAUAAGAGAGAUUCAGUCCACAAAAAUACCAUAAGAAACAAAGGUGGGUACGAAGAAAUGAGGAAAUAAAAACAGAUAACAAACGAUCAUCCACGUAGUCUAAAGAUUCACAUCCAAAAAUACUAGAUAGAAAAACAAAAGGGAUUAAAAUCAAAACUAGCUACAUCUAACAUUCACUCGAUUUCAGCCCGCCCGGCAAAUCAGUCUCGGUACCUGGGUAAGCAACCAUACACCACAUUAGUCGGAUUAAGCAUACAAUACAAAUAAACAAUUGAAUACAAAAAUUAUUUCUAGCGACUGGUUUUUUUUAAUUUGCAAAAUUUUAGAAAACAAGAAUUAUCAAAUUUAAAAUUCAGAUCAUAUUGAAACUAUAACUUUACAAAGCAUUUCUCUUUAAACAAAUAAUGAAAUAAAUAUUAAGUCUCCGGCAACUAACUAUAUUAUAUGAUCCGUUGGCGAGAUUCAGAGGCACCCGAAGGCGCAAACAGAACAGAGGCACCGAAGGUGCAUGUACAAAACAGAGUCACCCGUAGGCGCAAACAAAACAGAGGCGCGAAUAGGCGCAGGCACCCGAAGGUGCAAAACAAAGACGAAGCUCGCUUCUAUAACAAAAUACAUGUUGACAUGGCCAACAUUAGCAUAGCAGAAUACCAAGAGACAUAAUAAUUCAAAAUGUAUCCAGUUACUAAUUUACAGAACAAAUUAUCAGGUUUCAAAAAUUCUUUUUGCUAAAUGAACUUGUCAAUCACAGUUGAAGCUCAAUUUACAGAAAUAUUUAAUAAUAUGCUCAACCCUUAAUUUUAAAAUCUACAAAAUAAAAUUUUCAUACAAUCGGAAUAUUUUCCUAAAUUAUCUUACGAAAAACUAACGGGUGUCCGGUCGCUUACCUCAAAAGCGGCUUCUAAGCUAAGAAGCUAUCCAGUCAAAAAUUGCACGAAAUCAAUCGUCAGAACCUAAAAUAGAGAUAUACGAUUCUCUAUAAGCUAUUUAAAAUAAACUUACAAAGAGAACAUAUAUACAUUUAGAAAGCAAGCUUAUACAAAAAUUUGAAUUCGGAUAGACUCACAGAGGUCGACAAUGUCGGCUAUGAAUGCAUGCAAAAAGGUCAAGACGGAGCACAAAAGAGAUUUAGAAUAAUACAUUGGACGAAACUCAAAUUAACAAUCAGGAGGAUGAUGAGUUCCAAAUAUUAAAGUUUUCAAAGAAGCAAGAUAACAUGAAUGAAAUUUUAAAUAAUAAACGAAGGAUCUAAUGCUCAAAAAGAGGGUUUUCAGAUGUUGAAACAUUGAUAUGCAAAUCAAUAAUUAGAUAAAAUUAAGAUGGGAACAAAAACAAUAUAUGCCUUAUUUUAGGCAUUUUGUCGAACAUAUAGCGGACAUUCAAUAAGUGUGUACAAUAUGUGAAGUUUUAUGCAACUAGAUCAUAUAGAGGAUACAAGAUACGAAAUUAAACGGUUCGAACGAUGAAGAUUAGAUAUAACGAAAUCAAAUUUUGAUGGUUUCAAAUUUCAAUCAUCAUGAGGCGAGUAUUCAAAAUAAUAAUAAAACAAUGAACAAAGAGGUUGGAUGAUCACAAGAUUCGAUAUAGAGGUAAAAUGAGGGAAAGAGAAAAACCUUCUCGAAAAUGGUGAAGAUGACGGCAGGAUGCCAACGAUAGCGAACCAAAAAAAUAACGGCCAAAGAGGAUUGCGGUGGAGGCGGCUACGAAUGAUGGCAACGAUCGGAUGGCGUCGCGCGCGCACUUGCGAAACGACAGAAGUCGUACGGACGCGGUGAGGAGGAGAGAGAGAGUCGUGCGGGAGGGGGAAAAAGGUUGAUCGGGUGAGGGUUAGGAAAAAAACUAAUUACGUUAGAUACUAAUUAGGUAACAAAAUGCCGCCGAGUCCCUCGAAGAUUGAAAAUUACGAAAAGGUCCAAACUUAAUAAGAAUAGAAGUCAAAACAAUAGGUUUAAAAGAAUGGGAUGUUACAUUCUCCCCUCCUAAAAGAAGUUUAGUCCUCUAAACUUAACAUAUCUUAGCUCUCGAAGGGCUAAACCCACCAAACCCGUUGGUGUAGCACUUUGUCCCGCAUAGCACUUAGUUCUCACACUUCCGGCUGGUAAUGGUCCUGAUUUGUCUGUCUGUGAUCUGGUUUGGACCCGACGAGGAAGUCAGGGUCAGGGAGAGUUUGUAACGGCCCCAAUAGUCCCACAUCGGAUGGGAUACUCAUUACGAUCAGUUUAUAUGAGGCCUACACGCUAGUAAUAAUAACUGGGCUUAAGCAUUUUGGGCCGAUGGUUUGGGCCCAACGAGUUAUUGUUGCUAGCAGGUCGGGUCGUUGCAGGCUUAAAUAUAAAUUUUUGUCAAUUUUCUUAAAAUAGAGCUGGCCGCAAUUUUUGUCAAUUUUUGUCUAUUUUAUUUUCUUUAUUUCUAAUUUUCUUAAAGAGAGCCUAAACAUGUUUUCAUUAGUGCACAACAAACUAGAAAAAAAAAUCUAUUUUUUUCCUACAGGCGAUGAGCCAAGAUUAUAUAAAAACUGAAUUUUAAAUUUUCAAAAAAUUCCAAAUAAUUUUAAAUUUUUUUUAAUAAUUUUAGAAAUUUUAAUUUAGAAUAUUUUUUUUAUUGGGACGAUAACUCUGAAAAGACAGAUUUCCUAUCUUUUCUUUCAACUCAGGAAAAAUACGAUGGGGGGGGGCUAAUUCGAAUCCCUCGGGUAAAAUAAGAACAGCACCCACAUUCAAACCCCCUUUUUUACCGGUGGUAGAGCGCGCCCCUGAUAAUUGCGUCUCGAAGCCUGAGGUAGUAAAAAAAAGUGGGAUACUGUAUUUUAGAAAUUAGGAAGAAAUGUUAGAAAAUAGCUAAUAAAUGGACAAAAAUUGCGCAAAUUUUAAGAAAAUUAGAAAAAAAAAAAAAUUUUUGAAUAAAAAUAAGAGAGAAAUAAAGAAAAGAAAGAAAUAGAAGGAAGAGAAGAAAAAGAUAGAAUUUUAAGGAAAAAUAAAUAUUCGCCAGCAUACAAAGCAAUCGAAAAAAAUAAGAUAACACUAUGAUUGUAAUAACCGAUCAAUUAAGGUUGAUUUGGAUUAAUUAAAUUAUAUUUGGAUUUAAUUCAGAUUUAAAUCGAUUAGAGAUGGGCGUUAAGCCUACAAUUUAAAAAAAAAAAAAACUAAAACCUUAAAAAAAGAGAAAAGCUAAUAGAAAAUAUAUUAGGAUUAGCAUCGUGGGGAAGAAGAAGAUGGGAAGAGUUCGGGAUACCCACUCCUCUCUCUCUCUUUUUCCUUCUUUUUUUUCCCUUUUUUCUAACUUUUUUUUUUUUAUUUUGUAUAGUUGUGGAUCACAUAAAAAAAUUUAAAAUUAAAAUUAAAAUUUAGAGCGGGAGCAGGCGUGGGCGCGAGCCGGCGUGGAGCGGGUUGUUUUUUUUCCUCCUUUUUCCCUGUGGGACGCACAAUCUUUUUCCUUUUCUAACUUUUUUUAUUUUGUAGGGUUGUGGAUCACAUAGAAAAAAUAAAAAAAAAAAUUUAAUAUUUGAUAUUUUAAAAUAUUGAAUUUUAAAAUUUAAAAUUUAAAACUUAAAAUUUAAAAUUGUAUAUUUUACCUAAAUUACUAAAACUAAAAUUUUACUGUUUUAACUUUUAAAUUUUAGAUCCUAUAUUUUAGAUUUUAAAUUUUAUAUUCAAAUUAUGAAUGCUAACAGUUUAAAACUUCUUUUUUAAAUUUUAAAUAAUAUAAAAUGUUGAAGUUUAAAAUUUAAAAUUAGAUUUGAAAAUUAAAAAAUUUAAACUUAAAUUUAAAAAUUUAAAUGAUAACAACGGAAAUAUAGAAAUAUAUUUUUAUAUACUUUUAUCUAAAUUUUAGUAAAUAAUAAUGAACAGUCUAUUUAAAAUAUUUUAAAAAUUUCGUAAAUUUACCACCGCGAAGCUCGGGCUUUCACUAGUAUCUAUAGAAAUAUUAAUUCUUGAGUUCUACUGUGCUCUACGUGACGCCUCCUCAGCGUCCCUUCUCUACCGUUCCCUCUCGUGCCCCUUCGAAGCCUCCCUGCAUUGGGGGGGGGGGGGCUUCGGUGGCUCGUUGAUAGGUUUCAGCGUGCUGGAGGCCGUGCUCACCUUUCGGAGCACUGCCGGCCACUUUGGCACGCGCAUGAGCCCGGCGGAGUCCCGGUGCAGUUUUUUUUUGUGACUUCUGGUGAGUUCGGCAACCAGUUUUGGGAAACCGAUUCCCGAGGGGCUAUGAUUGUGGGAUUGUGAGUUAGCGAUAUGUGUUAGUGGGUUAGGUUCUAACCCGGUAGACCUUUCGUAGGUUCGGUUGCACCGUCUUCACAGUCAAGAGAUUUUCGUCAGACACGUACAGGUGGGUACUUUGAUCCGAUGUCGGUACAGUGGUGCACGCUCGGUGACGUUUCCUUUACUUGUUGUUUAUAUCAUUUAUCUUAUACAUGUUGAGCCUUGCACCCAUGCUAUUUCCUUAUUUACUCUACUUAGUUGUUGCCAGGUGUAGUAUCAUAUGUAGGAGUAGAAUAGACUUUAUCUGUAUAUGAUAUCUGUGACGUGGUCGGUCGGUUCUCUUAUGUGAUCUCCAUGACCUGGUUGGUCGACGUUGCAUCUCCUAUACUUGUGAUCUGGUUGGUUGAUUUGAUUACAUGAUGACCCAUGUGGUUGGUGUGCCCUAGGGGGCAGGAUUGUCGGCUGGUUGCCGACGGUUGAUCAUUGAGCAUAUUGCAUUGAUCGCCCGAUACUCGUCCCAUUUCACGAACACUGGUGGUCUGAUCCACCGCAAGGGGUGUUUUUUUUCGGAAAAGUGGUUGCAGGUGUCAACCCGUAAGCCCUAGAGGGGUUAUAUGCAUGGUAGAGUAGUAGUGGCACUGGCUUGAGGUUUGCGGUGCGGACAAGGAGAGCAUUGGUUUCAGAUUGGAUACGUUUGGACUGAUUGUCCCGUUGAUGCAUGCAUACAGUAGCUGUAGUGGUUUAUCUACACACAUUUCAUUACUUGUUUAUCUUAGCUACUGUACUACCGUUAUCCAUAUCCUUGUUUAUCUCCAUGACUAGUGAGUACCCCUCGUCUUCGUCGGCUUGCGGUACCCACUGGGAGGGGAGACAUGUUUACAUGUUCUCACCCCCCGCCUCCAUUACAGGUGACGUCGCAGGUCCGAGUGGGACAGCUGGUGAGGAGCGUGUCUAGCGUACGAUAGAGCUCCGUCCCGUGUCGAUUAUUUCUUUACCCUUCAUACUUGAAUAAACAAUUUAGACAUAUUAUGGUUUAGUUUUGUUAUAUUAUUUGAAUAUCUGAGUUUUCAGUUGGAUUUAUGAGGUAAUAAAAAGAAUUUGUGGAGUUCAAAUGUUGAAUGGUUUUCUACCCCUCGUGGUAGCGUUUCUAAAAGAUAAAAGUUCCCGUGUAGGGAACAGUUUUUAAAAGGUUUUCUGUGGAUUUUGUAUCUUAUUAUUUUAAAAUCUGUUAUGGGUUGGAAACGUUUUAACUGAUAGAUGUAGAUUUAUGUUUAAAUAUUGAAUGUAUAACUGUGAUGUGAAUGGUGAAUGAAUGAUUGUAUAGUUGUUUCUAUAUUCAUUUAGUUGUGGUUAUAUCCUGUUUUACAUCUUGUACUUGUGCGACGCCGUGCAAAUACAGAGGAGACUCUGUCCGUGUGAUCAGUGAACUCUCUGUAUUUGUGGCGGAUCUGGCAUACCUUGGGGUCAGAUCUUUCAAAAAAAAAAUUUUAGCUAUUUCUGCUGUGUUUUCAAACAAAAAUGGACCCCGGGACAUGACAUUAGUUUUGAUCUAUUUUAAGAUUUAAGUUCAAAUGCGAGGAUAGUGGAGAUAUUAUAUAUUUCUGACGAAUUGAAAAUUUCUGGACAUAAAAAAAUUAGUUAAAAAGAUAGAGACAUUUUCGUAAUAAAAUUCAUAUUUAAUUUAAAAUUUAAAUUUUUAUUUUGAUCCAUUUGAAUAUUUAAAUUCAAAUGCGAGGAUAUAUUUAAUUCAAAAUUAUGAUAGGUUGAGAAAAUUUUUAAGAAACGAUAAGAAAAUAUUAAAAUUUUGAUGAGAUAUUUAAGAAACGUGUGGAUAUUAUGUCACGCCCCGCGACCGCCCGCCUAUUUGGCCGAGUCGCGGCGCCGCAAUAGACCGCCGAACGGACAGGAUUUUUCCUGUACCGCGGACAGAAUCUCCUCUGUACAUUCAAGGCGUCGCAAUCAAUAUAAUGUGGAAAGUUCCAACCAGGAACACAUUUCAAUCAAAGAUUGCAUAAUGGAAGGUAUCAAACAACAUAACACAUCCUAUGUUAUUACAUGCAUUCACAUUCAUAUAUUUUUACAUCACAAUUCUCAUUUGAUUCUUACACUAGCUUUCACUUAACUUCCAAAUACAAUCCGAUUUAACAUGAUUAUUACAACUUGAUUCUUUUUAUUCUUUACAUCCCUAAGCAAAGCCGACUUAGGGUACCGCUAUCUCUGGUCUCGGUGGUAGGGCGCUAACUAUGGAGCUACGCCCUCGCCUCGCGCCGCUCACGUGGGAACCUGUACCCCCAAAAACAACACGGGGGUGAGAACUAUAUAAAUAUAGUUCCCAGUGGGUACGGCCACCCAAGGAAAGAGCUCGACCCACAGGUCCAAGGAGGCACUGCAACAUAUUAGUCCAACAAAUAUCCAACAGAUAUAUAUAUAUAUAUAUGCGAUAAUUGAAAUACAUGUCAUGCCUCACAACCAUGCAAUAUGAAAAUCAUGCGAUUUAUGCAACCAAUUAGUAGUUCAAUCGAUACUACUUUAAUCCUGCUAUUCAAAGGUCAUUCAAUUGACUUCGAAGUUAUUCCACUAUUUUAAAUUCAUAUCAAUUACAAUUCUGAUCAUAUGGUCUCAUUUACCUUUAUCAACUAUCCACCCGACUCGGUCUUGAGUCAAUCAUUCGCGGAGUACCGCGUAAAGCCAGGCUCGAGGCGAAGGACGUCUCACUUGCACCUCAGCCUUAAGUCCACUCAACUAGGAUAUUGCUACAGCUCAUGUGCUUGUUACCCAAUCUCUUGGCUAACCCGAAGGUUUCGCCCUCAACAAACUCACCAACCCAAAAUCCCAUUAACCGGGAAGAUACCCGCUACAACCCGGUGGGACCGUCCUCUGGGGAGAUACCCGCUACAACCCAGUGAUGUCGACUCCGGAGCACAUCGCCCGAGGGGGAGCUACCACAACCUCGAGCAAGGACUAAAGGUGAGUAUGAUCAAUGAUCAAAUCCAAAAUCUUGAGGAUGUCAAGUUCAAUCCAUUCCUUAACUUUAGGAAGACUAUGCUCAAAUGACCCUAACUCUAGGGUUGAAAUGUCAUAAUAUUUCCAUCAUUCUUUUCUUUGCAUUCUUUACUAUCACUUGUGUCAUAUACACUACUAUAUUCUUGGACUCAUGCCACACUUGUUUUCUAAGUGUUCAACAUGCCAUAAGUGUUUCCACUAUACUAAUCAUAUGCCACUCGAUCUAAUAUAUAUAGAUUGUCCACGUCACAUAUCAUAGUUCAUAUGUCAUUGUUUUCCAAUGUCGAGUUCUCUAAUUCACCUAGAGUUUAUCGACCCAAGUUCAACAUGCAUGUGUCAUUUAAUAUAAUCCACAAUAUGUCAAUAUACAUUCAUCUAGUAUAUUCUACACUAAAUCAACAUGCACUCAUUCAUCAUAUUCCACAAUAUGUCUACAUAUAUAUACCAACCAUUCAUAUGCCAUCCAACAUGUUUCAUAAUUUAUCAACAUGCAUAUUACCUCUAACAUAUUACUAUAACAUUAUUUUCAUGCAUUCAUGUGACAAUUAACUCAUGCAUUCAUCUAGCAUUUAACACAUUAUAUGUCAUUAUGCAUUUUAUCUCAAUAGUAAGUAACAUCAACUAUAUGCAUCAAUUAGAAAACUAUUACUCUUAGACAUAUAGGCGACCUAGUCGCUUCGGUAAGCACAACCCACCUCAUUUCGCAUUCCGAUUGCUUGUCGACACUUGCAAUCGGCCUCCUGCGACACCCGGCACCCGGUUUGGCCCGAUCUCUCGCGCGACCACCGGAACGGCCUCCAAUUCACGAUCCGAAAAUUAAAGGUCUUCGGUUAUGUGUCACGAUGCUUCAAAUCUGUUUUCAUGAGUAUACGAUGUCGCAUCGGCCCUCCAGGCGGAAACGAAGCCUAAACGUCUGUUUCUUUAAUAACUUCGCAACGGCUCGACGAAUCACCGAACCGACUUUGCCAACGCGUUCGUUUACCUAACAAUUAGAUUUACGGAGGGUCAAAUGAGAUCAAACCCUCAUAUUUACAAAACUAGCAUUUUGAAUCCUAAGUUUACUACUAGGUAAAAACCCACCAUUAGGGCCUUGAUUUCAAGCAUCAAUCCUCUAAUUAGCAUGCUAGAAUACCUCUAAACCCAUUCUUAGAGCUUAAAAAUCAAACUAGAGAGAAAUGCCAUUAAAAGGUUUGAAGCUUACCUUCAAAGCUUGCUCUCUAAUGGCCAAUGAGGAAGGUGAAGAAGAUGACUUUUCUCCAAGCUUCCUUCUCCAUCAAAACCCUCUCUUUUGGGAGAGAAUUAGAGAGAGUAAAUGGAGGUUUCUCUCUCUCCAUCUACAUGCGUGUGUGUGUGUGUUGCAUUCGGCUGAGGAAGAAGAAAGGGACAAUCCCCUUUUUACAACUUAGUCCCUCAACUAUGCACUAUUCAAUCCAGGCAGUAGUUUAGCAGUUCGGAACAGUUGGAGCCCUUCUGAAUGUCCGUUUGAGCUCAAAUUUGACAGAUAGGCUCAGUUUAAUGUACUGAGUAAGAAUAUAUUUUAAAUUUUCAGUUUCGACCCCAUUUGGUCACCGAAAACUGUACCGAACUGUAAUCUUUAUCAGAUUGCUGUCGGAUUUUAUUUCUCACUCUAUGGGUGUCAGAAAAAUAUGAAACUUUAAAUCUAGCAUCAUAAAAAUAUUUCUGACUUAUCCUCCAAUUUUCAUAAUUUUCUGAGACUGUGUAUUUUCUGCUAAUUUAUCUGUCCCAUUUCCAACAGAAAAUUCUAGAUCUUCUGUUUUCAUUCCGAUUUCAGCACAAGUCACUUAUGACUUAUGUUUUAUUUUUAUAAAUCCAAUAAAAAUAGUUUCUCACACUAUUUUUAUUUAUUUUUAUUUUUAUAUCAAAAUCUGGUAUGUUACAUAUUAUGUGUGAGAAAGGUUAACUGGAUAUUAUGUAGGUGGUUAACGUAUAUGAUAAGUGGAUUAAUGAGAUAUUUGAGAAAUUUACGUAUAUUACGUUGAGAAAGGAUUGACGGGAACGGAAAUUACGUGUGAGAAGGAAAAUAUUUAAGAAACACGUAGAUAGAAGAUAUGAUAUAAAUGCGAGGGUAUUAUUGUCACAAAAAGUGACAGAUUGUCACGCCCCGGAUGUCUCGUUUUUCCGGGCACGCCGACAAAGCCGCCGUAUACAAAGAAAUUUCCCUUGUAUACGAAGCGACAUCAGUACCUGUAAAUCAAACAAUACUACAAACAGUAGUAUAGAGCUGCUCGAGUAAACAAAAGCUAAACANUCACGCCCCGGAUUUCUCGUUCCCCGGGCACGCCGACAAAUCCACCGUAUACAAAGAAAUUUUUCCUAUAUACGAAGCGACAACAGUACCUGUAAACAUACAAUACUACAAACAGUAGUAUAGAGCUGCUCGAGUAGACAAAUACUAAACAAACUGAGUUUCAUAUAUAUAGCCCAAAUCCAAAAUACAGAGCUACUCGCACUGGCGAGUUAAGUAUGCUAUGUACAUAAACUCGAAACAAAACGUCUACCUGCAGUAGGAGUGCCUCUAGCUCAGCUCGUCGGGUAGGGCUCUAACUCGCGACGCCCUUGCCUCGAUCCUGAUCCGCGGAAGGCGCAGCAGCCGAAACCUGUGGCUCUGCAAAACAGGGGUAACAACUGGGCGUGAGAACUAGUGUAAAAACAAGUAGUCCUCAGUGGGUGCCCCCCUAAACAACAUCGGUCAACCCACUAAAUCUACAGAUGGGAGCCAGGAUAGUAGUAAAUGCAGGAAUAAAAUCUACCGCUAUGAAUCACUACACUAUCAUGCUCUACACUAGCCAACUGUAGGAAAUGUCAAAUCUGAACCAAUCCAAUCGGGACUGUAAGCAUACCCGUCCCUGAGACUGUGAACACACCCGUCCCUGCCCAGUUGUGACUAUCCAGCUACCUCCACACUACUAGUCCGUGGAGAGCAAGUCCAACCGGCAUGACCAACGCGAAAGCAUAGCGCCCGUCUCCGAAGUGGCACUCGUGGGAGCUACCCAACCGAGUAUGCAGUGUAUCGCUGUCGAACUCAAUCGGCUCUCAAAAGCCAAAGUUCAGUAACCGACUCAAACUGGUCUAACAACCAACAGGUAACGUGCCCUCGGCACAAUCCGACGCCAAAAAGGCGAUACGGGUCCACCGUCAACCCCGACGGCACCCAACAGUCCGGAACAGCCUGAACGCUACUGUAAAAAUAUACUCGGCAUCCCGACACGAGCGUAACUGAAAGCUAAACUAUCUGGACUACUCACUAUGAGGAUACUGCUACAGUAUAAAAUAAUACAACGGCCCCUAGGGCUAAAUCAGGUAGUUUAACAUAUGCCGAUUCCAAUCGUGUUUUCUCCUAAGUCAAAUCCCAGUCCAACAUGUACAUUUAAGAUUUACUAGUCAUGUUCUCAAUACUGAUUUUAUCCAGGAUAGCAUCACGAACGUCAAGCUACAACAUGAUUACCGAAACUGAAAAAUCAUACAUGUCGACGAUUACGGUACUUAGGAAUAAACAGAUGUAAACCCACCUCGAAAGCUAUCCCCUGGCAGCGGUACACUCUCACAGCUGUGGCGCCACCUGCUGGGUCGAUCGUAGCCCUUCGAACCCAAGAAUCGCGCUAACUCCAAGCUCUACACCAAACAAUUCACCGUUUCAGUCCAGUUUUUGCAGCAGUGGAGUACAACAAGGAUUUGACCAAGCUAACCUUCACCAAAUCUGGAAAAUAAGGGUUUCAUGGAUUCCUCUCGAAGUCCCGAAUCCAAGGAACCAAGUCUCGUCGCGAUCCGACAUUCCUACGUCGCGUACAAGCUGAAAUACACACGGUCGACGGUGAAUUUCAGCAAAAUAGCAUUUCGAGUAGAAAUAGCAGAAUCAGCUGAAACCUCGGAGGAAUUGGAGAAUAGCUCACCACACCCGCUGUCCAACUCCGGUGCGUCGACGAUAACAGCAACGACUCGCGCUGCCCCGACAUCAAGUACGUGCUCGAUCGGUUCUGCGGCGCGACGUCGACAACGAAAUAUCUCCGCGGCACUCCUCAAGCUUGUCCCCUGCUUCAGUCGCACGAGAAAGAGAGAGAAACGAGAGACUUAAUUAGUGAAGUGCAUGCACACCCUCCUUAAUUAAAUAGAUAUGCAUGCAAUGGGAGGGGGUGUACGUGCAAGUUGCUAAGCACAUGCAUGUUGAUGAGCAUGCAUGGGUACACGUGGCUCCAAGCCACCAUAAUUAGUAUGCAACCCACUCAAAGAAACUAAUUAAUUACAUAAUAAAUAAAACAAGGAUACUACAUCCUCCCCCACUACAAAGAGUUUCGUCCUCGAAACUCAAACAUACCUUUGCUCAGGCAUCAAACAAAAAGGGAUAGGCCUCCCUCAUCACCGUCUCAGACUCCCAGGUCGCCUCCCGCUCAUCAUAAUUAUUCCACUGCACUUUCACAUACGGGAUGACUCGACUGCGCAAUUCUUUUGUCUCCCGAGCAAGAAUCCGCAACGGUCGCUCCUCGUAUCUCAGAUCCUCGCCAAUCUCAAGUGGAGUGAAGUCAAUCACAUGAGAGGGAUCGAAAACGUAUCUCCUUAAUGCUGAGACGUGGAAAACAUCAUGGAUGCCAGCAAAGUCGCGCAGGGGUAGAGUCUAUCCUGAGCCAACCGGUCGGAUACGCUCCAAUACCUCGAAAGGGCCAACGAAAACGUGGACUAAGCUUCCCACUGUACUCCAAUCGGCGUAUUCCCUUGUGACGGCGAGACUUUGACGAAAACAUGAAUCUCAACCUGAAACUCCAAGUCUCGUCUCCUCAGUAAUCGCGUAGCUCCUCUGUCGGCUCUGUGCUGCUUUAAAGGUGUGUCGAAACGACUCUCACUUUUCCUAGCUCAAGUAGAAAAUCUAUGGUCAAGUGUCUGCCGCCACCCACAUCAUCCAAAAUAGGGGGAUCGACAUUUGCUGCGUCCAUACAACGCCUCAAACGGAGGCCAUCUCCCGAAUGCCUCGUUGAUAGCUGUUUUUGUACGCAAUUGAACCAGUCCCCAUGUCGAUACACCUCCUCCAAAUUGUCACGCCCCGGGGACCGGAUGCCCAAAUUUGGCCCGACCCAGAGCACACGCUCAACAGACGCCGACGGACAGAGCUUCCCCCAGUCCGCCAAGGCUCAUCACCAGUACAAUUUCAAUAGAAGUGCAAUCUGCCGGAAAAUACACAAAUGGCUUACAGAGGGUAAGCAAUAUAGCUUUAGUGAAAGAGAAAAACUAAACAUUCACAAGUUACAUGAUUCAUUUGGAUCAUAUACAUUUGCAUUAUCUCAAGUAAUUUUCGAAUUCUUACAUUCACGUUUUCCUCAAAAUAGGAAUUUACAUUCUUUUCAUUCACCAUCACUUAUUCAUCAAGUCAAAAGUGAUAAAAGGGGUGUCUACUAACAAAUGGGUACCAACAUCCGAGUGGCCUCCUGUCUAAGGCGCCGAUACCUUUUACCGCGGUCGUCGCCGGCCGCUCGUCCCGGCUUGUGGAAAUAGUGGCGUGAGAACUACAACAAAGUUCCCAGUGGGUUCGGCUCAACAUCACCGACUUUCCACUUAGGACUAAGUGAGGCCCAUAGUAGAAAGGAUAAGCAGGUUAUAUAACCAAUCUUACAGCUAUGCUUAUAUGCCUGAACAAUUAGCAAUAGAAAUAUGUCAACAUAAAUAGAUGCAGGGGGUUAUGAGUGUUUUAGUUCUUUUCACUUUAUCUCUUAGUUCUUUAUUCUUUGUUCUUUAAUCAAUUGAGGCUAGCCCGAGGGUUUCGCCACUUUAUCAUUGCCUCCACAUUAAGAUCCAUCAUCGCGAGGAAUCUCACAGCUAGGACCGUCCUUCGGGUUACUCCAACCCGGUGCAUACUCCGUGAGCGCAUCGCCGAGGGGGAGCGACGCCGAAGCACGGAACUUCAUAGCAAGUAUGUCAUAUCCUUAAUCUCAAAGGAUUUUAUAAGUUAUCAACUACUUUGACUCUUACACUAGCUCUAGUGUUCUUUACAUCACUUUGAUGUUGAAACUCAUGCAAUCACAUUCUUUAGCAUUUCUUUUACUUUUGCUUAAUCUCUUAGCACAAUAUAUUCUUUAGUUCCCCAAUUUACUAUACUUAGGCUUGUCAUUUUCAUCAUUCUUUACACUUCAUUGGUUCUUUGAUCACAACUAACUAUGUGUCUCUUUACUUUACAUUUUCAAAUGCCACUCGACUAUGUCGAUUGUCACUCUGUUCUUUUGCCUCACUUUGGGUGCACCCACUUUUCUCUCAUGCAUACAUAUAGGGUUUAACUUUCAUUACAGGUUCGUUAACCAUACAUUAUGCAAGUUUCUCACAUCAUGCACAUCACAUCUUUCAUUUUUUACUCUAAAAUGCAUGCAACAAAUAUAUUAUAUGUCAACUUGAAUGACACAUUAGGAUAGAGUAGAAUUUCCAAUGAAGUUGAGAAGCACACCACUCGUAGGUCAAUUAUAGGUGCUCGACGAUUUCUUGAGAUAUUUUUAAAUCCCUUCGUUCUUUACCUGCGCCCAAAACGAAGCCCAUAUUUAGGGCCUUAUUGCCCUACUUACUUCAUUUUCUUUGACGCUCUUUGACAACGCGUCUUUAAGCGACAGAUUUUAUAAUAACGUUGAUAUCAAUUGUAUAAUCCGGUGCACCAACGCGUCGGAAAUACCCCAUUAGAUUUUUUAGAGGGUCAAUUGCACUUUAGAAACCCUCACAUGAGCAAAAGCCCCAAUUUGGUGCCCUAGCCUCUCCACAUCACUCAUGUUCAAACCUAGCAGUUUGAUCUCAUUGGGAAGUCAAAAGUAGCUUCAUUACACUCUAAAGAACCAUUAGAACCUCUUGGCUUUCCAAACCCUAGUUUGCAUUUCACUUAGAGUGGCCCAGCUCACUCUAAAGCAAACCAGGGUUUUGAUCUACUAAGAAGCAAAAGAGAGCUUAUACUACUAGAUAUUCCUAUUAAAAACCUUUCUAGGUUCAUUCAAACCCCAUUCUAGGCUUUUACUAAUUAGGGGUUCAAAGCUUACCUCAAGACUUCCCUUUUCUUCAAACUAGAGAUGAAGGAGAAGGAGUUUUCUUCACUUUUCUUCUUCUUCUCACUUUCUUCUCUUCUUCUCUUUCUUUUCUUCUUUCUCCUUACUUUUCUUUUUCUUCUUCUCUUUUUUGUUUUCUAGAGAUGAGAGAGGGAGAGGAAAAGGAGUGUGAAGGGCUAGUGAGAAAUGAGAGAAAUUUCUCUUUACCCCAAUACUAUACUCAAUGGGGGUUGCCCAAAAUGCAAAAAACCCCUCAACAUUCACUUAAUGCACUGCCCGAACUGGGCAGUUUCGCGCAGGGCACGAGACCGGUCUCCCGAGCACGGACCGGUUCCGAACCGUCUCACCUGCGCUGCCAGAGCCGCCUGCGCGCAGUGCAAACCGCUCCUCCUUAUGGCCGGUCUCUGGGACGGUCAUCUCAGGCAGAGAGAGGCUUCCCGAGAGCCUACCUUCCAGGACUUAGCGAUUUUCGGCUGGUCUCAUUCUGCACGCUGUCUCGGGCGGACCGUCUCGCUUCCCUUCAGGGACCGUCCCCGAGAGCUUGAAAUCUGCAGUUUUGCCAGAAUUCAAUUCUUUAGCUCUCGAAAACCAUCACAACUCAUUUUUAAUCAUUUUAAACACUUCGGACUUUUCGAAAAGUGUUCCAUCUCGCACUUGGUCAAUUGACUAAAGUUCGACAUUUUAUUCGAAUUUUCGGUUUAUAUUACCAAAAAUUCAGGACGCCAUGCCCUCAGCAUGAUUCUCAAGAGUCUUAUGGUCCGCUCUAGAACUGACCAUCUGUUCUGUGUUGGAACGCUGUACUAAAAUACAGCUGUAGUGCAAGGUGUCUGAAGGCACUCGCUCCAAAACCUUGGGAUACAAACCUCGGGUCUCUGUCUGAUAUCAAUCGACACUUGCACGCCCGUGCAACCUGACGAUCUCAUCUAGACGUAUUAGGCUGUGCGAGUCUCUCCCUGGACCAGGUAGUCAUGACCGGUUAGGAACGUGGCCAGACUGUCAGUCUGUCACUAUCGACCCCAAAUCGCGUUAGCACCCUGCGCUAGGCAAUCAACGACGAAGGUCCAUCGUGAUGCACUCCCAUUUUCACUCGCAUGGCAGACUCUGAAGCUGUGCCAGCAGGCACUGAUGCUCGGCCCUUCACCUGUUGCAAUGUCAAACACAUAAGCACAUAUCUGCCAAAGAGCCCUCUUCGAUCCAGGCCCCAGGAAUUGUGGCUUUAAGAUCCUUAUACUUUUGGUUCCCCCAGGCGUGAAACCGUAUAAUGGGAAACAAUGAGCCUCUCUCAAAUAUCUGCUGACAAUCUCAGAAUCCACAGGCCACACACAGUGCGUUCUGUACGUAUACUCCGAACGUUCAAAGCCAAAUCCCUCAGCCUACCCCCUGUCUAGCUGCAUUCUAAUACUCAGACAAGUACGCGAUUCCACUCUGUUCUCUCAGAUCCUAGUUCCAACGAGUGGGCCGUGUAACAAAAGAGACGUCAGCCUCGCCGUAGACCCAGGGGGUACUAUCUGUGAGUCCCAGGCCGCUGUUGCUCCUCGAGUAGGGGUCUCUGCUCAGUAAUCCUCAGAACUAAGCUCCUGCCAUCGAUUUCCUGCUUCAAAAUCUGUCACAACAUGUCGCGCUCAAUCCGACUCGGGCACUGGGGUGCAUGUGAUCUCUGGAUACUUGAUACAAUUCAUAGUCCUUUCAGUAACUCCAAACCCCGCGCGUGUUGAGGUUCAGCUACACCUCUGUGUGAACAGAUACUUGAGACUUUGAUGAUCGUUGAAAACCUCGCCAGUGUCGCCGUACAAGUCAAUGCCGCUAGCACUUCAAAGCAAAACCCACUGCGGCAACCUGCCAAGUCAUGCGUAGGGUAAUUCUCUCUCAUAAUCUUUAACUCCGCCGUGAAGCAUAAGCAAUCACUACUGCUGCAUCAGCACCAACCAAGUCCACUGUGCAGAUCACUGUAGAAUCACGAAUUCAUCCCCCAUCGACGGCAAGGGCAAAGGAUAGGAGCGACGUCGAACCUCAGUCUCAAUCUGAUCCAAAGCUCCUCUGACAGUCGUCGCUCCAAACAAAACGAUCCCCUUCCGCCGUCGAAGCGUGUGGGGGGUGUGGAAAACUUCGCAAGCCUCUCACCAAAUCGACGGUAAUAUCCUGCCAGGUCCCAGGACAGCUCGUACCUCAGUCACCGUCGUCGGUCUAGGGCCAAUCUCGAAUUGCUCUCAAUCUUCUUUGGUCCACGUACUGUCACGCCCGACCGGCGGAGGAGCCUUCCGGUAGGUUGUGACCCGAUUGUCAACACAUAUAAGGCGUCUACACAAAAGCUGAAAGCAAAACAAGUAUAUGAACAAAUAGAGAGUGAAUAACUAGCACUAAUGAUUAUCAGACGCGAGUAAAGUUCUAAUCCUUACCAAGGGUAAAGAAGUAAAGACGAGACAAUUAAAAGAUUCAUUAUAGUAGUACAAUAUCUGUCUCUAAAAGAAAAUGGUUGGUCUCUAGUACACUCGGUAAACUCCUCAACCUCUCGCAAAAAAAGAAAUAUAAAUCGAGAUGAUGCACCAGCAAUCGUCCUCGAAGGAAGCUAGCUCGAAGCAAAACUCCCUUCCCGCUGGAUCCCCUGCCUUACCUGCGCGGAAGGCUUGAAAAAUAUCGAGAAAAAGAGGGGCGCUUGAGACACUAUAUUUAUAAUUCCCAGUGGGCAAUUACUGACCCUCAGCUCUAUGCACCACUAGGCCGAAAAGAAAGGCGUAAGCUACCCAUAAUAUGCAAUAAUGACUGCGAUAUGAAAGCAUAAUUAAAAUGCUAAACUCUACUAAACUUCAAGUUACACGAUGUCAGUGGUGAUGCUAAUCUAUGAUCUCAGAUGGUAAAUCAUUAACUUUAUGAAUACAUUAUGCAUAAGUUUGUCAUGGCAACAAGUAUGCUUUAAUGCAAAAGGAGCUAUCAAGUAACUACAUGCCUCACCUAUGCUUAAAAGAUUUAUAAAUGUAAUUCCAACUACUAAACCUAUCUAGUAGUGCUUAUUCCAUUCCGGUUCAAUGUGCAUUAAUCAACAUGUUUUAGGACUACACAAUUGUAAUCCAAGCGAUAAUGUGCGCCUAAGUGUCGGUGGAUUAGCCCGAACAUUCCCACUCUAGGAAUGCAGUCUAUCCCUACCGACGCCCGUAAGCCAUCUCGAUUACCGCACGAGCGGAACACUAAAGGUCGCGUUAGGCCCUAACUCCGAAGUGCCGGCCUUGUUACGGGAGCGACCCUCGACAAGCAUGUAGAAUGCAGCACAAAUGGCAAGCAAGCAUAGUCCAAAGUCUCAAGUAUCCAAUCACUCAUGUCUGACUAACAUGGUAUUAUCACUAGCAUCCGAAGAGUCUAGUUUAAGUCACAAUUGUGAAGUUUCAACAAUUGUAACGCCUAGUGCCCCUUGAUGAACUUAGCAAUUUGAUGGUUCAACAUGUAUUCCAAAAUCCCUCAAAAUGGCCUAUCACUAGGAGUCACACAUGUCCUUGAGCUGCAAUGGCCUCUUGAUGACAUUAGGGGUCUAUUUCACAUACCUUUUAAAUGGCAAUCUUAGUCAACUUUCAUGUCACAAUAAACUUAGGUUUAAAUGCAUGAGAUCCAAUUGUAUUUACAUUAUAGGAAGCUAUGAAACCGCAUCUCGUAAUAGAAAUGUAAGUGCAACCAUCGGUCAAACCAAGCUACUCUCUACUACAUAGAGGUCCAAAAUUUCAUCAUAUAUAACAUAGGCCUUUUAAGCAUUCUAAAAUUCACAAUAAAUACAUACAAUAAGAAUAUGCAUGCUUUUCCAUUUAACGAUACUUAAUUAAGCACAAAUGAGAAUUUCUCAUUGUGUGGCUAGGUCAAACCCACCGAACCGUCUCGUAGGGCUCGUUUCGCCGAACAAAGUUGUCCCCGAGUCUCAAAAUACCCUAAACGUAUUGAGCGACAAGAUACACGGGCAUUACGAUCAUCUUAUAUCAUCAAACAUUAAUCCUAGAAGCAAAAAGGGCCAGAGCUCACCUCAAGAGUAGAAAUCUUCUCCUAAGCUCCAAAAGAGAGCUAGAACCCUUCCAAUCCAAGCCCUAGGAAGGUUCUAAACCAACCAAUCAAGCCUCAAAAGCCCUAGGUUUUAAAAAGCCCAAAAUAAACCCUAAGUCUCAAAACUAGGGUUUCAUCUCAAAAAAAGCUCUAAAAUCCAAAACUAGAGGAAAGGAUCUUGCCAGUUACCUCUUAGAAGCCUCAAAACCAGCUCAAAGUCCUCAAACUUCAAGUGUCUUCCCUCAAUCAAGCUCCAAACCUAAGCUCCAAGCUCCAAAAAUGGUGAAAAUAGCUCCAAUAGGCAAAAGAGAGGAAAAAACCAUCAAAAUCCAAGCUAGAAUGAGGUCAAAUCCAAAAGGUGGAGGGGAGAGGUGCCCUACCUGGUUCUCCACUCUUCUCAGCCCACGGGAGAGCCCUAGGGGCGUGGGUGCUGUUAUAAGAAGCCCACAAUCGCAAAUAAGCCCCUGCAGAACAAACUGUGCAGNNNNNNNNNNNNNNNNNNNNNNNNNNNNNNNNNNNNNNNNNNNNNNNNNNNNNNNNNNNNNNNNNNNNNNNNNNNNNNNNNNNNNNNNNNNNNNNNNNNNAAAUAAAACGAGACAUAUUCCAAAACCAGCUAGGAAGAGUAUCUGCAAUUUUGCUUUUUGACAAAUAUAGUACUUCAAGUUGAGACUGACUUUUGAGCCAUGCUGGAAAAUUGGGACCCAAAUGGCAGGAGGCUAGUAAAAUAUAUUUAAGUUGAAAAGAAGGAACCCAAUCGUCACGAACUCGCAUAGUAAGAGAGUUGAAUGAAAGGUCUAAGUAUUGUAUUUUUCUUAGAUAGGAAAGUUCGACAUCAGAUACGACACCCUCCAAUGAAUUAUUAUAUAGAGCUAGAGAAAUUAAAUUAGGAAGUUUCCAAACUCCCGCAGGAAUUGAACCAGUGAACAAGUUUGACCCCAGAUCUGUGUCUGUUAGACUAUCCAUAUGUUCAAGCCAUCCUGAUAAAUUCCCCUUUAAGUUAUUGUAACCGAGAUACAAAGACUGUAAAUUGUUGCGCACACAUCGUGGUAGCAUCUCUACCCAUUCCAUGAUUUCCCCGCCAAAGCCGAUACUUGACAAAUCUAAUGAAGUCAAGUUGCAUAAAUAUCUUAAUGCUCUUGGAUUCAUACCUUUAAAAUAAUUACCUCCUAAUGAGAGAACAUUUAGAUUGCUCGAAUGUAGAAACUCGUCAGAAAUAACGCCGUGAAACUCAUUGGAGCUCAAGUCAAGAAAAGUGAUGCUUGUAAGAUUCCGCAGCCAUGUGGGUACAGUGGAGUUUAUGACGUUAUCUCCAAGAUCAAGCACAUCGAGAGUUGUAAGGUUGAAAUGUGACAGAGAUGUAGAAAUGCCAGGAAGUGAACAGUCAGCCAAAUGUAGCACUUUCAACGAAGGAAGCAUAUUUACAACAUGCAACCAACCUGUAGAAGUAUUCAGGUUCAUCCUGCUCAAAUCGAGAUAUUUUAAGGAAGAUAAACGAGUAAGCCACAAAAUGUCAUCAAUUCUAAGAGUGUUGCCAGAAAAAGUGAAGUCAAAACUUAAAUCAAGAUAGUGAAGUUUUGAGAGAUUUCCAAUUUGUGGAGGUAAUUUUCCACUGAAAUGUGCAUAAGAGAGGUUGAGAUAUCUCAAGUUCUCGAAUGAACCCAAGAAUGCUGGGAUGCUGGUUCCGCUGAAAUUGUUCAUGCUGAGAUCUAAGUGCUCUAAAUUGCUUAAAAGAAGUAAAGAUGGAUUGAUCUCACCGCUCAAACAUGGGCAUUCCUCGAAGACUAUUUCAUACGAGUUUCUGUUUCUGAGGUUGAGUUUCACAACAUGGCCCGUGGUAUUGCUGCAGACGACUCCCCACCAUUUACAACAAUCUUCGCCUUCCCACGAAGACAAUAAAUUCUGAGGAUCAACCAAGCCGGACUUCAACGUGAGGAGUGCGUUCCUCUCUACCUCCAUGCAACCACUCGCCACAACAACGUCGAUGGUUAAAAUCCAUAGCAAGGAGGAAAAAAUAAGAGUAGCCAUGACGCAGGUUGAGAAAAUACACAACAUCAUAAUAAGGGAAUUGAUGUGGAGUAUUUUAUGGAGAAGGCCACCCAUUUGAGCCAUAUAUAUAUAAAUGUUACAUGGUUAAGCUAUCGCAAUUCACAUCAAAAGUACGUUCCAUUAUUGUAUGGAGUCAUAAUUCUCCUGUAGGUCCUACAAGGAAAAUUAAGCUACAGUUGUGUGAUUUUCAUGGUCAUACAAAUUAAUGGNUGUUAUUGUAAAAUAUGACAUUCUCAUUAGAUGUUUUGCUUCUAAAAUCUCCCAAACUAUUAUUUGCACAAACAUAUAAAGAGAAAUUAAGGCUAGUGUUAUUAUAAUUAGCAAGAAAUUAAUUACCUUUAAUAUGGGCACCAGAUAUUGACAAGCUUUACCCCUUUUCAUAUUCAAAAACCAUAGAGAUAGGGCGAGCGACUAUGUGGGUGAAUUGCUUUAAAUGUUCUAAUUCACUGCUUUUCAUAUUGAACAAGGGAUGAAACUUGAUAUGCUGGUGGUGAAGGUAGCAUGGUGGCAAAGAGGCCAUGGACUAAAGCGGAUGCUUCUAGUAGCAGCAGUGGGAUGGAUGCUGUGGAUAGGCACUCUUCCACACUCUAUCUCGUUGCUAGAGCACAUAUAUAGAGAAAGAGGAGGGUUAGGGUUCAAAUUUGGAUUUUGUUGGAGUGAUAUGAUAAUUCAGGACAGAAGAGCGCGAAUUUCGAAAUAGUGCGCGGGAAAAGAAAAAUUAAGCGAGAAUGCACACUUGAAUAAAAUGGACGUUUUGUGGCAUAUAGUAAUGUAUGCCACUAAUUAGUAAUCAUUCAGCAACACUUUUUUUAAAAUGUUGGUAAAGAAAGUAACAUUUAAUAUUAUCUGCCUCUAAUUUAUUAUAUUUAGCAACACAAAUGCUAAAUGUCACUACAUCGUUACAUUCGGCGACAAUUAAAUAAUAACGUUACUAAAUAUUAGAAAUAGCAUUAUCCAACUAAAUGUUGCUAAUUUUUUGUUGCUAAAUCAUCAAAUUGUUGUAGCAUGCGCGAAACCAACUCUUCGCCUUUCCUUCACCUAUAACGUCUAAUUAUACUAACCUUAACCCAACCCUUCGCCUUUCCUAUGCACAUAACGUCGUCUUCCCUCCACCUAUAACAUCUAAUUAAUAGUCCACUAACCUUAAUCCAACCCUUCGUCUUUCCUACAAACAUAACGUCUAAUUAAUAGUCCACUCACCUUAAUCCAACCAAACAUAACGUCUAAUUAAUGGUUCACCUACUUUAAUCCUAAUAUAAACAGUAAAUCGUAGAAACCUACGAAAAGUCCAAUUCUCUCAUUCUCUACUUUCUUUUCCUCCUCCAUGAGCUCCGAGGCUAAGAUCAAGCACGUUAUGUGGAUGGUGUAUAAGUUUGCACGCUGCAUCGCCAAGCUUAGCGUUGCCAUCUUCAUCAAAUCGAGCUUUCCUUCAAAUUUCAGGAGUUAUUUUAAAAGAUUUAUGUAUUCUUUGUGUUGUAUCGUUGAAAUUUUUUUGAUAGUUUUAUUCAGUUUUUUAAAGUUUUUUUUAUUUGCAUGGUAUUCAAACUAAUGUGUUUGUUAUGUUGAAAAUUUAUUGUUUUUUCUUUUUCUAUCCUUUAUUUUUUAUAUUUUUUCUCGGAAAGUAAAGUUCUGUAUUAUAUUUACUGUAUUUGGUUGUGUUAAGUUGUAUAUCUUUUUGUCUCUUAAAAAUUUAUUAUAUAACUUUUCAUAUGCUUUUUUUNUCGAAGAUUCCUCGGAUAAAUGAAUUCAGAAUUUAAAUCAAGGUAGUGAAGUUUCGAGAGAUUUCCGAUUUGAGGAGGUAUUGUUCCACUGGAAUACGAAUUAGCGAGGUUGAGAUAUCUCAAGUUUUUGAGUGAACCCAAGAAUGCCGGGAUGCUGGUUCCACUGAAAUUGUUCAUGCUGACAUCUAAGUGCUCUAAAUUGGUUAAAAGAAGCAAAGAUGGAUUGAUCUCACCGCUCAAACAUGGGCAUUCCUCGAUGAAUAUAUCACACGAGUUUCUGUUUCGGAGGUUGAGUUUCACAACAUGGCCCGUGGUAUUGCUACAGGCGACUCCCCUCCAUUUACAGCAAUCUUCGCCUUCCCACGAAGACAAGAAAUUCUGAGGAUCGACCAAGCCGGACUUAAACGUGAGGAGUGCGUUCCUCUCUACCUCCAUGCAACCGCUCGCCACAACGGCGUCGACGGUUAAAAUCCACAGCAAGGAGGAAAGGAUAAGAGUAGCCAUGACGAAGGUUGAGAAAAUACACAACAUCAUAAUAAGGGAAUUGAUAUAGAGUAUUCUAUGGAGAAGGCCACCCAUUUGAGCCAUAUAUAUAUAUAUAUAUAUAUAUAUAUAUAUAUAUAUAUAAAUGUUACAUGCAUGGUUAAGCUAUCGCAAUUCACAUCAAAGGUACGUUCCAUUAUUGUAUGGAGUCAUAAUUCUCCUGUAGGUCCUACGUACAAGGAAAAUUAAGCUACACUUGUGUGAUUUUCAUGGUCAUACAAAUUAAUGGCCUGAUUAGGAUUGCAUUGAGCUUUGACUUAAAACUUAAUUUUGCUAGAAGCUAAUUUUUUAGAUUAAAAACUGAUUCUGAAUAAAGUAGUCUUAAUUAUUACGAAUAUAGAGUAUUAAUUUGGCUACGAAAUACCAAAAGCGCUGUUGUACAAAAUAUAUUGUACAACAGCUUUUGGUAAUUUAUUUUUAUAUAAUUUGUUUAACUAAAAUGGUAAGUAUAUGAGUUUAACACGCAUAUAUAGUUCAUGAUUGAUGAUAAAUCUAGUUAAAAUAUUAAAUAUAUGAUUAAUACAGUAAAAUUUAAUUAGUAAGUAAUAAUCAUAAAUUCAAGUGAAAACUACAAACCUCUCUAAACCAUUGAGCAUUUUGAGAUUCAUACCUAAGGUUUUAAAAUUUUGAUUUUAUUAUCUAACUUCAUAUUUUUGAUGAUUUCGAAAAAAAAAAAGAAAGAAUACUAGAAUUGAGUACUCUACAGUAAAAGAGGAUUAGAGAAUAUUCCCAAAAACUAAGAAUAUUCUGUUAUACUAUAAAAAUUCUCAGCAGAACAAAUCAAAGUUACUAUUAGAUUUAGUAUAAAUUUAAAUUACAUACAUUUUAAAAUUAGAUAGCUUAAAUAAAAAUGUCCAAAGUUUAAGUCUUUUUAAGGAAGGGUCAAUGAUGGAAAUUUGUACGACCAACGAAUAAUGAUUCCAGUUUUUCUUUCUCCCAUUAAAAUCAUGAUAGGGAUUCAUAUGACCAAAAAAAAAUCUUAAAGUGCCUUUAAAAAAAUUUAAAAAUGGCAAAAUUACACUUUUUGUUUCUCAAAUUAUGAUGUGCGUGGCAUUUUGGUUCUCAAAAUUUAAUUUAAUAUAGUUUCUGGCUCAAACUCUAUAAAUUAAUAAAAUCAAGCCCCACCGCCUAAUUUAACGGACUAAAUAUUGACGUAUCGCCAAUAUGAAAGCUAUAUGAUAUCUUAAUUAUUGUUCUGUCAUUAAUCACAAUACGGUCACGUCAAUUAUACAUUAGCAAUGCAUUAUUAAUAUUUCAUCAUUUAAAUUGGGUUAUAGGACUAAAUUGCAACAACUUAGAGAGUUUGAACGAGAAAUUGGAAUUAAUUAAAGUUUAAUAACAAAACUCUCACGCCUGAAAAUUUGAGGACCAAAAAUAUAAUUUAGCAUUUUUUUAGGGCACUUUCUGAAGACUAUUUUCCUGGCCAUAUGAAUCCCUAUCAUGAUUUUAAUGGGAGAAAGAAAAAAAACCUAGAAAUAUUGUUUGUUGGUCAUACAAAUUCCUAUCAUUGAGUCUUCCUUAAAAGGACAGGUAUUUAAGGGAUGAAAACAGAUCAGAUACGGUCAGAUAUUCGACGAAACUGUAUCUGCAUUUUUUUUUGUUUUUUUAAUAUGAGCUCAGAUGUGUAUAUAUUUCAAAUGCUAAAAUUUUCUUAUUAUUUGGAUAUGAUAAAAUAUUUCAUAGGAUUCGAAUAUGGAUCUGAUUUGUGUUCGGGUAUUAUUUUAAUCAGAAUCAACACAUUAUUAUUAUUUGGUUUAGAAAAAUUUACUUGUCCAAAAAAAAUAUUUAAAAUAGAAUUCACAAUUUAAAAUAUAAAAAUAGAUUACACACUCAAAAAUAGAAAUUUUAAAAUUUUAAUUUUAAUUCAUUAAUUUGUAUUCGAAAUUUAAUUCGCAAUUUAAAUGUAAUUUUGUUAGUUCAAAUUUGAAUUCAAAAUGGUGCAUUUAAUUCACAAUUUAAAUAAUGUCAAAAAUAAAAUUUUAAAAAAUAAAUUUUAAUUAAAGGUUAACAUCAAAUUUUAAAACUAUAUCUAAAAUGUAAAAAUCAAACAUAUAAUUAUAUUUAAAAACAAACCACUAAUGUGGGCUCCCCACACCCCUGACCUGAGGAUUAGCCCCAUACCAUGUAAAUUGUGAACUACAUCACACUCUUUGUUAUUCACCUACAAAAUUUAAUUAUUAGUAGUAUUCUAGCUUAGUUCUAAUAACAUAUAUACAUAUUAAUUGUUGAUUAUUCAUAUUUGUAUUCAAUUUUUCGGAUAUCCGAAUAAUUUUAAAUUCUUUGAAAACCAUAUCAGCAUCCGUAUUCAACUAGAUCCGGAUAUUAUUAAAUAUGCAUGUGGUAAGGUCGGAUAUUAUCUAAUUCAUUUUCGACGCUAGAGAUGCAAACGGAGUAGAUCUAGAGGCAGAAGAGUCCCCAUGUCCCGCUCUGCUUCUUGUCAAGUCGAGGUCGAUUUGAAGCGGUUUAACUUUAAUCCUAUUUUGGCGCCCACAUACCGUUCCAUUCGGGGCGAAUCAGGACGGAAACGAACUUUUGGUGGAUUUUACUUUUCACUUGUCUAUUGGUCUUUUUUGAUCCCGCAAAUUCCAACACGAGGCAAGACGAAAGAGUAUACUCCACUACUAGUCCCAAAAAAGACAAAAGAAGAAAGGAUAUAUUGCACUACUAGUCCUUCAAUUUUUAAAUUCGACUUUCAAAACUCUGAACUUUCAACGAUAUUUCAUUUUCAAUUCUGAACUUUCAGCAAUGUUUUAUUUCAGAUCUCUUUCUCAGAAUAAAACUUAUUGGUUGUACCAAUAGGCAAUAGGCAUCAUAGACACGGACACGGACACGAAGUAUGAAACACAGCACUACUUGGGCACCAUGACUAAACAGCUCCAAAAAAUUAAAACACAGACACGAGAUAGACACCACUAUUAUUAAUAUAAUAACAUAUAUUUAUUAUAUAGAAAAUAUUAACUUUGUUAAAAUAUUAUUAUAUUUCUGAAUAAAAGUUAAUAAAAUUCUCAUUAAUAUUUGAGAAAAAANUGUCUCUACCUAAAUUUCCAAAUAAUUCAAGUCAAUUUGAAUAUUCCUCCAAUGACUUCAAAUGUCUAAAAAAAUAUAUAUUUACGUUGUUUCUCUUUCGCACCUUAUCACAUUAUUUUUGUAUGACCAAGAGUCCAACAGAAGAGUUAAAAAUGUCUUUUUAAGAAAGAGUCAAUGAUAGAAAUUUGUAUGGCCAACAAAUAAUGUUCCUAAUUUUUCUUUCUCCUGUUAAAAUCAUGAUAGGGAUUCAUAUGACCAGGAAAAAAAAAUCUUAGGGUAAAUUACACUUUUGGUCCUCAAAUUAUAAUGUUUGUGAUCGACAUUUUGAUUUUCAAAGUUUAAUUUAUGAUUGUUGGGGAACAAACCGCAACGAACUUCGAUUGUGACUAAAUCUAACUAAUUUUGUGAUUAAAUAAAUAAAACCUACUUACCGACAAUCGCUAAAUUCCAAAAAAAAUUGUGGAAGAAGAAUAUCAAAUUAAUUUGAUCCGGAAGCGUGCGAGGCACUGUCCUAAGGCGUAUUUCCGUCCUUCGUGCGGGAUUAACCGGAAACACCGCCCCAAGAUACGACCGGAACCCCUCCUCCUACGGACACGAACGCGGAAGAGGUUGACGAAGCUUCUUUCAACACCCAGCGAUAAAACGAUCAAAUGAAGUGGAUGAAAUUAGUAAAGAGAAAAUUAAAAUUAACUCAUGAAAAAACUAUUCUGUCAAUGAAGCUCUCAUCCAUUCAUUCGCAUGAACAGGGAGAGGGCCAUACGCACACCUUAAAUCCAAUGAGAUAAUUAGAACGUUGGAUGCCAACUGUUCUUCUCGAAACGGAUGCGCGAUGGACGCGCGAACGUGCGGGGAGCGGAGCGUGUAGGGAGCCGGAUCGCAAGCCGCAACGUCCGAAAAAUAAAUUCUCCGUUUAAUAAUAAAUUAAAUAAUAUAAUGAAAAAAUUAAUUUAAUUAAAUAAUGAGGAUUUUGAACUUUUCAUCAACAAUGAUAACUUCUGGUUAAAACUUUAUAAAUUAUUACAAUCAAACUACAGAAUCUAAUUUACUUGUCUAAGUAUUACCGUAUUGCCGUUGUGGACGUAAUAUGACAUCUUGCUCAUUGUCCUGUCAUCAUGCAUAACAAUAUCACAUCAUUUGCAUAUUUGCGACACAUUGAUAUUUAUUCAACUAAAUUGGGAUGUGGAGUUUGAUUGCAACAACUUAGAUAAUUCGAGUGACACAUUAUAACAAAUUAAAGUUUGAGGAUCAAAUCGUAUAGCGUGUCUCAUGGUUUGAGACCAAAAUUGUAAUUUAGCUUUUUUGUUUUUAGGCACCUUCUAAAGAUUCUUUUUCCAGUCAUAUGAAUACCUAUCAUGAUUUUGAUAGAGAAACCAAAAACCUUAGAAACAUUGUUUGUUGGCCAUACAAAUUCCUAUCAUUGACCCUUCCUUCAAAGAAUAGGUAUUUAAGGGAGGAUAACGGAUCGGAUACGAUCGGAUAUUUGAUGAAACGAUAUCUGCAUUUUUUUUUUUUUUGAAUAUAAAUUCGGAUGGGUAUAUAUUUCAAAUGCUAGAUUUUUGUUAUUAUAUCUACUAAAAAUGAAUUUGGGUACGACCAAAUACUUCGUAGGAUUUGAAUAUGGAUCUGAUUUGUAUUUGGGUAUUAUUUUAAUGAGAAUCAAGACAUUAUUAUUGUUUGGUUUAGAAAAAUUAAAUUGUCCAAAAAAUUUAUUUAAAAUAGAAUCACAAUUUAAAAUAUAAAAUUAGAUUACACACUCAAAAAUAGAAAAUUUAAAAUUUGAAUUUUAAUUCAUUAAUUUGUAUUUGAAAUUUAAUUCUGUAAUUUUGUUAGUUCAAAUUUGAAUUCAAAAUGGUGCAUUUAAUUCACAAUUUAAAUAAUGUCAAAAUUAAAAUUUUAAAAAACUAAAUUUUAAUUAUAGGUUAAAAUCAAACUUUAAAACUAUAUCUAAAUUUAAAAAUCAAACUUAUAAUUAUAUUUAAAAACAAACUACACCCCUGACCUGAGGAUCUAGCCCCAUACCAUGUAAAUUGUGAACUACAUCACACUCUUUGUUAUUCACCUACAAAAUUUAAUUNAAAAAUUUUAAAAAAAUAAAUUUUAAUUAAAGGUUAAAAUCAAAUUUUAAAACUAUAUCUAAAUUUAAAAAUCAAACUUAUAAUUAUAUUUUAAAACAAACUACACCCCUGACCCUGAGGAGCUAGCCCCAUACCAUGUAAAUUGUGAACUACAUCACACUCUUUGUUAUUCACCUACAAUAUUUAAUUAUUAAUAGUAUUCUAGCCUAGUUCCAAUAACAAAUAUACAUAUUAAUUGUUCAUUAUUCAUAUUUGUAUUCAAUUUUUUGGAUAUCCGAACAAUUUUAAAUUCUUUGAAACUAUAUCAGCAUCCGUAUUCGACUUGAUCCAAAUAUUAUUAAAUAUGUAUGUGAUAAGGCCGGAUAUUAUCUCAUCCAUUUUCGACGCUAGAGAUGCAAACGGAGCAGAUCUAGAGGCAGAAAGGGUCCCCACGUCCCGCUCUGUUUCUUGUCAAGUCGAGGUUGAUUUGAAGCAGUUUAACUUUUAUCCUAUUUUGGCGCCCACAUACCGUUCCAUUCGGGGCGAAUCAGGACCGAAACGAACUUUUGGUGGAGUUUACUUUUCACUUGUCUAUUGGUCUUUUUUGAUCCCGCAAAUUCCAACACGAGGCAAGACGAAAGAGUAUACUCCACUACUAGUCCCAAAAGAGACAAAAGAAGAAAGGAUAUAUUGCACUAUUAGCCCUUCAAUUUUUAAAUUCGACUUUUAGAACUCUAAACUUUCAACGAUGUUUCAUUUUCAAUUCUGAACUUUCAGCAAUAUUUUAUUUCAGAUCUCUUUCUCAGAAUAAAACUUAUUGGUUGUACCAAUAGGCAAUAGGCAUCACAAACACGGACACGGACCAGAUGUAUGGAACACGGCACGACUUGGACACGAUGACUAGACAGCUCUAAAAAAUUAAAACACAGACAUGAGAUAGACACCACUAUUAUUAAUAUAAUAAUAUAUAUUUAUUAUAUAGAAAAUAUUAACUUUGUUAAAAUAUUAUUAUAUUUCUGAAUAAAAGUUAAUAAAAUUCUCAUUAAUAUUUGAGAAAAAAAAUUCUCCUUUAUACAUAAUUUAUUUAUAUUGUCCACAAAAAUUUAUAUGCAUUCAUCAAAACGCCAAAAUAUCCAUAAACUUCCAAUAACAUUUUGGUUUAGGUCUCCUACUAGAAUAAAAUUUUUUGUUUGUACCUGCUUCAUCUAUGGCUAUGUUUGUUUCGUCAAAAGUAGAGAAAUAUCCAUUUUCACUGCUUCGUUUACUGCUACUUCACCUUCUGUCGAAACUCAAACUCUCCAAAAUAGCAUAAUUACUUCGUCCCACCUCAAGCCUAAGUUAAUUACGAAAAACAAAAAGAGUAAGAAAAGGAAUAAAAAAAUAUUAAUUUAACUCUCACACUUCUAACAUUUAUGUCAUUAACUUCCUGCUAUAGGAAUAACCAAAAUGGGAGAACUCGAGUUACACAACUAUACAAAUAAACACCAAAAAAAAAAUAAUAAUAUUUUUUACCGGAACUAUAAUUCAUCCGUAAGUCUAUCUAAAUCUGAACUUCACUUUUGGUGAAACAAGAAAGCCCUAUAUGCCUAGACGCCACGACUCUGUGACAUCCCAAUAGUCCCAUAUUGAAUAAGAAUAAGAUUGUGACUGUACAUAUAAGACAUCAUGAAGAUUAAUAAUAAUAAUAAUUAGAUUUAAGUACUUUAAGCAGAUAGUUUGAGUCUAAUAAAUUAUUAUUGCUACCAAGUCGUGUCUAUGUUGUGUACUUCAUCGAUUUUAUACUUCAAAUUUUAUAAAACCAAACAACUUUAUCAAACUUAAAAGUUUAAGGGCCAUAACAAAAUUUGAAUCCAAGUUCCCUGAAAAAUAAGUAUAACAAUUAACAAAGUAGAAUCAAGGUAAUUUUGUCACCCACGCUCAUUAUAUGCGAAAGGAAAUAUAAUUCAUGAGUUUUAAGAACUAAAGUAGGAUCGAACUAGAGAUUGAAUCCAAGUUCUCUUUUUAUUAUCCAUUUUACUAAUUUUUUCGUUAAAUCAGUGACAAAGUUAAAACUAAAUGAUACUAAAGUGAAUAUUCGAUAAACCUAGAUAGGGUAUCUGAAAUUUUUUGUUUAUAAUUUAACGAAAUAUUAAUGGAGGAAAAAAAAAUAAGUGACAAAGUUAAAACUAAAGGGUACUAAAGUAAAUAUUCGAUAAAUCUAAAUAAGGUAUCAGAAGUUUUUUGUAUAUAAUUUAACGAAAUAUUAACAGAGGAGCCGACAAAAAAUGAAAAAUGAAACCACAGAGUACUAAAUUGAUGAACUUUAAACCACAUGAUACUAAAGUAAGAAAGUGUAAAACCACAGAGUACUAAAUUAAUACACUUUAAAUGAAGAGUAUUAAAAAUGCGAAACUACAUGGGUGGUAUUUGAAGUUUUCUCAAAAAAGAAAAAGAAAAGUAGAAACUUCCAAUAGCUCCCAUGCAAUUCAGCAAACUUUUACUUUGUUGUCUAGUGGUUUAAGAAAUUAACGCUUAAUUUGCUCUCCUGUACUUUUUUUAAAAAAAAUUUAUCUAUUGUAAGGACCUGCAGUUAAAUUGGAUAACAAAAUGGUAUAAUUUACAAAUGAUAAGGUAAUAAUAUAAUGAGUCCGGCUGCUAUACUUUUAUGAGUAUAGAGCCUAUUGUACUCAUAAGUUUUUGGCCAUUAGAUCUACCCUUUAAUCAUUUUCAACCGUUAGAUUAUACUAUUAAACCAACCACCCACUCAACCCUAGGGGGUCCACUAUCAAUCUAACCGUAACCACUUUCAUCCUAACCACACAUUUUUUCAUCUGAACGGUCAAAAAUUUAUGAGUACAAAGGGCUCUAUACUCAUAUGAGUAUAGUAGGCCUAGCCAUAAUAUAUAAUACUUUAUAAUUAAAUUACAGUCCGGUAAAAUGGAGCAUAUUACCAGCAAAUAAUUUUAACUUCACUUCUUAUUCUUGUUACAGUUUAGAGCAAAAAAUGUUGCCUAUACCUAUCCAGUGUUAGAUCACACAUUCCAUAUCCUAAUUUCACUCCAAUUAGGGUAAAACCUUUUCUCUAUCUAGGAAUUACACAAUUCGAUUGAAAAUAUGAAGUGAAUGGAACGCUGACGAAUUCAUAGUGCACAAGGUCUCUUUGUUUCAUCCAAAGUGAAAAGAAUUUGAACUAAUUUUUAGCCAUAAAUAUCUACUUUUAUUGUUUGGUUCAUUAAAAAUUAUGUUUAGUCUUUCCAGGUAGUCGUAAUUGGCUUCACUCGGGCUUGUGGUGAAACAAAUUAUGGGAGGAAAAUUGAUAGAAAUUUUUCGCCGAAAGAAUGGGAGAGAUCUACUUCCAAGACAUCAAAAUGAAAAUUUUUGGUGAAACAAAUACAAAAAAUGGGAGAGAUCUAGUUCCAAAACAUCAAACAAACAGCAAUGAAAAAAUAAUUUUUACUUAAACUUCAAUUCAAUUGAAAGUCAUUUUCAAUCUAAAAAUCAGCUGUGGGCAGAGAAACAGAGCCAAAGAUAUGGAUGGAUUAAGUUCAUGCAAUAAUCUUAUCAGUAAAAGUGGAAAGUGAAAAGUGAAAUUUUUCCACAGUAUUUAAAAUGGUAUAAGAGCAGAAGAUCUGAAAUUCGAGUUUCACUUGAUUCCUCAAUUUAUUUAAUUUUCUCUCAAUCAAUUCAAUUUCACGUUUGGGCAUGUUAAAAAGUCUCAAGUGUGGAUUAAUAUAAACAAUAUUGUAAUCGUUUCACUUUCUAAGUAAGCAGAGAUCACAGUGUUGGGCGAUGUAGAUCAUAUCAUCUUUAUCAAUUCAAGUCGAUAGGCCAUAUUCCCAAUGCCACUUUCAUGAAAAAAAAAAAAAAAAAAUUCUGGAGAACAUGCGUGAGGAAUAAUGUUGAGUUCGAAUUCUGCUAGGCGCAUUACUUUGUUUAAUUUUCUCCUAUUAAAUUCAAUUUUACAUUCUAAACUUAUCAAAAAAUCUCAGAUGUUUAAUCUAUUUGUUUCACAUUAUUAAGCUUCUGGAGAAUAAUAAUUAUCGAUAAACUAUUUUACAGUAGUUAUAAAGAAUUAAAGAAGAAAUUGUUGAACAAACGUUGGAAUGCCGUGCCCACAUCUUUUCCUAUCAGGCCAGGAUUGCAUUGCAAACUAGUACAACAAUGACAAGAGUUAAAAAGACUCACUAUCGAUACAUCUAAUUAACAACGUAAAAUUUCUGUUUAUUAUAAAAAUAAAAAGCUAACAAUAAUUACAAAGUUGAUAAAUUUCAAGAACAAAUAUAGGAAAACAGCUAAAACACAGCACAAAUUUUAUUUAUCCACCAUUUCAUAUACUGAUUGCUCAAUUUCCCCACCUCCUCAUCAACCUAGCGUGAGUUAAUGCGACUGCAACAUAAAGCCUAUCAUACAUGGUAUCAAUCAAAUUGAAAUAACCAUACCUGAAAGAUUUGCUGAUUAACAAAGCACCACAAAUCGCCCAAAAUCCCGUGAUAAAUCCCAAAAUCACACUGACAGAGAGCCAUAAUCUUUCAAACUUGUCGAAUCUAUCUGCAGUCCCUUCGCUUAAAUCGUGAACUGAUUCAUUUGUAGAGCAAUUUUUAGUAGUCGGUGGUCCACAAAGAUAUGGAUUGCCAAUGUAAAUGGACGGGUCAGGAAGGGUUUGCAGUUGAUUUCCUGUCGGAAUUGGUCCUGAUAGAUUAUUGUAUGAUAAAUUUAAGUGAUUCAAAUAAGUCAAUGCGGAGAGACUUUGUGGAAUAGUGCCGGAAAGAUUGUUCAUUCGAAGGUCAAGAGAUUCCAAAGACUUCAUUUUGCCGAUAUUCUCUGGGAUAUUUCCUGAUAAAUGAUUUCGCGACAAAUUUAAGUUUUGCAGUGCCCACAAAUCUCCAAUCUCGUCAGGAAUCUCCCCAAAUAAAUUAUUAUCAGAAAGAUCUAUGCUCUCCAUGAGGUCGAGAAUGUUCGAAAAGAGUCGUUCGGCCCCUUUAAUAACAAACAAAAAACUAGCUGAAAAGCCAAAGAAUGUUCCUUGCUCUAAUUCUUCCGUACCUUUUGUCUUUCCACCUUUUUGCAAAGCCAUCCAACUGAAAUUGCCAAUAGACCGGGGUAUAAUUCCCGAUAGAUUGUUAUGAGAUAGAUCCAACACUUGAAGAUAUCUAAGCUGUAGAACUUGUGGGGGAAUGCUACCAGAAAACAUAUUUGAAUGCAAGCCAAGAAUCAUGAGGGAUGACAAAUUUUUUUCACCAAUCCAUGUUGGUAUUGCUCCGGAGAACUUGUUAUGCCCAAGGUCAAGAAAAAUUAACUGUCUACAAUAUUGCAAGGAAGAAGGAAAUUCUCCUGACAAGCUAUUGUUGUCCACAUUUAAUAAUGACAAACCAUCUAAAUGACAAAUAGAGUCAGGGAUGCUCCCAGAAAGAUUAUUGUUGGACACAUCUAUAAUAAAUAGACUCAUCUCUUGUAUUCUCCCUAAACAUUGAGGAAGUUCUCCAGAUAGGUUGUUCCUUGAUAGAUCGAGAAGCAUUAAUUCAAGUGAUUUGCAUAAAGAGUGUGGUAUAGUACCAUCAAAACUAUUAUUAGAGAGAACCAAGUAAUUUAAAUCUGGUAAUAUAGAGGAUGGUAAUGGACCUUCAAAGAAAUUAUUAGAGAGAUCCAAAAACAUAAUAGUAGGCGGUAAAGACGGCAAUGGGCCUUCAAAUUGAUUAAAGCUCAAAUUCAACGAGUUUAUCAUCGUUCGGUCCAAUGGUAAUGGCAAAUUCCCCUUGAUCUGAUUAUUGGAUAAAUCUAAAAUUUCGAGUUGUGUCUGUCCUUGCAUCCAAGUUGGAAAUUUCUGUGCCAGCCGGCACGACGCCAAUCCAAGUUCUUUGAGUUGGAAAGAAGGAACCCAAUUAUCACUAAAUUGAACCGUUAUGGAGUUAUUUGAAAGGUAAAGUUCUUUUAUUCCUCCAAGAUAAUUAAGUUGGACCUCAGAUAUUACACCCUCUAAUGAAUUACUAGAAAGAUCCAAAUAUGUAAUAUUAGGAAGCCUCCAUACUCCUACUGGGAUGGUACCGGUGAGUGAGUUGUGCCUCAAAUCUAUAGUAGUUAGACUCAUCAUUUUUUCUAGCCAUCCUGACAAAUUCCCGUUUAAAUUGUUUAGCGGCAAAUACAAGUUUUGUAGCUUAUAAAUUGUGCAUCCUCCCAACGGGUCGAUCCAUUCUGAAAUAUCCCCACUGAAGCCAAUUUCGUCCAAAUCCAAAGUAAUCAAGUUGCAAAGCUUGCGGAAUGCUCUUGAAGACAUACCUUUGAAAUUAUUACCAUGUAACGAAAGAACAUUGAGGGAUUCCAAGCAGCUAAAUUCAUCAUGAAUAAAUCCAUGUAAUGUGUUGUAUGAAAGGUCCAGAUGAGUGAUGCGACUAAGAUUCCACAGCCAUUUAGGUAAGGUAGAGUUGAUGAGGUUAACACUUAGAUCAAGCACUUUGAGAGAUGUAAAGUUGACGUACGACAGAGACGUGGGAAUUCCAGAAAGAAAACAGUCUUCCAAAUGAAGCACUUCUAAGGAUGGAAGCAUGUUUACUACUUGGAGCCAAUUUGGAACUGUACUCAAAUUCACUAUACUCAUAUCAAGAUACUUCAAAGAAGACAGAUGGGUGAGCCACCACAUGUUAUCUACACUAAUCAGGGGAAAAAUAGAAUUUUGUGCAUUGAGAUCGAGAUAGCGGAGAUUUGAUAGAUUUCCAAGUUGAGCAGGCACGAUUCCAUUGAACCAUGCAUUGGAGAGGUUAAGAUAUUUCAACUUUUGCAAAGAACCUAUAUGCGUGGGAAUGCUGUUACCGUAAAAAUUAUUCAUGCUAAGAUCUAAAUGCUUUAGAUCACUCAAAAGAGACAAAGAUGGUUUGAUCUCACCACUCAAUGAUAAAUUUCCAAGUUUGAGCUUCACAACAUGGCUCGUCGUAUUGCUGCAGAUGACUCCCGCCCAUUUACAACAAUCGCGGCCUUCCCAUGAAGACAAGAAGUUGUAUGGAUCGGUUAGACCAGCUUUAAAGCUGAGAAGUGUGUUUCUCUCUCUCUCAAUGCACCCCAUUGCCCUAAUUGCUUGGAUACCCAGAAUCAAAAGCAAGAAAGAAAGAAUAAAAGAAGCCAUGCAUGCUAUGUUUGCUCCAAACAAAUGGGCUAGUAAUUGGUUGUUGAGUGCAUACACACUCACACAAAUUGCCACACUAUUUAUUGAUGAGAACGUGAAAACAACCUUUAAAUUUUAGCAUAGUAUUCUUCGAAAGAGUCUUCUCUGUAACAUAUAUAUAUUUAUUAAUUAUAGGAAUAUAGGCUUACUUGGAAAGUGUAAUAGAUAUACUCUAUCCGUACUAUAAUUCUAGUGAGCUAUAUAAGAUCGCAAAGAACAAAUUAAAAAUAAUACAAUUACUUCAUAUUGUAUUAUAUUUUACAAAAAUUCUGUUAUUAUAUUUGCAUACGCUAUAUAUUUUACUUUUUAAUUAUAUGUUAUUAUUUUAAUAUAGACGGAGAAUAGUCUCGUUUACUUUGGUCGAUGGGGUUGCCCUCGUAUUUAAUCCAGUGAUGCAUGACAUUAUUCAUUUGAAAUUUUUGGCGUAGAUUUUUCGAUUCCAACUUACCUUUCACAUUUACGGUGGGAUAAGUAAUUAAUUAAUUUAUUAUUUUAAGUAGACUUUUCUUGUUGGGUGGUGUAUAUAUAAGCAUAAAGUCACUUUUAUGUAUGCAUGUGCAGUUGCGUUUGCCCAGAAAUUAUUGCAUGCGCAUGGUGUAUGGAUACGCCCCAUAAACCUAUGGGAUAAUUUUGAUAAAACAUCAGUUGGAUCUCCCCAACGAGGCCUCACUGGGGAGCCCUCGAUCCUCUGCUGCCAUGUGUUAAUUUUAUCUGGAUCCAAGUUGCAUGGUACACAAGAUGUUUAUAAUACUUAAAUAAAGAAUAAGAUAUUUUUUAACUAUAGAGGAAAGAAUUAUAACCCUCGGUAGAGACAAAACUCAGCAAAUCGAUCGGGCUCCUUAUAAACGAGGUUUUGUCGGAGAGUUCCUCACUGAAGUUUUUUUGGAUAAUUUCUAAGGUUUUUAAAUCUGAUACCAAUCACGACCCGAAAAUAAUGCAGGAUCACGAAUCACUAGUUGAAAUAGAGGUUCGACUGCUGGUUUGAAUGAUUUCAGCACAAUGUUAUGAACAUCUAGUUGUUAAUUUUUAAUAUUUAUAUAAUAAAAAAAUAUAUAUUGUUUAAUAUAUUUAUGUUAUUUUUAUGAUGAACCUGCAUUUGUACGUACCCUUGUAAAGUUGCGAAAAUUUCUAUGUGCUCUUCAUUUCAAAUAUACCCCUAAAAAGUUUUUUUUUAAUUUAUAUUACCCUAUUUAUUGCAAAAACAUUGGGUUUUAGGAAGGAUAUAUAUAUAUAUAUAUAUAUAGAGAGAGAGAGAGAGAGAGAGAGAGAGAGAGAGAGAGUAGGACUGCUGUGCUUUAAGGAGCACGAAGGCCUCCGUGCUCCUGUGCCGUUUUCGAUAUAUGAUGACUAAUUUGCUUGUUAUGCUUAAUUUGCUUCAAUUAAACGAGCUACUUGAAUGAAUGCACUCUCACACAAAUAUUGCUAGACUAUUUAUUGACGAGGCCGGCCUUGGAAACAACCUUCCUAGAAUUUAGCAUAUCACUUUACCAAAAAAUCUUUUCUGUAACAGACAUUUUACACAGAAAUAUCCUUAUGUCAUUAGCUAAUCUGGUCCCAAUUCCUGGAAUAAUCCGUUAGGGGUGGGGUUAACAAACACCAUUCUUUGAAAAUCUUGUUUGGGGACUAAGGGAGGAAUAACCCCUUAUCCCCCCCUCCUAACACCCAACCAAACACCACCUUAAGGUUUGUAAGAAAGUUGAAAACUUCAUAGGACUAUACAGGCAAUUGCCCUAUUUUUAAAUAUUAUUGUACUAUAUAUAGAGUUAAACUUAUAUCUAAAUUGCAUAUUGUUAAAAAAAUAAUGCAUAUUUAUAAUUAAUAAUUAAUUAAAAUAUAUAACAAACAUAAAUUCGUCUGAUUUUUGUAAAAUUAGAUAGGUUCACCUAUUCACCGGUUGAAGCACCGAACGGGUCAAAAGGGACACGGAUUUUAGAAAAUUAAAAUGAGCGAGACAUUAAUCACAAGAAAUAAAAUGGUCAUAUUAUGACAAUUUACAUUAUGUUAACACUUCUACAACAGUUUUUAGCAUGCUAUCCGUUUCGUUUAUUUCAUUUAAAAAUAAACUUAGUUAGAAAUAUGAAUCAACUAGGAUUCGAACUUAGGACCUCGAAUACCAAUAAACUUAGUUAGAAAUAUGAAUCAACUAGGAUUCGAACCAUCAAGCCAUUUGCCAUUUGCACUAGGAACAGGCAGUACACUUGUACAAAAGUUUGAAAACAAAACCUGCAGGGACCACGUUGCAAUAUCAAAAUAUAUAGUACUGGGACCAUGCCAUACGUUUUUCUCUUUAGCAUAGUCAAGUCAACAUGAUAGCUAGGCUCCCUUCAAUGAAUCAAAUUAAGCACGGCAACGACUCAGGUCAAAUAAAAUUUCACUUUUUCCAUUUUAUUUACAAAAUUUAAUAAGUGCAUAGAAACAUAAGAGUCGUCUUAUUAAAUUCGCGUCGUUUCUAAAAUAGAUGGACAGUGUGAUUCAAGUAUCAUUCAAGUAUUAGAGGAGAUUCACGAUGAGUACCUAAUCACUUCUUUUACUAUUAAAAAAGUGGAUAUCCUCUUUUAGAAAUUUGUGAAGCAUAUGUUAGCACAACAUUAUUCAAAGAGUCAAGGAUUAAGUGUGGACUAGUUUUGCCCGAAUGUGAAGUUACGAUUGAAAUCGAUUUUUAGUUGAACAAGUGAAUAUUUUUUCUUUCCUAUUGUUUGUUUCUAUUAUCACGCGCGGAGCUAAAGUUUCCUUAGUCCUAUAAUUUGUUUGCUAAAAAGUCAAUAACGUAAAAACUAAAAUUCUCAAUUUUCUAUACUUAUUUUAUCGAAAACUGUAUAAUUCCUACCUUUAAUUAAUAUUAAAGGGGCAAAAAUAAGUUUCGCCACAUUAGUAUUUUAUUAGUUUUUUUCUCUCUCUUUUUCUGAUCUAUAUUUGACUUGGGCCAACGGUGAGCCAAAAUCAGUUACAUUAUUUAAAAAAGAAUUAUUAUAUCACUAGCUAAAACUUUAUAUUUUUUGCAAUUAACCACGUAAGUAUAUAUCCAUACAAAUACAUAAUUUGAUGAUUGUAAUAGUAGACGUGGCAAAAAUUUAUGCCUCCACGUCAUUCAUUUUCUCUUUUCUGCCUAAAGCCUUUUUUUGCCUUUUCUGACUAUUCCUUUUUCUCUUCUGCGUAAAGUCUAACCUAAAAACUCUAAACCCAACCUAAAAUCUAAUUUUACUCUCUUUCUCAUUCCAAAAAAUUUUGAUUCCUUUCCGAGGUUGGACCAAAAGUUGGACCAAAUUGGACCAUUUUUCAAGACAGGUGCUUAUUCCCGAGGUUUAGCCCCCUUCCCCCCUCUCUCUCUCUCUCUCUCUCUCUCUCUCUCAUCUGUUGGCUCCCAGUUUUCUCUCUCUCUGAUAUGCUGGCUCCUCAGUUUCUCUCUUUUUUCCCCCUCUCCUAUGCUCUCUCUCUCUCUUCCCUUCUCCUCUAAAUCUUAGCCCCCCUUUCUCUCUCGCUGCCGCCCGAGGUCGGCGUGGGCAGCGGGGGCGUCGAGGGCGGAGAUGUCCGCCGCCGAGGGGAGGGCCGACGCGCGGGUGGAGAUAGCGCGGCUGCGAGAGGGAGUAGUUGUUAAGUAGCAGGACUUGGUGUUGGUUGAGUCGCAUCGUGGGCACUUGAGCGACUGAGCGACGGAUCUGGCUGCGGAAUCUUCGCGAGACGAGCGCAGUGCGCCAUCGAGCCAGGCCGGGUAGGGCCGCCGGCCGCACCUGCCAUGCUCGGGGCCUGAGGAGGCGGAGGCGGAGGCGUUCCCCUUCCUCCAGAUGGCGUUCGCCCAGGAGGAGAAGGGGCCGGGGCCGGGGCGACGCGCGGCGAAGAUCCCGUGGUGGAUCAGGAAGACGGCGUCGAUCUGUCCCAUCUACGGUGGCUCGCGCGUGUUGCUCGCGUGGUUCGCGGGGGAGGAGGCGCUGCAGCUGGAGGCGCUGGACGACGAGGACGUCAUCUGCGGGUCCCACGCCACGAUCGAAGGGUUCCUGCCGCUCCAUGUCGACGGCACCACCUGCAACGGGACCGGCCCGAGCCCGAGUCGAUGGAUGAUCGCGCGGGUGAGGCGGAGCCGGUGGGGGACGGACCCGCUCUUCCUCCGGACGUACAGCUGUGUGGCCGUAGGAUCGAACGGGGACGACCUGGAUCUGAUGGCGGAGCCUCUGCUACGUGGAGUGGGGGAGUGGGGGCGGCGCCCCUACAAAUACUGUUCGGUGGUGAGGCGACACACCGGACGCAUUACUCGACGACACACGGGACGUAUUUUAGCGACAUUCGGGAGGCCAACAGGCUGCUACAGCACUACAACCAACAUUGUUGAUCAGUUUGGAUUUGAUAUUAAUAUUCCACUAUUAGAUUUAUCAAAUCUAAUUAAGUUCCACUGUUAAUCAAUAACAAAAUCUCAACCAACAUAUGUAUACAUUAAUCAUACUUUCGAGACAAUAGACGUGGCAUAAUUUUAUGCCUCCACGAUCCUUUCAUUUUUUUUUCUUUUGUUUCUUCUGUCUAAAACCCAACCCAGCCAAGAUUUGACUCCUUACUAAGAUUUGAUCAAAUUGGUUUCCAAGAUAUUAGUUCCUUAUCAAGAUUUGAUCAGAUUGGUUCUAAAAAUACUCUUGAGGUUUUUCAAGACAGUUCCAACUUCCCAACGUUUGACCAGAUUUGACCAAAAUGAAUCAUUCUUUUUCUCUUAUUUUUUUGUUACUCUACUCCGUCUUGUCUGUUUUCUUCUUUUCGAGAGUGUAUCUCAUAUACACUAAAAAAAAGAAAAAACGAUCACAACUUUUUAUCUGUUUUUAUUUUUUUUAUUUCUGAUAUUUUUUUUUAUUUUUCUCAACAGAAAGUUUAAAAUACUUUUUUUUUAUAAUAAAAAAUAUUAUUAUCUAAGUAAACCUCAGAUUUUUUUUUUCUUUAAUUUUUGUUUUUUCUGUCACAAUUUUUUUAAAGCAUAUGAUCCAAUUUUUAUUAUUUAAUUAUAAUUUUUCUUAACUAAAAAUACAAUAUCUAGGUGAAUCUCUUUUUGUUAAAUAGAAAAUGAUUACAUGCUCCACAAUUUCUUUGGGGUACAUGUAUUCUUCUUCUUAUCUUGGUAAAAAAAAACACAACAUUUAGAUAAAUCUUUUUUUUGUUUACUUACUUUUAACUAUAAUUCUUUUGUUUUAUAUUUUAUUUAACUAUAAUAUAAAAUUAAUCCUUAAUCGCAGCGAAGCGCGGGUUCUAUACUAGUAUUCCAUCAAUUUAAAGCGAUUAACAUUAGUCAAAUUAUUAAGAAAUAAUAAAGAGCACAUGCCAGCUAUAUACAUGAGUCUCAAAUCAGCGUUUCUUAUUUGAUAUAGCUUAAUGAACUUAAAAAGAUUCAGCUGAUUUUUUAAAUAAAACAGAUCAAUUCAUCAAUUUAUUGGUGAAACCACGAAUGGGUCAAAUUGGGUUUUAAGCCUCUGGUUUUUCUAGGUUGAACCAAACUAGUUUGGACACUAGAUCAUAGUUCGAUAAGAGCGACUAACCGGUGAGAACCAAAUUUUAAAAUAUUAAUAAUUUCAUUUGUAUCUACUAUCUAAUUAAUCCAUAAUUACAUAAAUGUUUAUCUCAAACUAUCAAUAUUAAAAUAUCUCUAUAAUUUAAGAAAAAUAUCAAAAAAACUGGUGAAAAUUAUCUUUAAUAUUUACCAAAAUUUUCAGUUUACCCUUUAUCUAUUAUUAAUAAAUUUUUAAUAUAUACAAAAUUGAUACUAAUUCAUUGAAACAAAUUAAACGAUAUAAAUACUUGACAAAAAAUAUCAAUUUAGUAUAAACAAAGUAAACUAAAGAAUUUAUUUCCUAAAAAAAUAUAUUAUAUUAGUUUUUAAUUUACCAUUUUUAUUUAAGAAUUACAUAAGGACCGGACAACAUUAAAUUAAACAAAAAAUUAAACUUGAGUAGACGAAAAGGAUUUUCAAAGAUUAAAUCAUGAGUAUGGACUUGCAGGGACCAACCUGCAAUAUCAAAAUAGUACAGGGACUAUCCCACUGGUUUUGCUCUUAUUAAAGCAUUGCUAGUCAAGUCAAUAAGAUAGACACCUUUCAAUGAAUCAAAUUUAUAAACACGGCAAAGACUCAGGUCAAGUGAACUUUUAUAUUUUUUCAUUUUAUUUACAAAAUUUAAGAACUGCAUAAAAAAUGAGAGUUGGAUCCUCUUUUAGAAUUUUAUGUAGCACAUGGUAGCAAAGAUUAUUAAAAGAAUCAACGAUACAGUGCGUGCUAGUUUUGCUGAAAGAGAAAUUUAGACUGAAAUAAAUUUUUAGUCGAACUAAAGUUUAAGUGAAAAUUUCUUUCCUAUUAUUUGUUUUCAUUAUUGUGGAGUUGAAGUUUCUUUAGUUGCUUGUCAAAAGUCACCAACGUAAAAGUAAUAUGCGUGUAUCAUUUAUCAAACAUAGUCUACUAUUGAUGGUUUCGACAAUCAAAAAUAUUUGAAGUUUAAAAUUAUUUAUUCUAAAAUGGUAUCUAACCAAACUAAAAAUUCUGAAAAUGUAAUUCCACAUUUAUUGUCCCUAACGCAAGGGGCAAAUGGCUUGAUGGUUGGUACCCGAGGUCUCGAGUUCGAAUCCUAGUUUAUUCAUAUUUUUAGCUAAAUUUAUUUCUCAAUGAAAUAAAUAAAACGAAUAGCAUGCUAUCUAUCUCUCAAAAAAAAAAAAAAAAAAAAAAAAAAAANGCAAGUCUUGAUCCAAUCUCACUAGGGACUGUGAACACACCCGUCCCGCUUGUCGAAGCGAACCCGUAUUGUAGUAUCCUUAUAUAUAUAUAAUGCCACGUGCCUCCAUGCAUGUAUUUCAUGCUUAUCUAAUUAGGGGGUUGUACAUGCCUCCUUACUUAAAAUAUCCUCCCUCUCUGUCUCUGGAGCCAUACGCGAGGAGGAGGAGCUUGGGUGGAGCGUUCGUCGCCGACGUCGCAUCGCCGAGCCGUUUGAGCGCACGUUUGUCGCCGUAGCGUCGCGUGGAGGCCGGGCGAGGGUGCGUUUUUAUCGUCCUCAAUGUCGCACCGGCGCUGGAUUCGCUGUCGAUGUGGGUACCUAACUUUCCUCCUUGGAUUACUUGAACGCACGGUUUUGAGCUCGCGUGCUGAUUUUACUGAUUUUCAGCAUCGACCGUCAGUGUUUUGGCUCGUACUCGGCGUAGGAACGUCGGAUUUCGACGGGACUUGGUUCGUUGGAUUCAGAACUUCGAGAGGAAUCCACGAAGCCCUUAUUUGCUGGAUUUGGUGAAGGUUUGCUAGGUCGUAUCCCUAUUUCUUUCUGCUGCUGCUGUUUUGGGUAGAAUUGAUGCUUAAUAUGGGUUUCUAUGUUUAGACCCGUGGAGCGUGUUGUCGUUGGUUCGGGGAGCUACGCCGAGCUUGACAGGGACUCCGGUGACCUUCUUCACCAUCGGGGAUUUGCGAUUAAGGUGGGUUAAUCAUCGGUUUACUCCUAAGUGCCUAUAUAGUCGACAUGUAAUUGUGGAAUUAUCUUGUGUGGCGCAAUUACUCGGUUCAUUGAUUUAGUAUGGUUAAUAAUCUGAAUUGGAGCUGAGUUAUUAUCUUUGGAUAUAUAUAUACAUGUUGGACUUGGAUAAGACUUAGGAGAAAACUCGCGAUUAUGAUCGUCAUAUAUUUAAACUACCUGAUUUAGCCCUAGGAGCCGUUGUAUUAUUUUAUACUGUAACAGUAUCUCCAUAGUGAGUAUUCCAGAUAGUUUAGCUUUCAGUUACGCUCGUGCCGGGAUGCCGAAUAUAUUUUUACAGUAGCGUUCAGGCUGUUCCGGACUGUUGGGUGCCGUCGGGGUUGACGGUGGACCCGUAUCGCCUUUUUGGCGUCGGAUUGUGCCGAGAGCACGUUACCUGUUGGUUGUUAGACCAGUUUGAGUCGGUUACUGGACUUUGGCUUUUGAGAGCCGAUUGAGCUCGACAGAGAUACGCUGCAUACUCGGUUGGGUAGCUCCCACGAGUGCCACUCCGAAAACGGGCGUUGUGUUUUCGCGUUGGUGUCGCUCAUGCCGGUUGGACUUGCUCUCCACGGACUAGUAGUGUGGAGGUAGCUGGAUAGUCACAACUAGGCAGGGACGGCUGUGUUCACAGUCCCAGGGACGGGUAUGCUUACAGUCCCGAUUGGAUUGGGUCAGAUUUGACAUUUUCUAUAGUUGGUUAGUGUAGAGCAUGAUAGUGUAGUGAUAAAUAGCGGUAGAUUUUAUUCCUGUAUUUACUACUAUCCUGUCUCCCUUCUGUAGAUUUCGUGGGUGGACCGAUGUUGUUUAGGGCCGCACCCACUGAGGACUACUUGUUUUUACAGUAGUUCUCACGCCAAGUUGUUACCCCUGUUUUGCAGAGCCACAGGUUUCGGCUGCUGCGCCUUCCGCGGAUCAGGAUCGAGGCAAGGGCGUCGCGAGUUAGAGCCCUACCCGACGAGCUGAGCUAGAGGCACUCCUACUGCAGGUAGACGUUUUGUUUCAAGUUUAUGUACAUAGCAUACUUAACUCGCCAGUGCGAGUAGCUCUGUAUUUUGGAUUUGGGCUAUGUAUAUGAAACUUAGUUUGUUUAGUAUUUGUCUACUCGAGCAGCUCUAUACUACUGUUUGUAGUAUUGUAUGCUUACAGGUACUGUUGUCGCAUCGUAUACAGGAAAAAUUUCUUUGUAUACGGCGGAUUUGUCGGCGUGCCUGGGGAACGAGACAUCCGGGGCGUGAUAGUCUAAACACCCCAAUAGUCCCAUAUCAGGUAGGAAUAGAGUUGUGACUGAGUAUAUAAGAGACCAUAAACAAUAAUAAUUAAUAAUUGGAAAAACUUCNUAACAUGUUUGUAAUUGCAUAAAUGUUUGUCUUAAACUCUAUUCGUGGUUUCAACCAAAAGUUUAUAAUAUUAAUAACUUCAUUUGUAUCUCCCUUCUAAUCCGUAAUUACAUAAAUGUUUGUCUUAAAUUAUCAAUAUUAAACAUAUCGCUACAAUUUAAGGAAAAUAUCAAAAAACGUAGUGAAAACUAUCCUUAAAAUUUACCAAAAUUUCACUUUAAUUACGUACCCUUUAUCUAUUAUUCAUAAAUUUUUAACUAAAUUUAGUAUCUUUACUAACUUUAAAAUAUUAUAAAUUCAGUUGAAUAUAUACAAGAUUGAUACUAAUUCAUCAAAACAAAUUAAACUACGUAAAAACUUGACAAAAAAUAUCAGUUUAAUUUAACCAAAGUAAACUAAAGAAUUUAGUCCCUUAAUAAAAGUGCAUAUUAUAUAUUAGUUUUUAGUUUACCAUUUCUAUUUAAGAAUAACAUGAGGACUGAACAAUAUAUUAUUCAUAAUUAGGGCAACAAAACUUGCAGGGACCAACCUGCAAUAUCAAAACAGUACAGGGACUAUCCCAUACUUUUUUCUCUUUAGCACAGUCAAGUCAAUAUGACAGAGACCUUUCAGUUAAUGAGUCAAACAAUUAAACAGCACAAAGACUUAAUUAGGUCAAGUAAACUUGUACAUUUUCCAUUUUAUUUAUGAAAUUUAAUAAGUGCAUAAAAUUAUAUAAGUGUCCUUUUUCUAAAUUCGUUGUUUUUCAUAAAAUAGAUGAACUGUGUGAUUGAAAUGUGAGAUGAGAUUCACGAUGAGUCACUAAUCAUUUCUUUUACUACUGAAAAAGCGGAUCCUCUUUCAGAAGUUCGUGAAGUACAUGGUAGCAAAGCAUUACUAAAAGAAUGGGUUAGUUUCAUAUAGUUCCUGCAAACAAAAUAAUUACAAAUAUAUUUUUAUAAAGUUCAAUUUUUAUAUGUUGUUUUUUUAAAAAAUUUUAAUAUUUUCAAAUAUAUCCGUCUGGUUUAUUACUGUUAAACCACUGUUUAUUUUAUAACUGAAAUGACCUUUUUGCCAUCAUAGAUAUGUCCCUCUAAAAAUUUCAACUGUUAAUUAAAAAUAGGUAAAAAGGUCAAUUCACCUCAUUGAUUAAUUAGGAUUAUAAGUAUUUUACAUAUAGUUAACUAAUUUUUUCUAACAAAUCUUAACGGUUAGGAUAUAUCUGAAGAUAUUAGGUCUUUUGCAGGGAAUUGUAUAAAAUUAACCUCUAAAAGAAUCAGCGAUUAAGUGCGUGCUUGUUUUGCCGACAGUGUUGUUUAGAUUGAAAUAGAUUUUAAGUCGAACCGGAGUUUAAGUGAAAUUUUUUUUUCUAUUAUUUAUUUCCAUUAGUGUGUAGUUGAAGUUUUUUGAGGUUUAUUAUUUGUUUGCCAGAAAGUCAAUGACACAAAAGUUGAAAUUUUUAACUUUUUACAUUUGUUUCACCUAAAACUAUUCAAUUCGCACAUAUUAAUAUCAAAGGGGGGAAACAAGUUUUCCACAUUAAUUUUAUUAUUUUUUUCUCUCUUUUUUUUGUUUUUGAUUUCAACCCGUGGUAAGGCAAAGUCAAUUAUAUUAUUUGGGAGAGUUUGAAUUACAACCGAAUUCAUAUUGCAACGAGGCAAACCUUGAAGGUGGGUAUUUAUGAUCGAAAAUCACUUCAUUCCUCUCCACUUUCGGCGAAGCAGACACACUGUUAAUUUAUUUCUUUGCUACAAAAAUUUGGUGCUCUGGGGAAUUAGGAAAAGAAAAAAAAUAAUACUAUAUAUGUAAUCAAACUUCAGGGUCUAUAAAAAUGUAAUUCAGCGCUAGUUAAUUACUAUGAAUUCCAUAUUCAAAUGGGUUCAGAUACAUAACCUUAAUUUAGCCGUUUUGUAAAACAGUCCCUUGAACUUUCAAUUCUCUCAAUCACAUACCUUUUAUAAUUUUAUGAAUUACUUAUCUCUACAAACCUAAUUAACAUAUUUUAUUCAAUUCAUAUUACUCCGCAAAUUCAUAAUUAACUUAAAUUUUAUACUGAAAAAAUCAUAAAGUGACUUGAAUCACCAAAUUGAAAGGUCACAUACUGAAAAUCAAAAUUUUGAUAAGUUAGGUAUUCGAUUGAAAAUGGGAUAUAGUUCAAGCAAGUUUUGUAAACUUUUAUUUUUAUUUUGUUUUCAGGAAAAUAAUUUAAAAGUUGAAUAUGAUACUUCAUGUUUUAAACAUUAAUUUUUAACACUUCUUAUAUAAACUUCUUGAUCGGCGAAAUGAAUAAGAUGCCCCGAACAAAUAAUUUUUACACCCAACAAGGUUUGUACGUUAAAUGUAUAUGACAAAAUUAAGAAUCGUGCAUGAGUUUUGAAAAUACUGGUGUAAAAGAAAAGCACUCAAAACAACAAGUCCAAUACUUACCAGUAUGGGAAACUCCAAUUAAGCACCCUAUAAUAUAGCAUAUUUGUAACUCACUACCGCAUAGUUUAUAUAAUGUAGUAUUUUCCUUAAGAUGGCACUAAAAAGGUGGCAAAAUGUUACAUUUUACUACGCUAUAGUUUAGGACACUCUUUUUAAAAGCAAGUCCUCAUAGGAACUAAACUAAAAACAACCCACACAAAAGGUGCUUCUUUCUAAACUACAAUAUAGACCAAAAAUAUUCUACACCACGUACGGAAGGGCAUUUUUAAGUUUUCCCUCUAAAUAUUCAAAAAUUUUGAAAUACCAUGUAAUUUAUUUCUCAUAAUUAAUGCUACUAUUGCAAUGAAAUUAUACAAAACAGAAGUGAAAUACUAAAAAGACCAACCACACCUUACAUUAAUAAAGAUGCUACUCUUCCAACUACCUCAUCUCCUAUAUCUUUGUCUUGGUCUAGCCAAAGUUACUUUAGUUACAAUACAAAGCUGGUCACAUACAAUAUCAAUCAUAGAGAAAUAAGCAUUCCUCCAAGCAUUAUUGAGCAACAAAACCCCACAAAAAACUGCUAAACCGAAUAGAUAUCCCAGUACAACACCAAAGUAUAUCCAUAGCCACUCAAACUUAUCCUUAGGGCCUUCAUUAUCCUCAUAAUUUAUUUCAUUUGCAGAACAAUUUCUCGUACUCGGUGGCCCGCAGAGAUAUGGAUUGCCGAUGUAAAUGAAUGGAUCGUCAAGGGUCUGCAACUGAUUUCCUGUUGGAAUUACUCCCGAGAGAUUAUUAUACGACAAAUUUAAGUGGCUCAGAAAAGUCAGUGCCGAAAGACUUUGAGGAAUAUCACCGAAAAGCUUAUUCAUUGCAAGGUCUAGAGAUUCCAGUGAUUGCAUUUCACCGAUUUUUUCUGGAAUAUGUCCAAUCAAAUUAUUCCUAGAUAAGUUUAAAUAUUGUAGUGUAUGCAGAUCAGUAAUCUCAUCCGGGAUCUCCCCACUUAGAUUGUUGUCUGAAAGAUCUAUGCUUUCAAAUAGAUAGAGUAUCUUCCAAAUUGGAAGCUCCUCUCCCUUAAUAUCCAAGGAUAUACUAACUGAAUAAUAUACACUGAUAUUAUUAAUUCUAUCUGUUCUGCCUUGUUUUAAAGCUUUCCAGCUGAAAUUGCCGAAGGAUCGUGGUAAUGGUCCUGAUAAGUUAUUCCUAGAAAGAUCCAAAACUUGGAGAGAGCCAAGUUGUGCAAUUUGCUCCGGAAUGCCGCCAGAAAACAUAUUUGAACGUAACUGAAGAACCAUAAGAAGAGUUAAACUUUCCCCGAUCCAAAAUGGUAUUGUUCCAGAAAACUUAUUAUAUCCGAGAUCAAGGAUAACCAAACCUGUGCAAUUUUGCAACGAAGGAAAUUCUCCAGAGAAACCAUUACUAUUAAAUUUUAGCAGCGAAAUAUAUUUCGACGAGCAAAGGGAGUCAGGGAUCCUCCCAACAAGAUUAUUUGUUGACACAUCUAUAACAGAAAGGUACUCUUGUGACUUCCCGAUACAUUCAGGAAUUUCUCCUGACAAGUUGUUGUUUGAUAGAUCGAGAACUCCCAAAAAAGUUGAUUCACAUAGAGCAGAUGGUAUACGACCACCAAUGUCAUUAUUUGACAAGAAUAAGUAUUCUAUCUGUGGCAAUACAAUGUUUGGAAGUACUCCAGUGAAAAAAUUAUUGGAGAGAUCAAUGAUUAGAAGAUUAUGUGGUAGAGAUGGUAGCGGGCCUUCAAAUUGAUUUGAGCUCAAAUUCAAGUACCAUAGCUUUGUAGAGCCCAUCAAUAAUGGCAAUCUCCCUUUGAUUUGGUUUUCGGAAAGAUGUACAUAAGAAAUAAAAUGAGACAUAUUUCAAAACCAGCUAGGAAGAGUAUCUGCAAUUUUGCUUUUUGACAAAUCCAGCCCUUCAAGUUGCGAUUGACUUUUGAGCCAUGCUGGAAAAUUGGGACCCAGUUGGCAGGAGGCUAGAAAAAUCUCUUUAAGUUGGAAAGGAGGAACCCAAUCAUCGUGAACUCGCACAGUGAGAGCAUUCAAUGACAAGUCUAAGUAUUGUAUUUUUCUUAGAUAAGAAAGUUCGACAUCAGAUACGACACCCUCCAAUGAAUUAUUAUAUAGAUAUAGAUAAAUUAAAUUUGGAAGUUUCCAAACUCCUGCAGGAAUUGAACCACUGAGCAAGUUUGAACCGAGAUUUAUGUCUGUGAGGCUAUUCAUUUGUUCGAGCCAUCCUGAUAAAUUCCCUCCGAGGUUAUUGUCAUUGAGAUAUAAAGUCUGUAAAUUGUUGCGCACACAUCGUGGUAGCAUCUCAACCCAUUCCAUGAUUUCCCCACCAAUAUUGAAACUUGACAAAUCUAGUGAACGCAAGUUGCAUAAAUAUCUUAAUGCUUUCGGAUUCAUACCUUUAAAACCAUUAUAUCCUAGGAAAAGAUUAUUAAGAGUGCUCAAACGUAGAAACUCAUCAGAAAUAACACCAUGAAACUCAUUGGAGCUUAAGUCAAGAUAAGUGAUGCUUGUAAGAUUCCGCAGCCAUGGAGGUAAGGUGGAGUUUAUGGAGUUACCUCCAAGAUCAAGCACAUUGAGAGUUGUAAGAUUGAAAUGUGACAGAGAUGUAGAAAUGCCAGGAAGUGAACAGUCAGCCAAAUGUAACACUUUCAACGAAGGAAGCAUAUUUACAGCAUGCAACCAACCUGUAGAAGUAUUCAUAUUCACAAUGCUCAAAUCAAGAUAUUUCAAGGAAGAUAAACGAGUGAGCCACAAUAUGUCAUCUAUUCGAAGAUUCCUCGGAUAAAUGAAUUCAGAAUUUAAAUCAAGGUAGUGAAGUUUCGAGAGAUUUCCGAUUUGAGGAGGUAUUGUUCCACUGGAAUACGAAUUAGCGAGGUUGAGAUAUCUCAAGUUUUUGAGUGAACCCAAGAAUGUUGGGAUGCUGGUUCCACUGAAAUUGUUCAUGCUGACAUCUAAGUGCUCUAAAUUGGUUAAAAGAAGCAAAGAUGGAUUGAUCUCACCGCUCAAACAUGGGCAUUCCUCGAUGAAUAUAUAACACGAGUUUCUGUUUCGGAGGUUGAGUUUCACAACAUGGCCCGUGGCAUUGCUACAGGCGACUCCCCUCCAUUUACAGCAAUCUUCGCCUUCCCACGAAGACAAGAAAUUCUGAGGAUCGACCAAGCCGGACUUAAACGUGAGGAGUGCGUUCCUCUCUACCUCCAUGCAACCGCUCGCCACAACGGCGUCGACGGUUAAAAUCCACAGCAAGGAGGAGGAAAGAAUAAGAUUAGCCAUGACGCAGGUCGUUGAGAAAAUACACAACAUCAUAAUUAAUAAGGGAAUUGAUCAUAUGGAGUAUUCUAUGGAGAAGGCCACCUAUUUGAGCCAUAUAUAUAUAUAUAUAAAUGUUAUGCAUGGUAAGCUAUCGCAAUUCACAUCAAAGUUACGUUCCAUUAUUGUAUGGAGUCAUAAUUCUCCUGUAGGUCCUACAAAGAAAAUUAAGCUACAGUUGUGUGAUUUUCAUGGUCAUACAAAUUAAUGGCCUGAUUAGGAUUGCAUUGAGCUUUGACUUGAAAAUUAAUUUUGCUAGAAGCUAAUUAAUUUUUUAGAUUAAAACUGAUUCAGAAUGAAGUAGUCUUAAUUAUUACGAAUAUAUAGCAUUAAUUUGGCCACAAAGUACCAAAAGCUGUUGUACAAUAUAUUUAAAAGUGAUUCAUAACACGUUUGGUAAUUACAAAUUAAAAAGUUGUUUUAAAUCACCAAAUGACAAAAAGUUAUAAAUGUCAAAUAUUUAUUUUUAUAUAAUUUUUUUAACUAAAAUUGUAAGUAUAUGAGUUUAAUACGCAUAGUUCAUGAUUGAUGAUAAAUCUAGUUAAAAUAUUAAAUAUAUUAUUAAUACAGUAAAAUUUAAUUAGUAAGUAAUAAUUAUAAAUUCAAGUGAAAACUACAAACCUCUCUAAACCAUUGAGGAUUUUGAGAUUCAUACCUAAGGUUUUAAAAUUUUGAUUUUAUUAUCUAACUUCAUAUUUUUUAUGAUUUCGAGAAAAAAAAAGAAAGAAUACUAGAAUUGAGUACUCUACAGUAAAAGAGGAUUAGAGAAUAUUCCCAAAAACUAAGAAUAUUCUGUUAUACUAUAAAAAUUCUCAGCAGAACAAAUCAAAGUUACUAUUAGAUUUCGUAUAAAUUUAAAUUACAUACAUUUUAAAAUUAGAUAGCUUAAAUAAAAAUGUCCAAAGUUUAAGUCUUUUUNNNNNNNNNNNNNNNNNNNNNNNNNAUGAGAUAUUUGCUAGUUUAACGGUGAAAAAGAAUCAGAAUAGGUUGAAUUUUUGAUAGAAAAUUUUAUUCACUAUCUAAAUAAAGAUCAAUAACUCCGAUCUUAAAUUGAAGGAUCCGUUCAUCCAUUUUUAGGAUGUCGUUCGAUUUCAAUCGUUCAUUUUAUGUCCGCUUGAUGGACUUUACAAUGAUUUCGAAAAAUUACGAAAUUUAUUUUCUAAAAGUUUCAAAUAUUCUAGAUCAUGUUUAACGGUGUGGAUCGUCGAUUCGAAAACUCCAACAUCGAAAACAACUUAUGAGUACAAAGGGUUCUUUACUCAUAAGAGUAUAGUAGCCCUACUCUAAUUAUUGGAAAAACUUCAAAAACCCCCUCUGUGGUUUCACACUUUUUCAUUUUAGUACCCUGUGGUUUAAAGCGUAUCAAGUUAGUACCUUGUGGUUUCUCACUUUAUCACUUUAGUACCCUGUGGUUUAAAGUGUAUCAAGUUAGUACCCUGUGGUUUUGCAUUUUAUCACUUUAGUACCAUGUGGUUUUGAUUUUGUAUCAAAUUAGUACCUUGUGGUUUUUUAAACUAUAGGGUACUAAAGUGAUAACGUGUGAAACCACAGGGUACUAAAGUGAUAAAGUGCAAAACCACAGGGUACUAACUUGAUACACUUUAAACCACAGGGUACUAAAGUGAUAAAUUGAGAAACCACAGGGUACUAACUUGAUACGCUUUAAACCACAGGGUACUAAAAUGAAAAAGUGUGAAACCACAGAGGGGGUUUUUGAAGUUUUUCCAAUAAUUAGAGUAGGGCUACUAUACUCUUAUGAGUAAAGAACCCUUUGUACUCAUAAGUUGUUUUCGAUGUUGGAGUUUUCGAAUCGACGAUCCACACCGUUAAACAUGAUCUAGAAUAUUUGAAACUUUUAGAAAAUAAAUUUCGUAAUUUUUCGAAAUCAUUGUAAAGUCCAUCAAGCGGACAUAAAAUGAACGAUUGAAAUCGAACGACAUCCUAAAAAUGGAUGAACGGAUCCUUCAAUUUAAGAUCGGAGUUAUUGAUCUUUAUUUAGAUAGUGAAUAAAAUUUUCUAUCAAAAAUUCAACCUAUUCUGAUUCUUUUUCACCGUUAAACUAGCAAAUAUCUCAUACCGUUCGUUAAAAAUUGUCAAUUUUGUGAGCUUUUAAUCGUAAGGUAAAUGAUAUCGAAAAAUUAUAAAAUUUAAUUUCUAAAAGUUUUAAAUGCUCUAAAUAAUGUUUAACGGUAUGGAUCGUCGAUUCGAAAGCUCUAUCAAUAAAAACAACUUAUAAGUACGAAAGCGAUCGUACUCAUAAGAAUAUAGUAGCCGGACUCAUAAUAAUUAAAUUUAAGCACUUUAAGCAGAUGGUUUGAAUCCAACAAGUUAUUAUUACUGGGAAAUCAAGUCGUAACAAACUCAAUGUUGUGUACUUAAUCGAUUUUAUACUUCCAAUUUUCACUCCUAGAUGUGAUGAAACCUAACAAAAACUGGGAUCUUGAUCCCCGACAAUAGGACUAAAGAACUAAAUAUGCAGGUAUAACAAACAAUAUACAAAAAAAUUCUACUAACAGAAAUAGGAAAGAAAUAUAAUGUCGCUACUUAUGUAAACGAAGAUAGAUUUCUUUCAGACUACUAAAUCAAAUGAAAGAAAAGAAAUGCAAGGCAAGAUCAAUUUCAUUCUUCGAAAGAUUCUGUCAUAUACACAAAUAGGUUACUACAGAAGAAUCUACUAUCACAAAAACAGAUCAUACCGAUAAGUUUGUGGGGAUCACAAGCGAGACAUCAGAUGGCGGGUGUAAGAAUGAAGUAAUCUUAUUUCAGAGAAGAUGUUACACUCAAAAGCAAGUGCCCAGGAUAAUUUAGAGCACUCACCAAUAUUAGGCAUAGGAAAAAAAAAACACUCAAACACCUAACAUAACUUCAAAACCCCACAAUGUCAUCGCAAUCAUAUCGUAAAUGUUCUCUCUCUACAUAGUUAAGAAAGAAAAUAUAGCAUUAGGAUUUGACCUGAUUUUACAGCUUCAUUGGAAAUAAUCUCAUCACUUAUGAAGCAGCAAAACUAAUCACACUCAAUAGUAUCAUGAUUCUGGGAGAAGUUCAAUCUGAUCCUUCUGCUUUUGCUGUUGUUCCCUUUUCUUCAACUCAUUCUCAUAUUUGGCUAGCCUCUCCUUCAUCUUUUCCUGCAUAAAAACUCUGCCUCAGAACAACAAAGGAAAUAUGCAAAGCGAGAAAGGAACUCAAAAGAGAGGACAUGGAUUUGCCUUGUAACUCUUCUCAACCCGGUGCAUGACAUAGAAGCCGAGGACUCCGCCAAGGAUAGUCCCGGUUAUGAUUCGAAUGUACGCCCACUUGUACGACACCAUCUCUUUCGGUCCUUCCUUUUCCUUCGAUACUAGCUACUAUCUGUGCGCAUGCAACGCAUAUUUUGGAAAAAGAAAACAGAAAUUAUUUUGGGUAAAAAUUUCUAACUUACAAAGCAAAUAUAAUUUGGAGAGAGGUUGGUGUUGGGUAAAAAAAUAUGUUUUGCAACUUAUAAUGCAAUGCCCAAGGAGGUUGGCGUUAGCUUUCACUUAUUACCUAAAUGAUUCAAGGCUUUCUUUUUAGUAUCUUGAGGUAAGAGACAAUGAUGGAUUAACUUGUAUUCAAAACACUGCAACAUUUAGAGUCCAACGAUUUCAUUAAAAAGUAAUCAAGUAUCCAGGCACCACUAUCCUCAGAUCAAAUAAGCAAAAAAACAUAAAACAAAUGACAAAUGAAACGGCACUACAAUUACUUGAUAUGCUUUUCAGUAAAUUUACCAAAUACUUUCCUUCCUUGCCACUCUCACACUAUCAUUUCUUUAAUUCGUCUUUAUGCUAUUUGCAAUUCAAAAAGUCAUAUUAUCCAAAUUGCUAAAUCCUUUCCCGAAAUUCUGAGUAAAAUUUAAUGAGAAAAGUAAAGAACAUAAAAUACAAACAAAAGUAAAGGAAGCCCCCAUCUUGUUCAGCUCAAAAACAUAGUUUUAAAAGGCGCAAAGGACUCCUGACCCUAAAUGCCGGGCAAAAUCAAGCAAGUUAGACACACAUUUUCACAGUUUUUGAAGAUAAAUAGAACACUCCUUAGAAGUUCUAGUAGUAAUCAUUGAAUGAAACUAACGCACUUUAAAAUCAGGUUAUAGCUCUAUUAAAUAUUUAAGAUCACUCAAUAAGAUUUGUGAACAAAUGUGUGGCUCAAAUCAAUGCAUAUAUCAAAGAGAGAAAAAAGACAGUUAGAGGGCACAAAAUUUGAAACUGCUUCGGAACUUCCCUUCUCCUAUGCUUUAAAAUGGCGGCAGGAACCACCAUCACCAAAUGCUUCUUUGGCGACUGUUCCCACCGCAUCGGAGGAGAGAAGCUACAAAGCGCUUCUACAACUAUUUUGGUGCAAUGAACUAGGCCUUACAUUCCCAAACUAGGCUCUAGCUUAGAAAAUUAGAAUUAUCAAGAAAAACAAUGAAAAACAUUUGUUUGGUAUCGUUGCCGUUUUUUUCUAUUUUUUAAAAAAAUAGAAUUUUUACAUGAAAUAGUACAGAAAGGGAUAGUGGAUUGCUUGCAAUUCUUACAUUCACGAUAUUUGCUCAGCAAAGAAAAAAAAAGAAAAAAAAAAAGCAACUUCUUUUUUUUCCAUGAUUUUUGUCAUCCAUUACUCGGCCGAAGUGUAUUAUUACAAGCUAACCAAUCAUGACGAAUUUUUUAUAUAGAAUUAGUGUUUCAACAAAAUAAGAUCGAAAAAAAGAGGGGGCAAUGAUGCCAAAUGAGGCCUAAAACCUAUUAAUUAUAAUUAGAGCUCAAAACAGCAGGAAUUAGACUAAAAUUUGUUCAUCUCCAACUAUGUUUAAACAAAAUUACGCAAUUAUAUUGCGCAAAAGCUAAAUAGAAUCCAAUUUACAUGAUGAGCCAAACAUUACAUUACACAAGAAAAACACAAACCCAAAACCCUAAAAACAGCAGGAGCAACUACAGAUAAGCAAAAUUGUGUACUCACAUCAUCAACACAAAAGCUAAAUAGAGUUCAAACCCAAAGAUUACAUGAGAGAAACUCAAAAUCCUAAACCCUAAUUUAUGAAUCAACCAUUAAUAAAAGGCAUGAAACUCCCUAUCUUUUUCCCUUCCAUAUUCUAUUAGAAAGGUUUAGGAGAUGAUGGAGUUGGGCAGGGUAGUCUGACCUUGCGAUGGCGACGGUGGGCGUCGGAUGGGAAGGAAGACAGCACGAUUUGCAGUCGGAUGAUCGAGCCGCCUGCCUUCCUUGUUCAGCUCGACGCAGAAGGCAGUCUCACGUUUGGCUCAAGAAAAAGAGCGAUGCCUUCCUUGUUUCACUCCAAAACUGGAAAGACAUGUUAUUCGGGUUAAUUGCAUACAGGUCCAUAUAAACAUAAUAAAUUACAAAUACAUUUCUACAAAAUUUAUUUUUCACAUAUUGUUUCUGUAAAAGUCAUGAUUUUUCCAAAUAUAUUCUUGCUGUUAAAAAAAUUUAGUUAACCAUAGGCUAAAUACUUAAUCUUGAUUAGUUAAUGAGAUGAAUUGACCUUUUUAUCUAUCUUAAAUUAAUAAUAAUUGGGACUUUUUGAAGGGCAAAUUUGUGAUGACAAAAAGGUCAUUUCACUUAUAAAAUAGAUGGACUUUAACAGUAACAAAUCAGAGAGACAUAUUUGAAAAUAUUAAGACUUUUAUAACGACAAUAUUUAAAAAUUAAACUUUAUAGCGAUAUAUUUGUAAUUCACUAUAUUUAUAAAGAUCUGUAUGAAAUUAAUCCUUAUUAUUUAUUUAACUGUAAUUUUAUUUUCGUCAAAAUUUAAACUCUAGUAAUUAACUUUAGCCCAACUCAGGCCAAAAUCAAUUAUGAAAACAAAAAGUUGAAAAAAAAAUAAAAUACUAACUCAUAUUUCACACCUUUAAUUUUUCCGUGUCAUUCGCUUUCUUUCAAAUAAAUAUCAAAACUGAAAAAAAAUUUAGUUCCACCACCAUACAAAUAAAUACCAGAAGAAAAUUAAUUUUUAUUUGAAUUUCAGUUUCAUUCAAAAGUUUACUUCAAUCUCAAUUUCAUUUUCGGUGAAACAAAUAGACCACAGGUGUAAGAAGGUAAAAUGUACAGAACAUAUCUCAAUUAUAGACCAUUUUAAAUUGACUAUCAAAUCUUUUAAAAUUUUAAUUUUAUUGUCCAAUCUGUUAAUUUGUUUGAUUGACUCUGUCAGCAAUACUUUAAUUUCAAAUUUUGAAUACGCCGUUAUCUUUACCAGUUCAAUUAGUAUACUUCAUACAAUUCUCGCUACUAUAAUUUUAUUAAAGUGAACAGUUAACUUAAAUUUUGAGAUUAAAGGUCGCCAACUGACUUAUAUCAAACAAAUUGAAAGAUUAAAUAGUAAAUUCAAAAUUUUGAAUUUCAAGAUAAUACAUUAGGUCAGGUAAGUUAUACACUUGUUUAGCGUGCAAGAAUUACUCUCCACUCACUAAUAAAGGUUACUAUUUUCGUAGUAGUAUUAUUAACUUUUUUUCUUUUAAUACUAAAAAGAAUUUUGUGAACCCUAACACUCCGUUUGGAUUGAAUAUAAGAUGGGUUUGGAUUGAAUAUAAGAUGGGGUAUAAAGGCCUUAUACCCCAUCUUGUACCCAAACGCAAUUUGGUUAAGGUGAGAACUAUACGGAUUAUUCUAGAAAUAACCCGUUAAGGAUGGGAACUAUAGUUCUCAUCCCGAGUGGGAACAAGCUUAGGAACAAGCUUGUUCCCACCCACUUGGGUACAGAGAGAGAGAGAGAGAGAGAGAGUGAGUGAGUGAGGUUUGUUUUAAAAUAGAAUUUAAAUUUUUUAGAAUUUAAAAUAUGUAAUUUUAAAAUUAAAAUUGUAAAUCAUAAAUUCUAAAUUUUAAAGUUUAAAAUUUAAAUUUGAUAUUACAAAUUUUUAAAUUUUAACUGUGAUAUUUUAACUAUUUCAAAUUUAAAUUUGGUCUUAAAUUUAAAUUUUAAAAUUUAUAAAUUUAAAUUUUAAAAUUUAUAAAUUUAAAUUUUUAAAUUCAAUUAUAGGAAUAAUAUCAUUAUUUUCUAUUUAUAAUUAUCAACUAUUUCUCUUAUACCAAAUAACUAUCCAAAUAUAAUUUUUCUAGUUCCAGCUUAUACUAAUAUUUUAAUCCAAACAAAAUAAAUACCCUGAUUCUUACAAAAAUUCAUACUUAUACCUAUUUCUGGAAUAACUAGUUCCUACUAAUUUACGAACCAAACGAAGCCUAAAGAUUACUUCACAUUUAUAUAUGUAUUUAUUCUUAAAAUAUGCUCCUUCUCUCUCUCUCUCUCUCUCUCUCUCUCUCUCUCUCUCAAUAAAAGAAAAAACAAAACAAAAGAAACUUUUUUUUUUUUUUCGUACAUUAUGCUGGGCCAUUUUCUCUGGUUCUACAUGGUCUAAGUAGCCUGGAUCCCAAUGGCCCAUUUUUAUAUCUUCCUUAGAAAUCAGGGAGGUGCUUAUAAUUGAUGUGUUUUGGACUAGUUCUGUCGUUUUGGGCCUCGCCCUUUUCUCUCUUUCUUUGGCUAUUUUUUUUCUUUCUUUUUUGCUAAGAGCUCAAACAUAAAUAAUCCUAUAACAAGUAGUAAAAAAGGUAAAAGAUUUAUUUAUACUGCUAAAUUGAUGCGGAAUAGGAUUUAGUUUUCAGGUUGAUUGGAUUCUAAUGAUAUGUCACAUUCUUGGGUCUAUAUGGGCUUUAGCUCAGCCAAAAUUUUCUAAUAAAUAGUAUCAGAGUCUAUAGAUUGAUCCUGAAUUAGCCGCUCAUUUAUGUAUUGUAGUAUAUAUAGUGGCCUAUUUAUGUGGUAUAUUUUUUGAUACGCUCAAAAGAGUUAAAAAUAGCUGAAGUCCCCAGAAGUGUGGGCUAGCUGUAUGUACUUAGAAUUUUCUCUUCUUUUUUAUUAGGUAUUUUAUGCGCUUAUAUAUGUUCUGGAAAUCGUGCUCAAUGAAUUUAAAAAUAUAGUGGUUGUUUCAGAGUGGUUCAAGAUCACAAGCUUGUUUGGGAGCAAGAUUAUGGUGAUUGAUUUUGCUUACACUUUUCUUCCUUUUUCUUUUUCCUGUGUUUAAUUACAUCUAUGAGCUUGAUUAUGUGAUAGUUCAUGUUUAGGUUUAGAGAACCAUUUCAAGUCUUUUUUCGUUUUCUUUUUUCUUUUUUUACUUCUCUUACUUAGGUAUGGAUACUAUCAUCUAUAUUCCCUAUUUUUAUUUAUAUUAAGUUUUAAGAAUACUUGCAUAUUUUUCUUAAUCUAUUUUUAUCUAUAACCCAUUUAGGGUGCCAUAAGAUGCCUGGAGCUUACUAAUGUGUCGGAAUGAAUACGAAAGAUGUUUGUGGGUCGGACGGCAUUUAAUUUGAGAAGAACUUGUGAUGUUUUUGUGGCUUGCUUUGAGGGCAACAAGAAUGGUCGGUCUGAUAUAAGAAACGAAAUGUACUUCUCGAUAGAGAAAUUAUUUGUUGGGAACUCGGUGGAGUUUAAUGAACAAUUCAAUAUAAGACGUGAUACUGAUUAUUAAGGCUCGCAAGGAGCACGCAUUGGCUAAAACACAUCUACAUUAAUAUUUUACCGUUUCCUAAUCAAAACUCAGAAAGGCUGGUCUAAAUGUGCGGUACUUAAUUAGAAGCCGCACAUAAAUCCACAUGCCAAAUCAAUUUGUUCUUAUUUUUAUUUUUUUAAAAAAAAUGAGCUUUUUAUUGUUGGCUUAAAUGGACCAGCAUUCUGCCCUGUGACAGGAGAUUAUGUUGGACCGAGUCAUAUUCGAAAUGGCGUGAGGCUGGAUGGGCCGAGUCAUGUUCGAAGUGAUGUAAGGCUGAUUGGGCCGAGUCAUAAUCGGGACCCGUGGAUACUGCAUCUGUACAUUUUAAGUGAAUUGAUUGUGUAUUUCUAACAGCUCGAGCUUUUGAGAUUAAUAGUUAACGCCAACGAUCCGACACUCAUCACUUUCCUCCUAUUUACCCUCUUUUUAAAAAAAAAAAUUUGUAAUCAAGGAUGGAUCAUUUAUUUAUGGAAAACUUCAAAUACCCCCAUGUGGUUUUGCAGUUUCUCACUUUAGUACUCUGUGGUUUAAAGUAUAUCGAGUUAGUACCUUGUGGUUUCGCACUUUCUUACUUUAGUAUCCUGUGGUUUAAAGUGUAUCAAAUUAGUACUCUGUGAUUUCAUUUUUGUAUCAAGUUAGUACCCUGUGGUUUUAUUUUUCUCUUUUUAUUAUCCAUUUCGAAAUUUUUUUUUCGUUAAAUCAGUGACAAAGUUAAAACUAAAGGGUACUAAAAUAAAUAUUCGAUAAACCUAGGUAAAGUAUCUGAAGUUUUUUUUGUAUAUAAUUUAACGAAAUAUUAAACCACAUGGUACUAAAAUGAGAAAGUGCGAAACCACAGGGUACCAACUUGAUACAUUUUAAACCACAGAAACUAAAGUGAGAAAGUGCGAAACCACAAGGUACUAACUUGAUACACUUUAAAUUACAUAGUAUUAAAAUAAAAAAUAGAAACUGCAGUAGGUCUGGCAAAUGAGGCGAGCGGCUCAUGGUUCGAACUGCGUUCGGCUCGAAUUCGGCUCGCUUUGAGUCGGCUUUGAAUUAAAUUUCAAGUCGACUUGAAGCUAAAUUAGGCUCGAAUUAAUUUCAAGCCAAGCUUGAGUAUUACCGGCUCGCUUCGAAUUAGCUCGAAAAAACUCGAUAUUAUAUAUAUAUUCUAUAUACUAUAUAUAUAUAUAAUAUAUAUAUAGAGAGAGAGAGAGAAGAGAGCAGAGAGAGAGAGAGAGAGAGAGAGAGAGAGAAAGAAAGUCUAUUAUAUAUAUAAUAGCACCCAACACGUGCUAUUAGGUUUUCGCGGCCUUGGAGAAGGGAUGUCGGUUAAGGAUAAGCGAUUCUAUGUAUGAGUUGAGUGGUGGUUAGUUGAAUAGUAGAUCUAAGUGAGUGAAAUGGUUCAACGAUAGAUCUAACGGCCAAAAUAAUCGACCAGCACUGAAGCAUUUGGUAUUAUCGAUAAUUAGUAGCCGGGCUUCUCUCUCUCUAUAUGUAGUCCGCAUUAUAAUCUAUCUAUAGUAGCUAAUUACUUUUGUGUUAUCAGUUUUCUGCUAUUAGAUCUACCUAAAAUAUAGAGUCGGUAUAAUAUACCUUAUGGCAUAAUACCAAGCAUUUAAUGCUAUCGAGUUUUUCUGCCGUUAGAUCAUACACGCUUUGGCCAUUUUCAUUAUUAAUCAUACUAUUCAUUGAUUCCACCUCCCUCAUCUAGAGGGCUACUAUAUCCUUGACCAACAUUCCUUCAUUCUAAGGCCCGAAAACCUCAUAGCAAUAAUUGAUACUAUUAAAUAAUAUUGAACGCGUAAUUAUAUAUAUAGUAUAUAUAUAUUUUUAUAUAUAGCUAGGCUACUAUAUUCUUAUAAAUAUAGACCCGUUUUAUACUUAUAAAUUUACGCUGUUAGGACUGUGCAAUUAGGAUAAUAGUGAUCCCCUAGGAUUGAGUGGGUGGUUGGUUGAAUAGUAUGAUUUACGGUUGGAAAUGGUCAAAAGUAUAUAUUUGACGAUAAAAAACUUAUGAGUGUAAAGAGAUCUAUACUAAUAGAGUAUAGUAGCCGAACUCUCUCUCUAUAUAAUUAUAUAUAAUAUAUAUUUUAAUUAUAGAAAUUUAUAUUAUGUAUUUUAAUUGCAUGUAUAUAGAAUUUAGAUUAUUGGGCCCAUAAAAUCAAACCAGCAAAAUGCUACUUUAAUUGCUCUUUCUUUCUCUUUUUCACUCGCUUAUAGAGUUGUUUUUUCUAAUUUUUUUAAUAUUAUAAUAUUGUAUUUCAUGCAUUCAUUUUGUAUGUUGAGCUAUUAGACAUUUUUUGUAUCGAAUUUUAGAUAAUAUUUUAUAAAAAUUAAACUAUAGAUUGUACGAUGUUAAGAAUUUCAAGCAGCUCGUUUAGGGCUCGAGCUCGCUCGACUCGAAAUUAGGGUCACUGGAGCUCGGCUCGAAUUAAUUUCAAGCCGAGCUUGAGACUAAAUUUAGGCUUGAAAUUAAUUUCAAGCUAAACUUGAGCUGAGGUAAGCUCGCUCGAGCUCGGCUCGUUUCCACCCUUAACUACAGGGUAUUUAAAGUUUUUUCUUUAUUUAUUUAUUUACAUCAUGUGUUCAAUGCUCAGCCGCCCACCAACCUCUUGUUUUCUCAACGAACGCGCGUGGUACGCGUGCUGGCAAGUCAAUUCUUGGAGUGCGACCAUUGAUUUCUUCAUCCUCCAACUCCCUCCAUUAUUUUUUUCGCCUCCUAUACUCCACUCUACUCACAUUUAUUAAAAGCAUAUGGUACUGCUUCGUGCUCAAAAUUUAUCAUUACAUUACAUGUUGUGACAUAUGGAUCAUAAAAUAUAUAUAUAUAUAUAUAUAAUUAUUAUUUUAUUUAGAUUAUAUAAAUAAACAUAACAAUGUAUUAUAUAACCGCUGCAUAAUUACUAUUAUAUUAUGUUUCGAGCUCUGCCUAUUGCCACAUCAGCAAUACGUUACCGUUUAGACAACUAAGGAGCUGUUUGGUUGGAUGUAGUUACAAAAAUAGUAUAGUUGGAAAUAUAUGCAGUUGUAAAUAUUACAGUUAUAACUGCUGCAGUUAUAUUUCUUCUACUUGGUAGUCUGCUGUUGAGAUUUGCAUUUAUAAAUUCUGUCAAAUUUUAGAUAGAAAAGUAAGAUUAUCUCUUUUGAAUGUAACGUAAUCAUAUUUUAAUUAUUAAUUAAUAUUUUUAUAUCUAUAUAUAAUGUGAGACCCAGUUUCUGUCAGUGGGGACUUGUCGACAGCUCUGGAGAGUGUCGAGACAAGCCCGAGUUGCGUUGGCGUCAAAUAGACGCGAAACGGACUCCGUUUGACGCGAGGGCAGCAUUCUGUGUGAAAAUCUGCGAAAUUGCAGGAUUUUUACUCUGUUGNGUGACUGAAACCAUUGCUGGUUGAGGUGCGAUUAGUUCGCCGCCAGAUAGAUAGGUCAUGACUUGAGUCCUCGCUGGGUAAAUGCAACGUGUUCGCCACCAGAAUGACUAUGUCAAGUGACUCGAGCCGAGUUCAGCGUGUGCGACGACUUCGCCGCUAAGAGGCUAAGUUUAGAGGGCGGUAGGCUGAUGAGCAGCCAGUGCGCGGACUAUCCGCGGAUGAUUGACUCAAAGCCGAGUCGGAUGGUUAGCUCGAUAGGGUAGUGGAACCCUGAUGAGCUAGAGUUAGUGGCUUGAGCUAAGGUAAUAGAGACCUUAGAAGCCAGUUGGACUUGAGUUGAGAACCUAAGGUAGUAGAAACCUUAGAGUUGAUGAUAUGAGCUAAGAGUAGCCAAGUAAAGUGUAGAAUCGAUUGAUCUACUAGUUGUUGCAUAGAGUUGUAUGAUUUUCAUAUCGCAUAUUGUGAGGCAUGGCAUGUAUUUCAAUUUAAAUAUAUAUCUGUUGUAUAUUGUUGAACUAACAUGUUGCAGUGCCUCCUCGGACCUAUCGAUCGAGCUUUUUCCUUGGGUGGCCGUACCCACUGGGAACCAUAGAGUUGGUUCUCACCCCACGUUGUUUCGGGGUGUUUCAGGUACAUACGUGAGCGGCGCGACGACGCGAGGUAAGGGCGUAGCUUCGUAGAUAGAGCCCUACCCCAGACACCGAGAUAGCAGUACCCCGAGUCAGCAGGGCUUAGGGGUUAGAAUGGAAUGACAACAACCAACUUAUGCUAAAUGUAAUAAUGUGAUUGUAUUUGGAAAUCAAGCAAAUGUAAAAGAUAAACUGUGAUGUAAAAUGUUGUAUGAAAUGAAUGCUUGUAAUAGCUAGAAGUUUUAUGUAUUUGAUACUUCCUUGUGCAAUUUGGAUUGAUAUCCGUUCCUGGUUGGAACACUUGUUCAUUGUAUUGAUUGCGACGCCUAGGACGUACAGGGGAACUCUGUCCGUAGUACAGGGGAAACCCUGUCCGUUCGGCAGUCUGUUUGCGGCACCGCGACCCGGCCAAAUAGGCGGGAGGUCGCGGGGCGUGACAACAAAUGCUACAGUAUCUGGUGUGACUGUCAACUCUACACCUCGUACUGAAGUAGUAAACAUGUAAGGUCCACCAUCAAAGUCACUCAAAUGACCCGCUCGCAUAUAGAACUCACAAAUGAGCUCUAAACAAUAGCCUGUUUGCUCGGGAAAGUCGCAAAUCUCAUGUAAAUUACCGUUCUCAAAGAGAGCUUGAAAUGCCGGCGCACGUUCAAUCAAAUUUGCAACACCAACUGCACGCUCACCAAUGCACAAUUAUGAGGAGUACAUAGAGCGUCGGCGGGAAUCAAUCAGAGCGUCUUGAGCACUUCGACGUGGAGGAUCAGAAAUGGGAUCUCGAAUCUCAAUUCCACUAGAUUUCUUCCGACUGCGAGUAAAUGUCAUUUGUUCUGUUGCUUUUCCUUUCCCCUUUUCUUUUUCCUUUUCCUUUUCUUUUCCCUUUUCUUUCCUAUUGCCUUUGUCCUUGUCUUUCUCAGGAGCUGCGGGCUCUUUGCCUUUCUUCUUUGAGAGCACCUCAGGAGUAAGUGCGUCCCAAUCAGUCGACUCAGAAUCAGACUCGUCGCCAGGAGCAUUCUCACUCCUUACAUCUUCCGGUUGUUGCUCAACCGGUUGCUUAGCCGAAGAGCGUUGACGUUUGCUUCCCCGACCACCACCGGCCAUGAGAAAAACGAGCACAAGUAGCCACGAAUACAUUUUUAAGAAGCUCCUGUUAAACACAAAUAUUUACACAUAUUGAACAUAAGAGCAUUUUUAUUUUGAUGUCAAAAAUUUGAGCAAGUUGAAAUGUAAAAUACUAAAUGAUCCUAAGGCCACAAAAUCAUGAAAACCAUGGGCAAAUCAUGCAACAAAAUGAAAAAUCAAGCCCUAACAGAUCUAGAGAGUCAAUCAAAGGAGAACACACGAGUUCCACACAAUUUCUAACAUCAAAAUCCAUAAGCUCACAAAAAUAACCAAAAAAUCCGAAAUACUCAUGAAAAAUAUGCAAGAAAUAAAAUUAUUACCAAAACCCCUGUUGUAAUCGAUGAUGAGUAAAAGACGGUGUCUCUAGAACCCUAAGCAGUGAGAGGAGACAAUAUGAAACGAGAAGGUAGAGAGAGAAGCAUCGAACGAAACAGAUCUUCAUAUAGGGGCUCGGGCGGAGGGACCGGUCUCUCAAGUCAGGGAUGGGUCCCCGAGCCUGGAGUUUAAAAAAUUUUAUUUUAAGUUCAAAAUUUUUAAAAAUUUUAUAUGAUAUUUUAAGAUCCCCCAAUACAAAAAUGACCAAUUUUCAUCCCCAAUGACUUCAAAUAAAAUUUCAUAAAUAAAUAAAUUUUGAAAAGUAAAUUUCAAAGAUAUUCAAUUUGUCAAAAAUUGUUGACCCAAAAAUCAAAUAAAUUUAUAUAAGUAUAGAAUAAAAUUCCACACAUCAUGCAAGAUCUAAAAUUAAUUGUAUUGUUUUAUCAUCAUAUUUGUUAAAAAAAUUAAUAAAGGAAUCUCGUAAUCGUGAAAUUAAAAUAAUACCCCCAAAUUGAGUUAUGCACAUUAUUCGAGAUAGGAGUGGCUCUUUGAGCAUGUUUUAACAAACCGCCUUAUAUCGCCUAGGAGAUGUAUUAAACAUAUUAUUAAAAUUUUACCAUCUCCACAACAUCUCAUAUUUAUUUAUUCUUUUUUUUUUAUCUUAUAGAGAUACUUUGACUAUCAUGUGGUAGCUGCACACACUGACCGGACGACCGGGGUGGUAGCUCUUUCCUCCAUGUGGUGGUAGUUUUCACACUCCCAGCAGGGAUGUAACUCUUUCCACAUCUUUUGAAUUUAAGAAAUUUUCAUAACCGGAAAGACUUCCCCUAAAUUAGUGCAACCCUCAAGUCAAAAAUAUUAUCGCAAUUUCAAAAAUAGAGAAAUAGUUAUUCAUCUCAUAGCUAAUAAUCAAACAAAACAAUUGCAACGUUCAAAGUUCGAAGCAUGAGGUGUUGUAUUUAACUCAGUAUACUAAAACAGAAUUUCAAUGAUUUAAUCGUUCAAAAUUAUGACAACAGAGAAUAACAUUGACAGUGAUCAAUCAAAACAUAAUAUGAAACAAUUAAAGCCAUAUUAUAGAGCUCACAAAAACCAAUUUAUCUCCUAAAAACAUAACAUUGACAGUGACACCAUUCAUGAAACUCAAUCAUCUCUCAAAAAUAAUCAAGAAAAAUCGAAAAACAUGCACAGAAACAAAAUGCAAUAUGCAUAUGAUCUAUGGCCCAAUAGAAUGCAUCUAGAUUGAAGGAUUCAUACCAAUAGCCUUUCUUAAAUGUAGAAAACGUUUUUGAUCCAAAGGCUUAGUUAAAAUAUUCGCAAGUUGAUUUUCAGUUGAAAUAUAUUCAAGUUGAAGAACGUUUGAUUCAACCAAUUCUCUUAAAAAGUGAUAUCUUAGUUCAAUAUGCUUUGUUCGUGAAUGUAAAACAGGAUUUUUCGAAAUAUUUAUGGCACUCGUGUUGUCAUAUAAAAUUGUAAAAGUGGUGGAGGAGAUCCGAUAGUCACUCAAUAAGCUUUUCAACCAUAGUAAUUGUGCAGAGCAACUACCGGCCGCAAUAUAUUCCGCCUCGGCAGUGGAGAGUGCAAUACAAUUUUGUCUUUUACUAUGCCACGCAACUAGACAGUGGCCUAUAUAAAAGCAUGCUCCACUUGUACUUUUUCUAUCAUCCACAAAACCGGCCCAAUCUGCAUCCGAAUAUCCAAUUAAAUCCAAAGACGUCCCCAUCGGAUACCAUAGACCAUAAGCGGUUGUACCUUUAACAUAUCGUAUGAUUCUCUUAACCGCUUUCAAAUGAACUUCUUUUGAAUUAGCUUGAUAGCGAGCACAAAUUUCCACACUAAAAGCAAUGUCCAGACUACUCGCGGUCAAAUACAGUAAUCUGCCGAUCAUGCUCCUANCAAAUAAGCCUAAUUUGGCUUCGUUAUGCCGCAGGUAAAGAACGAAAGGUCUAAAAAUCUCAAGAAAAUCAUCGGAGCACCUAAAUAGACCUACAAGGAGGGUGGUGCUUCUCAAACUCUUUGAACUUCUCUCUAUGCCUAAUGUGUCAUUCAUUUGAGCAUGUGUAUAUAUAUAUUAUUGCAUGCAUUUUAGGGUAAAGUAAUGAUGAAAACGUAAUGAUGCAUGAUUGUGAGUACAACUUGCAUAAUAUGAUGAAUGAGAACUAUGUGAUGUCGAAAACCCUAUGUGUAUGCAUGAGAGAAAAGUGAGCACCCAAAGUGAGCAAAAGAACAGAGUGACACAAUGACAUAGAUCGAGUGGUAUUUGAUAAAGUUAAAGUGAAAUGACACUAGAGAUAGUGUGAGGUAAAGAACCGAUGUAUUGUAAAGAAGGAUGAAAAUGACAAUGUUUAAGGUUAAAGUAAUGUGGGGAGUAAAGAACAUGAAAUGCUAGAGGUAGCCAAAAGUAAAGAAUGUAAAGAAUAUAAUUGCUAGAGUUAGCAACAUAAAGUGAUGUAAUGAACACUAGAGCUAGUGUAAAGUCAAGAUUGAACUUAUAAAUCCUUAGAGUUAAGGAUAUGAUCAUACUUGCUAUGAGUUCCGUGCUCGAGGGCGGUCGCUCCCCCUCGGGCGAUGCGCUCCGGAGUUAUGCAUCACGGGUUGGAGUAAACCUGAAGGACGGUCUUAGCGGGUGAGUUCCUGCGAUGAUGGACUUAAUGUGAAGCAAGUUAAUGUGGCGAUACCCCCGGGUUAGCCUUGAGAUUAAAGAACAAAGAGCAAAGAACAAAGUGCAAAGAACAAGAACAAAGAACAAAGAGUAAAGUGAAAAGAACAAGGAAUUUGCAUAAUCUGCAUCUAUUUAAUGUUGAGCAUACUCCUUUGCUUAUUGUUCAGGCAUAUUAGCAUCAUGUUGUAGAUUGGUUACUAUAUCUCAGCUUAUCCUUUCUAUUAUGCCUGAGUUAGUCCUAGUGGGAAAGUCGGUGAUGUUGAGGCCGAACCCACUGGGAACUUUGUUGUAGUUCUCACCCCACUAUUUCCACAGAGCCAGGACCGAGCGAGCCGGCGAGCGACCGAGGUAAAGGUAUCGCGCCUUAGACAGAGGCCACCAGAGUUGUGUUGGGUUUACAUUUUGUAGUAAAGUACCCUAUGAUCAUCUUUUGGUACAUGAUGAUAAAUGAUGUAAAGAAAAGAAUGUAAUGUGUAUUUUGAGGUAAAUGUGAUAUAAGAAAGAAAUGAUGAAAUGAAAUGUAAGGAAUUUGAAGAUGAACAAGGUGAAUGCAAUGUAUAUGAUCAAAAAUGAAUCAUAGUACUUAUAAAUGUUUAGUUUCCCUUUCUUUCACUAAUGGCUAUUGCUUACCCUCGCGUAAGCCGUUUGUGUAUGUUUCCGCUAGUGCAUUUCUUGUUUGAAUUUGUACAUGUGAUUAGCCUUGGGCGGAUAGGGGAAACUCUGUCCGUUCGGCGUCUGUUUGGCGUGCUCGGGUCGGGCCAAAUUGGUACCGGUCCGGGGCGUGACAGUAAGAGUUGUGGAAGGGAUCCGAUAGUCGCUUAGUAAGCUCUUCAUCCACAACAACUGAGUGGAGCAACUACCAGCAGAAAUAUACUCAGCCUUGGCAGUGGAUAGUGCAAUACAGUUCUGUUUCUUACUGUGCCAUGCAACAAGACAAUGUCCAAGGUAAAAACAAGCUCCACUAGUGCUUUUCCGAUCAUCUGCAGAACCAGCCCAGUCUGCAUCUGAGCAUCCAAUCAGAUCAAGAGAUGUUCCCAUAGGAUACAAGAGGCCAUAUGCGGUUAUACCUUUAACGUACCGAAUGAUCAUUUUAACUGCUUUCAGAUGAACUUCCUUAGGAUUAGCUUGAUAGCGAGCACAAAUUCCAACACUAAAAGCAAUAUCUGGUGUACUCACAGUCAAGUACAAUAGGCUCCCAAUCAUGCUUCUGUACUGUUUCUCAUCCAUACUCUGUCCAUCCGAAUUCAAUCCAAGUCCUUUGUUACUUGUACCCAUUGGAGUAUCAAAAUUCUUUGUAUUGUCCAAUUCAAAUUUCUUAACCAAAUCUUUCGCAUAUUUGGAUUGACACAAGUGAAUUCCAUCUUUAGUUUGUUUAAUUUGAAGUCCAAGGAAAUAAUUAAGCUCCCCCAUCAUCGACAUCUCAAACUCGCUUGUCAUUAACUUCGCAAAUUCCGUGACAUCUUUAUCCUUAGUUGAGCCAAAAACAAUGUCAUUAACAUAAAUUUGUGCCACAAUAAAAUUAUUUUUCGAGUGUUUUACAAAAAGAGUUAUAUCCACUCCCCCUCGGUUGUAGUCUUUUUCGAUAAGAUAUUUUGUCAAACACUCGUACCAUGCCCGCGGAGCCUAUUUAAGUCCAUAAAGUGCCUUUUUUAGUCGAAAAACAUGAUUUGAAAAUUUGGAGUCUAUGAAACCUUUCGGUUGUUCAACAUAAACUUUCUCUUUUAAAAAUCCGUUUAAAAAUGCACUUUUAACAUCUAUUUGAAAAAGAGUAAUUUUAAAAUGACAGGCAAUCGCGAACAAAAUACGAAUUGAUUCAAGACGAGCAACCGAGGCGAAGGUUUCAUCAAAAUCUAUUCCCUCAAUUUGUGAAUAGCCCCGAGCAACAAGUCUCGCUUUGUUUCGAACAAUAGUACUUCCUCAUUUUUCUUAUUCUUAAAAAUCCAUUUGGUACCAAUUAUGUGUUGUUGCUCAGGCCGUGGCACUAAUUCCCAGACAUCAUUACGCGUGAAUUGACCAAGUUCUUCUUGCAUAGCAUUAAUCCAAUAUUCAUCGAGAAGAGUUUCGUCAAUAUUCUUUGGCUUAACUAAAGAAACAUAACAUGCAAAUUCACACUGAAGUUGUCUCCUAGUUUUCACACCAGUAAGAGGGUCUCCAAUAAUAUUUGACAAAGGGUGAUCUCUUGACUCUCUCAGGGGUGUAGUCUCAUAUGAUAUACUAGGUGUUUCAGAUGAGAUGCUUUGAGGCUCAGAUGAAUCAUUUGAUGCAACAAUUUCAGGAGAUGCAAUGGGAUUAUCAAAUGCAGAAACAUUAUCAUUCACAGGCAGUACAAAUGGAGAAUCAUUAUCAUCAUCAUUCAUCAAAGAGUUAGAAGUACCAUUCACAGAAGAACUUACAGAAGAAGCUUCAUCUACUUUUAUAUUUAUAGAUUCUAUCACCGUCUUAGUUCGUAAAUUGUACGCACGAUAAGCACGACUUAUAGUAGAAUAACCAAGAAAUAUCCCCUCGUCACUUCGGGAGUCAAAUUUUCUAAGAUUUUCAUGAUCCCGAAGGAUAAAACGCUUACUCCCGAAGAUACGAAAGUAUUUAAUAUUAGGUUUUCUACCAAGCCAAAGUUCAUACGGAGUAUUCAAAGUACCCAGAUGCACAUAAAUCCGAUUGAUAACAUAGACGGCCGUGUUAACCGCUUUGGCCCAAAAAUGUAAAGCAACUUUCUUACUAUGAAGCAUAACACGUGACAUCUCUUGUACAACCCGAUUUUUGCGUUCAACCACUCCGUUUUGUUGCGGUGUAUAAGGAGCCGAGAAUUCAUGUUUAAUCCCAUUAGAAACACAAAAAUCAACAAUUUUUGAAUUUAUGAAUUCUCCCACUUGAUCACUUCGAAUACAUAUAAUUUUAUCAUUACACUCAUUCAUAAGACGAAGACAAAUCUCAGAAAAAGAGUCAAAAGUAUUGGCUUUUUCACGUAAGAAAGCACUCCACGAAAAACGAGUAAAGUCAUCAACAAUAAGGAAUAUAUAACGUUUGCCACCCAAACUUUGAAUCCUAGAUGGUCCCAUCAAGUCUAUGUGUAACAACUCUAAAGGUUUAGAUGUCCCUAAGUUGUUCAAAUUCUUAUGUGCGGAUCUAGUUUGCUUUCCUAGUUGACAACCCCCACACAUAAUGUUCUCUUUGGAAUCUAUCUUAGGUACACCUCUAACAAUCUCUUUCUUCGAUAUCUUAGAUAGUUCCUUAAAAUUUAUGUGACCUAGAUGUUCAUGCCAUAAAGUUUCAGUCUCUAAUAUUGCUAGGUUACACUUUUCAGAUGAAGCACUAGAAACUAUAUAACAGUUAUUCUGAGAUCUUACACCUUUUAAAAAUAUAUCAUCAUCACGAGUCACAUUGCAUUCUUUAUCAGAAAAUUUCACAGAAUACCCAUCAUCACACAAUUGGCUUAUGCUUACGAGAUUUGAUUUAAUCCCCUCAACAUAAAAAACAUUAUUCAAAGUAGGGCCAUCUAAGAUAGUAACUGUUCCUUUUCCAAUGAUUUUUGAUGACCGACCGUCUCCAAAAACAACAAGUCCUCCGGAGAUUUUAUUUAAAGAAGUAAACCAAUUUUUGUCACCCGUCAUGUGACGGGAACAACCACUAUCCAGAUACCAAGAAGUAUUAUCGUAAGCAUGAAGCAAAGUGUGAAUGACAAGGCAUGGGAAGACUUCACCUUUGCGUACCCAGACCUUACGUGUUUUGGGUUGCGACGAUUGACUUGCUUUUGGUGAUCGUGGCUUGUCGACGAUUUGAGUUAACUUCUUCUUCAGAUCCUCCUUCUUUGGCUUCCAUGCUUGUUUUGCCUUUGAUUUCGGAGCAUUCUUCUUUGGUGUCCACGUUUGCUUCACUUUUGGUUUAGGAUCAUUCUUCGUUUGCAUCCAUGAUCGUUUCUUCUCAACUUUUGAAUCUUCUUUUGUUGGCUUCCAAGAUGUCCUCCGAUCCAAGAGUGUAGUGGAGCUUUUAGCCCUUUGUUCGCAAAACCUUUUCACAUGUCCUAAAACACGACAAAGAUGACAAGUUUUGUUAGCAAAUGUGUUUUUAGGAGGGAUAAACUUACCAUAAAGCUUAGGAAACGCUUUUGUCGAAUGUUCGUCAUCUUUUUUGAUUGCUUGAUCAACAUACGUCCGUUCGUAUCCAAGUCCAAAUUUAUUUGUUUGAUCAAGUCCAAGCAUUUUGUCAAGUUUGCUAGAGCUAGACGAAAAUUGAUUUAAAUCCGAUUUGAGUUGGAUAAUAGUCUUGGUGAAUUCCAUAUUUGAUUCUCUAGCUUCCGUGUAUUGCUUGGUAAGGAAAUUGACAUUUUCAACAUGAGACUCCUUUUCCUUUUCAAGCAAUAUACACUUCUCAAAUAAAGAAUCGUAAGCCUUAGUCAAACCAUCUCUUUCUUGUUCUAGAUCCUUUGUCAAUGAGUCCAAUCUUGAAUUCUCUUGUUCCAAGUCAUGUAGCCUCCGCCGCAGCUUCUUGUUAUGUUUUGCCAUCUUCUUUGAUUCGACAACCAAUUGUUGAUAUGCGGCGACCAUGUCAUCUUCAUCCGAUUCUUCAUCCGAUGAAUUUUUCGAAGUCAAUUUUUCAUGCAUAGAAGACAUGGAGAUAGAGUCAAUAGAUGUCAGACACAUAUAAUUAGAAUCAUGUGCAAUAAGUGCCGUUGCGUUUACAUCCUCAUCGCUUGAAGAUGACUCAUUCGAGGAUGAAUCAUCCCAAGUGAUGGCUUAUAUCGCUUUCUUUUUCAAAGAUUUUUUAUUAGGACAAUCCGAUGCAAUAUAACCAAAUCCUCUACACUUAUAGCAUUGGAUUUGACCUUCAUUACUUUUCUUCUCUUUAGAAAAAUCUUUUGAAGAGCUUUCAGAUUUUUUUAUUCUUAGAAAAGGAAGAUGAAGAAGAACUCCCUUUAGAUUUGCUUGACUUUGAGGAGGUAGACUUUGGAGGAAACUUCUUUCUAAAGUUCCGACGGAACUUCUUCGUUAGAAGAGCCAAUUGUUUUUCAAACUCCUCCAAUGUUUGAUCCGAUUCUGAGUCCGAUGAAGUAGUCAUGUCAUCUCCUUUUGUUGAUUUUAAGGCCAUACCUAAAGCUUUAGAAGAAGACUUGGAAGAAGACGAAUUAGAAGGUGUACCCUCGUGUGUAACUUGUAAAGUAUCCCAAAUUUCUUUGGCGGUUUCACACGCCAAGACACGAGAAAACUCGGUUUGAUUUAAAGCAUUAAAUAAAGCAUUGAUACCCUUUCCGUUGAAUGAAGAUAGUUCGUUUUCCUCUUUCGUCCACUUAUUUCUAGGUUUCGGACCGGUAACAUUCUCAACAACUUCGGUGGGAUGUUUCCGCCCGAAUUCAAUGGCUUGCCAUACCCGCUCGUCGAUGGCAAUAAGAAAUGCCCUCAUACGGACUUUCCAAUAAGCGUAAUUAGUGCCAUCGAAGAGAGGGGGUCGAUUGAUGUUACCGCCCUCGGCCAUGAUUUACAACCUAUACCCUCUCUGAAACCACUUGAAAGAUAUGGAUCCUAAGGAUCUAAAAGAUAAAUAACACCUAGAGGGGGGGUGAAUAGGUGUAAACGGUAAAAACAAAUAAACUCGAUGCGAAUUAAAAAAGAAUGCGAAAAAAAUAAAAUCAACACACCGAGAAUUAACGUGGGAAAACUCCAAAUCGGUGAGAAAAACCCACGGGACCGACCACACAAAGAAAUCCACUAAGAAAACUUGAGUACAAGUGAUUUAACAAAAAUACAUGACUCAAUUUACCGAAUCCUCGUUGUAGAUUGUCUUCGCCGAUCCUCGAUCGCUUGGAAUCCUCCAACCGACCACACCGGAAGUCCUUGCAGCAAACAUGCCUCGAUUCCACGAAACGCCCACCGAAUCCACGGCCUCCAUGCGAAAUCCAUGCGCUAACGCUCCAUCCGAAGCUCAUAGGGAUUUAACAAUUUGUGGUGAUUUAAGAUCUUAGAAAGCACAUAUAAUAUGAGGAGAAACCCUGAUUAUAACAUCACCAAUUUGAUCCUUAAAGAUGUUUUGAAUCAAAAUCAAAGAAUCUAACCGGUGAUCUAAGAACUCGAUGUUUAAAACAUAGAUCAAAAACUCCGAAUCAAGCCGUUAGGAUUUCUAAAAGGUUAUAUCUCUAAGCUCACGUCAUAUAGGGAUCCUCAUAUCACAUUUAUAGGUUUAGAUGGCUUCUAAAUGGACUAGGAUUUCAAAAACUCAAUUUUAAAAACUGACGACGGUCUCAGGGUCCGGUCCUCCCGAGGAGACCAGUCUUUGGGGGACCGGUCCUUUGCUGCGUAGCUGAGAAACAUGCGUACGGGGACCGGUCCUCAAUUCAGAGACCGGUCCCUCCCUGCACAACAAGAUAAACCACUUACGGGAACCGGCCCUCAAGACCAGAGACCGGUCUCCCAAAACUUCUACGCAGAGAAGACUUGAUGGGUCCGGUCCCUCUGAUCAAGGACCAGUCCCUGAGCCCUGAGAUUUAUAGAAAAGUCCAGUUUGAUCAACAAAAACACAAUCUAAGUCUUCUAAACAUAUUUUAACAAUAAAAUCUCACCACAAACUAUUUAUAAUCAUACCUAAGAUCCCAAAAGUGUGACCGAAGUUUUUGACCUCCAAAUUCCAAUUCUUUCUUCAAACUUUGUCUUCUAACUCUUCGAGACUCCAUCAAACUUCACGAAAGUCGCCAACCUAGAAAAAAUCCUUAACAUCGAAAAAUUAUGAAAUUUGAUUUCUAGAUGUUUCAAAUGCUCUAGAUAACGUUUAACGGUGUGGAUCGUCGAUUCGGAAGCUCUAUCAUCGAAAACAACUUAUGAGUACGAGGGCGAUCGUACUCAUAAUAGUAUUGUUGGAGCCGAAAUUCCCCGACCUUUGAACCGGUCAAAGUUGUUUCUCGGGAAGCGCGUCGGGAUGGAAAUGGCUGCGAAGGAUGACCCUCGAAGUAUGCGCCCUUCGAUAGAUCAAGCGAUUAGGCUGACGAGGGAUCAGGUUAGCCGGGUUCAAAACCUUUAUAAGAGAAUCGGUUUGGCUGGGAUGAGCCGAAUACUUGAAACAAGCCAGAAAGUGGGCAGACAAAAGAGCCGAAUGGCUAGGACAACUUGAGAUCUGGUCGGCCUGAAGAGCCGAAAAUGACUUUCUAUUAAAUGGAACCGGGGAAAGUACAGAGAGAUGGGUUUUUAGUCUACAACGGAGUGAUGCCCGAGGGGCAGACAGACUCCAGGAUGCUAAGUUACAGGAACUACUCCUAGGAAAAAUAAAUAAAUGCGAGAAAGAAAGAUGCAAGAAAAUAAAGGUGGUCUUUUGUGCGCAGGGGCUAAGACCCCUUUUUGGGGUAUUAUUACCCUAUUUAUAGAUAGCCCCCUUUGAUCAGUUAUUUCAUAAUCGGCCAUUAUCUCCUCAUAUUCCGGACCACUUCUAGCCGAUUGGAACCGCAUGUAACUGCUUGCGGUUGCCAUAACUUCCUUCAAUUCGCGUGAUACCUUCUUCCGGCACUUCCGAUGCACGACCCAAAAGACGCUUUUGAAGGGAAUAUUCGCACCUAAAUCCGAUUCUCGCUUAAUCGGCUCAACAAUUGCCUCCUCGGCAGCUUUCGAAGUAACACUUCGGUAGCUGGCGUGAUCUGAGACACGAUCACUUUUUAACUUCCUGACAUGGUUGCAUCUCGGCCGUUCCUUUUUCGCUGCCGAAAUUUUGUAAUUGAUUUGAUAACAAGCGCGAUCCGAGGCGUCAUUCUCGGUCCAAUCACAUUCAAAAUCUCUGCACCAGUACUAGAUAUGAUUCGAGGCGUGACCCUCUGUAUGGUUCAAUCUUAGCCGUUUAUUUCCUUUUCUUUACGGCCCGAUCUCAACUUUCGUUUUGUCUUACUUGCGGCAUUAACUAGGUUAUCUUAAUUACCGCCGUCUAUUCAUCAUUAAAACUGACCUCGAAACUCGCUUCGACGCGACGGUUCAAUACGACGACCUUUCUUCUUCUCCAAGCUUUUUAUUCUUUUUGUCUCUUCUAUUUCUUCUUCGUCUUCCAGGAAACCUUUCUUUUGCUUCCCUUUCCUUCAUCUUUUCCGAUUUUAUUUUCCACUUGACUUUUCCUCUUUCCUUUUUCGACUAAUGGCGUUGGUUCUGCCUCUUCCUUCUCAUCCAUCCCUGGAUUAUACUAUACUUAAACCCUUUGUCGAUUCGGACCCCUCUAGAUUUAUUUUGGGUCCUUCACUUACAAAAGUGCCAGCCCCUAUUGACUCGCCCUUUUCUAGCGAUGGUCUCCCCUUGAGAAAAGCUAUUCAUCUUCAGUCUUGGUACUCUUCUGCUUCAACAGGGAAGAGUCUUCGAACUUGGCCAAGUACUUCAGAGGCAUAUUUAACCUGGUUAGAUCGAGUAGAAGCCGUCUUUGGUGACUUUUGGCGAGAGGUUGGGAUAUAUGAAGCUAUUCAAUUGUCUCGGCAUCCUCCUAUUGCCGACAAUCUUCUUCUAGCCGCCACUCUGUGUUUUUGGUCCCCCACUUCUAAUGUUUUUCUUUUUAAAAGAGGGCCUCUCACCCCCACUCUUCUUGACGUGGCCACCAUUACUGGCUUGUGCCCUCAUGGCGUUUCUAUUUCUAUGUCUUAUAAUCCUGACGGCGUAUCUAAUUUUGAGGACCGUCUAGACCUCAAUGACUUGGCUUACUCCAAGUUCAUCCGCAAAUUCGCANGCCGCGUCAACGCCUCAACUCCUCGAAGCGUCCACCGAAUCCUCGGCUUCACGCGAGAUCCACCCGCCGAACCUCCUUCCGGAGCUUGUAGAAUUGAUGAUUUGUGGAGAUUAAGACUUAAAAUACCAUAAGCAAUGAGCGUUCACCUUCUAAUCAAUCAUCAACUUAAUUCUCGAUGAAAUUCUUGAGUUAAAACUUAAGAAUCAAGUCUAUGGUUGAUUAUACGAAACUCGUUAUAUGAAUAAAUCAUAAGAACAUGAAAACAAAUUUCUAGGGUUUUAGAAAGGUAGAAAUUCUGAGCCUCAACUCAUAUGAUGACCCCCAUAGCUUAUUUAUAGGUUUAGAAGACUUAGAAGUGGACUAGGAUUGCAAAAUAUCUAUUUUAAAAACUGACGUCGUCCUCAGGAACAGGUCCUCUCGAGAAAACCGGUCUUUGAGAGAUCGGUCCCUCGAGUGGGAGACCGGUCCCUCGCUGCGUGACAGAAAACACAACGUUCGGGAAUCGGUCUCUCAUGCCAGAGACCGAUCCCUCGCUGCGUGACAGAGAAACCCAUGUUCGGGAACCGGUCUCACUUUCCAGAGACCGGUUGCCUUAAUAUUCUAUGCAGUGAGGACCCUCGGGGACUGGUCUCUCAACCCUGGAACCGGUCCCAGAACACUGAGAAGUUCAGAUUCAGCUUCUUAAUGCAAUCCAAGUCUUCUAAACUUAUUUUUUGAUUAAAAUCACCAUAAAUGAUCUAUUUUUCAUACCUGAGGUGCCGAGCUUUCCGAAUGAAUCUUUGAUCUUCAACUUGCAUCUUAGUUUCAAAACUCCGUGCUUGAUUUUUCAAGACUCCAUUUGACUUUACGAAAUCCGCCAACCUAAAAAAUCCAUAACAAAUCCGGGGGUAUCGCCUCAUUAACUCACCAACUCAAAGUCCAUAAUCGCGGGCCCUCAGCUUCCUCCCGCUAGGACUAUCCUCUGGGGAACAGAACCACCCAGUGAUGACAAACUCCGGAGCGCAUCGCCCGAGGGGGAGCUACCGCCCUCGAGCAAGGACUUAUAGCGAGUAUGAUCAAUCCUUAACUCUAAGGAUAUUCAGUUCAAUCUGUUCCUUAACUCUAAGAAAUUUAUGCACAAAUGACCCUUAGCUCUAAGGUUGAAUGUCAUUGUGUCAAUCUCAUGUUCUUUGCAUUCUUUAUCUUCGACCAUGUCAAUACACUAACUCUAGUGUUCUUUACAUUCUUUACUAUCAUUCAUAUUAUACAUUAACUCUAGUAUUCUUGGAUGCCCCACAUUUAAUGCUAUCUUUAGCCAUUGUUCUUUAUGCCACAUUUUGUUGCUAACUCUAGCAAUUGUCAUUCUUUGAUGCCACACAUUUGCUAACUCUAGCUUUUAUCAUUCUUUAUACCACAUUUGUUCUCUUUGAUGCCACACACAUUAGCUCUAGUGUUCUUUACGUCAUACGUCAUGCUAACUUUAGCUUUCAUUCUCAACAUUACAUUGUCCUCAUGUCAUAUGUCACUUGUUCUUUAACUUCAUUAAGCUCUUAUCUCUUUUUACAUGCACAUAUAGGGUUAUUACAUUCUCAUCGGUUUUCAACCAUUUCAUGAUGCACUUGAACUCACAAAAUGCAAGCAUUCACAUAUUUAUAAUCUCAUUACCCUACUAUGCAUGCAACAAUUAUAUAUGUAUGCUCAAGAAGUGACACAUUAGACAUAAAGGGAAUUCCAACAAGUUUGGAAGGCACCACCCACCUCGUAGGCUUUCUUAGGUGCUACGGUAAUUUUCUUGGAAUUUUUAGACUCCUAAUUCGUCACCUGCGGCAAAACGAAGCCAUAUUAGGCCUUUUUGCUCAUAACUUUACAUAGGCUUUUUGUAAUGUCAAUCCGAGCUCACCAACGCGUUCGUUUGGUCCCCAAUUAGGUUUCUAGAUGGUCAAUUUCACUUUGAAUCCCUCACAAGCAAAAGUUCCAAAUUUUAGGUGCCCUAGCUUCACAUACACCAAAUCUAGGAUUUUGAUCUCUUAGAGAAGCAAAAGAAAGCUUCAAAACUCUUUAAUCAUUCCAUUAAAACCAUUUUUAGGUCAAUCAAAACCCAUUCUAGGGUUUCACCAUGAGAGGGGUUGAAGCUUACCUCUAAGCUUCACCACCUACACCCAAUCCAUGGUUUUGAUCUCAUCCACAAGCAAAAGAAAGCUUGAAAUACCCCAAAAGGCUCUACUAAAACUAUUCAUAGGUCCUUUGGUUCUCAUCUUAGGGUUUUACUAUGAAAGGGAUCAAAGCUUACCUCAAAGCUUUCCCUUCUUUGCUCCAAAGAGGAAGAAGAAGGAGUUGCUCCACUCCUUGGUCUUCUUCUCCACCUUUGUCUUCUUCUACUUCUCCCUCUUUUCUUUUCUUUCUCUUUCUUUCUUCUUCUCCUUCUUGUCUUCUAGAGAGAGAAAGAGGGGAGAGAGUGUGUGAGAGGGAGAGAAUGAGAGAAAUAUCCCAUAACCCCUCAUAACAUAACCCAUGGGUUUAAUUGCAAAUAAACCCCUCAACUUUCACUUUAUUAAACUGCCCAAACUGGGCCAUUUUCGAGCUCGGGGACCGGUCUCCCUGACAAGGGACCGGUCCCAGAGAGCUUUCCCCAUGGGCAGCCAAGGCCCCCGCGCAAUGCAACCAGUCUCUCCCAGAGGGACCGGUCUCUCGGGGACCGGUCUCUCCCCGCAGGGACUGGUUUCCGAGAGCUGGUUUUCUGGGACUUAGCCGAUUUUUCAGCUUUCUCAUUUCUCACGCGUUCGGGGACCGAUCUCUCCCACCAGGGACCGGUCCCCGAGAGCACAAAAGCUGCAGUUUGCAAAUUUUUAUUUCUUUAGCUCUCGAAGAUCUCUUUAAACGCACUUUUACUUAUUUUAACACCUUCGGACUUUCCGAAGUGUACCAUCCUCACACUUUGGUCAAUCUGACUAAAGUUCGAUAUUUAUUUUUCGAAUUUUCGGUAUAUUAAAGACGGAAUUGGAUGUUAUUUUUACUCGCUAUGUGAGCUUAGCGAUACCCUUUAGGACUUAGAACCAUGUCAUGAAAUGGAUAUUUGGUGAUGCCACUUUAGCAUAAUAUCUAAGGGCCAUAAUUGAUUCAGUUCAGCGGAACAUGUCUAGGAAAGCAGUCAAGUUGAAAUGGAUUGGCAUGAGACAUAUGAGGAAAAAUCAUUUGACAAUACACCUAUAAUUCUUGACUCAUAGCCCAGGUGAUUAUGUUGAUAUUUGUUAUUAAUAUAAUCAUGAGUGCAGAUGCACUGAUAAGAGAGAUCUAACUUGCUCUAUAGGGAUUAGAGAUGCUAAAAUCUGGUAUUGUUCAAUGAUUUGUGGUAUAGAAGAGAUUUGGAGUUGUAGUGUUAUAUUAGUUGGAUAGUGGCUUAAUAUAAUACUCCUCACUUGAUUCCUCUUGUUAUUGAUUGCACCAAUUAUUUCUCGUAUGAAGAGUAGAACGAGAUAAGAAUAUAUUUGUGAUGAGACAAUAUGAAUAAGUACCAAGUGUACGAGUGGGAGAGUUAGGAUUCGUCCACAUUGGAACAUAUCUAAAAUAUUUCUAAUCCACAUCGGAUAAGGAAUAAAAUUAAGAGAUAGAUCCUAAUAUAUUUAAAUCUCUAUCUAUGUGAGAUUCCGUUAGAAUAGGAUUGGAACUAACAUCUUUUCUAUGGCCUAUAAAUACAUGAGAUAUUGGCUGCAUACAAUACAAAAAAAAAAAAAAAAAAAAGAAUAAUCUCUCCACAAAAUUCUUUUUCUUGGGUUCACUCUAGGGCAUCAUCAGAAACCUUAGGGAUUUGGGCGGUGUGCUGCAAUCCACUCUGAUAGCCUAUUAGCAACGAGAAAGAACAACAUGUAAGAAAUUGAGACAGAUUGCUGGCGGAUUAAGGAGUUCGUAAAACAAGAUGAGAUCAAAUCCUAAUAAUUGCAACAUUAAUUCCGCAUCAAAGAGGUAUGUAAAAAUCUAUAUCAUUUUUGUACUUUGAUUUGGUUAUUUAUUUUUCCUACAAUUCUAUUAGGCCUAGUUUUGGAUUUAUCUUGCAAAAUCAUCUCUGUUUUUAUACUUUGGAAGGUUUCAAUCUUCUCUGUUUUAGUAUUACCAAAUUGUAAUGAAAAUUGAAAGUGGAGAAGCAUGUAGUUGCAUGCUUCUUAGAAAGAAUAAUUAGAAUUCCAAGAAGCUUUUCAGUGACAACACCUACAAUCUAUAUUUAUUUAUUUCAUUGAUUAUUUAAUUCUUUUUCAAAACCAUAUAUCCUAUUUUCACAGUUAUUUACCUAAAGAAAUAAGGAACAUACUAUUAGAAUUUUAGUUAGAUUUGUAGUUAAAUUCUAGUUAAAUUAAAAUAAAUAUUUAAAUCUAUCAAAAAUAAAUUAAUUUAAAUUUAAAUAUUAAUUAGAAUCGAAUUUUUAAUUAUACUAGAAUUGGAGUAAGUUUUUCUUGAGCUUAAUAUAUAAUUCCAUGGUAUACGGGUUUGUAUGGCUUAGCCUUGUAGUACGGCCAAUUAAUUAGUUGCUUUAUAGUUAGCAGAGCAGAGAAGGUGAGGCCCUAUCAGAGAGAGAGCAGCAAUAUGCUUAGUGCACCUGGUGUCUAGGUGCAUAAGAAUUGUUGAAGUUAGAUGAUUUGAGCAUAGGUUUGAUUUCAAUGAGAGAAGUCUUCUAAACUUAUAGAAGACAAGAGAAGGGUGAGAGGGAUUCAGAAAUAGGGCUUAGGUUGAAGCUACUCUAUACAGAAGAGAAAUCACAUAUAAUUCUUCUCUUAUUUAGUAAAUUUUGUUUUAUCUGUAUUUUCUAUUUGAUUUUUUUCCUUUUUGUAGCUAUGCCAGCUGUUUGCUGAGGAAACGGGUUUCUGGUAAAAAUUUGAUUUGAGCUUUUGUUACGCAAUACCAACUACUGGUACCAAAUCAACAGCGGUCGAUAUCAAGGCGGAUUGCGAAUUUUUCAAAAUAUGAUAUUAGAGUGAGUACCAAAUUCUCAAUAAUUGGUAUUAGAGCUUAAGGUUACUGAUCUUCCGGAGAGAUCGACGAAGAUCGCUACAAAAUUGGAAAUUGAGAAGUUCGACGAUAAAUAAUUUCGGAUUGUGAUAGAUUAAAGUACGGAAAGUCCUCAUACAACAAGAGUUAGAUGAGAUGUUGAACAGGAAGGAAGCGAAGCCGGCAAAGGUCACGGAUUCGAGUUGGGAGAAGAUAGAGUGGAAGGCACCGAGUACGCUUCAUUUAUUAUUAGCAGAUAAGGUUCUUUGCAACAUAGCCAGCAAGUCAACACUGGCGAAGUUGUGGAAGAAAUUGGAAGAGAUCUAUACAUGACUAAAUUCCUGACAAAUUGUAUAUGAAGUAACGACUAUUCAUGCUGCGGAUGCACGAAAUGACGAGCCUAUAUGAGCAUCUGAAUGAGUUCAAUAAGGUGGUAAAUAAGCAGCCUGGUAAAUAAGGUUCGAAAGUGAGAUCGGAUCGUGUGCGAGGUAAAUAAGCAGAGAAAUUUAUACGUUCUGAAUGGGAGCACAGCCUGAACAGGAGAAAAGACGGUUUGGGCUCUAAAAGUUUAUGAAGGUGCAGCCGCUCGAGGUGGAGUAGCGAAUGUGGCGACAUCGAGCGAAGGAGAUACACUCAAAGUGAAGCUCGUAUAGUGAGCUCGACACAAAAGUUGAAGACAACAAAUCAAAUCACGGUGAAGAUUGUUAGAAUUUUGGUUGGAUUUGUAGUUAAAUUUUAGUUAAAUUAGAAUAAAUAUUUAAAUUCAUUAGAGAUAAAUUAAUUUGAAUUUAGAUAUUACUUAUAGUUGAAUUUCUAAUUAUAUUACAAUUGGGUACGUUUUUGUGAAGUUUAAUAUAUCCACGCAAGCCAGUUCGUGUUCGGCUCGAAAUGAGCUCGAGAUCGAAUCGCUCGUUUAUUAAACGAGCCGAACAUGAGCUGGGGUCAGCUCGCUCGUGUUCGGCUCGAUAACAGCUCGAAUACAUAUAUUUAUAUUUAUAUAAUUUGUUUAAUUUAUAUUUAUAUAUAUAAAUAAAUAAUUAUAUAUAUAAUAUAUAUUUUUAUUAUUUAAUUUUUAGCAAAAUAAAAAUAUAAAGGCGAGCUCAAUUAUAAAAAAAUCCAUUUAUAUGUAAAGUUUUAACUAUUAGAUCAAAGUCUAAUGGAUAAGAUUUUAUAAAUUUAUUUUUUAUAUAUAUGUCAAUCCUAUUUUCCUUUUAACUAUUGUCGUGGCACUCGUGUUCAGGCUCGUUCAAUUAAGAGGCAGAACACGAGCUGAAUUUUUUGACUCGAUACCUUAACGAGUCAGCUCGUGUUCAACUUGUUUAAUAAACAAGCCGAACACGAGCCAACCGAGCUCGGUCGUGUUCGGCUCGUUUACACCCCUGCUCCAUGGUAUGCCGUAGAGGUGUUGCUCUCUAAUUAGUAGAGCAGACAGGUGAGACUGUACGGGAGAGUGAGCCAAUAUGCUUAGUGCACCUGGUGUAUAGGUGCAUAAGAAUGGUUAAAGUUAGAUGUUUUGAGCGUAGGUUCGAUUUCAACGGGAGAAAUCUUCUUGAAAAGGGUGAGAGGAAUUGGCAAAGAGGGUGACGGCCGAAACUAUUUUAUGGAGAAGUGUAAUUUAUUUUUAUUUACUGAAUCUUAUUAUACCUGUAUUUUCAGUUUGGUUUUUUUUUUUUGGUUGUGUAAAUUGUUUGCUAAGAAGACGAAUUUAUAAUAAAAAUUCAAUUUGACACUUUUAUUGCGGAAUACCAAUAAUCAAUACCAAAUCAACAACAGUCGAUAUCAAAGCGCAUUGUAAAUUUUCAAAAUCUGAUAUCAGAACGAAUAUUACAUUCCCAACACAUAUUUCGAAAACAAGUACUUUCGGAUUGUGAAGAAAUUAAUAGCAAAGAAGUAAAAGAUUUUAAGUAGCUAAAAAUUUUGAAAUAUGGUUAGUAAUUGACAGUUUUCUAUGAAUGGAGUUUGAACAAAUUAUUUACAUAUUUACCAGAGAAGCUUGUCGUGUUUUGUGUCUGGAUGAGUUUUAACAAAUGAUCGACUCUGCCUUAUAUUAUAUUAUAGGACAAAAAUUUGCUCGGCAUCCGUGCCUAAACAAAUCCGUGCCCAAACAAAUUGUUUGGGCACGGAGCCGGAUGGGCGCCCCAUCACCACCGCCCCUUUCCCCUUUCUCUCUCUCUUUCUAAAAAACAGAGCCCACCAAUUUUUUUUUCUUUUUUCCGAGGGUCGCGAUGGGCGCCGCACGCCGCACACCACGCGGCGCCCAUCGGCAUCGUCCCCGAACAAAAUUGUUUGGGGACGAUGCCCAGCAAAUUUUUGUCCUACUAGUUAAGGGACCCCGCGCUUCGCGGCUGGAAGCCAAUACAAUAAUAAAUUAUUAGAAAUAUUAAAAUCAUUUUUUUUUUCAUAUUAUGUAUUAAUAUUUUUAAAUAUUAUUUAUUUCCGUAUUGAAUAAUUAAAAAUGAAAGAAUGAACUAAAUAAUCCAAAAAAAUAAGGUUAACAUAAUGAGUUGCCGUGUAGAACUUAGACAUUUAUCAGGCAAAUGCAAAUCUGUUGACCAUCAAUUAAUGUAAAUUUCAUGCGAGCCAAUAAACACAGCUUGAAGAGCAUAAUCCAAAAAAUAAGGUAGAAGUAAUAAGUAAACACAGCUUGAAGAGCAUAAUCCAAAACAUAACAGUAAUGCAAACCGGAAUGUAAAGACAGAUAAAUCUGUUGACCAUCAAUUAAUGUAAAUUUCAUGUGAGCCAAUAAACACAGCUUGAAGAGCAUAAUCCAUAAAAUAAGGUAGAAGUAAUAAAUAAACACAGCUUGAAUAGCAUAAUCCAAAAAAUAAGGUAGAAGUAAUAAGCUGCCUUCCUUUCAUACCGAAAACCGGACAAAAGGUGUGAAAAUAAAUAGUAGAUAACAACUGAAGUACGGAAUUAAAGGUAAGUACAUAGUCUGAUAAGCCACACUUAAAAGCUGUGUGCAAUAGCUUUGGCCAAAACAAAAGGAUGGCAACAAAAUGAUAAGUGAGGUAGUAACUAACUACAUAUUCUUACAUGCCAAGCUUAUAAAGCCAACAGUAUCCAAAAUCAAAGUAUGGCAUCAAAAUAGAAUAUGAGUAUACAAAAGAGCCAUUAGUUAAGGCAAUUGAUUAGACAUGGCUUUAGAGGGAUUGGUCUCAGGAACAGGAGGAGGUGUAAGAGCAGUAAUGCGGUUUACUAUGUCAUAGCAUUCUCCAACGGCACGCCGAAGCUGGAUUUGGUCAUUGACAUAUACAUUUUUUUGCUCAACUGUACUCACGAAGCAUUCCUUCAAAAAGUCGUAUUCACGAGAAAGGUUGCUAAGCUGCGUACUUAAUUGUGUAGUUACCACUGUAUAAUCAGUACAUUUGUGGUCAUAUAAAGUCUUAUAGAGCACAGAGUCGUCAUAAUUAACAUCUUUAAUUUGUAAGUCGCAUUCAUCCUUAAUUCUCUUAAGAGCGAGGCGCGCAACAUCUUGUUGAGCACCAAUGGAAGUAGGGAACUGAGAGCUUGAACAACAAACAGUUUGGAUGAUGGUUUUGCUUCGCGGAAUUGCAAAUCCACAUGACCUACAAAUUUUCCUUCAUCAUCCACAUCUACUACAAUCUGUGGCACAUCCAGGUGUAGCUGUUCAUAAACCUCACUGAGCAGUCUAAUGUAAGAAACGUUAAUAGUCGUCAUUUCUCGAGCUGCGGAGAAAAAGGGAAGAAAACAGUUUUUUUUUUUUUCAAAUAUUGGGAGAGGGUUAUAGUGAAAUAAGUUAGAAUGGUGAAAAAAAAAGAAAGAAAAGGAAACGAAAGAUAUCAUGACCAGCUAAUAAAAGCAGAAAAGAAAGGCAUGAAAAAAAGAGGAAAAAAUGCUUAUGUAAAGAAUAACCAAAGCUGCAGGCACACACACACGUUUAUAGUGAGGGAAGAAGAAUCAGAUGGCAUUUAUAGUGAGGGAAGAAGAAGCAGAUGGUUCUUUAAUGCCAUUCAAAGUGUUUUACCUGCACGUUUUUUAACAGGAACCAUACGUAUUUUUGUAAAAANAGAGAGAGAGAGAGAGAGAGAGAGUGAGAGAGAGAGAGAGAGAGAGAGAGAGAGAAUUAGGAUGGAAUACUAUUAAUAGUAAAACGCUUGUUUUGCUAUCAAAUUUUUAACCCUUGGAUGAAAAAUUAUAGGGUCAGAAUGAUAUUAGUCGGUUAGAGUUGAGUGGUCCCCACUGGGUUAUAGUAUUUAAUCCAAUGGUUAGAAAUAAUGAAAAGAAUUGAUCCAGAGGCUAAAAAACUGGUAGCAACAAUGAGAUUUUGCUACUAAUAGUAGCCCAGUCCAACUCUAUAUAUAUGUAUAUAUAUAUAGACACACGCCCAUAAGCAAGUACAAUUGUUACACACUCUCUACCUUUUUUUUUUGGCAGGGGGAUCAGGUAAAAUGUCAUGCACAAAUCAAAACCAAAGCAAACAGGAAAUUGCAAGUAGAAAAAUUAGCGAGGCUCAGAUACUCUAUAUGUAAGCAGCAUUGCUACCAUCCUUUUAUUUAAGUCAUCGGCUGAACAUAAGAGGCUGUAAAUGGUUGCAGAUGGUUGCCUGGGAAAAGGCCAUCCAAACCUGCAAUGCUUAGCCUUUCGCUGGAAUGGAGCAGGAAAAAAGCAAGGAGAAAAAGGCGGGUGAAGUUGAGUGAAAACGUGAAGCUUCAUUUGAAAAGGCGGCAAGUAAAAAAUCUGUAAAACAAUUGAACCAAAUGCUAAAACAGUAAACAAGUAGGGGAUGAUUAAGAAAAGAAAGAACCCAAGCUGUAUAAGCACAAAAGAGUGAAGGAAAAAGUAAAAGAAUAAUUUAAUCACUGUGAAUCAUAGAUAAAGUUGAGAGAAAAAAAAAGGUGAGUACCACACAAAGGAAAAAAAUAACAGUAAUGCAAACCGGAAUGUAAAGACAACAAUAGAAGUUGGGUGGGCGUGCACAUGCCGUCCAAAUCGGAAGCAGAUGGUUGCCUUUGUGCAGGACACCAUUCCACUUCUAUGAGUUAACCGCAUUUGCAUUGUAAAGAAACAGCCUCUUUUUUUUAUUAGGUAUAUAGCCUCAAUAAAUAUCCGAACCAAGCAAGCAACAAAACACAAAUACAGAAGAUAGGGAAAAAAUCCGAACAAACAUAAUAAAAGAUCUGAGCCAAGAAAACAAUAAAACACGAACACAUAAGAUAUUAAACACAUUAGAAACUAAUGUAAAUUAAAACAUAAGUAGGUUCAGAGAAAAGUGUGAGAAAUGGACCAAUUUGAAGGACUCCCUUCAUCACUUGAGUAGGUAACAUGAACAGAAAUGCACACGGGGUUGCCUAACAACAGGCCAUCCAACCUUCUGGCAUAGUAUAUGCCCUAAAUAGUCGCCGCCAUCACGCAAAGAAGCUGUAAAUCCGAGAACUGAUAAAAAGCAAGAAUAUACAACACCGAAGGGAUGUAACAGUUCCUCACAAAUAGAAACCAUAUAAAUAUGAACAACCAAGUAAAAGCAGGGGAGAAGAGAAAGAAAAAAAAAAAAACUUACAAAAGCAAGAGGGAAAUGAAAAGUAUACAGUGAAGCAUGAAACAAAAAAACACAUGUCAGCCACCAGCUAAAGUCCGAAUCAAAAAAGAAGGCAAAAUUUUAGGGAAAGAAGGGUGUGUGCACGCCCUACUUAAUUUGACAGCACAACAAAACCACAGCACAACAAAGCCAGGUAGUGAGGAGAACCCGUUCCCACAUAUUAGUGCCAAGUAAAUAAGCAAAUGGCCUAGGCAGUAUAAAAAACAGGUGAGGGGGAGGGAGGGAUGGGGGGUGGGGGGUACGUAGCACAGUAAGCAGGCAACAACACAGGUGGAUAAUAUAGGUGCCUGCAAUUAUGAGAUCAGUUAGCACUAUAAUUUAGGCAGUACUAUAUGUUCUAUUGUAAAUAGUGUAAUUCUACCUUACAAUGCAGGAAUAGGACAGUGCACAACUUUCUGCAAAAAAGUGCUAUUUAUAGACUUUAUCAGAUAAAGCAAGUAGAGAGAAGAAGAGGAAAGGAGGGUAACGUACGGAUGACAUCACUAAAUAUUGGCAUAUCUUCCCCCCCUUUUAUUCCUUUUUUUCUCUCUAGUUAAAACCAGGGACCAAAAAGAGGGGCAUAGAGGCCAAAUAGAUCUAGAUUUAGAGGCCACCACAGUUUUGGAUUUCAUCACAACCACACAUUACAGAAGCAAGCUCUGGCAUAUCUUCCCCCCCCCCCUUUUAUUCCUUUUUUUUCUCUCUGGUUAAAACCAGGGACCAAAAAGAAAGGCAUAGGUGCCAAAUAGAUCUACAUUCAGGGGCCACCACAGACAACCGCACAUCACAGAAGCAAGCACUGGCAUAUCUUCCCCCCUUUUAUUCCUUUUUUUCUCGCUGGUUAAAACCAGGGACCAAAAAGAGAGGCAUAGGGGCCAAAUAGAUCUAGAUUUAGGGACCACCACAGUUUUGGAUUUCAUCACAACCGCACAUCACAGAAGCAAGCCCAUUAACAGUAGAGUAUAUCCGAAGAGAGAUUAGAAAUAUGAAGCAGAGAGAGGGCUCACCUGUACGUAUAGGAUUAGAAUCAUGAGUAGAGAGAGGGCUCACCUGUACGUAUAGGAUUAGAAUCAUGAGUAGAGAGAGGGCUCACCUAUACUCGAUGGUACCGUUUGGAUUGGGUACAAGAGGGGGGAUAAGGGGGUUAUCCCCCCUCUUGUACCCAAACGAAAUUUGGGGAGGUGGAACAACUUGUUCCACGCCCAACCGGACAAGCCUCUGUUCCUAUGUCCGGUUGGGUGGAACAAUUGUUCCACCCCCUUCGUUAUGAGAUGGGAGAGAGAGAGGAUGACGGAGGAGAGAGAGAGAGAUUUUUAUUUAAUUUAAAUUUCUAAAAUUUAUAAUUUGUUUUUUAAAAUUUAAAUAAUUAUAAUUUUAAAUUAUACAGAUCUUUAUGUUUAAAUUUAUAAAUUUGAUAUUUUAAUUUUUUAUUUUUUUAAUUAAUUCUUUUUAAAUUUUAAAUUUAAAUUUGAUAUUUUAUAUGUUUCAAAUUAUUUGAUCUAAAUUUAAAAUUUAAAUUUGAAAGAAGAAAAAGAAUUAGAUUAGGGUUUUUUAUUUCUUUCGCCCAACCNAAGUUAAAAUUUUUAAUUUAAAAUUAUAAGUUUAAAAUUUUAAAUUCAAUUAUAGGGGUAAAAUCAUUAUUUUCUAUCUAUAACUAACAACUAUUCCACCUUAUACUCACAUUUUCAUCCAAACACAAUUUUUCUAGUUCCAGCUUAUACCCAUAUUUUCGUCCAAACAAAAAAAUAUCCUUGUUCCUAUGAAAACCUAUACUUGUACCUAUCCCCGGUAUAACUAGUUCUUGCUUAUACCCGAACCAAACGAAGCCAAUCGGUAUAGGGGCCGAGCCAUCAGCCAGCAGAGGGAAGACCUCACCUGUAAGGCUGGUAGGUAUAGGCGUAGACCCAUGAGAGAUGGUCCAACCCGAUGACAGCUAAGGAGAGAUGGCGAGGGUAGCGCCGAGCCGCCGAACCCGAUGACAGGUAAGGAGAGAUGGCGAGGGUAACGCCGAGCUGCCGAACCCGAUGAUAACUAAGGAGCGUUAGUGAGGGUAACGCCGAGCCGUCGAGGAGAGAAGAGAGUGAAAUCGUUUUGGUGGGGAGAGGGACAGCGCGAGAAGUAGAGAGAGGCGCGAGAGAGCGACGGGGAGAGUGAGAGCUGGAGCGAGAGAGAGCGGCGGGGAGAGAGAGCGUCGGGUAGAGAGAGAAAGGGAGAAAGAGAUAGGGGAGAUAGAGAUGGCCUGAGGGAGAGAGGGAGGAGAGCAUCGGGUAGAGAGAGCGACAGUUAGAGAGAGAUAGGGGGAGACAGAGAUAGGUUGAGGGGGAGAGAGAGAGAGGAGAGGGGGUUUUACAACUGUUUUUUUUUUCCUUCAUUUUUUUUUUGUUCGCAACCCCACCUCUUCAACGGCUGCCAUGUGAAUUUGGCUUCCCUCCACACUCCACGUGGCUCCGUUGUACUGUCAAAUAGAAUAGUUAUAGAAAUUAUAUGACCUCUGCAUAAUUUUAAUCCUCGUUUUUUCCAUCUUUAUCUAUUUUGUACUUUGGAUUAACUGCAUGUCUCGUCCUCAAGAUUAUAAGAUGCGUGACAUUUUACUCCUCAAACUAUAUUUAUUGUAAUUUCUAACUUGAACUUUCAAAUUUAUUAAAAUUAAGUCCUACGAACUAAUGCAAAAUCAAUAUAGAGAGCUAUAAUUAAUAAUAUGAUAAUAAUUUAGAUGUUAUAUUACUUUUAUAUCAACAUGCCUAAAGAAAAUAAGAAAUUUCAGAUUAAAAAUUAUAACAAAUUAAAGUUUGACGACCAAAAUAUUACAUGCCUCAUAGUUGGGAAACCAAACAUGUAAUUUAUUCGCAUACUUUUAAUUCAGUAACCUAAUUUCUAAAUAAAGAAAAAUAGUAUAACUCAAUAUUGAGCCAUCAUCCUAAAUAUGAGGCGUUACAAGGAUUCGGUAAACAUAUGGUGCAAAAAAUAAAUAAAUAAAUAAAUUGACGUGUUGUACAUAGAGGAUAAUUUGCCCUCCCAUAGUAAUUAAAAUUCACACGAUAUAAGGUGGAGCAUUUUUUAAAAAUUUUAAAUCUUUAAUGUCGAAUUCUAAAAUUAGAUGAUCCAAAUAAAAUUUAGGCACAUUUAGAGAGUCGCAAUGCAAUUCAACCUUUAAAUAUCCCAACAUAAUAUCUUUUUUUCUUGACUUACUUUUUCUUAAAAAUAAAUUUAAUUAAAAAUAUAAAGCAAUUUAAUUUUGAACUUGAAAUGAUUGAUAUCAAUUAUCAAUCUUUUUACCCUUGCGCUAGGGUCGGUGAAUCAAGUCAACAGGAUAUUUCUAAUUAAAGCACUCUUCAUCCUCUUCACCGAAGCCGGCCACUUGGUCCGAAGAUGGAAGAGCUUCUCAUCGUCCUCUCCUCUUCACGGAUAUGGCAGAAUUUGUCGGGAUGAAGGUUAGCGAGUGGUUCGCGUUCUACGUUCUAGAUAGGCUGGUCAGCAAGGUCUUCUCCUACUUCUCCGGGCGAUGCGAUCUGCUGAAAGGCGUGGAGGACAUGCUGCGGGACGUGGAGGAUCGGCUUCCGCGCAUCCGAGCGGUGAUCGACGCGGCCGAGGGGAUGCCCGUCAGGGAUCCGGCGCUGGCCAAAUGGAUAGCCGAGCUCAAAGACGCCGCGUACGCGGCCGACGACGUCGUGGACGAGUUCGAGUUCAGAGAGCUGCACGACAGAUUGCACCCGCGGGGCAAGGUGGGUGAGCUAUCAUCCUCGGCUCACAAACUUCUCGCGCAUUUUACCUUCUCGGACGAGGACCUCAUUAAAAGCUUGAAGAAUCUUGUAGAGAAUCUUGAUAAAAUUUAUGCCGACAUAGGCCACAGGGAAUUGAAGCUGGAUCAGUACUGCAAAGAUAAGAAGGAAGCCACCGCGGCCUGCAGGGAGACCAGCUCGUUCAUGCUGGAAGACAAGGUGUUUGGGAGGGACAAAGAGACACAGAUGAUGCUAGAUCUGCUGCUCAGCGCAGGCGAGCCGGCUGAUCGUGGUGGCGCCACUACAUGCAGCAGUGCAGCGGGGAGCAGCAGCGGUCCUGGUCUUGCCGUUCUUCCGAUCGUAGGUAUAGGAGGAGUCGGCAAGACAACUCUUGCGCAGCUUAUCUACAAUGAUCCAAGGGUAGCCCAGCACUUUCAGCUUCGGAGGUGGGUCUACGUCUCUGACAAUUUCGACGUGAAAAGGAUCUCCAAAGAGCUGGUGCAUGGGGGGAUUGCCGAUCCUCGCUUCGUCGAUAUCAGUUUAGAUGAGGCUCUAGUGAAGGUCACGGAUGCCACUAGGAAUGAAAGGUUCUUGUUCGUACUCGAUGACGUGUGGGACGAGAGAGGAAUCAAGUGGAAGGAGCUCCGUAGUGCAUUGAAAUUCGGGUUGAAAGGAAGUGUUGUUUUAGUAACUACUCAAAGCCCGGUUGUGGCAGAUCUUAUGGGGACCGUGGAACCGAUUGAGUUGAAGUGCUUGGAGGACUACGACUAUUGGGAGCUCUUUGAACACUACGCGUUUGGCGAUCAGGAUCAGCUUGACGGGAGCAAGCGGAAAAGGCUGCAAUUAAUUGGUCAAGAAAUAUCGAAAAAGCUACACGGCUUACCGCUUGCAGGAAAGGUGCUCGGAACUCUGCUCCAAUCCGAACAACAAGAGGGGUACUGGAGAUCAAUCUCCGAAAGCGAGUGGUGGAAGCAAGAACUUGCGCUAGAUAGCAUCCUUCCAUCUCUUGGAUUGAGCUAUCAGCACUUGACCACGAACCAGAAACAAUGCUUUGCUUACACUUCUAUAUUCCCGAGGGGUUACGAAUUCGAGAAGGAACAACUGGUCCACAUGUGGAUUGCACAGGGAUUUAUCCAAUUCGACUCCGACCAGAGAACCAGACCGGAGGACUCAGGCAAUCGUAUGUUUGAUGAGUUAGCCAACAGGCACUUCUUUUUUCCUACGAUGCAUAACAAGUUUGUGAUGCAUGAUCUGAUCAGAGACUUGGCCGUGUAUGUUUCGUUGGAUGAAUGUUAUGCGGUCAAUGAGUGGCCGGUAAAGUUUCCAGCGACUGUUCAUCACUUAACUCUUAAUACAGAUAAUCUAGAUGUGCUAAGGGACGUCCCCAAGUUUCAAAGAUUACGAUCUAUCAUAUUUUUUCGAGAAUAUGAUUCUUCAGAACUUGAUGAGAUUCUCGAAGGAAUCUUAAAGAAUCUCAAAAGCCUGCGAGUGCUAGAUUUGUCACACAGCGGUAUACAAAUAAAAAAGUUACCAGAUGCUAUCUGUGACCUAUCACAUCUUCGGUACCUAGAUAUUUCGUGCACUGGUAUCAGGCAAUUUCCAAAACAGUUUUCCAGGCUUUGCCAUCUACAGGUUCUUAACUUGCAGCGCUGUCGCUUUAAGAAGAUGCCUGAAGGAAUGAAUAGACUAAUAAAUAUGCGACAUUUAUACGCAGGAGCUGAAACAAUUGCUCUAAUUGAUGGGAUCGGGAGACUUACCGACCUUCAGGAGUUGGAAGAAUUCCGCAUCACAAGGAAGAGAGGACACCGGAUCGAAGAGUUGAAGGGACUGAGAAACCUCCGGAGGCGACUUGUUAUACAAAAUCUUGAGAGUGUGGAAAGUAGGGAGGAGGCCAUGGCAGCCGACUUAAAGAACAAAGAAUACCUUAAUGCACUAUGCUUGAAUAGGAAGCCUGAUGUAAAAGGCCAGUGUGAUCUGGAGGAGCAAAUGUUUGAAGGCCUAGAACCACAUUACAGUCUUAAAAAUCUUACAAUUCGGCAUUAUGGAGGUGCGACACUUCCAAAUUGGCUGGCAAAGAAGCAGCAUCUCACCAAUCUAGAAUCUGUUUACCUAAGCAACUGUGCUAGGUGCGCGAGUCUGCCACCCCUCGGGCAUCUUCCUUUUCUCAAGGUCCUCCACAUUAGCAUGAUGCCUGCAGUUAAACGAAUCGGAGUUGAAUUCUAUGGGGAUGCUGAUCAAGUCUUUCCAUCACUCGAGGAUCUCAGCUUUACCGACUUGAAGGAAUGGGAAGAAUGGGAAGAGUGGCCUCACACCGAAGGUCGGCAAUUUUUCCCUCGACUCCGUCUAGUCCACAUUUUCACUUGCUGGAAGCUGAGAAAAGUCCCACUUCAUUACUUAAGUUCAGCAGUGAUUGAGCUCAGAAUUCGUGGGUGUGGUGACUUGGGCGGUGCCCUGCCUCGAUGUCUACAGAGCCUAACCUCCCUCAUCAUCCUAGAAUUGAGUAACUACCCACAUAGAACAUCAGUUUGUCUGUCUAACCUAAGGCAUCUAGAGUUGUUGAAACUCGGAUGGUCAGAGUUUAGCCUACUUACCGGGUUUCGGUCCCUCACUAGCCUGAAAGAUUUGCAAAUUGGAGGAUGCCCCAAGGUGAAUGAUUUCAUGCAGACUGAGCUGCCAUAUGAGGAUCCAGAUCUGAGAUCACUCUCUUUUUUCAGCACGGACGAUAUCCCUUUCAACAAUGUGUGGAUCACACUAGGAACUGCCCGCUCCCUCCGUUAUAUUAUCCUUCAGAACUGCGAUCAUCUUGCUUGCUUCAAGGUAGAGCAGGAAGAAUGGUUCCAGAAGCUAAUCUUACUCGAAGAACUAUCAUUCUUGGCGUGUCGAAAUUUGCAAAGCCUUCCUACUUCUCUAGUAACCUUUUCCUCCAUCAAGAAGUUGUCCAUAGGCCUCUGCCCUGAGAUUAAAUCACUGCCAGAGAAUGGCCUACCAGCUUCGCUUAAAGAAUUGCGCAUCUGGGGGUGCCCAUCGCUGAAGGAGCGCUGUGUAAAGGAUCAAGGACUAGACUGGCAACUUAUUGCUCACGUUCCUUUUAUAUUCAUAGAUGGUGAAACCGUACAAAUUCUGUGAGAGAGUAGUUAAGCUAACUAAUUAAUCAGUUUCUUUAUCUGGUACUGAGUUUCAUUACUUUCUUUCUAAUAUUUGUGUUUUUUUGUACAUCUGUUUUCACGAUUCAUAAGUUAUGUAUAUUUCAAUACAUAGUUAUAUUCAUAUAGUUAAAGAUAACAUCAUUGGAAACUCUUUGAAAGAGAUUUUAAGAUUGAGGCCAACUUAAUUAGUUUCUGCAACAGAAUGNUUAUAAUAUAGGAAUUUGAGAACUACUUGAGGAAAAAGGAGUAAAUUAGUCCCAUACUGGAACUACAACUUUGUUUUUAACUUGCUACUCGUAAGAUUGAGAGUAAUAACUUACUUGAAAUUUUUCAUUUGUGUUGAAAUUGAAUGGUUUAUAGUUGUCAAAUUUUUUUGUAAUAUUAAAGUUGAAAGCCAGCUCUAAAUAUGCGGUGUACAGACUAGACUAGAGCCAAAAUCUUGCUCCUGAUCAAGCAUGGGAUCCACCCUAGCUAGCUCGCUACUCCAAUACCCGCACCGCUGCCUCCUUCCUGAUCUGAUCUGAUCAAGCAUCGAUCGAAUUCUGGCCGUGGCCGGAAUGAGGAAGCAUGUCACCACCAUCUCGGCAUCUCCCCACCAGGCCACCACAUCCACAUGCAAAUCGACGGCUCCCAUCCCAUGAUCCCAUCCCAUCCCAUCAUCCUGUCAUACGCAAUUUGGCCGUCUUCCCAUAAUGCUCGACUAAUAAUAAUACUUAACAGAUGAUAGAUACCAUUUUCUUUGUUACUUAAACAUAAAAUCUAUAACACUUAAAAACUCCAUAUCGACCAAAUUCCGUGAAAAAACUUUUUCACAUCAUUUACCAAGUAUUCAAGUGGUCUCAAAAUUUAAAAACUUUCAACUGCAUUUAUAAGAUAUAUUUGAGAUUACUUGAUCACUAACCGAAUGAUAUAAAAUUACAUAAUUUGGUCCCCAUGUUGUUCAAGUUCUAUAGAUUAUAUCUAAUAAGAGUGGUAAAUUCCUCCCUCUGAACCAGAUAACUUGCAAUCGAUCAAGCAAAUACAGAUCGAACAUCGGAAAGCUAAUUUGCCACCUGACGAUGACAGAUCUUAGUAUCCAAUGCGACCAAAACAUGUUCAUGUCACAAAAGCACCAACAAAACAAUCUACACAUUUGUGCCAGUGUGGCUAUCAUUGUAUAUUUUGUAGAAAAAUUGCCCCAGAAUAUUUCCAGGGCAAGGAGUACCGCGCCCAGCAGUUGCUCCCAGAAUAUUUCAAAAUUGCCUCCACAGGGAAUCAUUCAGCAAAAAUACAAGGAACAAAAGAGUUGUAAGCCUAGCAAUUCAACUCCCAACUGAGAUCCAACUAUAGUGCUGCAAAGAGUGAAGACCUCAUAGAUCAUAUUAACAUGAAUAUUCAAAAAUAUCAAUUAUUAGUCACCAAGUAGUUUCAACUGCUCCGGAGAAGGGUAUAUGCGAAUUCCAAGGGGAACAAAGCGAUUCCUUUGCUCUCGAGCAGCUGAUUCGCAACCUGCAUGUUGGACUCCAUCAGUUGGCCCAUCAUUUCUCCAAGCGGCUCUGCAGACAUCUGCGGAUGAAGCAAAUAGUGCCCAUAACCCUGCUCAGCACAUUGAGAUCAACUAAAUGUGAGAUAUUAAAAUGUCCAAAAUUAUUUUUUGAAUAGAUAAUUUACAGACCGAAUCUUGACAGUGUUUUAACUUUCAAUGUCAGAUCAAAGUUACUGGAGUCCAUGAAAAGGGAGAUAUCAAAUUAAAUAGCUGUCUUACUGUAGCUGGUUUGCUUUAUUACAGUACUUCAACACAGAAUAACCCUGCUCAGCAUAUUGAGAUCUAUUGAAUGUGAGAUAUUAAAAUGUCCCAAAAUAUUUUUGAAUAGACAAUUUACAGGCCAAAUCUUGACACUCUUUUAACUUUCAAUGUCGGUUCAUAGUUUACUGGAGUUCAUGAAAAGGGGGAGAACAAAUUAAAUUGCAGGCUUAUUAUAGCUGGUUUGUUUUACUGCAUUAAUAAGCCGGUCUGUUUUACUGCACUCCGACAUGGAAGAAUCAGAAUCUGAGUUUUAGGAAGAAUUAUUCUCCACUUUAAGCCAAAAGCAUGCCGUGAAGCCGGUGAUUAGCAUUUCGCAGGUUCUCUUUGCCAACACAAAGAUAUCUAUGUAAAUAUCGAUAAAACUAUUAAGUAGAGUAUAAGAGAAAAUAAUAGUAACCUUUUGGUUAAAAAGUACAGUACCUGAAAGAUGGUCCCUUUUGAUCCGACUAUGCAACCUUUUAAAGUUUUGAUUUUGGUACCCAGCCUUGCCAAUUUGUUUAAUUUAAGCCAUUUGACAGUUCUUCCAGGACAAAAUUUAGACUAAUCACUUACUUUAAUUAAUUUAUAGUCCCAGGAAUUACAUGAAAGAUAACCAACGCAUCCAAAUUUUGUAUUUACAAGCUCAUGGCUUACCUAUGGUCACACGAAUUAAACAAUGGACUUGUUUAAUUUUAUUGGAUUUAUAUCAAGCCCGAAAAGAUAAACAACGCAUCAAAAUUUGAAGCAGCAAGAGUCAUUAAAUGGCUCAUUCAAAUGAAUUAAAAGGUUAGAUAGCAAAAUCAAAAUUAUUAAAAGUCAAGUAGUCAAAUCAAAAUGGGUGAUAAUUUAGGCAAGUUCCAGACAUUGUUAUCUAAACUUUGGUCCCUUUCUAGGAAAAUCCUGGUGAAAUUUCUUUCAAUGUGUUUUACAUGUGUUUGGGCCGAAAGUUGCUUACUGAUUAAUACUAAUAGCCCGCUUCUGACAGACAAGUGGUAACAUGGUAGCCAAUCAGGCUUCGUAGUCUAGGUACCAUAACAAGCAGCACAUGUUGCACAAAUCACAUCCUGCUAAAUAUUAUUAGAAGAGGUAAGCGUGCAAAUACAUGCAAUUGUUUUGCUAGUGGAAAAAAGUUUUCCUACAAGGUUUGAAUAUUCAUCCUAUAUUCUAAUUGGCUCUUAUGAACAAUCGCCCUGAACGAAUCCGAGACCAGAACUUUUUUUUUGGGUUAAAUAAAUUAAAAGAGAACUCAGCUUGAGCAUGCAUGCCUAAAUUGCCGAAACUAGGACAUAGAGACCAAAUUUGACUAAUCGACUAAUCAUUUGUACUAUUUCAUUCAUCAUAUCUUGCUAUAUUUAAUAAAGUUGAUCAUAUACUCCAUUUAAAGUAGCAUAAACAAUAAUAUUUCACAUACCAGCUAUUGUAAAAUCAAGUUUUUUAUGAUCAUUACAACUCUAUAUUUUUCAUAUGGUUUCUCUUAGAAAAAUUUAGAGACUUCUCAACCAAGGGUGAAAAUCUUGAAGCCAAUAAAACUUCUGUAACCAAAAAUUUAAGAGCACAUUUCAAACUCUAAACUUAAACUGACAUUUCGAAGCAAACAAUCAGCUUAUACAGAAAGAGCUUGUGACACAAAUUCAAAAAAAGAGAGAACUUCUAAAUCAAGUGAAAACUCCCAAUUCUGGAGGUGUAUUAUAGGUGCUAACAAAAUCUAUAAAGUAGGCACUAGGAAUUCGUUAAGGAAUGCCAGAGGGACUUUAAGCAUGACAGUUGGUUGGGAGAUGUAGGGGAAAUACGUCCACAUAAGGAGUGAAUAUAAGAGUUUUUGGCAACCUCUAGACUUUUAUAAUUAUUUUCCCCAAUGAAGGAUUCCUAAUAAUAUAGGGGUUUGAUUUUUUUAUUAUACGAAUUCCUAUCAGGGAUUUCCCUAAUCAAGGAUUCCCAAAACAAUGGAAUUUGAUUUCGGAUAUGAAACAUAACUCGGUUUACAUAAAGAGAUGAAUAUAGACUUUUGGCGACCUCUAGACUGUUCUUAUUAUUUUCCCCAGCAAAGGAUUCCUAAUAAUAUGGGGGUUUGAUUCUUUCUUAUACAAAUUCCUAUCAAGGAUUCCUCAAUCAAGGAUUCCUAAUAUAAUGGAAUUUGAUUUCAGAUACAAAUAUAACUGAGUGUUAUAUAAAGGAGACCCUAGAGUAUAUCAAGAUAUAUUCUCUGCCACAUAGAAACCUUAGAUGCCACAUCCUAUUCUCUCUUGAAACACCAUCCUAGGCAUCUAAGAUUUAGUAUGCAUAUUUCAGCACUCAAGUAGACCUUUCCUUAAUCACAGGCACAAAAGAUAUCAAAAGUGUGACACCCCCAGAAUAUGGAAUAAUCCUAUAUAUGAGGUAUAGCAGGACCAAACCUCUUAACCCAGUUAUAGCAUUUUGGGCAAUAGCUAGGCCCAAGAGGUUAAGAGGGUUGAGCGAGCCUAGGGGUAGAGUAGUUUUAGGAUAGUUGACCCCCUUGGGAAGCGGGACGUCACAGUUGAUAUCAGAGGCAAUCACAAGCCGAAAGUUUGGGAUGAGUUUUAGUUGAGCCAAGAUCAUACAGCGGGCAAGAGCGCGGCACCCCGGCUGAAGCUUAUUAGGGGUGAAGUGCGACUUCCCACAAGGUCAGCUAAGGCUAGCGAGACGAGUCUCACAUCACCUGGUACUUGUAAAUGCGCUUAAGCCUAAAGAGAAUGUCAGUGAUGUGACACCCCCAGGAUUUGGAAUAGUCCUAUAUAUGAAGUAUAUUAGAGCGAAAUAUCUUAACUUGACUAUGGCAUUUUAGGCCGUGGUUAGGUCCAAGAGGUUAAGAGAGUUGGGCGAGUCUAGAGCUAGAGAAAUUCUAGGAUGACCCCUCUGGGAAGCGGGGCGUCACAAAAAGGGUCAUGAAACAAGCUUCUAUCAAUUCAGGUUUGUGGGUACAAAAAUUUAGGAGCAACUUGAUUCCUCAGAAAAGUAUAAAAAAAAGUUUUUCAAGAAAAAUGUUUUCAGUAGAAAACUUCUUUUUCAGUUUUUGCUCGUUUGGUUCCAAGGAAUACUAGCUUUUUUGGAAAGCUUUUUCCAAAUUACAUGGAAAACUUGUGUUCUCAUUUCAUGGAAAACUUUUUUCUCGAAAUUUUUUUUUCCAUACUUUUUCGAUAUACCAAACAGCCCCUUACCUUCUUCCACAGGUGAGAGCACCCAAACCACUAAAUUUCGAACCUGAAUGAUUUGGUGGGUGAUAAAGUUACAUUUGUGGAGACUCACGAUGAAUGCAAGGAUAGAAGAUAAGAGUUGAGAGGGAACUUUAAAGUGCUGAAGAUGAUGUUAAUUGUUAAAGGAAGAACUAAAUCAAGGCAUUGACAAAAAGGAGUAGCGAAUAGGUAGUAAGAAAUAUACCACUAAGACAGUAUAAGUAUAUCUUUAACGGAUGUGAAAGACAUGCUGUGGCCAAAUUCUUAUGGAAAGUGUUUGCGCAGCUAAUGAUUAAUGUUUUUUUAUGGCUUUCCAAUCAAAACAGAAUUUUACUGAAAGGGAAACGUAUCAAGACAGAACUAAGAAGGAAUGGAGAAGAUGCAUACUUCAAUGUGUAGCAAUGACAGAAAGGCAAUAGAUCACGUAUUACUAUCAUAGAAUACAAAAAAGUUUGAAAAACAAAAUUAUAGAAGUCGGGGCUCAGUGCGAUAACUUUUCCUUGCUCCUACAAGGAGCAAUCGAAUGAACAAAAAAAAAGAUUAUGAAUCAUAUGAGCAAAGCAUGGGAAAUUUAUCAUGAUGAUGAUUAGUUGAAAGAUCAUGCAAUAAAUCAUAUUAUAGUUCAAAAUAUGUCCUGCAUCAUGGAUAGUUUAGUGGAAGCCAUCAACAGAAAUUUUAACAGAUUAUCUAACUCAUAUAGAGAUAACAAAAAACUACACCUAUGACCACUCAAGUAUGACCCUGCCUACUAAUGAAGAUUUCAAUAUAUAGGUCAAGUAAAAGAGGACACUUUGAGGAGCAGAUCAAGUUUCUCCGACCAGCUCUUUUCAUUGCUAUUAUUCACUUUUUGGUGGUUAUGUCUUUGUGAAAAUGAUUAUAAUAGGUUGAAAGGUAUUCAAGCUUAGUCUUUUGGUUGGAUUUAUAUGAGAAGUGUAGAUACAGCGAUGGCAUAAUUUUAUUUUCUUGCCCUUGUUGUUGGACAUUAGUUUGGUUGGGUAGUGAUGAACUGUGUAAGGGUGAGGCGUCUAACCACCCCCCACACCCCCACCCCCGAAAACACCUCUGCGAGAAUAACUCUAGUGCUCUCCAAGGCAUAUGCUGGGUAAGAUUCUAAAUUUCUAACUUCCGUGACAAAAUUAACUAGGCUUAGUUGUUUAAGUACUUAACAUUCAGUUCUUUCUAGAGUUGUCUUCAUGAAUUUAUUCAGCAUACUUGACAUUCAGUUCUUUCUAUAGCUGUCUAUUUGAAUUUAUUUAACAUAUUAAAAAACUGCUAAUUUUGUAUAAUGUAACAAAACACCAUCCCUUGCCACUUUCAUGGCAUGGCACCUUCUGUAAAGCCAUAAGCACAGCAAAUGACAUCGACCUGUAUAGAAAGAGUCCUAAACAACAAGAAAGCCUUACACCUAUUAUUCAAGGUUCUUCAUGUAAUGUCUUAUCCAGCUUUAUCUAGUAAUGCCCAUCAAAUCUGAGGAAAAAUCUGAGGAAUGCAUUGAAAUUUAGAAAAGCACUCAUUCACUAAUCAUAAUAAAAGGUGAUUUGCAACCUUACUCGAGAUUAAUCAAAAUUCCAUGAUUCUACAAUAAAAAUGAUAGGGCCAGCCUAUUCAAUAAGUUAUCACGAGUAGAAAAUUUUGAAGAAAGCAUUGACAACAUUUUUUUUAAUUUAAUCAACUAAAAAAGAGGUACGAAAAAGCAAGUGAUACCUCAACAUGAACAAAGCGAUGAUCAGUCUCUUCACCAUCUAAGCGGCUCUCACUCAAUACCUGCCAUUCAAGUGAUUAUAACAAGAUUUACUAAGCACAAAAAUGCCUUGGACACUUAAGGACAGCAGAAUCACGUACCUUCAGCUGUAGUUUCAAAAACUUGACGUAGUCAAUUAAAUCAUCAAAGGCAGAUUCUUUGUUCCUCUAAAUAGAUGUGUUUGAAAAUAAAAGAAAUGAAGAUUAGACUUUGCUAAUGAAUUUUCACAAGAAUCUAAAUUUCUUGGCAAUAAACAAAACAUGGAAAGUAAUUCAUAGAAUGAUGCAGAAUAAGCUUGAACCUAUGUUGAUCGAAUUAAACCGAUUUAAUUUAUCGUUUUUUAAAUUAGAUUAGAUUAGUUGAGUAUAUCUUUUCGUUAGUUAAAUGAGGAUUUUUAGCUAUCCUCUUAUUUGCUUUUAUCUGUUUUUAAAUUUUUAUUUUUUCGUUAAUCUCUAGAUAAAGUUGUUUUAGUUUGGUCAUUUAGGAUAAGAUUAAAUUCUAAGUUGUUUAUGUAUAGAUAAGGUUAAGAAUAGUAUAAAUAAGGCAUAAGGCUUCUUUGUAUGGGGAUGAAUAUGAAUUUAUGAAUUUAUGAAUUUAUAAUGAAGACAAAUGCUUUGGCAAUGAUGUCUUUUUUUUCCUUCGCAAAUGCGUCGCCCUAGAGUGAGUCCAGAUUAUUAUCUUUUCUAUUUUUUGAAUUUUUCUAUUUGCUUUAAUUUUCUUUUUUUUAAUUACGAAAAUUUCUAAAAAAGUAUUUCAAAAACAUUCAAAUUUUCAAAAAGCUUUCAAAAUCAUAAAUUAUAUUUUGGAGCCCUCUAAAACCGUAAGACCCUAUAUGUUGUCCUACAUCAGAUCUGGAAUCAAAGCUUAGGCUAUCUGACGGUUCUAUUUUGUCAAAGUUUUGGGCUUGUGAAUGAAAACAAGGUGAAAAUUGUAAAAAAUAAAGGUGAGAAAAAGAAUUAUAAAAAAGAGUGGAGUGAAAAAAAAAAAAAGUUGAAAGAAAAGUGAGUGGAGAAAAAGAAAUGGAGAGUGUGUAAAACAAAAAAAAAGAAAAAAAACAUUAUGGAUGCAAAAGAAUGUUUUCAAAAUGUUUUUCAAAAGUAUAGUGGAAGAAAAGGAAUUCAUAUUGAGUCUUUAAAAGAAAUAUGCGAGAAGACAAGAGUUGAGUUUGAUGAAUGGUUGUACAAUCAGAGAUCAUAUUUUGAGAGAAAAAAAAAAUGAUAUUCGAAUGAAAAUACUAGAUGACUUGAGAUGGUGGUAUAGACAAAGGCAAAUAUUUCAUCUUGAUUUUAACAGAAUAAUUUUUGAGGAAGAAGAAAAAAGGUUAAAAGAUAUUGAAGAUGGUGCUCAAAUUGCUGAAGAUGAUUUUCAAUGUAUGGGUAAGGUCAGAUAUGAGUGUCAAUUGAACCAACUAAAAGUUCAUCUGGAGAACCUAAUUGCUUAACAGAGUAUGCUAGCUAUAGCACAAUUGGGAGUUGACAAUUCUGAUUCAAUUCCAUCUACACUAUCUGAUUGCAAAGAAGUUCUAGAUUUGAUCGAGUUAGAAUUUGAACAUCCGCAAAUAAAUCAUGAAGCCAAUGUCGAUCGGCAUGUUGAAAAGAUAAGAUUGUCGAUCGAGUUACCUUUAUUGCCCCAACAAUAUGAGUCCACUAUACUAGAGCUUCAGAUUGCAUCGAAAGCAUCUUUCUUAUUGGUAUCUGUUACGAUAUAUUUUAUCUAUAUUAGGAUGUUACGAUAUAUUAGGAUAUUGUGUAUUAUUAUCUUAUAUAGAUUAGUAUCAUUGCUCUAUAGAGUAGGAUUAUAUAGUAUGUAAUCCUAGUUAUACUCUUACUAUAAUAGUCAUUGUUACUACAGUAAGACAAUCUCUUGUACUAUAUAUAUAUUCAUUAAUACAACUCAAGAGGGUAUGCACUUUAGCCCUUCUUUCAUGGUAUCAGAGCAGGAAAUCCUGAGUUCGAGUCACGCCAGGCUCCUAGCAUAUUAAUUUCUUUCCAUUUAAUUUAAGCCCACGUCAUGGGCCAGGCCAACUAAAAAAGUCUCGAACCCAGACGUGAGGGGGAGUGUUAAAUAUAAAAAUAUUUAAACACCGUUCUCCAACAGCUUAAGCUUUUAGAGUACAAUGGUUGUUUCACAUGGUAUCAGAGCAGGAGGUCCUGAGUUCGAGUCACGCCAGGCUCCUAGCAUAUUAAUUUCCUCCCAUUUAAUUCAAGCCCACGUCAUGGGCCGACUAAAAAAGUCUCCAGCCCAUACGUGAGGGGGAGUGUUAAAUAUAAAAAUGUUUAAACACCGUUCUCUAACAGCUUAAGCUUUUAGAGUACAACGGUUGUUUCACAUGGUAUCAGAGCGGGAACCCUAAUGUGGGGAUAUCGAUCCAUAGCCACCAUCCACCAUAAAUGUAACAUACCAGAUUUUGGUAUAAAAAUAAAAAUAAAUAAAAAUAGUGUGAGAAGCUAUUUUUAUUGGAUUUAGAGAAGUAAAACAUAAGUCAGAAAUGACUUGUGCUNGAGUAUCGUGCUGUAGCCUACACACUUGCUGAGACAGUCUGGAUUCGUCGUCUCCUUCGUGACCUUCGUGUUUUCUUAUGGCGCUCUAUCAGUAUUUAUUGCGAUAAUCUCAGCACCACCUACCUUGCGGCCAAUCCUGUUCUCCAUGCUCGCACGAAGCACAUUAAACUUGAUCAUCAAUUUUUGCGGGAAAAAGUUCAAUUUGGUGAUUUGGCCUUAAUUCAUAUCCCUUCUGACAAGGAACUUGCCGACAUUUUCACCAAGCCCCUGUUAUCCUCUCGGUUUUCGAUAUUGCGGCUCAAUCUUCGCAUCGGACCACCGGAUGCUUAGCUUGCGGGGGGAUGUUACGAUAUAUUUUAUCUAUAUUAGGAUGUUACGAUAUAUUAGGAUAUUGUGUAUUAUUACCUUAUAUAGAGUAGUAUCAUUGCCUUCUAUAGAGUAGGAUUAUAUGGUAUGUAAUCCUAGUUAUACUCUUACUAUAGUAGUCAUUGUUACUACAGUAAGACAAUCUCUUGUACUAUAUAUAUUCAUUAAUACAACUCAAGAGGGUAUGCACUUUAGCCCUUCUUUCAGUAUCAAACCUUACGAAAUCUCAUGAACUUAUCAGUUGUUCUUCCUACUUCAAUACCAAAUUGGAAACUCAAAUAAUACAAGUAGUUCGACAGGCAGGCAUUGGGCUACAUAUGAUACAAGUGGUUCGACAUGCAGGCGUUGGGCUGCAUCACUGUAUUCUGCACGCUUGGUUGUUUCCUAUCUCCUUACAAAUCCAACUGAUCUCAAGUACGAGAUCCUGCGCAACGAAAGCGAAUGAUGCAGAACAAGCCUGAACCUCUGUUGAUCGAAUUAAACCGAUUUAGUUCAUCGUUUUAUAAAUUAGAUUAGAUUAGUUGAGAAUAUCUUUUCGUUAGUCAAAUGAGAAUUUUUUUGUUAAUCUCUAAAUAAAGUUGUUUUAGUUGGUUAUUUAGAAUACGAUUAAAUUCUAAGUUGGUUAUCUAUAGAUAAGGUUAAGAAUAGUAUAAAUAAGACAUAAAGCUUCUUUGUACGGGGAUGAAUAUGAAUUUAUGAAUUUAUAAUGAAGACAAAUACUUUGGCAAUGAUAUCUUUUUUUUCCUUCACGAAUGUAUCGCCCUGGAGUGAGUUCAAUCCCAAAGUGAGUUCGGUUCAGGAGUGAGUCCUCAUUAUCUUUUCUAUUUUUUUCUAUUUUUUUGAAUUUUUCUAUUUUCUUCAAUUUUCAUUUUUUUAAUUACGAAAAUUUCUAAAAAAGUAUUUCAAAAACUUUCAAAUUUGCAAAACGCUUUCAAAAUCAUAAAUUAUAUUUUGGAGCCCUCUAAAAACAUAGGACUCUAUAUUCUGUCCUACAUCACAUGACCUUUAGGUGAUCAUAUUGUGUUGAAAACGAAAGGACAAGAAUUUAUUACAGGAUAGGCUCUUAACACUAUAAAUACUUGGCUCUUGAUACUUUAAGUGCAGGUUUGAUGAAUAAAAAUUUCUACUCUUGUUCUUUGUCCUCGCCAUGGUGUUCUUCUUCCUAGUGUGAUCAUCGAUGCUACUUCCUCGUGCCGAAAUCGUCUUCUUCCUCAACUUGAUCGUUGUCAAUUCUUCCUUGUAGUAAGAUCGGCUUCUGCUUCUACAUGGUCUUCUUCCGCAAUUUGAUAGUUGUCGCUUCUUCCUCGUGGCAAGAUCAGCUUUUGCUUCUAGCACUCCUCUUCUUCCGGAUCCCUACCUCCUCACAUCUUCCCGUUACUUCUACCCAUGGUGUAUGACCCUCCUCGUCGAUCAUGGAUCCCUCGCAAUAGUGUGAUCGGUGCAUUUCUUGUAUCUUAUCUUCUCCUUCAUCUCCCGAUAGCCUAUUAUCCCCCUUUCAAUCUAGCCUUCCACAUUACCAACUACUUUUAUCAAAACAACUAAAUCUAAAAGCUUUCAGUCCGAUAAAACUAAAUUUACCUCUUUGGAACUAUUAUAUGUAUUUUCAAUUGGGUGUUUUUAUCUUAUAUAUUGAAGGUUUAUCACCAUCUUAGUAUUGCUCUGAUUCAAUUUUAAUUUUUCGUUUUGCUGAAAUUUUUUGCUUCCUUACUUUAAUUUUAGUAAAGUUCGACGGAAUCGAUAAAUUGAACCUAGUUUAUCUCAAGGAAUACCUUUAAACAAAAAAAAAGUUGAAAAUUCAUAUUUAGCAAUACCUCGGUUUGCAUCAUUUUUUUCUUUGAUUUAUCCAAUUUCGUGAAGCAUUUUCAUUUUCUAUUCAAUUCAAACUAUGCCUACACUAUCCUCGAUCCAGGCAUUUAACCCUUUAUGCAGAUGUGUCGGUUGUCAAGAGAAAAUGAAGAAAAGCAUUAAUCAACAAUGUAUCUUACAAGAAGCAAAAUCUAAAUCUGCAACAGCGAUUUUAUAGGCAUUACAUGGAUUCACCAUAAAGAUUUGACUUUGCAUUAAUGACGCAUUUGGUUCACACUAUCCUGCCAUGAUGACUGGGAAUCCUAUAGGAAUAUUUUCAAAUUACUGCAAUUGGUUCAUCCCACAUGUAAUCCUCUAAGUAAUGUAGGAUUACUAGCAGCGCAGGAUUUCCCUUUAAUAUUAUCGAUGAGAAGGGUGGGUAUCUUGCAUCACUAAUUGCAGGUACUCCUGCAACUUAUGAAAAUUUUCAAAAUUUCCUCUCCCCACCCCCAAUUGCCUCAAUUUUAAAUUUAAAAUAGAUUCAAAAUUUAAUUUCUCAUUAGAAUAUAGAUAAAAAAUAUGAACUCAAACUGAAAUAUAAAUUCAAAAUCUGAACUUGAAUUUAAAAUUUCAAUCAUUCAAAAAUUUGAAUUUGAAUCUGAAAUUUGAAUUCAAAAACUGAAUUUGAAUAUUGAUUCUGAAUCCAAAAUCAAAUAUGAAUAUGAAAUUCAAAUUCAAAAUCAAUUUUUGAAUUUGAACUUGAAUUACAAAUAUGAAUUUGAAUUGAAAUUCAAUUUGAAUAUCUAAAUAUGAAAUUGGAAUUCAAAAUCUGAAUUUGAAUUUGAAGUUUGAAUUCAAUUUUUAAAUUUGAAUUCAAAAUCUAAAUUUUAAUUUGUAAUUCGAAUUCAAAAUCAAAAUUUGAAUUUAAAAUUUUAACCUAUGUUUAAAUUUAAAACUUAAAUCUGAAUUUAAAUUUGAACUUGAAUUCAAGAUUUAUUCAAAUUUCAAUGAAUAUGAGUGCAUGGGUAUUUUUGGAAUAGUGCUAAAAUCUGUAAGACAAACCAAACACAGCAAUCUUACAUGUACAGUAAUUUGCCAUCACACUACAGUACUAAAUCAAUCUCAGUAAUGCAGCAUUAAUAGUAAUCUAAUUCACAAGAAUCAGAUUGCAAGUUAUGUUGAAAUAACUAGAAAUGCUUCAUAGUGCGAACCAAACACACCCUAAGAACUUAUAAACUUAUAAUUUGAGAACCUUGAAGCCCUCUCCGCAUUUCACAGAGAGUGGGGCCCGCCCACUCUUCUUGGACAAGUGUAGUGUGAAGCGAUCUGUAAUUGGUCACUACUGCAGAAUCGGCUCCAAUGUAAAGGUAAUGAGAGAAAUUUUUACCUUUGUAUUAUUUUUCUUAUGUCAAGCCUUCAUCACCUGCUUUGUCUUUCAGUAUGGUUAAUCUAAUGUUAGCCAUUAAUAGCUAUUUGUAUCAGAUUAUGAAUAGAAUUCGGAAAUUGGCAUACUGAUGUGAUAGUAAAGGUACUAUUACGUUGUCUAUUCCUUUCAGUGUUGCAGAUUGUGAAUUCUGUUGUGAUGGAUCAUGCGACUAUUGAAGAUGGAUGUCAGCUAUAUAUGCAGUAAUGUGCAGCUUCAAAAGUGCACAGUUUUGAAAGAUUGUCAGGUGAUUACUUUUUGUCCUGUGCUCCUUUCUUUUGGCUUUUUUUUUCUCCUUUUGGCAUUCUCUUCACUGCACUAUUAUAAAGGGUGGUUAAACUUGCACAUUGCUCCUCCAAGCUUUCUGCUAUAUUGUUGAAAUUGUUCAUAUAUAUGCCUAUGUGGUAGCAUAAAUAUUUGAUUAAGAAACCUCAGUGUAACAAACUUUGAUAGACUAUAUUUAACUUGGAAUGUGGCACUAACAGUUGGUCGGAAUAAAACAUGUUUGAGCUUAAGCAAAUGUCCGGUCUAAAGAUAGGUAUGCUUCUUAAGAACGAGUAGAUCCACUUGAGUAUAUCUUUGACAACUUGAGAAACCAUGUUAUCUUCUCCAACUUCAACAAACUGGGAAUGCUAAUACCAAAUCCUGCACAAUUAAGUUCUCAUCUUAAAGCAUUCUCACGACAUCUUGGUUUCUAUAUUCUCGACAAUUCAAAAUGAUGUGUUAUUGAUUUCAUCAACAAUGUCAGUAUUCUUAGUCAUGCAUGCUGGCAUGCUUAGCUUAUUUCUUUUGGUUCGUAAUCUAUUUACUCAUCGCCUUUCCAGGUUGGAGCAGGCUAUGUUGUUACUACUGGGAGCGAGCACAAAUCAGAGGCUCUCUCUAAAAGGUAGAAUAAACCAAGUUUUGUCAUUCUUGCUUUUAUAAAAUUGAGAAUAACCAAGUUUUCUAAGUUUUACUUCGUCAUAUAUAGAUCUUUAAAUUUAUCUACGUGCUAUAUAAAGUUUAUUUAAUUUUUUUAAUUGCUCAAAAAAAAUCAAAUUGUUCAGUUCCAUAUAGUUAGGUUCUUUGCGAUUAUCAUCGGUAGGUUUUAAAUUUUUCAUACCCCUUUAGUUUAAAUAAGAUUGAAAUCAGGAUAAUAAAUGGCCUGAUAUAAAGAACAUAUUGCAUUUUUUUGUCACAUGUUGCAUAUUUGUGUGUUUCCUUGCUUUAGUGCAUACAGUGUUUGUUUGAUGAUAACAGUGUUACGGCUGGCCCAAUUACCAAAUAUAAAGAUGACUUGAUGAUUUGAUAUUUUUGAAUCAAUAUUUGAGAUAAAGUUGUAAACAAAUAUUUCAGAAUUAUUUUAUAUCAAAUAAAUAUAUUCGUUAAUUCUAUUAAAAGUAUAACAAACAAUUUAUAAUAAUAAACUAUAAUAAUGCCUAUCCGCCGCAUCGUGUGGGGCUCUAAACUAGUUAAACAUUAUGCUCAAGAAUAAUAAUAAUAAUCUACUCCAAAGAGUAGAUAGGAAUGGAAUCUUUGCUUAAGUGAUUAGCUCCUUUCUAGCUUUCUGCAGUUUUCGUAGGACCUAUCUCCCAGCGAUUGGUGAAAAUCACUUGAUGAUAUAGUUUCCAACUAUUAGAUACUACUCCCUUUGCUCCACGGAGUGAGAAUAGCCAGUGAUUUAAAAAGCGUGCCUCAGGCGCAUGCCUAGCCCCUAGGCGGGCGACCUCGCCAAGGCGCACGCCUCAUGCGCCCAGGCGCACGCCUACCCUGAGGCGCAAGGCGCGCCCAAAGCAAAAAGGUUGCCUGAUGGGUUUGGACUUUGGAUCCAACUCAUCCAACAAACCCGUUAAGUGUAAAAAAGAAAAAAAAAACCAUGAGAAGCCCUAAAAAUUGAGCAGACUCCUGAGUUUUUCGCUCGAGCAAGCAUCACGCCAUCAUCUCUCUUUCUCCUUCUCGCUGGCCACUCGAGCAAGUAUCAUGCCAUCAUCUCUCUCCUUCUCGCUAGCUCUUCACGGCUCCACAGCCUCCUUUCGAGCAAGAAUCUCUAUUUUUCUCGCUGGCUCUCCACGGUUCUAGUGCUCCGCUUGACGGCUCGAGCAUGGAUCACCUCUCUCUCUCUUUCUCGUUCACUCUCCGAGGUUCCGCCAUCAUGCUGCAGGUGCAAUCCUCUCCCUCUCUCACACUUUUUAAUUUCUCUUCCUCUCGCAUGUUACCUCUCACGCUUUUUUUUCUUGUAAACAGAGAGCUCUUUCGCUGUUCUCUCUCUUUUUUUUUGUAAACAGUAAAUACACUCUCUUUCUCUGUUCUCUUUUUUUUUCCUUUUUUUAAAAAAGUAAAUAGUGUGUGUUUUCUCCAUUUUUUUGUAAAUAGUAAACACUCUUUUCUAUUUUUUCUUUUUUGUAAACAGUAAAGUUUUCUCCAUGUUUUCUCUACUUUUUUCUUUUUUUUUUGUAAACAGUAAACACUAUUUUCUCUAUUUUUCCUUUUUUGGGUGAACAGUAAACACUUUUAUUUUUUGGUAAACAAUAAACACUUGCAACACCUCUCUCCGCUUAGUUUUUUUUUAACAGCAUUUUUGUCUGAUAAGUGAAUAAGUGAUUAAAAAAUAAAUAAUAUAAGACCAUAUGUCACCGUUUCAACUUGGAAAAAGACUAGUAAAACUUGCAUUUUUGCUGAAUUAGAAAUUUUGCUGAAACAUUGCUUAGUUUUUAGAUUUCUUUUCCAUAUUUUUGGAGUUCUAACUUGCUGUUGAAUUUCUUGAAUGGAUUCGGAAGCAUCCAAAAGAGGCCCUCCAUAUUUGUUUAUUUCAAGUGUGCGCCCCACCUCUCUCAGGCGCACGCCUACGCCUUGCGCCUUGCGCCUAGCAGCCUUUUGCGCCUUGGCUUUUUAAAACACUGAGAAUAGCACUACUCACACUCAAUUAUGACCUACUUCAUAAACAUCAGGCAACAAGGAUUCGUGUAUGUAGGGUGUUAAAAAUUAAGAUGUAAAAUAUUUAAGAACAAUGUCCAAUAUCCAAUGCAAAUCUAACAAAAGUACUAGAUGUAUAACCCCAAAACAUAUUUUAAUUACAUGCAAUAACAAAAAUCAAUAAAGAAAUGCACAGCCACACUUGGCAAUGUUUGAUGGGAUGCUUUUGUUUGCAUUGAUAGUAUAUAGGAUUGUGCUUUGCUUCAGCACACAAAACAAUGACAGUGCAAAACCGACAUAGGAAACAUUUGAGAUGUAAAGGAGAACUAACCAUAAAAUUAUAUUCUACGAUGAGGCUUCGCAACCAUCUACGAAUGAAAGAUUCGGUGGCAUGUAUGUACCUUCUUUGAAUAUGGUAGGCAAUUUUGAAGUGCUUUUAUUCCUUCUGAUAUCCUGGCUCUUCGAAGCUAUGAUUAGCAAAAUAACAAAUGUAAGCACAUAUUUGAUAGAUAAAUUCGGGUUCCAAAAAACCUAUAUUAUAAUGAAAUUGGCCUGUGCAUGACACAGGAGUUUAAUAAAGCUAUUCAUCACUAUCAAUUGUCAACAUCCCUAAGAGAGAGAUUGAAAGGACAAAUAGAGUCAAGUUAAAAUAGUUUCACAACUCUGCACCACUUUCUUCAAUAGAUAAUUCAAUGUUAACCAGAUGGAUACUCUGGAAUACAUUUUGGGGCUUUUGGCACGCUUCUCUAUAAAAUUAUCCACUUCAUACAUGCCCCAAACCAUUGUAAACUCUCAAUUUUCAUAUACAGUCCUCCAAAUGCAGAUUCUGUUAAAAAAAAAAAAGAAAAAAAGAACACCCUCCUUACCUUGGGAAGUAGUCCUAUUCAAGGGCCAAGUUGGUUUCGUUUUAGAAAACUACUUCUAAAGAGGGACACUAAUGCUAGCACAAGAUCUAUAUGUAAGAAAUUAUGGUGUUGAAGAGCAGAUCUAAAAUUUUCAGGUAAUAAAUGUAGAUAGAUGAUUUGGCAGGGGUAUACAAGUUAAUAUCUCUACAUGGUUUGUACAUAGAUCCUUACCUUAUCAUUUGCUACACUCUUGUUUUUGCUUUUGCUUGAUCGAACUAUCUCCUUACAAUCAGCCUCCGCUAGAUUGAAGUAAUGCUCAUUCGAUUUUGGCUUCAUCAGUGCAUAACUCUGUCAGGUAUAAGCAGUAUUUGGAUUAGAAUGCAGCAAGUUGGUACCUAGAUAUUCCCCCGUGUAGAUGAUCUAAACAACUGAAAAUUGUUUCGGCAUGUACAACAAUUUACACAAAAGAUAGACAGAACAAGGAAAAGAUUACCUGAUUGAAAUUUUGAUUUUCACCAUUACUGGACAUUCUGCCUGUUUGUUCUUCUGCAUCUAGCAUCGAAUGUGUGAUCUGCUAGAAAAACAAAGCAAUAUAUAUUGAAUUAUGAGAACAUAUUUUGACCCAAAAGAUGAAAUUCUAUAGUACAAAAUCCUUUUGGCAGUAAUACCAUAGGAAGAUUGUAAACCUCAAUAUGUGUUCUGCAUUCCACUGAAUCUACAGCCUUUGAAGAACCACUUGCAGUGCUUGUAAUCCUACUACUGAUUAUAGGACCAAGAGAUUUAACUCCUGAAGCACCAAUGUCCGCAAGUGAUGAGUUUCCAGAGACUUUUCUUAAAGGAUUUGAUGAGAACUUUGAAUCGUCAAAAUGACCAUCUUUUAGUUCAAAGAACCCUCUUACGUCAUGCAAUCUAUUGAUUGCUUGGGGAUUUGCAUGAAGUAUUCUUGUACUGCUUGAAAAAGGACCAGGGAAAAGCAUAUCGGCAUCAUUACCACAUACAUUUAGAAAACUCUUCUGACAAGCCCAAAUAUUUUGAAGAGUAGGCAUGUCAUUUCUUGGGGCAGUUAUAAGAUUCACCGGUACAUCUCUGUAUGGUUCCCGCACCGGCUCUACACUGCUCGUUUCAAGUCUCUUCGGCAUAUCAGAUUCAGCUUUACUACUACGUCUUGUUCCACCAAAAGCAUGCAUCUGACAAUUCUUGGAACUAGUAUGAGGGAGCAUUUUCAUGAGCUAGCACAAAUUACCAAUUGGUAAUGAACUUAAAGGGCCCUUUUGGUUCACGGUUUGUAAUAUUCUAGUAAUCCUCCAUAUUUUCUAUUGAAAAUAUUCAAAUCAUUACCAUAUAACUCAAGUUAGGUAGUUGUAAAAGGUGUUAGUGAAGUAGUCGAAUGUUGAUUUUUAGGUGAUAGGAAUAAUAGAUUAUCAUGGGUUAGGAGAUAUUCUCAUUUCCAUGCUUGAUGGGAAUCACUAGUAGUUUGUUAAUAAGAAUAUACUAGUUUGUUAGCAACAUCCCAAUCCAUGUGGCUGGCUUAGUAAGAAACUUGCCAUUCCAAAUAUAAAAUAUAUAACAAUCCCAGAAUAUUACAAACCUUGAACCAAACAGCCCCUAAGUGUCAUAUUAAGUGAUCAUGCAUAGUAUCAUGCUUGCAAUAGAGAUAUUUAUAUUGCGUAAUUUUGGGAUAACAAACAAAUAGCAGUGAGCAAAUUCGGUAACUGCAAUGCAAUGAAAGCAACAAAUUAAUAGCAAUAAUAACAGGCAUCUAACUCAUUUUAAACUAAGAUAAAUUGAAUAUACUAGUUAGUGUGAUGAGUACAGCAGUUUGUGUUAUCAGCGGGUAUAAGCAACCAACACUUGCUUGUGGCAUCCAAGAACAAACUGAUAAACCAGAAUGGAAGAACUUAGAGAUAAGCCCUGAAAAACUAUUUCUGCUCUUCUUGAAUAUAAAUAGAAAACAUUUCCUUUGCUCAGUGUUUCAGUGCCCAACUUGUUGACAGUUUCAUCCAAUAUAGGUCAGCCUAGAGCCCAUCACUUCGUUUCAUAGUUAGGCUCAUGAUCAAACUAUCCAAAAAGAAAGGACUAAACCGAAAGUAAUUUAGGCCUUAUUUUUUUAUGCUGAUGUUUUUUGAACUUUUAAACUCAAAUUCCAUGUGAUUUGAUUGCGGGCAAGUGGAUGCUUAUUGUAAUCUAUACAUCUGUUAGCAGAGACGAAGCUAGGACUCAACUAUAAGGGGGGCCAAAAUACAUACAAAUCAAAACUUCAGCAAAUAAAUAAGAUUUAUCUAAUCAAAUUUUUUAUGAGAAAAUAUGCUAACUAAAUAAUUAGUGUAAAAAAAAAUAUUACCCCUUUUUCUAUUUAUGCUUACUUAACUUUUAAUUGUUUUAUUUAUAUUAUUUCACUCAAAUAACUUUGAAAUUUACUAAAUCUAAUAGUAAUUCAGUUAGUGAUCUAAUUUCUUAAUUUUUAGUAAAUACAAUUAUGACAAGUGAUGACUACUAGUUGAUAGAGCUAUUAAAUUUAAUAUAAUCUUUAAUUUAAUUAAAUUAAAAGAUUAUCUAAAAUAAUUAUAAUUUAUGAAGGUACUAAACAAAAAAAAAAAAAAGUAAAUUCAUAGUUGAGAGAGCACUAUGUUAACACCAAGAAUUUUUUUAAAAGAUAGGUCAGUUGAUAUACUUUUGAGCAAGGUUUUAAGUACCGCCCCGUGCCGUACGGCACGGGACGUGCCGUACAGUACAGGAGGGGUAUCGCAUCCCCCCUGCGUCUCGCGGCNUGUCACACCGCGAAACUUUCGGUGAAUCAGGGAAACAAAAAUCGAUUUUCUAAACAAAUUUUGAUCAAUAUAUUUUUUUAAAGAAAAAAAAAAUGAAUGUAAUUGCGGUACUAUUCUAGUUGUUCUAGUAAUUAUAUAUUUCCUAAUCGAAUCAAUAUAUAGAAACAAAAGAAUAGUUGUACUUUUCAAAUAAAAACAAAAGAAUUUUAAUUUCUAUUCUACAUCAGGUAUAGUUGUACUUUAUAUACAAAAUGAUUACAUGCAUGUUAAUUGAUGAGUAUAGUAAGCUAUACAUUGCAAAUAUUAAUAAUUAUUUGUUUAAAUCUUUCAAAAUAACAUUAUAAAACUUAUUGGAACAAAAAAAAACUUAAAUAAGUCCGUGCCAAAGCGUGCCAGUAGGAGGUCAUGCGUAUCCAUCGGCACGCACACAUACCACGUGUCGGCACGGAAGCGUACCCCUGCCGUACCGUGCCAGGGAAAGAAUGGCACGCCCCCGUGCCACGACACUUUAAACCUUGCUUUUGAGAUUAGCUAAAAGUAUAUCUUUAAGAAUUUUAUAUAUAGGGGACUAUUAUGCAAUUAUGAAAAGUCUAGGGGAACCAUACCACCCCCCCCAAGUGUUCACAUAGCUUCCGUCUUUGUCUGUUAGUUUCAUAUUGCAACAACAAAAAUAAAAAUAAAAAAAAAAUAAAAACUAGGUAAAUAGCUUUUUCGUUUUUCUUUUUUUUUCUCCACAAACAUUGUUCUUUUCUUUUUCUCCACAGACGUUUUUCUUUAAACUAAUUGCUAAAGUGAUACUGUCAAACUCUUCAAUAUUCAAAGCAUUAUUUAAUGAGUUCAUUUGUGGUGUAAUUAACUUCAAAUGAAUCAUUAAUCCUUCUGAUUAUGACGCAGGAUUCUGAAGAAUUAAAUCAAUUUCAUAGAUAAUGUAUUAACACUAGGAUAUUACGAUCUAAGUGUUCCCACGAAAAACUUUACUGCCCAUGAGACAGUUACUAAGCAUUAUAGAUAUCUUGAAACUACCAAGGGAUUUUCCAUAUUGUUAACAAAAUCGGCGAUCUUUUCUUCACAAUGAUCCACUAAACAACUCGGUCAUUCUAGUACCACAAAGUUAAAAAUAAGAUUCCAACUUUGUACUUAUCAAGCAUCAAAUUUUGAACUCAAAGUCUACCAAACAUCUCUAUGUCACAAAACAAUCAGCUAAUGACACACCAUUGUAACAUCUACAAAAUUCAGUAAUAAAGAGCAUUACAGAUCCGGUUGCAAAUCAAUCAAUACACAGGCUUUGAAAAAUUUUAAGCAAUUUGCUUUCUUAAUGGUAGCUAUCAGCAUCACACACACAUUUGUUGUUCUUAGUAACCAGCUAUCAUCAGUUGCUGAUCUCUUUCAUACCGGGCCUAGUUCAUUACCUAAAUUUGGCAUGGAUUGAAGUAAAAGUUGAUUGUUGAAGAGCCUUUUUGGAACCAUUUGUCCUUUUCCUUCAGAUGACAAGGGGAUGACCCAAAAAGAAUAUAUUUAUGAAGAUAUAAUGCUUACAAUAAAAUGUUGUUAAAGAUAGACAACUCAUUUGUAAAGGUUGAUGGCUUGUUUCCGCUAGGGGCCCUCUUUUCCCUCUACCAUAUUUUUUUCAGGUCUCCUCUGUUUCUUAUAUCAAUUUUCUAUCUCUACUUUAUCAAACCUUACCCUUUUAUCUUAGUUAUUAAACUGAAUUAUCUGCUAAAAUACAGGUUUCAGCAUCACCAGGCAUCAUGUAUGUAGUUUGAAACAUCUGAAUAACUUCAUGGCAUAAAGAAUCACUUCUAACAAAGCACCAAAGCCAUUUCCACUCUUCAUUGAUCUUUAUCAAAAUUAAGCACAUAGUAAGAGAGACUACUACCGACACGAUUUCCCAAUUUUCAGUAUGCAAUGCAUCAAUGCAGUGAGAAAGAUUGAGAAAAUAUAAAUCUUCCCGCUACCCACAAAAAUACAUAGUAAGAAGGCGCGCAUUGUUGUUGCAGGAAAUGUAUUAGGCAAACUGAGGACCUUCUCACAGCUCAUUUUGCGAGUUCAAGAAAGAAGAUGAUGGAUCCAAAGCUCCAACCAGCAGCCAUAGUUAAAAGCAUUUUCACCAUAAUUCCAUAGCCAUUUCUAACCCCAUCAAGUUGUGGAAAUGUGAUUUUCAUUUUCUUUUUUCUUUUUCCUUUCCAGAAGAGAGACAUGUGUUUGUUCUUACGCAGUAUAUUGUCUAAAGCCUCAGAUGCACUCACAACAUUGCAAAAGUGCCGUGAAAAUGGAUUUUGUUUGUAAAGCAAUGCAAAUUCUAAUUAUUUGACAAAACAGAACAAUGCAGUGAGUAAAAAAGCCCAAGUAAUUCUUCAUGUACCCCAUAAGGCACCUCAAAAUAUUGUUGAUGAGUUAACAACACACACAUAACAAUUGAUUAGUUUUAGCUUUUUAGAGUUGGUGUCCUAUCAGGCUAAUACCAAUCCCUAGUUCCUAUGCAUGCAAUGCUGUUCAUCAAUAAUAUUCUAAAGGAUCUGUGGGCCACAAAAAGCAUUACUCAAAAGCAAACAAAUUCUAUCUCAUUCUUAAUAUCUUUAAGACAUGAAAUCAGAUGCAGAGAGAGCUCUGAAGAACGACAAGAAGCAGUACAGGUCCAUGCCGUCAGUCAAAGAAUUAAUUAUCCUUUUCCCCAACUUUGGUAGAAAUUUGUAGUUAGCUAUCAUAAGAUGCUCAAGAACAUACACGUUUCCAUUUUGGUUCAUCUCUUUUCAAAUCUCUUUUUUGGUACAUCAAACAAGCAGAAAAACAAGAGAGUGCAAUCCCAAACAAAAUCUUUGCACCAACGACGCCCUUCUCUCAUGUUAGGGCUAGUUUGGCCCUUUUCCUGCUAUGUUGAACGUAAAUAUUAAAAACACCACUAUGUAGUAUCUUAAGUUAUUUGAAUAUAACAAUUGUUUCACAUUAUUUCACAAUAGUAUCAGAGCAAGAAAGAGAAACAGAAUUCGAAUCCCAUCAGGUCGCUAUUCUCAUUGCAUUCAAGUCCACGUCUUGGGUCUGUGACUGUGAAUAACUCUUGAGCCCAGACAUGAGGAUGAGUGCUGGAUAUAGGUAUUAAAAGCAUUAUUCUCUAGUAGAUUAAGCUUUUGGAGGAUGACUGUUGUUUCGCAUCAUUUAAUAAGAACGGCAUUUAAAUAUUAUAUAUUCAGCAUGCUUCGGCUUUCAGCAGCACAACCUUUGGCAGUGUGUUCGGCAAAUCAACGAUCAGGAGCUGAGCCGUAAAGGCACAGACUCUAAUUUCGUGCUUGUGAUUUUACUGCGGAAAGAAUCUAUUGAGAAACUAUUCGGACAACACUUUGUACUAGUAUGGCGAUGCUUUUUUUUGUCUUAUAGAUUGUCUUCAGCAUGCUCUGAUCUAGCGUUCGGCAAAAGCCGUAACCUCAACAAGAGUAUAAACUCUAAUUUAGUGCUUCUGAUUCCGCUGUAAAAGAAAGAAAGAAAGAAAGAAAGAAAGAAAGAAAGAAAGAAUCAGGCAGGCAGGGAACUGCUUUCUGAUAACAGUUGAUCAUCAGACAGGCUCAGCACUCUACAAUGCGGGUUCGAACAAGCUAAGCUCUCUAUCCCUCCUACUACUAGUACUACCUCUUUCUCUGCAUACUGAUGAUCAGUCUCGCUCGCAGCAAUCACCAAACAAGAAUGAAAGAAAGAACCCGAUCGAGCCUGAGCCUGAGCCUAAGCCUAAGCCUAAGCCUAAGCUACGAUCCGAGAAUGGGGGACACUACAAUAAUAUUCGGAAGCAAAAACCGCAGGAAUGGAAAGGAUGGAGAAGGAAAGCACCUGAGCACCUGCUCCGGUGCCUGCCGUGGUGAGAUGGGUUCCGGGUGGAAGGAGAGGGCGCCCGCCGAGGGAUAGAUAAAGAAAAAAAAAGGUCGAUGAUGCCGUCAGCACUCAGGACUUAUGUAGGAUUCAGGAAGAGGAGGGGAGGGGAGGGGAGGGUUUUAGCCUUUUAUUCGGAGGGAGGACUGAGGAGGUAACAAACAGGAGAAAUGCCGAGUCUAUUACAAGACUACAACCCCAAUGAUGGCUGGGUAGCAUCCACAAUUACAGCCCUUAAUCCAAGUGAAUUGAUUCAAUUCUCUCUCUCUCCCUCUCUCUCUCUCUCCCUCUCUCUCUUAGUAGGGUUAAAUAAAAAUAAAAAUAAAAAUAAAAAUAAUUAAAGUGAACCUUACUUACCUACCUAAAUUAUGGACCAAUUUGAAUUAACUAUCUAAGCUAAUUAUAUAUCUACUUUAAUAAACUUAUUUAUAGUUGCGAAAAUUGUAUAAAAUAUUUUAAUUAAACUUGUAAAAAUAUACAACUUAUUUAAACUUUAAAGGCUAAAAUAAAUAAAACUCUCCGAAAAAUACCUACUUUUUCACUUCCCCCUCCCCCCCUGGCUAUCAAAAACCUAUAUUUUGUCCAUUUAAAAUUUCAGAAACAUUCUUACAGAAUUAUCUAUAUUAAUUGAGAGAACAAAAUAACAAAAUUAUCCUUACAUUUUUCAUAAAAAAGUAAUUUUUUAAUAUAUUUCUGACAUUUUUAAAGGUAUAAUAAGAAACGGACGAAAUAGUAACAGAACCCUAACAGAAGGGGCUAAAUACAUUAACUUGAAAUUUUGAGGGGGCAAAAUACAUGUUAUUGAAACUCAGGAGAAAGCGGAAAAGUGAGUAUUUAUAGACAAAUUUUCUGUAUUUUAGCCUAAAUCAAAUGUAUCGUUGACUAAUUCAAAUCAAAUAAAUUAAAAGAUUGUAUCAUGCCUCGGGCUACAGUGAAAGCGUAUAUCAAGCACAUGCACAAACCCGCUACGUGGAUAAGAACGCCUUCUAUACACACGAAAAGUCAACAAUCAAUCAAUUUCAACACUAUUAUACAACUUCAUAUAACAGAUAAUAUACAAGUUGAUAGGUAUCAAGAGCAAGUACCAUCUUUAAGCACUUCAUAAUCCAUAUAUUGUCUUCCAAAAUAUAUUAUUACUAGUAUAGGUUCCGCACUUUGCCGCGGGUACAUAGUAUUUUAGUCAAUAGUAUGAUAUAUACUAUAUAUAUAUAUAUAUAUAUAUAUAUAUAUAUAUAUAAUUUUUAAAAUCUUAAAAAUUGAAAAACUUACAAUGAAAAAUACAAAGCAAACUUAAACAUCCUUUUAUAUAUUAUAAAAGUUAUUUUUUUACUAAUAUUUUCAGAUUUCAGUAUUUGUAGAGUUAAAGUAUUUCUAAUAACUUGACUUAAAAAUUCAAUCAAACUUAAUAGUUUUAGUAGCUAUUUUAAAAAUAAAUUUUAAUUUAAGAUUUAAAAUUAGAAGAAUUAUUCUAAAUUGCCAAAUAGAUAAGAUCGUAUUCACCUUACUAAAAUUUAUUGGAGAAAGAUGUUUUGUUAUUUGCACAUGAUGUAUAUUAACACACCAUAUACCCCAAUUUAUAUUAGAAAACUAAUUUCUAAUAUCAAAAUAUAAUUAAAUAUAUCUAAGCUAUGAAGUCUAAUAAUUUAAAUAUAUUUUCUUAAUUAAAUUUAAAAUCACUAUUAGAGAUUUGAAGCAUGCGGUGUAUGUAAUUAUAUACAUUUAGUGUAGAAAAUGCUUAAUUAUGGACCGGGCUCUUUGAAAAGUUCUUUUUUAUAGUUCUAAAAAAAAGAGGAGAAACUUUUGCUUACACCUGAUAUAUGUUAAUAUUUCAUACAUCGUAAGUAUAUUAGAUAAUUCAUAAAUACCUAAUAGUUAGUAUUAUAAAAUAAAAUGUAAGUAUAUUAGAUGAUUCAUAAAAUACCUAAUAGUUAGUACUAUAAAAUAAAAUAUAAAAUAUAGUAUAAUAUUGUCACGCCCCGGAUUACUCGUUUUUUCGGGCACGCCAACAAAUCCACCGUAUACAAAGGAAUUUUCUCUUUAUACGAAGCGAUAGCUGUACCUGUACCUAUACCUGUAAUCAUACAAUACUACAACCAGUAGUAUAGAGCUGUUAAAAAGAAAACAUAUAUAGUAACAUCGGUUCAAAUACAUACAUAGUAUCCUGAUACAAAAACACUAGCUCCGACAAGGUACAAUAUCAGUAUGUAUAAGAACCAAAAACUACAACUACUUGUAGUUGGUAGUAAUCUCUAGGUCAGCAGCAACUGGGAAGGGAUCUAGCUCGCGACUCCCUUUCCACGAUCUGAAUCAGCAACAGCAGCAGCCGAAAACGAAGGCUCUGCCAAAGGUUUCCAACAAUUGGGCAUGAGAACUACUGCAAAAAGAAGUAGUCCUCAGUGGGUACCGCUACCGACCUCAACAGCUCACCCACUAAGUCUACAGAUAUAUGCUCAAAGAUAGUAAAGGAAGCUAGAACAAAUCUACAGCUAUAUGCCACUAUACUAUCACAAUCUAACACUAGCUAUCUGUUAAAAAUGCAAUCUCUGACCCAAUCUCACUAGGAACUGUGAACACACCCGUCCAGCCUGUCUAAGCUACACUAACUGCCACCACACUAGGUCGUCAGUGAAGAGCAAGUCCAAAUAGGAGAAACCGACAUCAAUGCAAAAGUACUAAGCCCGACUCCGGAGUGGCACUCGUGGGCGCUACCCAACCAAGUAUACAAGCGUGUCUCUGCCGAGCUCAAUCAGGCUCUCACAUGCUAUAAUCAAUACAGAAAGGUCUAACAGGUCUGACAACCAUACUAAACAUGCCCUCAGCACAAUCUGAUGCAAAAAUAGUAAACCGGGUCCACCGUCAACCACAACGGCACCCAACAGUCCGGAACAGUCUAUACACUACUGUAAAAAUAAAUUCGGCAUCUCAGCACGAGCGUAAAUGCAUUCUACACUAUUCUGGGUAUCCACCGCCCACCAACUACGGCGAUACAUACAAACUACGGCUCCUAAAGCUAAAUCUGAUAGUUUGAGCAAAUGACAGUAUAGAAUCAAUAGUUUUCUCCUAAGUCAAGUCCAUGUCCAACAUGUAUAAUUUAGCUAAUAUUCUAAACUCCAAUUCAGAUUUAAAACUAUGCAAAUCAAAGAAUCGAGCUACUACACAUGCUAAACAAAGCCAAAAAAAUACAUGCUGUCAACAUAUAGGCUUAGGAGGUAAUUUCGAGAAUUCCGGUAAGCAUAUCAUUAACCCACCUCAAAAGCUAAUCCACGACGGCGGAAAGUCGAAUGAAGCGGAACCACGCGGUUUCCCAGCCUCCGAACGAUGCAACUACGACGUCCACGCGCUCGAACGGCUCCCCGGCGUGAUGUCGGCGUCGAUCCAAACUCCACCCGAAGCCUUCUCCGUGCGUAUGGCUCAAGGGCAAGAGAGAGAGUGGAACAAGCAAAAACCCUCCAUCUCUGCCUCCCUACACGUAUAUAAAGAGAGUAGGUGAGGGUGAAAACAACGAGGUAGCCAAAAGACCAAACAGCCCCUCACCUACCCUGGAGUAGCAGUACCAGGCCAAUGCCGUACCGGUACCCUGCAGCAAAAUUUGCAAACCCGAGAGCAGUCUGCGUUGAAAACACACUGGGUACCGGUACUCCUCUAUGUGGUACCGGUACGCAUCGCUGAAAAUCUGAAAUUGGCAGAUUUCAAUGCUAAAACCUGCUCUCGCGUCGCAACGAGUCCGUUUUGCGUUUAUUUCGCGCCAACGCGACUGGACUUGUCCCGACACUCUCCAGAUGUGUCGACAAGCCUCAGAUGCUGCACUUCCACAGCUGCUGGCCACCAGGGAUACUACAAAUAUAUUAUAUUAUAAAAUAUAAAAUAUUUAAUAAUUUAUUGUAUUAUAGAAAUUUAUUUUUUAUUCACAUUUUAUACCCGAUCUACAACACAAUUGGUGUGUCGAAAAUUUCUAUUGAAUAUAUGGCAUGUUUUUAUUGGCUAAGGGCUACAAUGAACAGGUGGAAAAAGGAUUCAUACGACGUGGAGGUGGGACGUAUACUGAGAAAACCGUCAAAUUAUGUAUUGGUAUGGAUUCUAUUACAUUAUGUUGCAAACGUUUAAUAUAUCAUCAACCCAAAAUAUUUUCCCAAAAUACAAAUAGGGUUGACCCGUACUUGAUCCAAAUGGGGCGGAAAGUAUUUAACUAUCAAGUAAUCUCUUUGCCCAUCUCGAACUUUCCCACUAACUAUCAUUAGCGAGUGUGAAAAUUAUAAAAUAUAAUUUCUAGUGGAUACUAUUGUUUAGAUUACUUGAACCUUAUGUAAAGAAAAGCACAAAGAACUAAUUUUGAUAAAAAAAAAUCAUGACAAUAAUUAAUAGCAUAUCCAUCUUUACUUCACUACUCUACUAACCCCAUGGAAAGAAACCAAUAAAAGUCUUUUAUUGGCCUUUUACUCUACUUUGGAAUCAGUUGAUCCGAAGUGGGGUAAAAAAAAAUAAAAACAAAAAGUACUGCUAUUUGGUAGCACCAUCUUUAAUACCUGUGGGCCCACGUACUAGUGGGCCCACCAAAAUACUUAGAUGAUUAAAAAAUAAAAAAUAAAUAAACAAAUAAAUAAAAAUAAAAAAUUAUUAUGAUUUGGAUACUAUAUCCGACUGCAAUUUUAUUUUCUUCUUUAGUUAAGAGCCUAUUUGGUUUCUUGGAAAAUAGUAGAAAACUAUUUUCUGAAAAAAAAAUUGUGGAAAAGAAAUUUUCUAAUUUCUAUUGUUUGGUAAGGUGGAAAAGAAAAAUAGUUUUUUAUUUUUAUNUAUUUGGUUUCUUGGAAAAUAGUAGAAAACUAUUUUCUGAAAAAAAAAUUGUGGAAAAGAAAUUUUCUAAUUUCUAUUGUUUGGUAAGGCGGAAAAGAAAAGUAGUUUUUCAUAUAUAUGUGAUUGGUUGGUGAGAAAAAAAAAAUAAAAAAUAGUUUUUCAUUUAUAUUUCAUGUGUUUGGUUAGUUAAAAUAUUGGUAUAUAAAUACCUUCUACAAAAGAAGGAUGUGAUUACCAAUUUUUUAAAAUUUAACAUAAUAAUCACAAAUUUUUAUAAUAUAAAUAAUAAAUAAUUAAAUAAAAUAAAUUUUAUACCAAAAUAGUUUGACAAACGAGAUGGAGACAUUGGAGAUAUAGAGAUGAUUCUGCCAUAUUAUAUAUACUAGUCUAGAAACCCGCAUGAUGCAAGGGAUAAAAAUUAUAAUAAAUUAUAAAUUAAAUAUAGAAAUAAAAAUAUAAACAUAUAGCAAAAAAUAAUUAAUACUUGAUUGAUUAAUAAUAUAAAAAAUAUAUUGAAUUUUUUUUAGAAUGAAAAUAUAAUCUAAUGAAAAAUAAAGAAAGAAAAUAUAUCGUUUGGAUUGGGUACAAAAGGGGGAUAAGUCCCCUAUCCCUCCUCUUGUACCCAAAUAGAAAAAUGGAUGGGUGAGAACAAGUUGUUCAUUCCCACCCAGGGUGGGAAGUGGGAACAAGGCCUGUUUGGAUACACAGUAAAAUAUCUCCACGGAAUUUAUAAACUGUGGUUUCGGUCAAGAUAAAAUAGAGAAUACUGCAACUCUAAAAAAUUCCACGGAUUCAAUUUUUAAACUGUUUGGAUACGCAUUGUACAAUUUCACAGGAUUUUUCUAAAUUUUAAGAUUAAAAGUUAAAAUUUAAAAUUUCAAAAAAAAUUUAAAAUUUAAAAAUUGAUUGAAAUGUGAAUUUUGAAUUUUGAAUUUUAAAUUUUAAAUUUCAAUUUGAAAUUUACAAAUUAAAAAAUUAAAAUUAAAAUCUAAAUUAAUUUUUAAAUUUUUAAAUUUUAAUUUUAAAUUUAAAAAUAAAAAUUUAAAUUUAAAAUUUAAAAUUGAAAUUUGAAAUUUGAAAUUUAGAAUUUUAAAUUUAAGAAUAAAUUUAAAAUUUAAAGUUAAAAUAAAAUUUAAAAUUAAAGUUAAAAUUUGAAAUUGAACUAUAGAACUUGAGAUGAAAUUUGAAAUUUAAAAUUUGAAAUUUGAAAUUUAAUUUUAAAAUUAAAUUUUAAAAGUUAAAAUUUGAAAUUAAAGUUUGAAAUUUAAAUUUAAAUUUGAAAUUUAAAUUUAAAAUUUAAAUUUAAAAUUUAUAUUAAAUUUUAUUUAAAAUAAAAAAUAAAAUUUAAAUUUAAAUUGUAAAAUUAAAAUUUAAAAUUUAAAAUUAAAAUUUAAAAUUUAAAAUUUAAAAUUUAAAAUUUAAUUUUAAUUAGAAUUUUAAAUUUUAAAUUUUAAAUUAAAAAAAUUUAAAAUUUAAAGUUAAAUUUGAAAUUUGAAAAUUUAAAUUUAAAAUUGAAAUUGAAAUUUAAAUUUGAAAUUUGAAAUUUGAAAUUGAAAUUUAAAGUUGAAAUUAAAAUUAAAAUUUAAAUUUAAAAUUUUAAUUUAAAUUUCAAAUGUGAUUUCAAAUUUCAAAUUUUAAAUUUUAAAUUUUAAAUCUAUGUUGAAAUUUAAAAUCUAUGUUGAAAUUUAAAAUUUUAUGUUGAAAUUUAAAAGUUAGAACUUGAUGCAUUUUUUUAAAUAAGGGAGCUCAAGAAUGGUGGAAUUUUUUUUCCUUUGGUUAGAGUGGAUUAUACUUUUACUCCAUUUUUUGGAGUAUAGUUUAACUAUACUCCAAAAAUUACGUUACUUUUUUUCCUCCCAAACGCUUCAUAGGAUAUUUUUCCUACCGUCGUAGUAUAGUUUAACUAUGCUACGUUUUCAGGAGUAUCCAAACGGGGCCCAAUUGUGGGAACAACUUGUUCCCACCUAGGGGUUGUUUCCACCCCCGGGUAGAGAGAGAGAGAGAGAGAGAUUUUUAUUUUAAAUUAAAAUUAAAAUUUUUAAAAUUUAAAAUUUGUAAUCUCCAAAUUAAAAUUUAUAAUUUAAAAUUGUAAAAUUUAAAGUUUAAAUUUUAAAUUUGAUAUUUUUAAAUUUUAAAUUUUAAAUUUGAUAUUUUUAAGUUUUAAAUUUUAAAUUUAAUAUUUUAUAUCUUUCAAAUUUAAAUUUGGUCUUAAAUUUAAAUUUUGAUAUUUAAAAUUUUGAAAAAUAAAAUUUUAAAUUUUAAAAGUUAAAAAUUUAGAUUUAAAAUUUAAAAUUUUGAAUUUAAAAAUUCAAAUUCAAAUAUAAUGAGAGGGGUAAUGCCAUUAUUUUCUAUUUAUAACUAUCAACUAUUCUUCUUAUUCCACCUUAUUUAUCUAAACCCUAUUUGUUUUACUCCUAGAAACAACCAAAUUUCAUCCAAACACAGAAUUAGUCUAGUUCUUACUUAUACCUAAACUUAUACCUAUUCCUGAUAUAAGUUAGUUCUUAUUUAUAUUCGAACCAAACGAACCCUUAUGAAGAGAAUAAAAACUGUUACGUAGAUAGGAAUUAAAAAAAACAUAAUUUAAUGUAAGAAUAAAAGAGAAGGAAAAAAAUAAAAAUCGGAGGUGAUUUCGUUGGGUGGGUUUCAUUACUCGACGAGUUAUAACGGGCUCCGGUUUCUUUUUUUCUACAUCAAAAUCUAAUUUCAAAAGAAAAAUUAGUAAUUAAAAUAAAAUAAAAUUAGGAGAGAAAUAAUAAUUUUUUUCUUUUUGAGAAAGAAAAAAAUAUUUUUUUAAUUCAUAAAAAUAUAAAAUCUCACAUGAAGCAAACUCGAUUCAUAGCUCUUAAAUUCAUCAUCACCUACUUCUUCUCUAUAUUAAAUCAAAAAAAAAAAAAAAAAAAAACAAACAGAGAAGAGAGAAUGGACGUGGGUUAGGGGGAGAGAGAAAGGGAGAGGGGGGAUGGAGGUUUUCUUGAGAGAGCGGGUUGGAGAUGAAGGGACAUACAAUGGGAUUAAACGGAAAUGAAGGGAACAUACGGUGAGAUGAGGAAAGAUGAAGGGAUGUAUGGCCGGAGGAUGAAAAAAAAAUCAGAAAAGUCUAAAAAGGGGAGAACUUGUCACAUCAGCUUGAUAUUGGGAAAUCAUAUAGAGACUAGUGUAGUGAUCCGCACAAUAUGACGCGUAAAUAAUAUUCGAUAUUUAAUAUAACAACGACAUCGAAAAAUCGUUGGUAGGAAUUUUUUUCUUCUCUUUACAGCUUGAUAUUAUUUUUUUUUUGUAAUGGUCUUAUACUUGUUAAUUUUUUUUUUUCAAUGGACAAUUUAUCUUAUCCUACUUGGACUGUAUAAUACCUAAAUUUAUGAUUUUUGCAAAGAAAUCAUAUAUAAAAGUAUUAUGAUUAGCACCAAAAAAAAUUCUUAAAAUGAUUGUUGCAAAAAUAUUUAUAAAUUGGCAAUCAAAUUAGAUUAUGUCAUAUAUAAUAGCAUUACGAUCAGGAUUGAGGAAAAAAAAAUUUCUAAAUUAUUCAUAAUAAUAAAUUGGAAGGCAAAAAAAAAUUAAUAUAUAUAUAAAAAUUAAACCAGAAACCUUACAAAAUCUAAGGCAAUCAAUUGCAGAUCAACCGUACACAGACAGUCAAUUUUCUAAAACAAAGUAAAAUUAUUCAGUAUUUUUUUUAAAAAAUAAUAAGCAGCCAAAUUGAAAUUCAAAUAAAAAUAAAAGGUAGAAACAAAAUAAGAGAAGAAAGAGCACCAAUAAAGAAAUAAAGAUUUUUUGCCGCAAAUAAAAAUUUUAUGGAGCCAUAUUAUAUAGGCAAAAAAAAUAGCAUUCAACGUAAAACAACCCUUCGGAUUCAACAAAUACAGAUAUCCGAGGAGUCAAAGGGCGUGUAGAGAAUGAAUCUGAAUCAUUUUUGCGACCGUAGGGGGAUGAAUCGGCAGGAAUGAAGCGUCGCUAACGAAAACGGCACGACAGGAAGAAGGACCGAUAAUGAACUUAGCCAAAUUUUCUGUCUAGGGAGGACACAUCAGGAGUCGAAGAGGGAUCUAGGAAAUCGGGUGAGCAAUUAAGUGGGAAGAAGAUAGAGAAAAAAAAACGUUGACAGGUGGGGCCCAUGGGCUUUUAUAAGAGGAUGAAUGAUAGGUGCUAUACAAAUCAAUUAAGUGGAAACUGGGUGAUCAAUUAAGUGGAAAGAUGAUUAAAAAAAAGUGACAGGUGGGGCCCAUAGGCCAAGAUGAAUGAUAGGUCGUAGACAAAUCAAUAAUUAAGGUAAUUUAGUAUGACAAGUAAAUCCUACAAAAAUACAAAAUUAAACUAAUAUCGUCACGUAGACAAAAAAAAACAUGAAUUUUCAUAGGAGUUUAUAGAUACAGAUAAAAAGAAAUGAGAGAAGAGAGUGCAGACAUGUCAGUUGGGUGGAGAGAGAAAGAGAUUGGGGACGGGGUUUUCUUAAGAGAGCGGGUUGGAGAGGAUAAGAGAGAGAUGAAGGGAAAUGAAGAGAUGUAUAGCGGGAGGAGUGGAAAAAAAAAUUAGAAAAGUCUAAAAAAAGGAGAACUUACGAUCGGAUGAGGGGAGAUGAAGAGAUGUAUGGCGGGAGGAGGAAAAAAAUUAUCAGAAAAAAAGAACUUGCCACAUCAGCUAUUGAUAUUGGAAAAUCAUAUAGCGAUAUAAAUAGAUAUAGAUAUAGAUAUAAAUAAUUUGGGGAGAUGGGGAUGACGGUGGGAGAUGACAGAAAUGACAGAUUUGGUGGUAAAAAUAUACCAAUAUAUUAGAAAAGAGAAUUUUCUUUUUUACUAAAAGCGUUCGCUAGAAAAAUUUUUAUUUUCCUAAACAAAAAAAAUUUGGGAAACGAAAAGGAAUGUUUUUUGUAAAAUAUAAAAAAUAAUUUUUCAAAAAAUCUAUUCCUUUUGCAAACCAAACACGCAGAAUUUUCAGUCUGAAAAAAUUUUCUAGAGUAUUUUCUAAGAAACCAAAUCGGUCCUACACAAUAGCAGCAGCAUCCUUUAGGGAAAAGAAAAAAAAAAAAUUCUAUUUCUUUUCAUUCCAGCUAUUUUUGCCCUUUCUUUUACUGGCAUUAUUAUUAAUUAUUAAUUAUUAAUUUUUUGUUUGAAAAUAGUAGUCAUUUUGAGUUGUUAUAGUAAAUAGAAAUAUAAUUAAUCCAUUAAGACUUCAUUUCGUAUCAUGCUUUUUUUUAUAAUUUUAAAUAUUUAUUCUAUGUAAUUUGAUAUGUUGGAGGAAAAAAAAUAUUAUUGAUUAAUUUAUAAUGCAUCCGGCUAAGUAACAUAUGGUAAGUUAUUUAAAAAAAUAUUAGAAGCAAAAACAUAUAUAUAUUUUUUUGCCAAGUAAACACUACUUUGGAUGAAAUGAUUGACAUCAAUCUACUGUUAACUCUUGCACAUUGAAUAUAUACAAAAUUUAUUUUAAAAAAUAAAUGUGAUAGCAAACGAUGCCUAAUUCUUUUCCUUAUUUGUUCUUUUAUUAUACAUUAAUUCCACUAUGAGAAAUUUUUGGAUCCAACACUGGCAAUAGUAUAAAACUACUUUGCUUCUAUGAUGUAUAAAGUAAAAGCAAGUUCAACUUUUCUAUUACCCACCAAUUUAUGAUAUUAUUAUGUCCAAUUUCAACACUUUAUCCUUCUCUAGAGGACCAACUCAAGUUACAGUUCUAGUUUGUAUCAUGCCAAUGAAGAACCGUGAUUGCCAUUCCACAUAUGGAGCCAUGCCCCAUAUCCGUCUCCCAAUUGGCUCUCAAAAAAGCAAAAGUGAGCUUAUUCGUUUGGUUGCAUUUUUCUAAUUAAAAUUCAGUAUAAUGCAUCAAAUUUUGGCUAAAUAGGCAAAAUAAGAAUAAAAAAUCUUUUUUUCUAAAUAACCUUAUAAAAUUGUUUAGUUGGCGAAAUAACCCUCUGAAAAAUUUAUUUCGCCAAAUAACCCUCCUCUUGCCAACUUAGAGCUGCAGUGAAUAAUUAUACCCGAAGCGAUGAAUCAUUCACCAUCUUCAAGAAGGGGGUAAAAUCGUUCACCGCCUUUCUACAUAGGUGAAUGAUUCAUUACUUCUAAGUUUUAUGUUCGAAGAAUUUGAAAUUCAAAUUUAACUUUAGAUUUCAAAUCAAAUAUAAAAUUCAAAUUUAUAUUUUGAAUUCAAAUUUAAAAAUUGAUUUCAAAUCAUUGAUUUUGAUUUUAAAUACAAAUUCAGAUUUCGAAUUCAAAUUCAUAUUCUGGUUUGAAAUAUCAAUUCGAAUUCGCAUUAAAUUUCAAAUUUAAAUUUAAAUUUUGAAUUCAAAAUUUGAAGUAUAACUCAGAUUUUGAAUUCAAAUUGCAAAUCAAAUUUAAAGUUAAAUUUAAAAUUAAAAUUCAGAUUUUGAAUUCACAGUUUAAAUUGAAACUCACAUUUGAUUUGUAAUUUCAAUUCAAAUUCACAUGCAUUCAAAAUUUUCAAAUUGAAAUUUAAAUGCUGAUUUUGAAUUCAAAUUUUGAAAUAUAAUUCAAAUUUUAAUAUAAAUUAUAAAUUUUAAUUUAAAAUUUAAAUUUAGAUUUUGAACACAAAUUCAAAUAUCAAAAUCUAAUUCAAUUUCAAUUUCGAAAUCUAAAUUCAAAUUUUGAAUUUCAAUUCAAAUUUCUAAUUCAGUUUUAAAAUUGUAUCUUUAAAUUCUAAUUUCAAAUUAUUAGUUUAAAAUUAAAAUUUUAAUUCCAACUCAGACGUCGUGAUUUUGAUAAUUUUAGAAGCGGUGAAUCUACUUCUUUUCUUCUUUUUUUUUUGAGAGAGAGAGAGAUAGGUAGCACGCUAUCUGUUUCGUUUAUUUUAUUUAGAAAUAAACUUAGCUGGAAAUGUGAAUCAACUAUGAUUCGAACUCGGGACCUCGGGUACCAACCACCAAGCCCUUUGCCACUUACUCUAGGGACGGUCGGUGAAUCUACUUAAAAGCCGAAAAGGGUGAAUGAUUUAUCUCUUUCGUAGAAAAUUUAGAAGAUGGUGAAUCGAAAUUUAGAAGAUGGUGACUCGUUCACCGUCUUCUCGAAAAUGGUGAAUGAUUCACCGCUUUUGGCAUAAUUAUCCAUUGUGUAGUUGGCAAGAGGAGGGUUAUUUGUCUAAAUAAAUUUCUUAGAAGAUUGUUUUGCCAAUUAAAAAAAUUCAAAGGAUUAUGCAGAUAAAAAUCCCGCGAAUGAAAAUUACGCUAGACAUGACAUGAAUGGAUUUGGAAAAGUUUAAGCUGAGUUAGAAUUUAUUUGGAAUUGUGGUAAGAGACUAUUUGGUUUGAUAUAAAUAAAAAUAUAGUAGAGUUGGAGAUACAUGUAAUUGAAAAUGUAAUAGUUAAAGCUACGUAUAUCUCGUUUGGUUAGAUGCAGUAAAAAGCACAGUAGUUAUAUGUAGCAGUUGUAUGUCACUGAAAAGUGCAUUUGUAAAAAAAUUUCCCUUUUUGUACAUAGUGGUGAGAUUAUCUCCAAUAUAAACAGAAAAAAAUAUUUUUUAUUUAAAAAAUAAUUAAGGAUGUAAGCUUGCCUCUUAUUUAAAGUUACUCUUCCAAACUGUUAUACAGUUGGAACUACAGUUAAUUUGGACGCAGUUCAAAAUUGCAUCAACUACGUCUCCUCAUGCAAUUUCAACUACAGCAGUUGGAUUCAAAUGCAUCAAAUCAAAUAUUGGAUUUGAAUUUGUACGUAGUUACAACUAUAUGCAAUCAAACAAUCCCUAAUAAAAGCACUCGAACUACUCAUGAUGCAAAUACCUCGUGUAAUGGAAAUAUACCCCUCCUUAGGUCUUCAACCAACUAUACUAUAGUAGUCCUCCAGGUGCAGGUGCUUCUUACAACUAUAAUAGACCUCCAAGAAGCACCCCAACGCUCGAGUUUCUUAUAUAUAUAUAUAUAUAUCAAUGAGCCUCCGAUGCCACAAUAGUUAGCUGGUGGAAGAUGAAUUUCUCUACAAAUAAAUAAACGCCAACUAGCACAUUUGCUAAUUAAGCAUGCUUCAGCAUAUGUAAAGACGAUGAAGCAGGAGGAGACCUUUUUUAGAGGAUGGAUUAUUUGGCCAGAUAAAUUCUCUAGACUAGAAGGUUAUUUUGUAAAUUGAAAAAUUUCAUCGGAAAGAAAAAAAGAAAAAAAAAAAAAAGGGUCUGGAAUCUGGAUCCCGGUUUACCACAUUCCUGAGAGCUCGGUCCUGCGAACGCCACUAAUAAAUCACACUGGUAGUGGUGCAAAACCGAGCCACCACACUGGCUUACAUACCCCACCUUACAAGCCCACUUUCCCUCCAUACGCUACCUACCGGCUCUUAACUACAUUAGCAUUAGCAUCAUUAGAGGGAUAAUACGGCCACUAACAUCAUCAUAUAGGACUGACUAAUUUACAUCAUCUUCUAACAAGCUUGUUGCUUGUUAUUUGGGGACCCCCAAGUUGUGAGUGCGAGCGAGUUAAAUGGCAAAAUAAAGAGAACAGGUAAUGGGAGGAGGUCUCUCCCCCUCCUCUCUCACUCGCACUCGCACUCUCACUCUCACUCUCACUCAGGUGCGUCCAUCGACUCCGGCGGUAUGCGAAACAGCACAGAUGCAGAAUAAUGCCCCGUCUGUGUACAUAGGGGUGGAUGAAAUAGUAAAAACCAGGCUCCAGCUGGACCUCUUGGCCUCGACAGUUCUUACGGACAUAACAAGCAAGUACUUUUGUAGUAAAGGAAAUAGCGAAGCUACAAGAUUAUGUUCAGAUCAGUUACAGCAAUUAACUGAGAAUCAGAAUAGCUUUACCAGAUACAGAAUAAUAAUUAAGCAGGUUAAGGAGGUUAGAUAAUUUACGAGCCUCCUAUUCGCCAUGUAUCUCCACUAUGAUAAGUUACACGAUUCACCAAAAACCAACUAAAACAGGGCGCGGCCAAAGAAAAUAAAAAAAAAAAAUCACUUCCUCCAAUGAUGUACGAAAUCACGACCCUCUCCAACCUACAGGGAGCAGGAUUCCUGGAACAACUUUCGUUUACACAGGCAUCUUACAAAAAGCACGGCACCGAUAACAAUGUGUUAGUGAUGUUUCUAGAUCACAAGUCAAAAGCAUUCCCAGCCGAUCAGAUGUCGUUUUAAUUUGGGGCUUAGUGUAUUCUCUUUCUCUUGCUUGUUUCGGGGUUAUCAUCAAGAACAAUGAUAUCAUCAUCGUCGUCGUUGUCUUUGAUUUCUUGCAGACUUUUUUUAUCAGAUAAGUUACGGCUAGGACGAGUCUGAGGUUUAUCGUCAUUCUCUGUUGCUGUUUCUGACCUUUCAGGCUUGGGCAUUUUCCUCUUUUUACUGGGCACUGCUGGAGUUGUUUCCACCUCAUCUCCGUCAGCUUCUGAUGAAGAUACAGAGGCCACAGCUUUGGUCUCUCCGUUGCUCACCGCAACCUCUUUGCCCUUUUCGGAGGGAGUGGUCCACCCAGAUAGGACCAUCCCAUCAGGUUCUUUCUCCUCGUCAAAUUCCUCCCUGCUUAUACAUCAAUAUAUUGUAAUGAUAUCUCAUACUUCAUAAUCUCUGUUAUAAAAGUAGCCAUUUCAUGAACUGAAAGAAACAUGUAGGAGGCAUACAAUGGAAAUAAGAGAGGGCUUCGACGAGACAAAUGGACUUAAAGCACAAACAGAUGAAAAACCAGACUCAGGAAGCAAACCAGAAACUGUGUCUAAGACUUCCAAUUUUCGAGUACUUUGACAAUGUUUAGGUAUGUCAUUUAUCAAAUUUAAAAAGAAGAAGAAAGAAACAAUCCCAGAUGCACUUUUUAUCUUCUAGUAUGCAUUUGCAAUCUGAAGACGGAAAACGGUAAAUGACUUUCAAGCAUGUCUAAUAUGGUAACAUCCUAACAUAAACCCCGAAUUGAUGUCAAAACCAAGUGAUUGCUAAUAGUUCUUACAAUCACUUUCAUUGGUUUCUAAAACAAGAUGGCUUCUCUUUUGCUUCCCCUCACGAGAGUUAAACACAAACUCUUCCAACCUUGACACUUUCAUACACGCUUAUCUCCUAAUGCAUCAUCAUUCAAUGCAUUAGACGCUUUGACGCAAAGCACAGAUUAUGUAUAAUUAAAGUUCCAAGCCACUACAACAGAAUAAGAAACUUUAUAGGAACAACAUGAUGAAUGUAUUUGGGAAAUUAACAAUGCAAAAAGAUACAGAAACCCAAAGACGUAAUGGAAACCUGUGUUUGAUGUUGAUAUUGCAUACUAAUUCCUGUUGAAGAUCCUCGAGACAAAGCACAGUGCCACUUCUGACCGGAGCAGGCAGUCCAGAUAAAACCUGCGUGAGAUGUGCAAGACAAUCCCGUAGGACGCAAAAAAAACAAAAAACAAAAAAAAAACAAAAAAAAGAAAGAAAAGAGAACAGACACCAGUUAAAGCCAACCUUAGCUUACCAUGCACAACUGAAACAGAGAAUGCUAAGAGUGAAUAUAUGAAUAAAAGAAGUCAUCAGACACAACCUUGUCGAGGUUCAAAGCAUAAUUGGCAGCUAAAUCCUUGUCCAAAUCAUCACCAUCCUCAAAGACGAGUGUUGAGCCAACCAUUACCAUAGGAAGGUUCAUACCAAGUUUGGCCUUUACUAUUCUCUCGACAACAUCUCGAAGCUUUGCAGUAUUAGUGUUAACCUCCAACAGCAGGGGUGUCUGUCUCAUUUAAGUAUACAAAUGUUUAAAACAGUCACAUAUCGGGGAGAGAGAGAGAGAGAGAGAGAGAGAGAGAGAGAGGGAUUUUACAAAAAAGAUAAGUACCUCAGAACAGACAUAACAUGAUUUAUUAGCCUCAAAUGGCUGCACCGGCAUUAGAAGCAUCUUUCUUGAUGGAUGUUCAAGACAAUAUGUCAUCCUGUGAACAAAAAUAGCUCUCCCAGUUAAACAAAACUUAAUUUUGCCUAUAAAUUUAAUACAAAGAUGUGCACAGAGAAGAUAGAAGUGGCAAGCGUUGUGCCAAUCAUCACAGCAGCUAAAAAAGAUAAUAAUAUGUCACAUGCAAUUUGUUUUUGACCGCCAAUUCUUGUCUGUAUCAUAAUUAGGUAUGUUGAUGCCUUGAUGGCAUAGGAUUGAUUCGAUUUUUCGGAAAAUAAAAUCCAAAAUGCCCAAUCAACAUUGAAACCCAAAACCAAAACCAAAUCAAACGACUUACAGAAGUCGAAAACCAUAAAAAACCCACCGAAAAACCUAAAACACCAAAACUGAAACCCACUAUAACUUUCUUUUAACAAUUCUAUUCAUAAACAAAACAGGAUUCAAACUAGGUUCUAAAUCUUGAUACAAGAACAGCAAUAUAAAAUGUUAUCAAGAUGACUAUCUUGUCUUAAUCUACAUUCUACAGCAAUUAGAUCAAAAUACACUGGCUUGAAUACAUAUACAUCUUCAUCUGGAGGAAUUAGAACAAAGGUGUGUAUAUAUAUAUAUGCGUUUUAAAUAUAUAAUUUAAGAACAUCACUCUCUAAUAGCUUAAGCUUUUGGACAAAAACGAUUAUUUCACAUUCUUUACAUGGUGUCAGAGUAGGAGGUCUUGAGUUCGAAUCCCACCAAGCUCCUAAUCUCAUUUAAUUUCCCCCAUUUAACUCAAGUACACAUUUCAAAAUGUCUCGAGCCCAAAUGAGAGGGAACAAUGUUAAAAUAUAAAUAAGAACACCGUUCUCUAACAAUUUAAGCAAUUGCAAAAAAAAACAAUUGUUGCACAUUUUUAGACAUACGAAGUAUACAGUUUGAGUUCAAGUUCAGGUCAGGAAGUCGCAAAAACUAUAACUGAGACCCAACUAAGUUUGUUUUCCCAUCGCCCAAACCAUGACGGUUUACCUUCAGUUAUUACUGCCCCAUUCAGGUUCGAGGUUUCUAGUAAAAUUUUGCAUAUCAUACGCAUUGACAUCCCUAUUGUGGUAUGUUACAUUACGUUCUAUGUGAUUGGAAAACUAGGACGAACAAGAUUACUAUAGGACUUUGAAGAACAAAAUUAAUUGAAUUGCAAGAUCUUGCUUUUACGAGUGUUGCAAUAACUGUCAACUACUACAAUUGAACAUGCAAUAGGACUUCAUUUUCAAUAUCUAAUCAUAUGUAAUGAUAAGUCAUACAUCAAUCUCUAUCACUAUUGCUAGGCACCAAAGCUACUUGGUUCUCAAGUAGGAACCUUUCUUACUAGCACGGGCUCAGAUAUUCCAAAGGAUAAUUAAAAAAUAGUGUUAACAAGUAAUGAUCAGAAAAGUAUCAUAUAAGCAAUGAUCAAAACCUGUGAACAAGAAAGAGAUGAAAUAUCAUGUGGAGAAAAUCUAUGCGAAGACAGUUUCCCUGCUGUUAAGGCACAAACAACUAAUCAACUUUAAGAGCUCCAAGUAAAGGCCAAGAAUUUGCAUUGCAUAAUAACCCACUAGCCAAUAAUUAACACUACUCGUAACUCAGGAAAAGCAGGUCACCACAAAUCAUGCACUCCCAAAUAACAAUGCGGUAGACCUAGUACUGUUAAUUUAGAUUCAGAGCUUAAGCGUGGAGAGAAGAAAGAAACAAAGGUGAACUAUUUGGGUUGGUACUGCAUGCUGUGAGUUGUAUUUCUCUAUUCUGCUCAAUGAAAAAACUAUAAUAGACCAUGAUAAAUGAAUAAAAAGACGAAAUCCAAAGAAUCGUCAAAAGAAUAUGCAGACUGAAAUUUUGGUCAACAGGAUCCUCAAAAGGGAUGCAAACUAAAAAUUUGUUCAAAACACCAGUUAUAUAAGUUUCAAUCAUUAUAACCUAUAUGAAUCAUCUUUCCCAGAGCGCUUCUUAGUAGGAAUAAAAUCCAACUAAUGUUCCAUUUUCAUACUGAUAGAAAUCAUGAAGACUAUCAAAAUUUUGCAAGAAUUUUGUGGAAUGAAUGUAGCAGAACUCAAGCUAUUAUUUCAAAUGAAAUUUUUUAUGAGGUAAAAGCACAAAAUUACAAGCUGAUGGAGAUUGAAAGCAACUUCUUUCGAUGAAAGAAAAUUUUUCCUGCAUGUUUCAAAUGCUACUUGGUGGACAAAGAACUAAAUUUGCAGACUUCUCAAAAGGAAUGGUUAGAAAAUAGCUUAGUCUCAAAAUAAUCAUCAUAAAAAAUGAUAGCCAAAAAUUUCCAUAUACAAUAACUAGAUCCAGAAACCAGAAAUAGUGGAAACUCGUAACUUCAUGGACAAAGGAACUGUACCUAUAAUUCUCAAAAUCAUUCUGCAGCACUUUAAUUGCUUCUAUAACAAUCAGACCAGCAAUAAUAGCAUUUGUUGUUGCGACGGCAUGAACGAUGUUGCCGGCGAUGCCUUUAGCUUCAAAAAGACUAUGCAAAGGAAUCCCAAAAGAAGAUGCCCUGAUAUUUGCAGCAGCAGUCACAAACUCCACUGCCAACUGAUCAUCUUUGUCAAAGGUUAAGCACCCAAUAUCCUAAGACCAAUUAAUAGCAACAUGAACUAAGUUUAACAGAGAAAAUGAUCUCAGGAGCAUAACAACAGAUAGAUGCAAAAGAUGGUACCUUCUCUCUUUUUUCAAAAAAUAAUCUAAGAGACUCCAAAAAGAUUCGUGAAUUCUCGGCAAGGCUCCAAACAUCCUGUGGGUUCUUCAGAUUAAGAGAGGACAUAGCAGAUGGGGUCAAAUCCUCAGUCUUGCAGUCCUCUGAGUACCCAUUUCGGUGAACUAGUUUGUCAGGUAAAAGAUCAUUAAUAUAUACCGGUCUAGGUCUUUGUCUGUUCUUCCAUGUUUCUUCAUUAGUUAAUGCAACUUCAAUAUUAUAUCCAAAAACAUGAUCAUAAAUUCUCCGACCAUACUGCUCAAGGUCUUCAUGUGGGUUGCGUACAAAUACAUCUUGUGCAUGCUCUGACUGAGAAUUGCCAUCACCAGAAUGCACGUUAAGAUCAUUGUCCUGAUUUUUGUCACCAAAUAACUUGGCAAAAAGCAAGUCCUUGGCCCAAACAAUACAGUGAACAAACUGGACAUGUAAAAGAUAGAAUUCAGCAUCACAAAAAAAUAGCAGACUAAAGAUUUAGUUAACUGAAAUUCAGUUCCAGCAAAAAUGCAAUCACCAUACCAACAAAUCAACAGAUAAUAGUAAUCAAGAAAAUUCCAUGCAUCGAAAGCAUAAAACUUCCGAACCCCAAACAACAAUAAGAACCAAGAAAUAAAGAUCUGCAAGUUCACAAAUCGAAAGUAGAUUUCUGAUAUGUUUAAAUUUGAGAUCACAAAAGUAGAUUUCAAAUUCUCUUCCAGUUUUAUUAGCAAAUUCACAAAUAAUCCCUAAAUUACCCACAUGAGUACAUAUGAUGGAACACCUUUCACAUUUGUUUUUCCCAAAAAGACUGAAAAAAUCAUGUCAUUUUUGGACGAGAUGUACAAAACACAUUUAUACACAAGCAUCUAGUCAAAUAAAACUUAAUUUAAUGUUUUCCCUAAGGUUAGAUCAAGUAACAGCACAUAACAUAAUUCCCUAUUUUCCAUGAAUAACUGAAUUCCUUCCUCUAAAAUUCAUAAUAUCUUCUCACUAAUUCCAUAUGCAACUUUAACACAUACUCUCUCUUUAUUACUUUUCUGCUGUUCUACAAAUAUCAUCCUACCCCACAAUUGAAGGAAUAACAAAUUACCUUGAAUAGAAGACAUCAUAACAUAAUUCAAAAGUGGGUACUGAUGUCAACUGAAAGUUUAUUAUCAGCGUGGCCCUGACAUUCACUGAAUAUCCCAUUACAAAUGCAUAUUACAAUAAGGCGCUAUGAGAAUUACAUAAAUAUUCAUACUUUUAGUCAGUUUUGGCUGAUCCAUGUAAAUGUCCAGAGCAUAAUAUUCCUUAUUACCAUUUUUUUUACCCAUAUUUGUACUUUAAAAAUGGAUUAUUCAAAUAUAAUUCAGAUACUUUAUUACUUUUGAUUGUCAAAAAGAAAUUGUUCAAAUAAAGUUUGAUAAACCUUGCUCAAAAUUUGUUACAGCUUUACAGGAAAAGGCCUGCAUCAUGUUCUAAAAAGUGUAAAGUUACUAGGCAAGUAGCCAAGAUACUGCAUAGCUUAUGCGGAAGGCGAGUGCAUAUGGGGUCACAUAGGAUACAACAAUAGCCUGUAAACUGUGGUAAGACAAAAUACAAUAGAUAAGAAUAAGAGGCAGAAGAAUCACGAAGAAAAAUCCUAAGAAACCUUUAUAUGUUGUAGGACAUUGCAACACUAUAAAGAUCAUGUCAAAUUUUUAUGUAAUUUUCGAUGCAAAGUAUUCUCAAACACGAGUAGCAAAUGAAAGUAGUAUGAAGAUUUAUAUCUCAAAUCAGUAGAUUUAAAUGUAUAACUAGUCAGCAUAGACAUGUCGCAACAUAUCUACUUAUAUAUACUUAAAAUACAUCAUAGCACGCGACUUGUGUAACGACCCGACCCGCUAGCAAUAAUAACUUGUUGGGCCCAAACCAGCCCAAAAUGCUUAAAUCCAGUUAUUAUUAUUAAUUUCCAUAAUCUCUUAUAUACUCGAUCACAACCCCAUUCCCACCCAAUAUUGGACUAUUGGGGUAUCACGGAGUCCCCCUGUUUAGGCCCUGACAUUCUUGUCAGACCAAUCACACGCACAACCUACGAUCACCAAGUGAUGUGAGACUUGUCUCGUUAGCCUUGAUACCGACCUUAGCUUAACCUGUCAUUCUCCAACCUGGCUUAGCCUGUCAUUCCAACACUGAGUCAACCGAGAUUCAUCUCACACUUCCGACUAGUGAUUGACUCUGAUAUCAAAUGUAACAACCCAACCAGCUAGCAAUAAUAACUCGUUGGGCCUAAAACCACCAACCCAAAAUAUUUAAGCCCAAUUAUUAUUGUUAGUGUCUGUGAUCUCUUAUAUACCCAAUCACAACCUCAUUCCCAUCCGAUGUGAGACUAUUGGGAUGUCACAACUAGGUCUUAUGUUUAUUACCUAGUGGCUAGUGCCCAAACUAUAUUUAGAUAUGGUCUAUGUGGGUUGGUUAAGCAACUGCAUCCACUUAGGCGUGCAAAAAUACGGGUUUAUGCACUAGUAGAAUAGUAGCCACCCUUUAGGAAUAAUAGCCUAUGAAUGAUGAGCAUUGUAUUUUGUAUGUACAGUUAAAAAGGUCAUCAUUUGAACCAAGGUUUUAAUCGCCUCAACAAUAGCAUGCGAAAUAUCAGUCAGCCUAUUAUACAGUGGCGCGUUGCAUGCCAACAGCUCGGCACAAUCGUCAAAGGCCAUAAUAUGGUGUCCUUUUAUAUGUUGGCACACACCUGCAAGCAGCAUGAUCAACAUGUUUCGCACGUGCGUAGCAUGUACCCCAGCUAACAAAGUACUUAACUUGGUUUGUGUUCUUUUACGGCUUGUUGGGCUCAUUUUAACAAAUGUAUAAGUAUUGUUUCAGUGGAGAUAUUCGAAGAAGUCCAAUAGCACUUUCAUAGAAACUCACCUCACAAAUUUAUGCUGCAUCUAGAAGCAAGAGCUUCAAUUUUAAAAUGCCUUUCGACCCAGAAGCUAAUUUCAUCUACCCUUGAAGUCUGAAACAUCACACCUUUCAUCUUCCCAAGUCAAGGUAUUCGAAUAAUUAGCCAAAAAUGCAUUGAACAUGCAUGGGCAGUCCAUGUUGAUAAUAAUUUAAAGCAGUAUAACAUUGAUGCCAUGCAUUGCACUAAGCAUCCUAGACAUUUUGACAAGGCUAACACUAUGGCUAUAAAUUGAGCUCUUUGCUUUUGAACAACUUGUGUUCGGCUUGAAACUUGGCUCAGCACAGGCUCAGUUGGCUCGUCUAACAUACAAGUUAAGGUUGAGCAGCUCAAUGCUCUUAGUUAAUCUUAAAAAUAUAAAAAUUGGCAAAACAUAUUGAAAACAAUCAAAUAACAUAUCAAUUUUAUGUCAGAAGAAGCAUAAUUCGUCCUCCUUAGAAUGAAAAAGAAAUUUUCACAUGUUAUACAAAUGUAAUUCUAAAUAACAGAUUAGCAAUACGUAUACAAUAAAGGUUCAUAAAAAUAAAAACAUCGUCAAUUUCUUAGUACAAACACAUAAAUCAGUUCUUCAUGAGCAGCUCAAGUUUGACUCAAAAGUAAAUAAGCUUGAGAUCAACACGACUAUAAGCGAGCCGAUCUUGAGCUUAGCUUAGCUUGCUUAUGUUUAGCUUAUUAACAAUACUUACUCAGCUAGCACAUUAUUAUGGCUUUCAUACUACAAUAAUGACUAAAUUUUAAUUGUAUAAGUUGUUGGCAUUUAAAACUUCAAAUUGUAUCAGUUGCUUCAGAUCAUUUGAUUGGUUGGAUCCUUUUUUUCCUUAGCAUAGGAAGUUAGUACAAAUCCAAGGUUUAUUCACCAAAAGUUGAAUAAGCCACAAUUUUAGUAUUCUUCCAAAUUGGAGGUUCUGCUCUUAGGGCUUAAAAUCUCAUUUCAGCUUCCCACGCAUUGUAAAAGCUCCAAGCAUCUGUAUUUGCCAAACACCAGGAGGUGAUCGCAAAUCAAGGCAAAAGCAAAAGCUAGACCAAAUAGGUACCAAGAAUAUCAGCAGUGGUAAGAAAUUUCAUAAGGAAAUGACAAAGAAAAACUAAAGAAAAAAGUUGUAAGUAGCAACGAUAAUCUUUCACAGAAUAAUUCAUCCAUGGAAGCACAGAUACACCAGUUAAAACAAGAGAAAAUCAGAAAAACCAGAACAGAAUUGACAAAGAUUAAACCUUUGAAGGGGUGCUGGUGAUCGUACAAACAGGAUAGGUCUUCGGAGUGGGUUUUGGCUGGCAUUCAUAGCACUCUGUUUUGCCUUUGACAUGAACUGUGACCUACCAAAUGAAAAACGAUUAAUAUAUUUCACUAGAGUCAGUUUGACAUGUUAAUGCACAAAAACAUGAGAUUUUCUGAUUUGGCACAUACUUAUAGCAAGCAGUUCAUGGUGUCGUUAAUUAACAAAGCACAUAGGAAGCUAGUUUGGUUCCUGCAAGAAAUACAGCUAAAAAAAUAUACGGGUACUAGAUGACUAAAUCAUUCUAGGAUUUGAUUGUAAAACAGACAUUCGUUUCAUGCAGAAGUAACUCUAAAAAGUAAGAGCAAACACUACGGGAUUGCAACUUGCAGUAUGCUGAAUUUCUGAAUAUAUGACAUUCAGAAUAAAAAAUGUAAAAACAACUAGCACAGUGCGAUGAGGAUGUUGACGUGGACAAACAGCAAUAUAAAGUAGGACCGGAAAGGAAGAUGUUCGCUCUGCAGCAGAAGCAGCUUCAAGGCAGGAUUAUGGAAUAAUUACGGAAACACAUACAAAAUGGAGAUGUAAAUUGAUCGAUAGGAAAGAAUGAGGUAAUCCAAGGUUAUGCUAUGAAAGUGAGAGAGAGAAUCCAGAAAUGACACUAACAGAAGUGAUUAAGAAAGAUAAAGAGGCAACAUGUUUAGAAGAGGAGAUAAAAGAAUCUGUGGCCAGAGAACAGUUACAUGACGAAGAUGAGUUACGAGGAUAGAUGGCAAAGUUUAUUUGACAACUUUUCCGUCAGUACCUCUUAGAGGAAGAUUAAAGCUAAACAAAUGUUAGUCCAUACAUCCUAACAAAUUCUUCUUCUAGAGAUACAUCAAAUAAAGCAGUAGAUUUAUGGGAGUACGAAUAGCAAUUACCAUGCUACACAUUACUUUCUAAUGGCUUUAUAAUUAGAUUAAACUGGGAGUUAUAUGACAUCACCUGCCCCAGAAAACCUGUUGUUCCACUUUCAACUAAAGGAACUUCAGCAGCAAGGCAAAGUCGAUUAACGUGUCGUCUAGCAUCUAGGUUAUCCAGACCAUUCAGGACCACAUUAAACUGCUUAAAAAAAUCAACAUUGAAUUGAGGAUCUUUGACAUUUGAAUGGUAUGGUGUGAUAUUGAUGUGGGGCCUAAACCUUAGAACAGCAUCACGAGCAACCUGAAAAGAAUACAACCAUGAUGGAAGCAAUGAGAGCAGCACCAGAUGUAAAUAAAUAAAAUAGGAAAAAAGUUUCAUGAGAGAUGAAUAAAAAACAUUCAAAUGUUGCUUACUUUAGCUUUAGAUUGUCCAACAUGAUGUUGCCGAAAUAAAAAUUGCCUGUUUAGGUUGCUAACUUCAAUUGUGUCCAUGUCAAUCUGCAAAUUGUUUCAAAAGUUCGAUUUAUAAGUUGGUAUCCAAAAUGUCAGCUGAUAAGCUUACUCUACUCCCGUGGUAUAUAGACGUCUGAAUGAACUCAUCCAAUUGGGACAACAGUGGAUUUCAUGAAAAAUGGAUACGUGAUGAUAAAAGACUCCCACUAGACUCUAGAGAAAUUACCACGUCAGAAUAGAUAGCAGAAUAAGAACUAUAAACAUUCUCAAAGGGGUACGAACAGAGUAUAAACAUAUAAGACACCAUAUCUUUGUGGCCAUGAAACUAUUUAGAACAGCUAUGCUAUAAUUACAUAGAUAAUAAUGUUCCUAUAAUGAUAAUUACAAUAUUGCUACUAGCAAAUACACUAAGCAACUUCCACUAACGACAAUCAUCACAAAAUAGGAGACAAACGAAAAGUAACAAAAUGGAGGCAAAAGAAGCUUGGAUUUGGCAAACGAAUUCCGUGAAAAUACUAGGUUCUACAGUUCUACUGUAAAUUUUCAAUAGAUAAUUACAGAUAAUUGGCAAAGCUACAACUCUUUGUCUGCAAUAUAUGAUUAUUACAAACAUGGUCAGUCAAACCAUUAUUAGCAUGAUAAUCACCAGAACAGGUUAAAGGACUAAAUCCCGAGUAAAGAUAACAAAAAAAAAUUGCAUAGCCAUGCCUUCUCUCAAUGUCGGAACAAAUGCCUGCCUUAAAAGCAAGGAUUACCAUGCCACUAGCACCGGGUGUGCCAGAGUUCCAUUGGCAAGGCACAACACAGCACGUCAUGGCAUGGCUUGGCAUGCCAGCACGCGUAGGGAUAGAUCCUCUUUUAUUGUUAGCAGGAACUACACAGGCCAUGCCAGAUCCUUUUUUAUCUAUUAGAUGAGAAGCAUCGAGGGCACAUGCCGGCCAUGCCAGAACAAGGCCCACCAACAUAGAAAUCCUUGCUUACAAGAAACUACACCAACACCAGGUCUAACAAGCUUGUCACAUUACACAAAAAACGAAAUCAAAGUCCAGAUAAAGAAAUGGAGUGGAUAUUGAAUGAAACUUUUGAGGACAAGUAUUACAUUGCCACAAGAAGCCAUCGGUCCUAAUUUUGCUGAUCUAAGAGGCAGUAUUUGCCAGCUCCUUAGGCCAUAAUAUCAUGAGUUUUACUCUUACUAAUACUUCUUGAAUCUACACUGCACAAACCACUAUAUAAACUUUAAAAUCAAUUUCUCAGUUUCCUGUAAGUGUUGUUUUUGGCACUUUUUUAAAGCCAGUUCAUAAAACAUCUGACUGAUCCAUGGACAAAUAGCUGACAUAUUCAACAUCCUAAAGCACCAUAGAGAAAUAUUCAACCUGCUUUAAUUUUUCUGUCAUAAUUCAUGUUGCCCUCUCAUAACAAACAGCCCAUAUAAUCCAGGGUACGAGUUAAUUCUUUCAUCUACCCUUCUCUAUCUUUUUAAAAUCUUUGUUUGCUUUUCCUGCUGAUCUCCAAGGUAUUGUAAUUUAUUUCAGUGCUUGCAUUGAUUAUCACUGAAGCAAUUCGAUUCCUUAGGCUGAACAAAAUGGUACACACCAAAAAAAGCAAAAAAGAAUAGCAUGGAUGGUAUGUUGAUUUAAAGGAUAGAAGAGAAACCAAAAAGGAGCCUAACAUAUAAGCAAGUAGUACACUUGAUGUCACAAUCCUUUCAUUCCUGACAAGAUUUAUUAGAGAGUUAAUAAUCUCUCCCCAGUCCACAUAUAAAUCAUAUUCCGACUUUUAAAUAAAACAAAAAAUAUAUAACUCUAUAUUUAUAUCAAGUUGGAUCUCAUUAAUCAUGUUUCAAGUAAUCCAUGCUAUCUCGCUUUAUCUCAAAAGAGUGGAUGAACCAAUACAUGCGUAUGUGGUCCCUUGAACACCCUUAAUAAUCCAUUAGUCUCUCUGCCUGUUGGCUAGACACUUAUGCGCUACACAGUAAGCACGUGAGCAAGUCAUCUACUACCAAAUUAACCAAGCACUUAGUUAAAUGCAAGCAGAUUAAGCAUGGCAUAUUAAUGAAACACCUAAACAUAGAGUUUACUUGGGGGUAUGUUUAGUUUAUAUUGUGACUGUUGCCUUUCUUUGUAAUCAGCAAAAUUUCUUGCUUAUAUUACUUAAAACUUCCACGUGAUAUUUACUGUGUUACAGUAGGUCUUCAAAAUUUUCUCUGUUUCCUUUCUUUUUGGGGAUUUGUUAUGUGCGUUAUCCGUUUACCAAUUUCUAUUAUUCGCAUUUCUACCACAGUUUAAAAAAUGUUAAUUGCAUCUGAAAUCAAAUACCGCAUGCAUACCAGCAUGCACCUGAGUAACGCAUACAUCUGGCACACUAUUGGCAUCGUUCAGGAGAACGCCUUUUCUACCACUUACAAGCAUAGUUUUGAUUAACGACAAUUGAACAAAUUUUUAAAGUGAGAAGCAUUGUUUCCGUUAAUUAAACCACAUAUAUGCCUGCAAAUGCAUCUGCAUACCAAAUAUACAACAUGCGGCGGCAGGAAGGGUGGAUUUUAGUGCCUCUUUGGGCCUACUUGUGCUUCCUGCUUUCAACAAGAAUCACCCCUAGAAAAGCGUUUUGGCAAAUAAAAAAGUCCGGGGCUUUGGCUAGAACAGAAAUCACACACACACACACACACACACACACAAAGAAAAAAAAAGAAAAGAAAAGAAGAAGAGAUUUUGAGGCUUAAAACCGAAAGAUUUAAAUUGAUGCUUCUACAGCGGCAGCGAGGAUGUAAAACAGCAAAAAAUUUACUCAACAGCAAUCUAUCCAACAGCACCGCACCCUACAUACCCUGCAGCAGGGGCAAACAGGAUCACAGAAUUUUAUCCUCUCCUCUUUAAUUUGAGUAUGCGGACGGAGUGGUACAUACACCGGGUCGAGUCAAACAGCAAAAUAAACGAUAAAACCCUAGAAUCCCGGAAGUAGCAAAAGACCGGAGGAGAGAAACCCUAACAGGACUGGACUGGACUGGACUGGGUGGUGGUGGUGGUGGUGGUAAAAGUAAAAGCAGGGGAAGGCGAAAGUAGAAGUAAAAGCAAAAGCAGGGGAAGGCGAUGUUACUAUGUGAAUAUCGCGGAAGCCGGAGAGGGCAAGCGUCUUCAGGAGCUCGCAGCCGAUCCCGCCGGCCCCGACCAUCAGCACCUUCGCGGCCUGCAGGACAAACCCCCCCAAUCCGAGUCAAGCGAAGUCAGACUCCUUCCUUCCUUCCUUCCGCAAGAAAAUAAUACCUGCCUUCCCGAGGCACCCACCCCACCGAGAAGAACAGGAACAGGAACAGGAACAGGAACAGGAACAGGAACGUGAACGUGAAGCGAGAGCAGCAAGUUUUGGGAGGAGACGAAGGAUCGGGCUAGUAAAAGCCUCCUCGCCCGAAGAAGUGCAAGGAGAGGGGGCGAUGGGCUUCGAUUCCGAGACCUUCGAACCGAAAAACCGCUGAUGAGCGGAGAGUAGAAUUUCGAAACUAUCUGUUUCUUCCGUGUACAUUCUUUCUACCUUCUUCUUUUUUUCUUUUUUUCUUUUUUUCCUUUUGUCUUUUUUUUUUUUUUUUCAAAAAAAACUUUGCCUAUUUUGGUAAUAAAAAAAAGCAUAUAGUCCGACGCUAGCUUGUAUUUCGGGGCUACAAGAAGUUAUGGACUUUUUUUUUGCAUUUAGCCUUCUAAAAAAAUUUUAUUUCAAAAAUGGCCCUGUCAAAAUUUAAUUUGCAAAAAUGACCCUGACUUUGCCACGCAAGUGUCACGUCAGCGCCACGCAGGCGAAGCUGGGGCCACGGCGUUUAAGUUGAACAUGGUGAACCAUUCACCGUAUUCAAACACGAUAAAUGGUUCACCGUGUCCAGUGUGUUAUUCAUGCCCUUGGUCUUGCAGCAGGUCGGAGAGAGCCUGGGGCAGAGGGAGAGAGAACCCAGGGGUAAUACAUGAGACACGGGGGACCAUUCACCGUGUCUAAACACGGUGAAUAGUUCACCGUGUCCAAACACGGUGAAUCAAUUACCGUGUUUUCUUUGAAUACAACCCCCCUGAGCUGUCUUCCUCUUCCCCCCAACUCUCUCGCUCGAUCUCUCUCUCUCUCUCUCGCUCGAUCUCUCUCUCUCGCUCUCUUCCUCUCGCUUUCUCUCUCUGGCAGACGCCGACGCCGCCGCCGCCGCCGCCGACGCCGCCCUCUCUCGCCCGAGGUGUUUCCCCACCCUCAUUCUCUAUCUAGCUCUAGAAGCCCCCACAUCUCUCUCUCUCUCUCUCUCUCUCUGUCGCCCACCCCGCCGGCGCCGGCGACCCCGGCGACACCGGCGCCGCCCUCACCCGGCCGAGAACACCCCACCACCCCUCUUGCUCUCUCUAACCUCUCUCUCUUCCUNACGCCGCCCACAGUGGCUUCUCACUGUGAAAAGCCUCUGUGAGGCCUCCCCCCCCUUCCCCCCCUCACAGAGGCUUCUCACUGGCAACCCCCCACAGAGACCCUGUGAGGCCUCUCACUGUGCAACCACCCUCCCCCGCUCACAUAGUCCUCUCACUGUGCAACCCAACCCAAACCCCCCUCCCUCACAGAGGCAUCUAAACCCCUCUCUCUCUCUCUCUCUCUCUCUCACUGAUUGUUCUCGGUGUCUUUAUCACAGGUCACUCCUUAGCUCUUAAUUGGCAAAGUAGUCGCGCCGACCGUGUUCGCAAAAUGGUAAUACCAUCUCUUACCCUCUCCUUUGUUAUAUGUUAGAAAUGUGGUAUGUCUUGAGUUUAAUAUUUUUAUACAUUUUAUUAUAUUACUUUAGAACUCUAUAUCUGGCGACUGUGUUCCUUUCUAUAUCCAUUGGGACGGAAAUUUUAUCGAGAACAAUAAUGUACCAUGAUAUAUUGGUGGCCGUAAAGAAUUGGUUGCGAUCCGACGCGAUAUCUCAUUUCGGGCAUUUGAGAUGGAAAUAUAUAAUGUUACUAAUUAUGAUCGAGUGGAAGACCGUCUACGCAUCACAGUGAAAUGUCCAAUGGGAGGUGAAUGGGAAUUAGUUAACGUAUCAAAUGACAAUACACUAUCUGCCGUGAUGAGUAUUUUUCCCUUCCAUGGAUGUAUAAAGUAUUCGUGGAGAAAUAUGUGUCGACGACAUACGACCGUCCAAAUACCAUUAAUUAUAUGGAAAUGCAUCGUAGUAGCAAUUAUCAAAGGAAUUACGUCAAUCGCGAACGAGUUCGUAUAUCAAGGUAUAAAGUAAUGACCUUUAUAAAUGUUUUUCAUGAUUCCUCAAUUAGUUUAGGUGCGCGAAAUUAAUAACUCUGUCUUGUAAGUGUUACAGAGAAUUUGGAGUCCCAUGUGUGCCAGUUAGUGCAUCAUUGCCAUCUACUAUGAUGAAUCCGUCUCGGUUGGUUGCUCAAAAUGAGUGGUAGGUGAUUGUAUGAUUUAGUUACAUUAAAAUUUGACCAAUGUGAAUAGUUAAUCUUAUUGAAGUAAAAUAAUACUUGUCAUGCAUAUAUAUAGGUUGAAACAAUCCUAAUCCUAAUAAAAAAAUGAUUAGAUUCGAGUUCAUACAAUCCUAAUAGGUCUCGUAUUAAUCAUUAAUUUUCUCGGGUCAAUAAUUAUAAUAUACAAUAAGCCUAUUUAAAAAUGUGAAUGGGUGGGCCCUUAUGAAAGCCCAAACAAAUAAAAAAAAAAAAAUGUGAGUGGGUGAGCCCUUACGAAAGCCCAAACAAAUAAAUUAAAAAAAAAGUGAGGGUGGGCCUUUAUUUCAGCCCGUUAUCAUUUGAGCCCAAUAAAUUAAGGUGGGUCUGAUCAACGACGGCCCACACCCACACCUUAUAAAGUAUCUAGUCGAAAUCCGAUUUCAAAUCAUAAUCCAUUCAAAAUUCGAAUUUCGAAUUUUGAAUUCCCAAAAUACCAUNNNNNNNNNNNNNNNNNNNNNNNNNAUUCCGGCACCGGACUGUGAUAUACUUGUGGUAGUCAGUAAUCUCAAAAUUUCAUCUGUUCCUGUCUUUGAGUAUGUUAUCGUUAGUUGCUCUUACAAAAUUUCUAUAUCGGGAUUUCUAACUACAACAUUUUACAAAAAUGCUUAAUUGCCAUACUGAAAUCGAAUAUAUCUCCCCGCUUGCAGUGGCAUAUCCAGCAGCACCUGCGAUUAACGCAUACAUCUGGCACCUAUUGGCACCGUGGGAGUCCAGUUCAUGCGGGAGUGAAUGGCUGCGCGGAGAAGCGCGCUCUUCUACCACUUUACGAAACAUAGAGUUUGAUAACCGACAUGAACAAAUGUUAAAGUAGAACAGGUGUCUCCGUUAAUGAUAAACCCACAUAGAUCCUGCUCCAAUGCAAUCUGCAUACCAAUAUAUACAACAUGCGACGGCAUAAGGUGCUUUACGGGACCUCGUUCGGACCAGCUUGUGCUCCUGCUUCAACAAGAAUCACGCCAUUAAAAGCGUUUUGCAAAUAAAAAGUCCAGGCUUGCUAGAAAGAAAAUCACCUACACCACACACAGCACAGUCAACACACCAGAGAAAAAAAAGAAAACCCAGAAAAGAAGAAAGAGAUUUGAUGCUCAACCGAAAGUAUUUAAUGAAUGCUUAUCCAUUCGCGUGCAGGCGACGCUUAAAGGUCCAUCAAAUAACAUUACAUCAACAGGCAUCUAUCCACAGCACCGAUCCCUUACAAUACCGCUGCAGCAGGCCAAACAGGAUCACAAAUUUAUCCCUCUUAAUUGUAUAAUGCGGACUCGGAGUGUUACACUACACACCGGUCGAGUCAAAAUACAAAUAAAUCCGAAAAACACCUAGAAUCCGACUAGUACAAAAGACCGAGACAAACCUAAACAUGACCGCGGAUGGGACUCGGACUGGUGUCGGGUGGUGUAAAGUAAAAGCAGGAAGCAUAAGUUAGAAGUAAAAGCAAAACAGGGGAACGCGCAGAUGUGUCACUAUGGAAUAUCGGGCGCAAGCCGGAAGGGCAGAGCGCUCAGGACUCGCAGCUCGACCCGGCCCGACAGUCAGCAACCUUCGCUGCCUGCAGAGGACAAACCCCACCCGCAAUCCCGAGAUCAAGUCGAAUCAGCACUCCUCCUGCUUCCUUCGCAAAGAAAAUAGAACACCUGCUUCCGAGGCACCCACCCCCAUCAGGUGAGAAGACAGGACAAGGAACAGGAACAGGAACAGAAACAAACGUGAAGCGAAUAAGGCGGGAACAGGCACACUGAUGCCUUCCGAAUCGACGACUCCGCCGGAAAAGCCACUAAGGCCAUGAAGAGGAUGGAGGAGGAAGAAGACGACGACCGACGACUACGACCGACAAGGAACGCAGGAAAGGGCGCUGAGACGCAUGCAAGUUUGGGAGGACGAAGGCACCCGGCUACGUAAACAGCCCUUCCUCACACUGCCGAAAAAUCAAGGAAGGACGGCAUGAGCAGCUUCGAGUCCGCAGACCAUCGACAAACCGCAAAAACCGCUGAUUACGGAGAGUAGAAUUUCGAAAACUAUCUGUUUUCUCCCGUGUCACUCUUCUACCGUUCUUCUUUUUUCUUUUUUCUUUUUCCUAUUUCUUUUUUUUUUUUUCAAAAAACCCUUUGCCAUAUCUUUGGUAAAAAAGAAAAGCAAAUAGUCCGGAGCGCUAGCUGUAUUCGGGUUCAAGAAGUUAGGACUUUACUUUGAGCAUUUAACCAUUUAACAAAAAUUUAUUUAAAAUGGUCCCCUGUCAAAAUUAUAAUUUGCAAAAAAUACCCUCGGCAUUUGCCACCAACCGUGUCACGUUAUCAUGGCCGCCACGCGCAUGGCCGAAAGCAUGGGCCCAGCCGCGCGUUUAAGUUCAACCAUGGAACCCAUUGCAGCCGUGAAUCCAAAACACGAUAACAAUGGUCACCGUUCCCAGUGUGAUUCAUUCAGCACUUCGUACUGCAGCACGUCAUAGGUCCGCACGAGCCUGGGCAAAUAGGAGAGAGAACCCAUGUAAUACAUGAGACACUUAGGGGCUGGAUACGAGGACACCAUUCACCGUUCUAAACACGGGUGAUAUUAAGUUAACCGUGUCCAAACACUGGUGAACUCAUACCUGUGUUUUCUUGAAUACAACCCCCCUGACCUGUCUCCUCUCCCCCAACUCCUCGCAAUCGUAAAGUCGCCUCUCCUCUCUCUCCCGAGUUGUCUCAGGACUCAUCGUCGCUCAUCGCUCUCUUCGCCCAUGUUUCGUCCUCUGGCAGCCGCCCGACACACCUCGCCGAGCCCAGCGCGGUCAGCGCCGGCGGACGCCACCUCAGCUCGCCCGAGGCCCCCCCUCAUUCCUAUCUACUCUAGAAAGUCCCCCAACAAUCUCUCCCUCCUCUACUCCCCUCCUCCCCUUCUCCCACGGCCGCCGGCAGCUCCCGACAGGGCGACCCCACCGCACACCGGCCCGCCCUCACCCACACGCCGGAACAGUCCCAUCACACUCUACUGGCUCUCUCUAACCUCUCUCUUUCCUCUCACCUCGACUGUUCUCUCCCCCGCCGCCAUCAGCCAUCUUUGUGAGCGCACCAGUGGCUUCUCAUGUGAAAUCUAGCCUCUGUGAGGCCUCCCCCCCUUACCCCCCCACAGAGGCUUCUCACUCGGCAACCCCCCACAGAGACCUCAGUCUGUGAGGCCUCUUCACUCGUGCAACACACCCUCUCCUCCAUCACAUAGUCAUCUCACUGUCAACCAACCCAAACCCCCCCUCCCGUCCAACGAGGCAUCAUAAACCCCCUCUUCUCUCUUCCCAUCUCACCUCUCGACAUCACUGAUGUGUUCCAGUGUCUUUAUCAAAAAAGUACAACAAAAACAUUAGCUCAUAAUAUGGCCCAAAGUAGUGCGAGCCGACCAGUAAAAAAAAGCAAAUACACAAUGUACACAAAUCGACAAUCACACUCUUAUCAUAUACAACAAAAACAAAUACACACACUAUAUGUACAUAAAAAAAUAAUAAGCAAUGAUAAGUAAAUUAAAUAUAAAUAUAAUACCCAAAUUAAAUAUAACUAAUAGCAAAAAAAAAAAAAAUAUCAAAAAAUAAAGAAAAAAAGAUGUUCCUUUCUAUACAAAAUACAACAAUUAUAAGAAAAAAAAAAAAUAAAAAAAAUCAAGAAAAAAAAAUAAGUAACCAAUAGAUAAAUAAAUAAGAAAUGUGAAAACGAAAAAAAAGAAUUGGAUUAAGCAAAACAACCAGACAAUAAUCAAAAUACAUUAAAAACAAGAGCAAAAAAAAAAAAAAAUGAGAUAGAAAUAUCAUAUUUAACUCAAUAUAUGAUCGAGGGAAAGUACGUCUAGUUCGCAGAAUCACAGUGAAAUAGUCCAAUCUGGCAGAUAUGAAGGGCGAAAUCAGUUAAACGUAUCAAAAUGACAAUCAACAUUACUGCCGUCGAUUAUCAAUUUAUUCCCAUUUCCAAAUAGAUCUAUACAAGUAUCCGCUGAGAAAUAUUGUUCUGACGACAUAACGACCGUCAAAUACCAUUAAUUAUAUCCGGCAAUUGCACGUAGAGCAAUUAUCCAAAGGAAUCACUCAAUCGCCCGAGAACACGUGCUGACGCAACAAGAACGAGUUACGUAGUAUCAAGGGUAUAAGUAACUGACCUUAAAAGUUUUUCAUGAUUCCUCAAUAUUAGCUGCGCGAAAUCUAAAUAACUCUGUCUUGAUAUUGUAUGCAGAGAAUGUUAGAGUCCCAUGUGCCAGUACAUCAGUGCCAGGCUACUAUGAUGAACCCGUCUCUGUUGUUGCUACAAAAAUGAUGUAACGUGAUUGUAUUAUUAGUUACGACUAAACAAUUUGACCAAUGUGAAAAGUAGAUCUUAUGAAGUAGAACAUAAUACUGUCGUGGCAAUAUAUAGUACGGGAAACAAAUCCCUAAUCCUAAUUAAAAAAAAUUAGAUCGAGUUCAUACAAUCCUAAAGGUCUCAGUAUUAAUCAUACAUAAUUUUCUCGGUCAAUAAUUAUAAUAACAAUAAGCCCUCAUUUAAAAUGUAAUUGGGUCGAAACCCGUUAUGAACCCAAACAAAUAAAGAAAAAAAAAAUUAGUGGUGAGCCUUACGAAAGCCCACAACAAAAUAAAUAAAUAAAAAGUGAGGGUUGGCCUUUAUUUCGCCCGUUAUCAUUUACCCAAUAAAUAAAGGUGGUCUGAACCAAUCGACCCCACACCCACACUUAUAAAGUAUCUAGUUGAUCCGAUUCAAAAUCAUAAACACAUUCAAAAAUUCGAAUUUGAAUUUUGAAUUCCCAAAUACCAUCUCCAAUAAUCCAUUCAACAAAUUCAAUUUUAAUUGAAACCCCAACAAAUUACCGAGAAACUAUCCUCCACAUACAUCAUACAACAUUCGAAUUAUCGCGAAUUUGAAAUCUCCCAAAAAACAUCACAACAACACAUUCGAAUCGAAUUACGCAAAUCGAAUUCACAACCAAUUCCAAAACUCCUCCAACAACCCAUCCUCGAAAAUACGAUCUCGAAUCUCGAUCUAAUCCAACAUUUCCCAAAUAUCGCAUCAAACACCCAUUAGAACUGUGACGAUUUCGAAUUCGAAUUCCAGACCAUUUCCCAAAAAUAUCAUCCAAAAACCCAUUCGAAAUCAUUCGAAUUGAAUCCCAAUCAAUUCCCCAAAAUAUCACCAAACAACACCUCAGGCCCACAGCCGCGCACCCAUCAAAAAUUCGAUCGAAAUUUUGAAUACCCUAACCAAUACUCAAAACAUCAUCCAAAAACACCAUCAAAAUUCGAUUCGAAUUGAAUUCCCUAACCAAUUCCAAAAAUAAUCAUCCAACAACCGGCAAUUCAAAAUCGAUUAUUUUGAAUUCCUAACACAAUUCCCAAAACAUCAUCCAUAACCAUUCAAAAUUCGAUUUCGAAUGAAUUCCCUAACCAAUUCCCAAAAUAUCAAUCCAACACACCCAUUCAAAAUCUAUCUCGAUUUUGAAUCUCUAACCAACUCCCAAAAAUAUCAUCCAACAAACUCCAUUCAAAAUCGAUUUCGACAUUUGAAUCCUAACCAACUCCCAAAAUACAUCCAACUAUCCAACAACUAUCUUCGAUUCGAAUUCGAAUUUGAUUCCAACCACUCCCAAAUAUCCCCAACCACCAACCAAUAACUUCAAAAAUUCGAAUUCGAAUUCGAAUCUAACUAACUCUCCCUCCCCCAUUAUAAAGUACGAACCGAAAUCCAAAUUCAGGGAAUUUUUUUUGGAGAGAGACGACACAUAGAUAGAUGCACAACCACUUCAAUUUCCAAAAUAUCAAAGGAGAAUAUUACUCCGGAGACCGCUAGAAGCAGGAAUUCAUUCGCCGAAGCCGCGGAAGGAGGAGACAUCAACGUCGACCGCGGAAACGAAGGAGAAUCGUCCGAGCAAUCGCGCCAACAGAAAAGAGAUCGUUGAGCCCCUCUCACGAAUCCAUCAACCAGUAGUCAAAAAAAGAAAAAAAGAAUAAAGUAAACCAAUAAUAAUAAACAAAAAAAAGAUUUUCUCCCCGCCCUCCUCUUUUUCCUUUGUCCGACGAUCGUAUGCCAUCCAUACACUCACUAGAUCGGCUUCGGUGGGAGAGUGGAGGAAUAUUGAUUUCGCGUUUCUUCUUCGGACCUCUCAAUACGCCAUCGAAGGUCGUUGCAUAAGGAAUGGAUGAUCUACCAUUGCCCACGCGACCCCGCAUCUCCAGCAUGUCUGUUUGAACCUUCGAAGAAAAGGAAGGGAAUCUCUGAUCCCUUGUUUCUUCGACGCCUUCAACAUUUCUUCGAUAAAAUCGAAUCAAAAUUUGCUGGCUCCCGACCACACAGAUCCAGCCAACCGUUAAACAACUCCUCGUCGCACGACAUCUACAAUCGACCUUUCGAUCUUUCGACAAAACGAAGAUGCGAGCGGAAUCUCUGACCCGUUCCUCCUCGCACCGACCAUUCAACCAACCAUUUGAAAAUACUUGAAUCAAUUUGCUCUUGCACUACGAACACAUAUCAACGCACCAUCCCCCUCAACGACAUCUACACCGCAUCGCGUCUUGAUAACUUUGAAAGAAGAGGGACGGGGAAUCUGAUCUCGCGUUUCUUCGACCCUUCAACUUAUUCCGAAAUGCAAACUCAAUGCCGAUGGCCUGACACAGAUCCCACCCACCCGUCACCGCAAACUUCGUCGACUCGCUCAUCGCCGCAUCAUAUCGCAAGAAGAGGGGAGGGGAUCUUAUGAUUCCUCCGUUUCUUCGCGACACCAAAACAAAAAUUAAAACAGGGAUUUCUUCGGCACCCGAAUUGGAAUCAAAACGGGGAUUCUCGGACCCCAAAAUCAACCCAAAAAAACUCGACACCCAAACCACAAUCAAAUUUGAAGACAAAUUCAAAUUUACAAAUCAAACGGGAUUUCUUCGGACACCAAUAUCAAUUGCAAAUCAAAAGGGGAUUUCUCGGACCCCAAAUUCAUUCAAAAAUCAAUAGGAUUUCUCGGACCGCAAAUCAAAUGCAGAAAUCAAAGCAGCAAUUUCUUCCAGACAGCCAAAUCAAAUUGCAAAAUCAACUCUACCUACAGUCAAUACUUAAACCUGCAAAUAACUUCAUAUGCGAACCCAAAGUCAAAUUAAAGUUGCAUAUGUAAUCCAAAAUGCAAAUAAGUUCAUAUGCAACCCCAAAUUGCAAUCAGUCACCUCCAAACCUAACCAAACUCAAAUCCAAAUAACACCAACCAAAACCCAAAACAAAAUAGAACCGAAACAAAACCAAGUCCACAAAUAAAACCAAACCAUUCCCAAAUAAAAACCAAAACCCAAACAAAUCAAACCCAAAACCAACCAAAUCAAUCCACAAAUAAAAUCCGAAUCCAUUCCACACAAUAAAACCAAAACCAAACCCAUAAAAUCCAAACCACCACACAUAAAACAAAAACCAAAAACCGCAAAUAAAAUCCAGAACCCCAUCCACACAUAAACCAAAACCAGAACCCAAAAUCAAAUGCCAAACCAACCUGAACACGCGAAGUCCACAAUAAACCAACCCAAACGCCAAAUUAAACCAAAACCGCCAAAUAAAUCCAAACCCAAGUCCACAACAUAACAACCAGGAACCCAAACGGAACCCCACCAAAUAAAACCAAACUUUAUGGACCAAUAUCCCAUGAACCAAAACAAAAAUCUCAUGGACCAAUCCCAUGAACCAAAACCAACAGUCAUGUACAAAAUCCACAUGACCAAACAACAUCAUGAACCAAAUCGCCAUACAGCACAAAAGCCUAAACUCAGCCAAAUCCCAUGAAGCAAAACCAAAACCUCAUGACCAAAUCCUUGAACCAAAACCAAGACACUCAUGGACCAAAUCCAUGAGCCACAACAAACUCUCAUGACCUAAAGCCCAUGCGUACCGAACCGACAAAAAUCUCAUGGACGCAAAUCCCAUAACGCGAAACCAAACCCCGUUGCCUCAAAAAUCCCAUGCAACAACGAAACUCAUGGACCAAAUCCCACUGAACAAAACCAAAAACCAAACCUCAUGACCACAAUCCCAUGACUGCAAAUACAAACUCAUGAGACUGCAAAUCCCAAUAGCCAAAAAACCAAACCUCAAUGACCAAAUCCCAUGACCAAAACCAAGCGUCAUGAACCAAAUCCAUGAACCAAAACCAAAUACCUCGUGAUCAAUCCUAUGACCAAAACCAAAACCUCAUGAUUCAAAAUCAGAGGCAAAACCAAACUCAUGACCAAAUCCCAAUACAACCAUAGCACCUACACCAAACACUCAUGACCAAAUCCAUGACCAUACACUCAACUUAAUACCAUACCCAGAACCAUACCGUCAAACUCAUAAACCAAUCCCAUAAUCCCAUGAACCAAUACCCAAAUUCUCAUAAACCAAUACGCAUAAUCAUUGAAAAGAACCAAUUAGACUCUAAUACAUAGAGUUUAAUAUCGAUUAGGUCUUAACACAUAUACUUAGGGCCUAAUCAACCUUAAAUCAAACUGAAUCUUAAUACAUAUACUUAGGAUUCAAUAAACCGAGAUGCGAUCCAUAUCAUCCAAUCUAUAAAGGUCUCUUAAUCGAAGGUGCCCCAAUCUCAAGGGGGUAAUUAACAGUAGAUGCUUGCAUCUAUUGGAAGCCAUGGACUCGCAAUACCUGAUACCCACAUAUACAUAUAAAUACUCAUCUGAAUCAUGAAUACUACCCCACGGCCAAAAAUCCAUCGACCGUGCGAGGUGCGUCAUUCGUGGUGGUAGACACAGGUCUACGAUCCCUCCUUAUCAAAGUGAAGGUCCAUCAUCUAGUGUUCAUGAAUAGACGGAUUGGGAAGUGAGAACUACUAUCCAUCCUUAUCAAAAUGAAGGUCCAUCAUCUAGUGUUCAUGAAUGGACGAAUUGGGAAGUGAGAACUACUAUCCCUCCUUAUCAAAAUGAAGGUCCAUCAUCUAGUGUUCAUGAAUGGACGGAUUGGGAAGUGAGAACUACUAUCCCUCCUAUUCAAAGUGAAGGUCCAUCAUCUAGUGUUCGUGAAUGGACCAAUCGGGAAGUGACUACAACUGAUAAUGAGGACGUAAUUGGAAGUGAUGAGGAGUAUGUUAUUGAAACUCAUGAAGAGGAUAAAGGACGAAUUGAUGCUGAUUCUAGUGAUGACGAGGAAUCCUUUGUUGCGUGUUCUUUGGAUCCUGAUCAUGACAGUGGCUUGAAUGCACUCACAUGCGCCAUUCGAGAUGAAGGUGUUGAAUGAAUUGAAAACUCAAAUGUCAACAACGAAGAUGUACCGGACCCGGUGGAAUUCGAGGAAUGUGAAGAUCAACGACAACGGUUUCUCCUGGGUAAUGAAGUAAUUAAUCAAAGCGUUAUUGAUGCAUAUAAUGAACAAAAUAUUGAUUAGGGUUCUCCAAGUGAUGAAGCAUGGGCUAAUCGGACUUUUUCUGAUAAAUCAUCACUAGUGAACGUUUUGGAUGCUUGGCACAUUGCACAUAAUGUGCAACUUAAAGUUGUUAAGUCAAAUACAACUAGAUAUACUGUGAGAUGUGUGGUCGAUUAUUGCCCGUAGAGAUUACAUGCCUCUCAACCAAAAGAUAGUUCAUUUUUUAAAGUAAAGACUUAUAAAGGUCCGCACACAUGUUUGGUUCCAAUUCUGAAUACAAGACAUCAAAACGGUACAUCAUCUUUCAUAUGUCAAUUUAUACUACCUACACUGAAGGUAAGGCUUACUAUGAAUCCUAUCGAAAUUCAAGCUCGAGUUCAUAGUGAGUUACACAUUAGCAUAUCAUAUAGCAAGGCUUGGCGGGCCCAGAAUAAAGCACUACAAAUUAUAUACGACAGUUGGGAGCAAUCAUACUGCGACCUUCCUCGAUACUUCUUUAUGUUGGAAUCAACAAAUCCUGGAACUAUUACGAAAAUUGAUUAUAUUAGUGUGACGAGCAAUACUAGAAUGUUUUCACGAGCCUUUUGGGCUUUUGGACCGUCGAUUCAUGGUUGGGAGUAUUGCAGGCCAUUACUUAGUAUCGAUGCUACCCAUUUGUAUGGAAAAUAUGGAGGCCACGCAUUAAUUGCCACAGAUGUCGACGCCAAUGGUGGUUUAUUUCCGCUAGCUUUUGCAAUUUGUGAGAGGGAGAAUGGCUCGAGUUGGAAGCGAUUUUUAAGUUGCCUAAGAAGGUAUAUAAUAAGAUCUCGAGUUAUUACACUAAUUUCAGAUCGUUUUAAAGGGCUAGCGAAUCUCGUUGCACUUGUAUUCCGAUCAUCUGAAGGUCAUACUCAUCGAUGGUGUUUGCGACAUAUGAAGGCCAAUAUGAAUAUUCAUUUUAAAGCAAAACACUUACUUAAAAUAUUUUAUCGAAUUGGGAAUGCUUCAGAAGAACGACAAUAUUACGUAUUAAAGGAAGAAUGGAAGGCUAUGGAUGAAGAAGCUUGGCUUUGGGUUGACAAUCUUUAUAACGAUAGGACAUACCGGGCUAAAGCUUUUGAUGGUGGUCGAUGAUUCGGUAUUAUGACAACUAACCGAUCGAAAAUUUUAAAUAGGGAGUUGAGGGGAGUUCGCGCCUUACCAAUUACAGCUUUUGUGAUGGCAACGUUUCAUUGAGUGGUAGAAUUUUUUCUAAAACAUCAGGGGGAGGGCGCUGCAAUGUCUACGCAAUUUAUCUCGACUGUUGAAAAUACUAUCAAUAGCCGGAUGAGAAGUGCUAGAGCAUAUACAGUUCGAUGAUUUGGAUUUCACGAGUUCGACAUACUUACUGGCUGUGAUGAUCAAUACCAAGUGAUUAUCAAUGGAAGCGGUUCUACAUGUUCAUGUUUGUGUUUGCAACUCACAGGAAUCUCUUGUUCACACAUUUUGUCAUAUUGUAGUUCUUCACACAUGAACAUAGAUUAUUAUGGCUUAUAUUCUCCUUGGUAUACUGUCGCAUCCUAUUGUAAGGCUUAUGAACCGCAGUUCCACCCCAUUCCGGAUCGUCGUUAUUGGAUCGCGUCAUAUGAUUCCCCUAUACUGCCACCAUGCGGGAGAAGGAAAAAUGGACGACCCAGAUCUACAAGUAUCCAUAAUGUUAUGGACGAAGCCGUUGGGCAGAGGAGGGGCAAGUGUAGUAUGUGUAAACAGCCUGGACAUUAUAAAGGCACUUGUCCUGAAAAUCAGCAAAGAAGGAUCGAGAGACGUCGUCGCUAGGUUUUUGUAUAUGAAAACAACACUUAACUUUUUUAAUAUUUUAUGCUUACGCACUAAUGUUACAUCAUUUUGUUUCUAACUCAGAUUUAUUUGACUAUUUCAGAUUGACGAUCAUGAGGAGCCGGGACCUAUUGAUACAUCCGUGCUGACUGAGCAGCCACGGCAUAGAUCUACUUUGAUUAGAGAGGAGGUGAUUUUUUAUAAACAUUUCAAAUUUACGUAGAUCUUCUUUAACUUAUGUACUAAUUUUGAGCUGACAUUCACAAUCAUGCAGGGUUAUUCUCCUGUUCAAUUUACGGAGCAUGACCGUAAAAUGAACAGAUGGCAGAUUGAGCAUCCUGCGGUGUUGGACUUAUUGCGACGAGUAGGAUUUUAUUACGUUUCACAAUUGCGGCGCCUACAGCUCGAUCAGUCGUUAUUGGGAGCAUUAGUCGAGAGGUGGCGGCGGGAGACGCAGAGUUUUCAUUUGCGACACGAAGAGAUGACUAUUACGUUGAUGGACGUCGCAGUUAUUACUGGACUCUGCGUCCAUGGUGGUGCUGUGAUCGGAGGGGGAUCAUAUCAGUGGGCAGAGCUCUGCGGGCUACUUCUAGGUGUGUUUCCUUAGGAUAUUAGGGGCGGUGAGAUCAAGAUAGACUGGUUAUAUUAGCAUUUCCAUGAUAUGGCCUUAGAUGCACCUCCCACUAUUGUUCGAGCUACAGCGAGAGCAUAUAUACUAUUUGAGAUAGGAUGUAGUUUGUUUCCAAAUCCAAGCGGGAAUAGGGUGCAUUUGAAAUGGUUGCCAUAUCUAGAGGAUUUUGACCUUUGCGGUGAGUUGACAUAGGGUGCAGUCGCGCUAGCUCAUCUUUAUCGGGCCCUAGAAAAUGCUUGCAUGAGGGGGAAGGUCGAGUGUUGUUGUUUUGGGACAUUACUUUAGGUACAAUGCCUUAUUAGCACCCUUACAAUACUUAUACUUAUUUCCUUUUUUACGAAUUAAAAAAGAAGCCACCAUAAGGCAUGGGCCAAUGGGACCUUGCCACGCAUCCUAAAAAACAUUGAAUAGGCCUAUUCCACCGUAAACCCCUUUCUUUUUUACGAAUAAAAAAUUAUUUUUCAGAUUUUUUCAAUAAGUUUCCAGAUAAGGCACUUUUUUCCACGAAUAAAAAAUAAUAUGACUCUUUAAUGAAAAAAACUCUCUCUUCUCCUUUUGUCUCUUCUGUCUAAAACCUAACCUAAAAACCUUGGAAAGGUAUGUCUGGUAUAAUUUUAUGGCCCUUUUGUUUCUUCUGUCUAAAAUCCAACCUAGUUAAUUUUUUUUCCUUUUGUCUUUUCUAUCUAAAACCCAACCUAACAAAUCUUUCCUUGGGAAGGUAAUAAAUCUUCCCUUGGAAAGAUAAUAAAUUUUGGAAAACAGCUCCUUCUGAUUGGACCAAAAAAUUUUCUCCUUCCCAAGAUUUGACCAGGUCAAGACAGCUACUUCCUCUCCCCUCUUCCCGAGAUUUUCUUUCUGUCUCUCUUUUCUUCUCCAGGUAGCCUCUCCCUUUUCCCUCUUCUCUCUCUCCCUUUCUUAAGAUGGCCCCUCUCUCUCUCCCUCUUUCUCUGAUCCUCUUUCUUUCCUCUCAAUCUUAGCCCUCCCUCUCUCUCUCCCUAUCAUUCACACCCACUGCCAUUUCGGCAACAAGUGGGCCACCAUCGCCCGCCUCCUCUUCGGCCGCACCGACAAUGCCAUCAAGAACCACUGGAACUCCACCCUCAAGCGCAAGUAUGUGCCCCCCGCCGCCGCCGGGAUCGACUUCGCCGCCGCCGCGCCGGAUUUCGGAGACGACGAGGCGCCGCCGCCGCGGUCGCCAAAGCGGGCCAGCAUUUCCCCUAAAAAAAAAAGCGGGCCAGCAGCGUCGGAGCCGCCAUGUCGGAGGGGCUCUGCCUCAGCCCCGGCAGCCCCUACGGCUCAGAUCUCAGCGACUCCACCCACCACACCCACCCCUUCGCCACUUCGCCUCCGAGAAUGGCGGCGGCGGCGCACGUGUACCGGCCGGUGCCGAGAACGGGAAAAAAAAAGAGAGAGAGAGAGAGGCAUGAAGUAUAAUGUUGCAUCUGCCAAUUAUUAGGAGAGAUUAGGAGUAGAAGCUUGAGUCAAUGAAGUAUAAUGUUCACAACUGAUGAUAGACUAAGUCCAAGUAACGAUCUAGCAAUAUAAAUAGCCCACUAGAGAAAGACCAGGCUUGCAGCAAAUAGAAGAAUGGAAGCCCACAACUUCUGGCUCACAGUUAGUUUGUUAGAGAUUUGAAUUUUGUAUUUCGAAGCAAUAAAAAGGCAGAUUGUAAUCCUCAAUGAACAUGAUGACAAUUAAUGAAAUUUCCUUCUUAUUUCUUCCUUCUCUCACUACUUUCUUUCUUUCUUCCUCUGUCUGAUCAUCUUUCCUUCUUAGACCCACAUUCAUUUUCUUCUUUAAAUCAACUUAUUUUGCAUUGUAAGGAAUCAGGGAGUUUGAUUGGCCACCAUCAUCCUUGACGCCAUCCUCAUCUCAGCGAAAUCUCAUCAUCGACGAGUUGCGCUGAGUCCGGUCGUAACAUGUAACUUCACAACUUCUUAUCUGUUUUUAUUUUUUUAAUUUCUGAUAUUAUAUUUUUUCUCAACAGAAAAGCUCAAAAUUUUUUUUUUUUAUAAUAAAUAGGAAUGAUCACAUGCUCCAUAAUUUUUUUUGGGCAUGUAUUCUUCUUCUUAAACCUCUUUGUAUUUACUUUCUUUUAACUAUAAAUUUUUUUAUUUUAUUUUUUUUAUUUAACUGUUUUAUUAUAAUAUAAAAUUAAUCGUUAACCGCAGCGAAGCACGGGUUCUAUACUAGUACUUAUACUUAAGUCAUGGUUUUUGUUUCCAUUUCUAACUAUCUUUUUAUAUAGAUAUGGGCAUGGGACUACCUGCACAUUGGCCGCCCUGAGAUAGUAGGACCGCAGCUUGAGCUUGUCGACAUGCCACUAGGGUGUCGGUAAGUAUUUUUUUAUUUUAAGUUUUCUAUAUACUAUUUAUUCAUAACUAAUAUGAUAUAAAUGAAUCAGGCAGGCUUUUCAGGACAAUGUCAGGACUACUGACAUUGAGUUUUAUUGUGAUCAGCUGGAUCAGCAGUUAGAGUCUCAGGUAAAUAAAAAUUUCUCAAUCUGUGAAAUUUUGUAUUCAAAGCUUAUCUAUUUAUUUUUUGUAUAAGUAUCAAAAACUGUUGAUUGUUGUAGUAGGCUAGAAAACUAGGCUAAGUAUAAGUAUCAAAAACUAGUCCAAAAGUUUCAUAGUAGGCUAGAAAACAUAAAGGGAACUAGUCCAGCAUCAAAAACUGCAUCAAUAUCCUUACAAAACCAUUUAGUAUAGGCUAGAAUCUCACUCGUUUCGAUUCCCAACUUGGAAUUUCACUUGUUACUAGUUGCAGUACUCUCAAAACCAGCUCACAAGAUCAUCAUAAUCAGCUCAAAGUGGAUAUCCAAGCUGCUGAGAACAUCAACUCGAAAUCAGCAUCACUACUUGCUUAUUACACCUAAUAUAGCAUCAACUUAAAGCAAAUAGUUAGCUAAUCACCUUACCAAGAUGUAGUUCAGUUGUUUACUGAGUUUAGGAUGCCAGAACCCUUCCAAAUCUGUCUCUCCAACAGCAUAUAACAACCCCUAAGCCCUCCAAAACCACUAGCUACAAAAGAUAGAAGAAAUUGAACUCAAAUGUAGAAUGUUGAAUUUGGCAUUUUGCAAUGCACUUUUGCGCUUUCGGCCAUUCGAUCACUCCACUAACUUGCUAAAAACCACCCUACAACCCUUUAAAAGAUGUGGAAUAGUUCACAAUUACACUUAAUCCACAAUUCACUUAGCAUCAAACUCACAAUUACACUUUGCAAUGCACUUUUGUGCCUUCGGCUGUUCGAUCACUCUUUUAACUUGUCAAAACCUCACUACAACUCUUUAAAAGAUGUGAGUUAGCUCUAAUUACCAAUCCCACUCUCGAACAUCGCAAUUUGCCAAGUUCAGAGUACUACACCAACAUAUUAUGAAAAUACCGUAAGAUAGAUCCUAAGUUGGUAUUAUAAACAUUGAAUCUUUUAAACAUUGUAUUAUCUAAUUUUUAUGUGCUUUCCUGUCAAUACUUCGUCAUCUUUUUGUAGUAAUGUUGUCUAAUAUACACAAGUUAAACACGAGAUCAACAUAGUUCAAUUUUGAUAACUAAUGAUAUGUAUUUUUCACAAUAGAUUACAUAGAGGCCUUAUACAGACACAGUGUUAGAGACGCUCCCACCUUUUUGUCUAGCAGGGUCCCAGGUUUGGCGAUUGAGGACCAUCUUAGUCUGCUUCCACAUUAUUGAGCUGCAUCAUCCGGAUCGUGUGCUUCGACAGUUUGGGCUAUUAUAGCAUAUACCUGAAGCAGUGCUUGCCAUACCUCGCAUCAAUUCACGAGGUAGAGCAGAUGCAGAUUGGGCGGCAUACCAUGCUUCAUACAUUUCAGCGUUGGAAUGAUAGAUUGAUAGAUAUAGCAGAGGUGGACCCUGAGAUAGAUACAGAUCUUAUACGCCCUACCACUAUUUACAUGCAGUGGUAUUGGACGAUCACCAGGAGGUGGAUAUCUACACCAGUACAGAGGCCACCCCUUGCGUAUCAGCCACGUAGUCACGUCGAGAGAGUAUUGGUAUGAUUGUAAUAUAUAAUAUCUUUUUAUAUUUAUUUUUAUAUAUACAAGAAAGUUUCGUAUAAUCUUUAUGAUGGUGCUUUUAUUUCAGGUCGAUAUGGUGCAGAGAUCGCAUUAUACGAUCAGACGUGUCCUGCCAGAUAUUCCAAAAGGUGGAGUAUUAGAUGCCCUAUCACACGUUGCCGAUCAGAUGGAAGCAGUUUUGGAGACUUUACCUAGACUUCCACACACUGUACCUCCACGACCAGCAGACUAUGGUGGAGCAUCAACGUCGGGCCAUGCACUAGUGUAUAGUCCACCAAGGCCAUCAUCAUCGAUAGAGGAGCCACCUUAUGUGAGGAAGUGAAUUCUCGAAAUACGAGGAUUUGACUUCAUCCCGAAUCGACCAAGGGUCGUGUUGGUGUACUUUGGAAAAACCAAAGAUAUUAAAAUCACCAAUAGUGCAUUGAAAACGAGUCCACGAGAGCAAAUAGUGCGAAAUCUGCACUGGAGCAAAACUGCUCUCGGGGACCGGUCCCUGGCAGGGAGGGACCGGUCCCAUCGGCUGGUGUUGCGGGGUUGCUUGAGACAACCGGUCCCUGGCAGUGAGGGACCGGUUCCCGAACGUGAUCCCAGCGCGAAAAGCCAAAAAUUGGCUAAGUCCUGAAGUCCCAGUUCUCGGGAACCGGUCUCUCAGGAAGGAACCGGUCUCCCGAGGACCGGUCUCUCUGGGAGAGACCGGUACCCGAACGCGUGACCCGAGCUGAAGCUCUCGGGGACCGGUCCCAAGUCGGGGAGACCGGUCCCUCCGCGCGCAGAACGCCCAGGGAGGGCUGCGCACAGAGUGAAAAGUGGAGGGGCUUGGAUGGAUAUUGUUACAAUAGAGGGCUUAUUAGUCCCUCUCUCCCUCUCACUCUCUCUCAGUUCACUCUCUCUCCCUCCCUCACACUCUCUUGCUUUCUCUCUCUAGAAAAGAAGGAGAAAAGAAGAAGAAGAAGAAAGGAGAAGGAAAGAAGGAAGAAAGGGAAGGAGAAGAAGAAGGAGAUCAACAAAAGAAGGCUUUUGGACUUCUCCCUCAUCCUCUCUUCUCUCUUUUAAGCUAACCUAGAGGUAAGCUUCUAACCCUAGUUUGUGAAAUUUGGGGUUUUUGGGUUUUAGCUCUUUGGAUGGGAUCAAAUGGAUCCCUAGUACCUUGAAUGGAAGGAUUAGAGCUAGAAUCUAGGGUUUUGAGAUGGGUUUAGCUUGAUGCUAACCCUAGGGCACCAAAAUAGGGUUUUUCGGUAAAGUAUGGGAUUGAUCUCAUUUGAGGCCUUGUAAACC